GUAGAAUUCCAACCACAAUGUGUGUAAAACCCUCCUACCGCGGGAUGUGCAAGCACCUGUUUUUGUGGCGCCCAUUUCACUAUCCGUCCUCUUUCUCCUACCAUUUCUUCAUAACCAUCAGGAAGUGCCUCAGCAUAUUGAAAUCCAGAUAUAGAUCCAGGUCGAAUAACCCACAAGAACGGUUGUUCACUAUUAGCUAAUCCCCAAGCAGUCUCGAUUAGCUCUUUGUCAUUAAUCAUCGCCAGGCUACCCAAGCUUACAUAGAGAACAGAGUUAGGGGCUUGUUUAUCGAGCCACUCGAGGCAGCUGUUGUCUUCUUCAAAUAUGCUACUCAAUGAGUCCAAAGGCCCCAUUUUGUGAAAAGGUCCUAUUGGAAAAAAGGGCAUCUUGUAAUGUUCUUGAAGGCGUAACAAUGUUGAAUCCUCCAAGUCUUGCAUCGUGUUCCAAAUAGCCGCGACAGAUGAUCCUAUAUCACACGUUGCUCUAUGAAACUCUAGAUCCCAUUCUGGAAUUUUAUUAUUGACGACAUAAAAUGGUAAAUCCUUAUAUCUGAGGGGAUGAAGCUCUGGUAACGGAUCCAUCAACUGAGAAUCUGGAAUUCUAGUGAGUAAUCAAUACAUACUUAACUAAAAACAGAACGGAAUGAAAGAAAAACAUAUAUUUUUUUUUAAAUUUAAACUUUGAAACAGAGGAUGUGUAAAUUGUAACUGUUCGCGUACCUUCAAAAGGAAAAUAUUUUUCUGGUUGCUGUAAAAUCAUGAUUAUAGAGUGCAAAAAUGCAGCACUGAAAGUGUACAAGACAACGGUAGGAACCCUUAGCUGAGUAGCUACAUCAUCGACGAAGAACAUGACACUGUCAUAAAUGAUACAAGCGAGCUCAUUACCUUCCUCUUCCAUCAUCGCAGCGAGGUAAUUUCUCAAGUGUACCUUGCAGUUUUCGUUCAUACUAUAUAAAGUUUCCACACUAGGGAAUGACAUGUCGAUUCUCUGUAAUCCGUCAUCCAUAGAAUGGAAGACGAAUUGAGGAUGAUUGGUAUAAUUAGGAGCAUUGUGUCGAGUAUGUGCAACUAUAACAGAAAAGCCUUGUGAAUGAAGGAUAUUACCAAGCUGUAGCAUUGGUGUUAAAUGCCCUUGGUAUGGGCAUGGCACCAGUAUUACACUUUGUUUUCUUUCUACUUCCAUCUUUACUAUCUUGGAAUUUCUCUUCUACUCAAGAGGUUAUUUGUAGUAGUAGUAGUUUUGUUUGAAGGAAGUUUAUUUAUAACUCCGGAGGCGGAUCUAGUAGUUUUUGCUCAAAUUUUGUAGUAUGUACCAAAAUAUUUAUUAACUUGGUCUCAGUUCACAUUUAUGUCGUCCAACUUUUCUUUUGAACAAGUAAAUACUUAAAACUCGAAUAAAUAGACAAAUACUUUCUAUAUGUCAUUUGUGUUUGUAUAAAGUGAGAGAGAGAUUGAUAUAAGAGAAUUGAGAGAGAGACUGGGCAGAGAGAUAAAAGAGGCGUGGGAGAGAUGACUGAUGAAAAAGAGGAGAGUGGCGAGAGAGUGAGAGGGGAGAGAGGCAAGAGAGACUGUAAUUGUAGCUAGAAGAAAGUUCAAAAUUGUCAUUAAUGCGAACUGUAGCUAUAUGAGCUAAUUAACUUGUACAUGUUAGACUUACCACGUAAUUUUCCCUCAUGUUAAACAUGAAGGGUUACAUAAAAUGUUUUAUCUCUAGUACAAUAUCGAAGUGUAUGACUAUCUUAUCUAAAAGUUUAAGCCAUUAGAGAAAACAUUCUUUUAUUAGUUAAUGAUAUUCUCAACGAAAGUGGAUAUAUAUAUAUAUAUAUUUAACAAAUAAUAUUAGAAAAUAUGGUCAAUAUCAUGUCCUUGUAUUUUUUUAAUAGGUGUUCAUUGCUCUAAAAAUUCACUUAGUAUGAAAUUGAGGGAGUAUAUAAUAAAAAUAAACAAUAUGUACGUUUCCAGUUUAAUAAUUCUAUAUUUACUCAAUAUAAAAAAAUGGAAAUUAUAUGGAAAUUUUCUUAAAAAUUUAUAUGAAAAUUUAUAAAAAACUUAUUUUUAUACGAUUUUUUAUACUAAUACCCAAAAAAAUUUCAUCUAAUUCACACUUUUGUUAUUUUAAACUUUAUAUCAUCAAAUAAAUAUAUUACUACAUAUUCAAUCCCACAUAAAAAUGAUACAUGAUAUACAUAAGUAUAAUCUAUACAACAAUUUAUUAAAUCCAUUACUUUCAUAAUGUAAUCUUUUUGCAUCAUUAUUGAAAGGGACAAUCAAAAUAAAAAAUUCCAUUAUUAUUUUAGCCUUGAUUCAAGGAUUCUUCACAAUUGUGUCAAGAGCCAUAUACUUAUCCUUCCUGGUAAAAGUAGUACACUCAUAAGAAAGAGUUUCACCGAUAACCUUUUGUACAUAACUAGCAACUUCAUGGCUUGAUUUACCUGACUUGCAAGUGAACUCAUACGACAACUUAUUCAAGAAUGUAAUUUCAUAAGUGGGACGUGGAUUCAUCAGAAAGAAAAAUGGAUCCAUCCAUUUCCAUCCUCGCGUCGUUGUGCCAUGAAACAUGCUCAUCUUAGCCUCUAUUGCCACAGGCACAAUCUCAUUGGUAAUUUCAGCAAAUAAUGAAGAAAACCUAAGAAGAAAUUGUCCACGACUCGUAGUCCCCUCAGGGAAAAUUGUGAGAUCGCGCUGUUUUAACAAUUUUUUGAUCAUGGAAGCAUCAAAUGCUCGAUCUCUAGUGAGUGUUAUAGUUUUAAUGGGUGAAAAAAUGUUGAGAAACCGUGAAGUAGAGUAUGUAACGACUGGAACAGAACGAUCCAAUGCAACAGAGAGAAAAAUGUUGUCAAGGAUCGUCUUGUGACAACAAACAAAGAGUAGACCUUUGGAUUUCUUGAUAUGUAAUGGUGGGAUUCCAUUAAUGAUUAGACGAAUGCCAGUGGCCAAAAACGCGUAGUAUUGAAGAGGUACAGGGAGGAAUGACAUGACACUGAGACGCACACAUGCAAGAAGAAACCCUAAUGGGAUCCAAAGAAUGACGAGGAGAGAGAUUAGUGGGGUUAGCUUUUUGAUGAAACGACCAUCAUAGAAUAUAACAGGCUUGGGAAGUACUUUUGUACUUACCGCGUUUACUUUUAGGUUUGAAGGUACAAAGUAUCCUUCCUUACACAAUGUCAUAAAAGGAAUGUCAGUAUCGCGAUCACCCAAGCCAAUCUCAGGUUGAGUAUCUCCAAAAGUGCUCGUAAGAGUAUCAGCUUUGUUCUUCCCAACAAGAACUCCGGGUGGUCUAACAAAGCCAGUCGCUCUACCUUUAUAUGUUUCAAUCUCAGUCCCUAAAACAAUAUCCGUUCCUAAGUAGUCCUUCAAAAAGGGCUCCACCAUUAUCCUAGGGGUGGCAGUCAAAACACAACGUUUCCCACACGAUGAGAACACUCUCCAAGACUCGGGAUGAAGGUCUUCUGAAUAGAAUUUUGGUAGCACGUUUCGUGCUGCUGAUUCUAUAUUGAAAACCUUCAUCCCUACAAAAGUAGCAAAGACAAUAACUUGUAUUCCAGCAGACUCUGAGAUGAAAUAAUAAAGAAUACCCGCGAUAGGUGAAGCUAAGAGAAGAAAUAGUAACCUUAACACCCCAUCAACAUCGAAAGCUACCAAUGCGAAAUAAGCAAAAGAGUUUCUACCACGAAGUAAUGUUCCAUCCAAGUCCGUUACAACUAUGUCAUUCUCUCGAUCGAUCGAUGUACAUUUUUCGAUCAUAGGAAACGUCGUUAUCGCCAUCUUUUUCUUAGCUUAAUUUGAGUAAGUUGUUCAAGAGAAAAGCAUAGAAGAAGUAACUUCUAUACAAUUCUCUAUAUAUAAAUGAAUAAGAGUAAUUGACAAAAUUAAUAUGCUUCUUGUAAGAGCUAGGAAGUUUGGCACCUACCUAUUUAUUUUUGGUAAAAUUUUAUAAAAUAAUAAAUUAUAAAUUGAAAUUAAAUGUUAUAACCACAAUUACAUUUGAUUGUAACAUGUACAAAUAGUUGUUAUUCACCUCUCUCACAGCGAAUCUUGCUUGUCGCUCUUCCAGAGCUCGCACGCCACUUUUCCUCGCCUAUCUCAUUUUAUACAAAGACAAAUGUAUAAUUUGUGUUUGUGUUUUUAUAAAGCAAAAAAAAUGUAUGUAAAAAAAAUAUAUAUUUAUUUUCGUACUAUACACUUAUAAUUAUACAAAUACGGAUCUUCUCUACCAGUUCUCUUUUUUUCCUUUCUCUCUUUCUCGCUUUAUACCAACACAAAUUAUGCAAAAUUACAAUGUAUAAUUUGUGUUGUAUAAAGUGAGAUAUAUAUAUAUUUGAUAUACAAAUGUUUCAUUCCAAUUCAAUUGUAUAUAAACUUAAAUUUUAUGCAGAUAUACAAAUACAAUCAUUGAUACAUAUACAUAAUAGUUACAUAUAUACAAUUAUCUAAUCGAUAUACAUGUACAAACACUAUGUUUUAUACAAGCGAGAGACUGACAAUGGUUUAUACAAAUCUGAUGCUUCAUAACAAACUUGAAGUUUACUAUAGAGAGCAAUUAUACAAACUAUGACUAUAACAUAUUAAUAUAAUUUUUAUAUUUGUUAAACCUAAAAUUUACUUACCAUUUUUUCAAUAGAAGAAAAGGGACUAUCUAUAUUUCAAAUUUAUUGGAAUAUUAUUUUUAUGUGCAUUAACUUUGUACAUUUUUAGCAAUUAGCACGUAGUAAAAUAUGUAGAAUAUUUAAGAAGUGGCACAAUUUAUUCAUCAUAGAGGAUUAGGCAGACAUAUAGUAGGUCGGCUUAAGCUUUUUUUGAGGGUGUUAGAAUUUAAAUCUCUACUUUAAUUAGAAUUUAAUCAUUUCAAAAAUGGUUCCACCAUUGUGCAUAAUGUGUACAAGUUUAACAAAACCUCUCUAAACAUUAAUAAGUUUCGAAAUAUAUUUUGAUAGGUGAAAUAAGGAAUAAUAAUCUAUAAGAUGUGAAAUAUUUUAUUUUGUAUUUGAUUAUGAAUAUUAAUUAAUCUCAAAAUAUGUUUUGUAGUAAUGAUAGGAAUCUAACUUUCCUAUAAAAGAUAUAAAAUAGUUAAAUGAAUUAUCUCAAUUCAUAAAAUACCCUUAUAUGUCUUUUUUUUUAACUAAAAAAAAAUAACCAAACUAAAGUUGUUUUUUCCAAACUUCGUUGUACUCCCUCGAAUUUUAUUAAUAAAUUCAUAUUAAUUUUUGGAUUAAUUCAUAAUGUAAAUUCAUUUAUAUAUUGAUCAAAACCAAUUACAUGAUAAAGUCAGAUUAAUGUUUAGGGAGUUCUACACAAAUCAAUAUUGUUAAAUGCUAAUUACAUUAUAUCUCUAAUCUUUUUCAAAUCAUGAAAAUCCCUUAAAUUUGGUGGAAUUCGGAUACAUCUCAAAACGUCUCAAUACAUCAUGUUCUGAUUUCAGAUACAUCCCUAUACGUCUUAAUACAUUGUGUCUAAAUAUUGGAUACAUCACUCAACAUCUCAAUACAUUGUGUAUAUCCUGAUAUAUCACAUAAAGUGAUGCAUCUUGAUAGGGAGUUUUUGUAAUUUUUCAAAUGGUAGAGAUUUUAGUGAAUAUGGUAACAUAAGUUGUGUAUUUAGAUAAUUUUUUUCGAUUUUAAAUCAAUAUUAUAUGACUUAAAUAAAGUCCAAAUUACAUUUGAGUCAGUCCAUUAAAUUGGCAAGACGAACCCAACUCAUGCUCUUCAAACUCAAGGUCUCGCUAAAAUUACUUAAAACCGAAAUACCCUCAAACUCUAACUCAUAAUUAACUAUAUAAGGAGAUCUUCAUAUUUUCAUUUGUUGAUUGCUAUAUUUCAAGAAUGAAACUUUAAUCACAUACAAAGUCAAAAAAAAGUCUGAUUUUUGAACCAGAAUUAAAGGGCUAAAUGAGGAGCCACCUUUUAGUGUUAAACAUAGGUUAUGUCCUUCGCAAUCAUUACAUGAUAAAAAAAAUUUCAUAUCUAUUAUCAUCUUCGGAUUUAAUUUGUGAAAAUAUACUGAAUAUGUUAUUGUUCUUAUUAUAAGCUAUGAGAGAAAUAUUUUAAGUCAUUUGUUUUCACAAGAAUUUCAUUAACUGAAAAGUGUUCUUUCACCCAAAACUUAGAACAAUAUUAUCAUUGAUUUAGACUAUGUUUUACUUUCUAUCUUCAAAAUAAUAACAAAGAAAAGUAAAAUUAACAAAACAAAACAAAAAGGAACAAAGAAAUAUUAUUAUAGAUAUAGACAUCACAUUUUCUUUCUAUAAAGAGCAUUAGAGUUAGUACACCUAAACUUCAAGAAAACUAUUUGUGAUCCAAAAUAUAUAACAUGAAUUAAACAUCUUUUUUAGUAUAGGAAUACAAGUAUGCUUACUUACCAAAUGUUUAAGGUUUAGGAAAAGAGAGAAAAAUAACAAAAUAAAAUAUGUUUUUGUUGAUUUUGAUCAUUUAGCUUAAAUAAAAAUUACAUAUUGAAAAUAAAAUAAAUUAAAAAGAGGGAAGUUGUAAGGAUGAGUAAAGAAAAGUACCUCUUUGAUGGAUUCUAGAAAGUAUACUUGAUCAACAUCUUAUAAUAAAUUAUAACUCUCGAUUCGAUGUAACUCAAUACUUUAACCUGAAGUCAAAGCUGUGUAUAUUUGUUGAGAAAUUCGUUGAAUAUGUAAACUUAGAUCACAUGAACUUAAAAUUCAUAACUUAUGAAGUUCAAAUCGUGGAUCUGUGUCUGUCGAGUCCAUCCCUAACCGAAGCUCAAGAUCCAAUAUUGACACAUGAUUUUGCUCCAUGCCCUUGUUUUCUAAUUUCCCAUUUUCCAUACAAUUGCUUGCUUCUUUAACUAAUGGAGUCUCUUUAAAUAAAGGUAAUUGCAAAUGAUCUCCAAUAAUCACUUCUUGAUUAUGAUCAUAAUGAUUAACCUUGGAUGUAAUUAGAUGAUCAUUCUCUUCAUCAUAUGUAACACAUAGCCUUUUCGAGUAGCUACUAAUUAUUGUCUCAUCGUUUGAUGAUACCUCUCGUUGGAACAAAUCACAAUUUACAAGAGAAAGAUUAUGAUCAUAAUGAUCCUUUUCUUGAUCAUAUGUAAAACAUGGCCUUUUCGAGGAGCUACUUAUAGUUGUUUCACCAUAUGAUGAUUCUUCUCGUUGCAACGAGACAUCAUGAGGAAGCGCAAGAGGAUGAGGAUGAGGAUGAGGAGGGUUAUGAUCACAACUCACCAUAACACAUGGCCUUUUCGAGGGCCUACUAAUAGUUUUUUCACCAUAUGAUGAUUCUUCUUGUUGCAACAAGACAUCAUGUGGAGGAAUAAGAGGAGGAGGAUUAUGAUCACAACUCACCUUAACACAUGACCUUUUCGAGGGGCUACUAAUAGUUUUUUCACCAUAUGAUGAUUCUUCUCGUUGCAACAAGACAUCAUGAGGAAGAGCAAGAGGAGGAGGAGGAGGAUGAGGAGGGUUAUGAUCACAACUCACCAUAACACAUGGCCUUUUCGAGGGGCUACUAAUUAUUCCCUCAUUAUCUCGUUGCAACAAGUCAUCAUUUCCAGGAGGAGGAGGAGGAUAAACGGAGUUGUUAAUAUCCAAAGAAAGCAAAUUUUGAUCACUUGAAAAUUCUCUAAGCCUUGCUCUAUCUCUUCUAUGAAUAUUCAUAUGUCCACCUAAUGCUUGUGCAUUUGAAAAACCUCUUUUACAAAAACUACACCUAUAAAACUUAUUAACAUGACCUAAACCUAGUAGUUCCUCUGAGCUCCAUGGUAUAAUUUGGUUGAAUUUCUCCAUAGGAUUAAUUAAUGAUGUGAAGAAGAUGAAUUAAGAUGAGAUUAACAUGAAUUAAGAGAAGAGGUCAUGGUCGGCAAAGAAUGAGAGUUUUAUAAUUGACAAGCAUGCUUGAUUUCGUAUUAAUUAAGAUGAUUUAUAAUCAUAUAUCACGACUAUAAUUAAUAUAAUAUGAAAUUAUCUUUCUUUACCACCAGCAAGUUGACACUUAUGUCCUAUCGAAAUAUUUUACUCCUUGUUAAUUUUCUUUUGUGUCUAAAAAAAAAAAAUCAUUUCCAAUGUGAGGUGGUCCACGCUUCUAGGGUUUUGUGAAUUGAUUGAACCAUGUUAUAUGUUAGUUAUCGAUCCAUCUAAAAGUUUAAACUGAUAAUAAAGAGGAGGCUUAUUUAUUAAUCGAAGACUAGCUCAGCUCUAUAAUUUUGACGUGUCAACUGAUAUUCUACGGUCAGAAUUAAAACGUUGAAGCAGAAAGCACAAAAUAUGAUUAUUCUGGACUUAUUGCAGACACACAUUGAGUUUUAUCGUUAAUUUUUUUUUUAUAACAUUAUCGUUUAGCUGAAUUUAUUUUGGGACGUUUUAAUUAUAAAGAAUACAUAAUAUAACAUAAUUUGAAAGUCAGUAAUAAAGAAAACUUGAUCGUUCUAAUAAAUAUAGAAUAAUUGUUAUAAAAAGGUUUUACUAACUGCAUUCACAUUUAGAUCAGCUCAAUUUUUUUUAGAAAAAGGAAGAUUUGUAAUUUGCUUUAGCUAGACUCUAAACAUUCUUAUUUAAUUUGAUACACCUCUUUAUAUUGAUGAUUGUAAAUUAUCGUAGUAGGCAGAUUCGAGUCAUCAAAGAAGAAAAAGAAUUCAAUGUAAAUAAUAAAUAAAUACAUGAACGUACAAUAAGAGGGCUGACUAUAUAUGAAUUAUUUGAGGUUUUGGUUAAAUUAAACUUAUAAUAUCAUAGAAAGCUGAACAAAAUUUAUAUUCUUGCACGCUUUAAUUAGAGAACAAAAAAUGCAAAGUCAACAAAAUAUUUUAUAUAUGACUUUAAUAUGUCAACGGCUUCCUCAUUUGUACUUUUGUCCAUUAAUUCAUUAAGAAAACAGUGAAGAUUAAUUAUUUUAUAAAGAAUUUAAGGUCACCAAAUGAAUUAAUUUUGAGUGGUAGGAUUCAUUGUAUUCACAAUUAUUUUCAAUGCUCUAAUUUUUGUUUGCCGCCCCAUGUUUUUAUUUCUUGUUAAUUGGACAUUUCAACCUACUCAUGAGUAUUACAAAGAAACAAAACUAUUUACUUAUUCAUAUUUCUUUUUCUAUCUGUUUCUAUUUACUUGUUUAUUUUAACAAAUCAAGAAAGGACAAUAUUUUUUUUUCUAAUAUGUCCUUAUCUAAUUCUAGAAAAAUUCUAGUAAUGCUAAAUUGUAAUGCAUGAUUUUUAAAACCAGAAUAUACAUAUAUUAUACUUGGGGAGUUGCAUAAUCUUUUAAGUUAAGGGUAAACUUGUAACUAAUCUAUAAUAAUAAUUGGUGCCUUAAUAUGUAUAUCACUUCUAAAGUGGACAAUUAAAUAGGGACGGAGGGAGCAUAUUAUUAUUACUAUUAUGCACCUUUGAUCUUUUUUUCUAUGGUAUACAUAUUUUGCUUUACAAGAUGUUUAUGAUGAUAAUCACUACAUAAAAUAGAGUUCUAAUAAACUAGCGAAAGAGAUAAUAAGAAAUAGAGAAAUACAGGGAACUAACGUUGGUGACAAUAGAUUUUUCUUUAGCAGCUAAUUGAGUUAAUGACAUUAUUUUUAGAGUUGCUAACACCUUUAAUGACAUUUAUAUAGAAUGUUGAUUAUGAAUACACAUAUUUGUUAUUACUACUUAAUAUUAUAUAAAAUAUGCUAUAUCAUAAAGUUUCAAAUUUUAAUAUACAAUUUCAAGACAUAUUUCUAAUGAGAUAAUUGUGUUUGUGCUGCUAUGGGGUCAAAUCUAUGAACUAUUCGAAGUGUAUUAUUCUUAUUUUCCGCUAUGUUUUUAUAGCUCAAAAACAUUUUUCUUUUCUUUUUGGGAGAGGAAUCAAAUAUAUUCAUAGACUAUUCCAAAUGCGUUAGUUUUAUUUAUCAUUAUAUUUUUACGGCUCAAAAAUGCUUUCAACAUUAUUAUUAUUUAUAGUCAAAACAUUAUCAUAUAAAACUCAAUAAGCAAGUCGCAUGAUAUUAUUCAUGUCAUCUUUGAUACCGACACUUUCUCCUUAACCCCAAGGCGAUAAUAUUAGAGGCGAAUUCAAAAUUUAAAUUAUAAAUUUUUUAUAAUAAUUUUUAAUUAAUAUAUUAUAGUAUAUAUAUAACCAACGCUUGUGGCACGAUAGCGAGAUAGUUGCAUCCUUAAUAAGAGGUUUAGAAUUCAAGUACGGAGAAUUAAAAAAAAUCUGUUAAGAGUGGCAUGCUGCCACUCCAGAUAUCUAAAUUUAGCUGGAUUCUGAUACUAACGAGAAAAAAAAGGAACAAAACAUUAUAACUAAAACAACUUUUAGUGGCAAUAAACACACACAUUAAUAAAAAGUGCAAAAGUCUUUACCAGUAUUAGUUAAGUAUCAUUAUAUUCAAAUUAUUGUUUUAGGAAUAUAUACAAAGUAUUUUAUUAUCGUAAAAAAUACAAUUUAACGACAAUUGAGUCUAUUGCAGCUAAAAGUGAAAAUGAGUUGGUCAUUUCUUUAAUUAUUAUUACAGCUAAUUUGUACUGAACUGAUAGUAACGCUAAUUACGUACAAAGACUAACGAAAGGCAAGUUUUUUCUGCUUACGCAAGAUGCCGUGAAAUUUUUUACUUUUUUUCUUAGAAAAAAACAAUUUUAUAUAAAAAUCAUUGUUUGGCUGUGUAAUUUUUUAAUAAAAUUUGAAGUUAUUUGUAAUUCAGAAAUGUUAACAUUCAAAUAUUUGUUUUCACUUUGUUAAUUCAUUUUUUCUUACUUUCAUUAUAUUUUCUGUUCCAUAUUUACCCUAAAAUUUUAAUUUUGAUAAAAAUAACUUCAUUUUAAAUUCUAUUUCAUAUUCACGUAAUUCAUGUUUUUUUAGGAUCCAAAAUAUUAUUUUACUGUAAUCAUAACCAAACACAAUUUCGUCUUCAACUUCAAUUUCAAAAAAGUGAAGAAAAAAAAUACCAGCAAUGAGUUGCUUGUACUUGUAGAAUUUAUAAUCAAUGACAUUUUGUGAAUAGAUAUUACUCUUUCAGAGCAAAUUUAAUUGGAUGUUUGAGAUAAAUUAGCUUAGUUGGUGAUUUUGCUAGUUCAUAAAAAUUGGAGGUGUAAUACUUUAAUUUUUUUUUUUAAAAAAAGAAAACUAUGAUUAAACAUAACUCAAGCUCUUAUUCAAACUUAAAAAUUUAUAAAUAAAGAAAAUAUUUUCAUGAUCAAACGUCCGCUAAAAAAUUUCAUCAAAUAAUUUUAUAUUUGGGAAGUAUGAGAUACUGAAUAAUUACUGAUAGAAUAUUGUUAGACCUAUACGUAAAUGACCACACUUGGAAGCCCCCAAAAAAGGUAUUUGUAUACUUGUGAUACAAGUGUUCCAUAUACAUGAUAGUAGUGACCUCAUCAAUCUAAAAGGCUAGUUUAAAGAAAUAUUUAUUUUUGAGGAGUAAGAAUUUUAUUAUUAAUAUUUGUCACCUCUCAUUUUCUAAAUGUUCAUCGCCACCUUUAGCCUAGAUAGUAAUUCUUGUCUUUUGAGAUUAAUGUUUGAGAUAAGGACAAAUUCUUCAACUUGUCGUGUCUAUUAGCCUAUGAAUUUGACGUCUGGAGCAUCAAAAUUAUUUUCUUAAACAAACUUUAUGAGGACGUUUGUAUUGAGUUGGAGUACUAUCUCAUGUUUUUUUUUAUUUUCUUGUCAUGUGUUACAAAGCUAGCCACAAGCCAAUCAGAUCCUCUAGUGACAACUUCUUCUCACACAAGACCUUUAAGUGAACUAGGAGCAGGUUCUAGGGCUGCUUUUUUGAAGUCCUGACUAACCACAGUCCCAUAAAACAGAACAUUUUUUACAUUGCAUAUACCCCUCUAGACUAUGACCGAAAUCCAGAGACAUGCCUAAACGUAAUAUGUAUAUAAACUGCAGAAAUUAGUAAUAGCAUAGGUACAAAGGAAACUAAUACAUUGUACGGCUAACUCCUAUACAAAUAUCUCAGACAGACACCAAAAACAAUGCCUUGUUGUAGUUCAUAUGAUCUUUAGCUUAUAUCUAAACUUCCACUAAACAGAUCAAUCCAUUUGGCUAUCACAUCAACAUUUCACUAGUAAUUUCUUAAUCAAGUAGGUAAGCAUUUCUUAAUCAGAAGUACAGGAUCGACAAGUAUUUUCCUUUUCUUUUGAGAAAGGAAAACAGACUUUAUCCCACAAGCAUGUAAACUGCUGAACCACAUACUUGUUACUAUUUCAAGGCUGAUUAGACAAUGCUAAUUUACAGAUAAAGCCAACGAAAAAUACAAUGAGUGAAUCAGUACAUCUAAUUGCAGAUUGGCAGAGCAAGCGGAACUCAACUGAAGCUACAGCUCACUAUAGUUGCGCCAGACAGCUCGGAAUUCUUCACGAAAUGUAUUGAGGCGAGCCUUCAAAUUAGGACUCCUGAAGCUUGCAUGAGCAAGAGUGGCUGAAAGAGAGAGAAAGAACAGAGUUUUAUUCAAUCAUAACAUAGAAUUUGAACAAAAAAACAAAAUUACAAUAAGAAGAGAGAACUCACCAAGAAGACCUAUGCCAAAAGCCCAAAGAACGGUUAAGAGGCCACAGGAAACAAACCAGAGGAAGAAACUCACUGCAUAAUUGCACAACAGUAUCAAACAGAAUUUCAGAUUACAGCUCCCAAAGAUACAACAUGAAAGUAAAGAAGAGAAAGGAAGAUAGAAAACAUAAACUAGAACAAACACUUCCAGUACCUAUAGAGAAUACAAAGACAAACACCCAACGAGGCCUUCCGCAAAUGAAUAUUGCUCUUUUAGUGGAUGGACGCCCUCGAAUAACCGGCCUGAGAAUUAUCAAAUAUAUGUCAUCAGAGAUACAGCCUCAGUGUGCUUAAGAAGUCAAAUGUACAUGCAUACUUACGUGAGUGCAGGCCUCAUUUUUGCAGCUAAAUGAGGUGAAAACUGUCUGACAGUUCUUGUCACUUUUUCACUAAAAGUACCUGCAAAACUGCAGGAACAAUCCUUAACAACAUUAAAAGAUACAGGAAUAAAGUCUGAACGCAGUUAUCAAAAACCUUAUUUCUUCGGUGGAAAUUUUAUUUUUUUUAUUAUUAAAGAUAAUAUAUUCAAAUAUCCAGCAUCAAGAAUGUUCUAUGAAGUAUUUUCAGGAAAAAUGCCAAUAAAAUUACGUAUUGAACUCAAAAAGUCUAUCAUGGCAUUUGUGUCAUAUGCAAUAGCCAUGUUAUACUGGGAAAAAAAACAGUUAAGACAUACAUCUGUACUUUAACGUUAGGUGGCAAAAUUCAUUUGACGUGCAUUCUCUAACAAACAGAUUAGUAUAUCCAAUAGACAGUUGGAAUCGGUUAUUCUUCUAGCUAUUGAUGCAUAACCAGAAAACCUGAAGUGACAAGCUAACAUGAGCGUUUUUCCUUCUAAUAUGAAAGAAUUAUUAUUGACCAGGGGAAAUACAUAGAAAAAUUUCAAGAAGUCCAAAUGACUUGCGUCAUUUUCUCUCCAUAUGGAGGGCAGGGUACGCUAAUGUGUCACGAAUGAAAAAAUCAUUUACUUCACUACUACAUCCCUGCAUCAGAAGGGUAUUAUUUACUCGUAGACCAAACCAAAAGACUAUCCUGUCAACCUACUACAAUUUUAAAGCCUCAAAGAAAAAUAACUCACAGCUACGAAGGCUAACUUUUAACCCUAUGAUAGAUAGGAGAAUUUGAAAUUUUAUGAAUAAACAGUUUGGAAAUGCAUCAAGUUUAAUUCAAAUAAAAGAGAAUAUAAAUAACCUUCACAAAAGCAUAACAAAAAAGACGAGUGGAUCAAGGACAUAGAUGUCAAAAGGUGUUAACCCCAUAGGCGAACCCACAUGUAAAGUUGGGGGGCAUAUGCACCUGUUAACUUCAGAAAAAAUCAUGUGUAAAUAUGUAUAUCUAUCUUGGGAAACUGGUAGAAACUAGGAUAUAAUUAACAAACAGGAUACAAUUAAAAGUGCACUUAUGAGUAGCAUAGGAGUGCCUUGUGCCGCUGGUACAAGCCAAAGGUACCACUCAUGAGACCAAGGUUCGAAUCCAGAUAAAGCCAUAUUUUGUUGUUUUUAUUUUAAGUUUAGAUUGGUGCACACAAAGACUUCUAAUCAUGGAUUCGCCUCUGGUUACUCCACCAUUCAAGAUGAUCCACAUCCCAUGUCUUAACAAAAAAUUUGAAAAUAUUUCAUUGGUUGCACGACUAAGCCAAGGUAUUACUCUAUCUGGAAAAGGUUCAAUUUUUUCCACUUGCCUAUUGAGUAUUGACAUCCCUUAACUUUGCUUGCCGAUUGAGUUAGUCAGAGAAACACCCUUGUCGUUACCCAUUCAAAUCAUAUUUGCCUUCCUUUGAUAAUGAAGUUCCACCUAGUGCAUUUGAUCCAAGCUGGCUUUUUCGCGGACUCGUGAAAAGAUCCAACCUCUUUACCCAUAUCAGCCCUCACCCCCCUCCUUCACAUUGUUUUAAUCUAACCAUUUACCCUCUCCCCCACAUUUGACCUUAGAAAAGCGAAGGCAACAUUACAAGAUAUAGGCAAAUAGUAUGUAAACUAAAACUCUAAUGGCAAAAAACCACCAGCAGAUCAGAAUAGAAUACCUGUCAUUUAGAAAAGCAAUACUAAGCGCUGUCAAAAGCGCAGCAACAAUUGCAAGUGGCUUCCUUAGAAACCCCAAUGCUGCAAUACAAAAUGCAAAUGAAUGUACUUAUGAGCUCCAAAAUAAACACUGUAAAGCCAAAGUUCAUAUACAUAACUCAAUAAUCCUUCCUUACCAAGAAUAGCCACAAUCAUAAUAAAGUAAUUCGUCCUGUAACUGCAAAAGAUUUUUUUUUAAAAAAAAACAUUUUAAAUGCAAUUCAGAAAAAAAAAAACCUAAUUACUGCAUUGAAUUGCCAAUGAAGAGAACGUACUAGUAGAGAUUACACUUGAGUCGACUGUUCCAUUUGGAAUAAGAUCGGGGGAAAGUGAAGCGAGAGAAGAAUUCAGAGAAGGGACGUGGUGGAGAUGACCACUCGACUUCGCGUAAAGCCUCAAUUAGAUCCUCUGUGGUUACAGUUCCCCAAUCCAUUGUUGAAGAAUAGGCGAAACCCUAGAAUUCACCGGACACAAAGCAAGGGGAAAAAGCGACUGAAGUCUUUAAGGGUUCAGCUCUGCGGAGAGUAGUAAAAUGGUUUGAAUUUUUUUAAUAUGGUGCACGAAUGAUGAAGAUGAAAGUUAUAAAACCAACCUAACCAGGGUUGUGGUGAAGUGUUGGUCGGAUUGCUUUUGCUUUUCAAGUUCGAGCGGUGAGUAUAAAAAAAAAAAUUGAUUAGAAGUGCACCUUGAAAUGUGACAUAGUGCGUGAGUUGGAGUUAGAAGGAGCUCUAAUAUGAGCGGGUUUUGAUUCUCCGAAUACUAAGUGAGAAAUAAAAUUAAAAUUAGUGUCAAUUCAAAUUUAAUUAAAGCUCUAGUAUGGGCUCUGAACGUCGAGUGUGAAACAAAAAUGGAAAGUUAAAAAGCACGGUACGAUAUUUUCGAUAAGCUGAAUAGGCCCUGUAGUACGUGAUCUAGAUUAAGUCGGAGCUCCAAACACCGAGUGAAAAACCACAAAAAAGGGCAUUGUAUGAGUUUUUGGAAGCACUUUAUGAGUUUUCGGGUCUAGAUUUAAUCGGAGCUCCAAGAACUGAGUGGAAACCACAGAAAAUAUAAAAAUGUCUGAGCCCGGGUUCGAACCGGGGACCUCUAGUGUGUGAGACUAGCGUGAUAACCGACUACACCACCCAGACACAUGUGGACGAGUUUCUUGAUUUAUUAUUUGAUUAAAUUCAAAUCAAAUUGCUGUAGUGAUAUUUAUUUAUUUCAAAAAGUUUAUGCUUGAAUUAUUAUUUUAGAAUUUUCAAAAUAUGAUUGAAAUGUUCAUCAAUCGAGUAUUCAAUAUGAAUUAAUUAUUUACGUAAAAGUUGUGAGUUAUUGUGAUGAGUAAAGACUUAUCCCAUGCAUACACUAAUUUAAUUUUAUAUAUUUUCUUAUAUCGUAAAAGUUGUGUUGAUUACGUACCGUCUUCUUAGCAAAGAUGAUUCCAAGUUUUACUUUCACUGUGAUAGCUAGGGAGAUGUGAAAUUUUAUAUUAGAUUAUUUAGUUAUAUAAUUUCAAUUUCAUCAAAAACUUUCUUUUGAUCUUUGAUUUUAAUUCCUUAGCUAUGAGCCUAUGAAGCAUCACAUGGCUAGAAUUUCGUAUUUCUUUAUUGAUUAGUAUGUAUAUCUUAUUUUUAAUUGGGGAAUUUUUAUAUAUCGCUGCUCAAAAAUAGCUUAAAUUAUUUUAUACAGUUAUAAUUUGCUAAUUAUAAUUCAUAGUUACAUGUUAUAGAGAGGAGCGUGGCGAGCGAGAUUGGGAGAGGGAGAAGAGGGGUAAGCGAGAGAGGGCAGAGAACAAAGAGAGAUGAAUUGUAUGUAAAUUGUAUAUAUAUGUAUUUGUACACCUGGCGAGCGGGAGAGGGCAGAGAGCGAAGAGAGACAAAUUGUAUCUAAAUAGUAUAUAUAUUGGGAGAGGGUUGAGAAAGACGAGCUAGAUUGGGAGAGGGAGGAGAGAGGUGAAGAGAGAGGACAAUAAUUUAUAUAUUUCACAUCUCGUUUGUAUAAUUUGCAGGUACUUUUGUAUAAUUCACGUGUUUUGUAUAAUUGAGUAUACAAAGUGUGGAAUCAUAUAAAUAUGACAAAGCUUGAAUUUAUAAAUUGAUGCAAAUAUAAACAUAUGAACUUUAAACAAUCAGUUAUAUAAAUUACAUUACAUAAAUUAUAUCACACAAAAUUUAAAAUCUAUAUAUUUAUACAAAUUUUAAAAGUUAUAUAAAAAAAGAUUGAAUGUAUAUGGUGAUAAAACUGAAAAAAUCAAAGAAAAUCAUCGCCAUAUAUAAAAUAUAAAUCAUCCUACACAAAUAAAAAUUAAACGAAAAAUUAUUAAUUGUGAAUUAUAGAAAUAUAACGAAUUAUAUAAAUUCGAAACAAGCUCACGUAAUUAAUAGUUAAUGUUAAUUACAAAUAAUAAUUAUAAUGACUAAUUAAAUAAUAUAAAUUUAUUUAACUAUAUAAUUUUCCCCUUUUCAUUAAGCCUGCCUAUUAAAUAAAAAAGUGGCACCAUUAUAUCUUCAAAUUCUUCUCUUUACUCCUAUUUUAUGAGUUAAUUAGAUAAAUAUUGAACUCCAGAUUAUUAUUAUUUUUCCAUAGAUAAAGCAUUCAUAUAAGGUUAAUGAAGUUGAUUAUUAAUUAUGAGCAUGGUAUUUUAAAAAAAUUUCAUGCAUAAAUAAAUUUAGGUGAUUCACAUAAAUAACGUAAAUUAAGUGCAAAUAUGUAUGUUGACCCGCUGCACCCUGACACGGCACACUAACAUCAAACUUCCAAGUCCAACACAAACACUGAUAAAAAGAAGAUGAAGAAUUCCAUUGAUAUCUCUCUUCAAGCUUUUCAUUAUCUUUAAUCAAAAUCACCAGAAUUCGUCGCUGAUUAUCUGAAUUAUCACCAAUUCAUCUACGCCUCUCUGCGAAGAGUUCGAUACAAAAAACCUUGAAUUUGAUUUAUUCUGAAAUUGGCAUAAUCUGAAUAUCAAUUUGAUUUCUUCGGAUUGUUAGGGUUUGGGGAUAUUAGCAGGUGUGAUGGAUCAAUCGACGAGCAGAGGCGGGGAAUUUGUGAUUAGGGACUAUGUUGUUCAGAAGCAAAUCGGGGCUGGGUCUUUUUCGACGGUGUGGCUAGCGCGCCACCGUGUCAAUGGCACAGAAGUGGCGAUCAAGGAGAUUGUUACUGCUCGGCUCAACAGUAAACUCAAAGAGAGCCUCAAAUCUGAAAUUGUUAUUCUACAGAGGAUUAGUCAUCCUAAUAUUAUUCACUUGCACGACAUGAUCGAGGUCCUACUCUACUCAAUUCAAUUUCAUUGUGUGUACUGCAUAUUUAGUUGAACAAAUUUGUUUGUGCUACUACUCGAAAAAGCUUAUGGAUAGUUUGUGGUAGCUGGUUAGAGUUAUGCAUGUCUUAGUAAUAUAGAGACUAGUUUUGAGUGAAUCUAUGUAUUAGUUUUGGUAUUAGUUAGGCAAGAUUUAAUUAUUGCACUUUCUAGUUUACAUAAAUGAUACAUAGAUUCCCUCGUUACUUAUAUUAGUAUCGUUAUUCGAGUUUCUAAAUUGCAAAUCAAACACUGUAUUAGUAACAUGAACAACUUAUCCCUAACCAGCCACCAAAGGUGAUAUUACUUAUGCCAGCUACCAAAUGUGAUAGUACUUAUGCAAGAUAUAUUACCUACGUAACUCACAUCCAAGCAGCUACUAAACGACCCCUUACAUUUUCCCUAGAAGUUUGGCUAAUCACUAAUAUUGACAUUUUUUUUAAAAAAAAAAGAACUUUUGACCUCAGAGAAGCUUGGUGAAAGAGGCUAGUAACAAUUUGAAAUUACGAGGAAGUAUCUAACUUGUGUAAGGGGCAUUUAACUCCCACUGUAUAGAGUAGCUUUCCCUUCUUGAAGUGUAACGGUAACUUGCUGUGCUCUUUCUCCUUUUAAUCUCCAAAUGACGAUUAAUAAUUCAGCACUUAUGUGUAGCUAUGGAUAAAUAGUAUAUCCUUUUUUGAUAUUAGUGUAAAUUUGGAACUGUAUAUUUACUAUUUGGAGUUGCAUUUGUUACUAUCUUUAUGAUUGCUUAAAAGAGAAACAAAAAUGUUUUUCUGACCUUCAUAUAUGUUCUUUUGCUUCUUAUCUAAAUGAACCCUCACGUGCAUGGGUUAUAGGAUCCGGGGAAAAUAUAUAUUGUUUUAGAGUACUGCAGAGGGGGUGAUCUAUCAAUGUACAUACAACGACGCCAAGGGAGAAUUGCCGAAGCAACUGCCAAACAUUUCAUGCAGCAACUAGGUUUGUGUAAACUGUAAAGCUUCUAUUUUCUUUUGCCUAUUUUCCUGUAUUCACUUUAGACUAAUUAUUCUUUUCUAGAUGAAUUCCGCUUGGUAAUAUUCAUUUUCAUAUCAUGCCACAGCAUCUGGUCUAAAAGUCCUUCGCGAAAACAAUCUAAUCCACAGGGACCUAAAGCCUCAGGUUUGCUUUCUUUCGUGAAUUAUGCUCAAAAUUUAGUUUGCUUUGGUGGUUGCCUUGACAGACCAAGCUACAAAUUUGAACUUAUGAAUUUUAAUUGUUUUUUGUCUAAGGAUGAGCAUUAGGUGCUGGUAUGUUCCUUUCCAGAAAUUCUCAUUUUAAGGUCAUGACCAUGUAAUGUCUACCAUUGUAGUUUUUUUCUGUGUAUAAAUAUUAGAAAAAUGACAGCAGCAAAGAGACUAUCAUUCGUUUACUAAUAAUUUGACAUUACCAAGUAGCAGCGGCCUUGUUCUGUCUGAAGCCAUCUACUAUAUUGAUAACCAGAUCCUAGUAGCUAAUGAUUUGAAGAAACUAAAAGUAACAAUUGAAUUGUUGGAAAUACUUGCAUGACUUACGGGUGACCAAGGUGUGCAAUUGCCUUAUUCUUGAAUAGCUAAUUAUAUUUCUGAUUUCUCUAGUCUAGGUUUCUUAUUAUUAACUCAUUAAUCUAUAUAUAUAUAAAUAUAUAAAUAUAUACACACACACCCAAGAAAAGGAAGGUAUUUAGGAGAUGAAAUCCCAAACUAGUUAGGUCGGCUAUAUGUAUCCAUAUUGACCAUGUUACUCCAUAUAAUCCAAGGAGACGACUGUCUACUAACAAAUAUAGUGACAUUUUUAUCUUCAAUUUGGUACAUCUUAGUUGAGGGAGGGGAACCAAUGUGUGGUUUUGUAGGAGUAAAUAGUCUUUUUUUGGUAGUAAUUCUUUCUUUCUUUCUUUCGGAGACAAGUUAUUCUGGAAACUUCUAAGAAUUUGAAUUGUCGUUUGGUGGAACUGUCAACUCAUUGACUUGUGUCCUUUGCCUUGAUCCUACAGAAUCUUCUAUUGUCUACAACUGAUGAUAACUCCACCUUGAAGAUUGCUGAUUUUGGGUUUGCAAGGUAAGUUGUAGUACACUGUCAGAAAUGUCACUCUCCUAAUGUCCCCCUUCCCUGGAGAAGGUCUUUUAUCUAACAUUUUUCAUCUCUUUCAGAAACCACAUUUGCUAGAUUCUCUUUCAUCCUUCCCUUCUGUUUUAAGAUUUGCAGCCUUAGAGUUAAAGGUUCUCCUAAGCUGUCUGCUCAAAAUUACCAUUCUCUCUUGUCAGAUCUUUGCAGCCUAGGGUGCUUGCAGAAACUCUAUGUGGGUCGCCAUUGUACAUGGCUCCCGAAAUAAUGCAACUUCAAAAAUAUGAUGCAAAGGUGUUAUUCUCUUUCUAUUCACACCACUCCAUAUGCUAUUUUCUUUUAAAUUCAUAUUAACUUUUGGCUCAAAACACAGGCAGAUCUCUGGAGUGUUGGUGCCAUUCUGUUCCAGCUAGUAACUGGCAAAACCCCAUUUACUGGAAACAAUCAAAUACAGGUUUGAUUUCUUUUCAGCUGUACAUAGUAACUUAUGUGUUUCAAUUUCAGUUUGACUGGUGACAUUCAAAUGCCUUGUAGCCAGCCAUGUGUUUUACUUUUUUCCAUUUUUCCAUUUUUCCUGUAGUUGCUCCAAAACAUAAUGAAGUCCACUAAAUUGCAAUUUCCUCUAGAUGCCAAGAAUCUAAGUCCUCAUUGCAUAGAUUUGUGUCAAAAGUUAUUGCGCCGUAAUCCAGGUACUUCUUUUAUGUUGACUAGAUUUCAACAAUGUAAAAUUCCACUAAUUGAUUGUUUCCAAAACCUCAGUACUUAGAUCAUAUUGCCAUCGAAAAGGCCAUAAGAUUGAAAGCCAGAGUUAACUGUACAUGGCAUUUUCUUAUGUAAAGUUCAAAAUUUCUAUUUCUGCAUAUCUGAACCCACAGUGGAGCGGUUGACAUUUGAAGAGUUCUUUAACCACCCAUUUCUUGCAAAGAAGCAGCCUGAUGAGUUGUCUAGGUAAGCUAGUUGAUGAAUUAAUAGACUUGAUAUGACAUACAAGUUUCAUGGCACUGACUUUAUGUUUUGGACAUGCUACACAGGAAUCAGAGACCUCAAAGGGUAAUAGAUGGGUUUUCUCUGACAGAACGCAAUCCUGUAAGACGCACCGAGGGAACUUUUCAAGAAGAUGGCUUACCAUUUAGUUUAGAUAAUGAUUCCAGCAAUCCUGAUGGUGGUCCUUCUUUUGCUGGGAUAUCACUGAGAUCUUCCUGUGGAUUUUCUCAUGAUGCAAAAGAUUAUAGAAAAGAAGUUACAAGUGCUUCAAACAAAACCGGCCCUCCUUUGAAUUGUAGCAACAUCAACCAUAAAUCAAAUGUUAUUGGUUCUAGUCCUGGCCCACACCGACAUUCAGAAGGCAAGCUGAAAGAAUCCAGUUCCAUAGACUAUAGACUAUGUCCAAGAGGUGCUCUGUUCAAUAACGUUCCAAGUUUUCUUUUGCCUACAUAUUUGAAAUGAAAAUUUUCCUUUUGUUUAUCCUAUAACUAGUUUGGUCAGAUUUAAAUUUACUGAUUUUGGCAUUCACCUGAUUGACUUAUCCAACAGUGGCGGAUUCAUUCGAAUUGAUUGAGCGGGAAUAUGUACUUGUUUCUGGGUCCCUCAUGGACUCAUCUUCUUCAGCAGGUGCUUCUAGGCUUAGCAAUACACCAUUUAGAUCAAGUUGUUCCCUGCAAGCCUCUGGGAACAUAGACUCUAGAUUAAGUGAGCCGGUGGUUGUUGCUGGUCCUCCAACUGAUAGCAUAGUACUAAGGUUGGAAAGUCCCUCUUCUGCUCCAGGAGCUUCACAAGGAUCAACAGAUACAGUAGACCCUCUGGAGAAGCCAACUGAUGGCAUACCCAGAAUUGAGUCGCUGCAACAUUCUGCUUCUGCUAUCACAGAGUUGGUCAAUGAGAAGGUAACUCACGUUAAGGCAUUUUCCCUUCAAAAAUAUCAGAAGUCCUAUAUCUGAAUAUGUUAGGUGGUUCUUAAGCAUGCAGGGGUGUAGGGAGAACACUUAAGUCUAGUUCAUUAUAUCCUGCAAUCUUUUUUCUCCUUUUCUUCAUUUAGAGAGCAAAUUGGUGGCCUUGCAACUCUUGUUUAUCAUUGAUUUGUUGCAUGCAUAGUAGGGGUCUAACGUCUUUGCGCAAGCUUGUGUCAUCUAAAUUUAUCAAGCUUUUCAUCCCCCUGUACUUAAAAAAAUAUUUUUCUAGUUACAUAGGUAUGACAAAGAUGUAUUUUCCCAGUUAUUUAUCAAUAGUAAAAAGUAGAAUGAUGAACAUCUUUGUCUAGGUGCAAAUUGACUGCUUUUUUUAAAAAAACUUUUUAUUACUGGAAUUUGUGUUAAAACAUAUUUAUUGCUUUGCAUUGUGUUCAAUAUCUUAAGUUUGAAAUCAUUUUCUGUAUCUGAGUUGAAAAUAUUUCUAUUGUGAUAUAUGUGAAUAGAAGGUGUUUAAGUACAAACAUGAGCUGUUUCCUGAAGUAUUUUACAUCUUUACAUGCAUAAAGUCAACUUUUUAAUUCCUGAAAAACCUUUUAAAAGAAUUUGAUAAAAGCAAAACGAAGUGUUUUCCCUGGUGGACCAGGUCAUUUAAAUGGUAUCACAUUGUAUUUUGAUUUGUAAUUUAUGAUCUGAGCUUCAUUUAUCUUUCUAGAUUAAUAUAAAUUUCUAACUAUAUUGAGAUAUCUAGUUUUGCAAGUUUGAUUUAACCAAACAUCCCAUACAUGAUCAACAACCAACUGCUCUCAAUCCCAAACUAAAAAUGUGUCUUAGUAUCCAUUGUGCUCUAUUCGUUCCUAUUUUUUUCGAACUGUAGAUAAUUCGUAUUUUAAAAGCAGGGUUUCUCCAAAACUAGAUGUUCAUAUCUUGAAUUUAUCCCAAGAUACAAAAAUUUUUACAACACUGGACUUGGUGCAAGUGUAAUGAUAUGAUCUAAGCCUAAUCACAUCUAGUUGAUCUCUCCUUUUGUUUUUUUGUUCUUUAAGUUUGUAUUGAUUCAAGAGAUUAUAGGUUUUUCUUUAUUUGCCUAUAGUUGAUAUAUCUUAAAUUUGCACCAACCUUUUUAAUUUUAGGUGGUGCUAAAUGUUUGAAUGCUGGUGAUAUCUUUGUAUCUGCAUCUGCCUACUCUCUAGAAACUUUUCUUUGGUGCUACUGUAUGCAUUCUUCUGUUCAGUGUUCACUAGCAAUCUUGAUGGCUUGGUAGAUGGUUCUGCACCCUUGUGAUUCUUUUUGGCUUGGCAGAUUAAGCUAACAUUUGAUCAUUUCUGAUGUUCUCUCACUAAAUUUCUCUGUUCUGUUUAUAGAUUGCCGCAGACAAGCAUCUGGAAGCAUUUUCAAUUGAGCUUGUCAUGCUUGCAAUAUGGAAGCAAGCAUUGCAUGUUUGUCAUACACAAGCGGCAUCGGCAAUUGAAGGAAGUCCAAACCAAAAAACUGCCAAAUUGAUGGAGAUUUUAAGGGACAGUCGAGUUAGGGCUGACAUUAAAAAGGACACUUGUAACACUUUGGGGCCAGAGAAUGUGUUAUCUCAUAUUCAAAGAGCAUUUCUGAAUGAAGUUGGGAAGGCAGAGGAACUUGCCAAACAUAUAGAGCCUGGUAAAUAUUUGAACUUACUGAAAGAAAAAAGUGCAUGGUAUGAAUAAGUACUGAAAUUUGUACUGCGUGCCUUCCUGUUCUAUUUGACCUUUUUGUGCUUUAUAUGUGACCCUUUUCCGGGUUACUGUGCUUUUGGUUUGCCCUUUGUUUUGUUUCCUCCCCUUUUUCUAGUAGGAUGAUAACUAGCUUUUAAUAUGCUCGGCUUAGCUUUAAUGCAUUGUUAAUCAAUAAAAUAUAUGCUAGCAAUCUUGAUGGUUUCUCAAGAGGAUCUAGAGAUGUGGAAUUACCAACUCUUCCAUAGAUGAUAAGUUAGCUGCAUUCAUCAAAUGUUUUCUUUAGCUAUUGUCUUACAUCUGGCCUUCCUAGUUGUGGUAAUGUUUUAAGUUUUUUGCUUGAAAAUGACUCAUAAACCCACUUUUUUAUGGCCUUAGCAAAUAAAGAUGAAGACAUUUAUGUCUGUUUGUUGCUUGUUUCUAGGAAAUGCCGAAGUACCAGAUGCCAUGGAGAUGAUAUUUCAAUCUGCACUAGACCUUGGCAGAAAGGGAGCUGUAAGUAUUUCAUUUUAUCUUAGUAGUGUUUGGUAAAAAUCGAACUAAUUUCUUCUAGCAACAAUAUAUAAUUGUCGCCAUGUAACAUUAGGAAGGAUAAAAAACUUGAAAUCUCUAAUAAGAUUCAAUUUAAAGGAUUUACUGUAUAUUGAAAUAUGUGGCAGGUUGACGAGUACAUGGGUCGGACUGAAAAUGCAGUGGUGUUAUAUUCAAAAGCGGUACGCUUGUUAGCAUUUCUUCAAGUAGAAGCACCAUCACUCAUUCUAAAUCCUCCAUUCUCACUGACAAACUCGGAUCGCUAUCGGCUUAGGAGUUACAUUGAUGUUCUCAAUAAUAGGCAAAGUGUUUCAAGGUCUCAAAUCAUGACUGUGCUCAAGUGUGAGGAUCAGCACUGAUCCCCGUGAAGGCAAUAGAAUGAGUGAAGAGAAAACUGUUGAUAUAUAAUGAAUGAUUAAACAUAUCACAACUUAUUCUGUAUAGUUCUUUAUCUGUACAGUUAUUCUUUCACUAAUUUUACAGAAAGUGAAAAGUCCUUUUAUAUGGUUUAUAAGCUAUUAUUACUGUGUAUUUAAAGUUCCUUUCUGAAAAUUUCAGAAAUGACUUAACUUUUGGACAUAAUUAAGCUUUAGUAGCUAUAUUUUAGAUAUUUACCCGUCAUAGCAAUUGUUUGAGAUAUUAGAGCCUAAAUAAUAAUCUCUCGCCUUUCUUGCUCUCCUCUUUUUUCCGUAUUUUGUAUUUUUAUAUUUAUAUAUUUUUUGAAGUGUUGGGUAGUCAUAUUUAUUUGUGUUCAUACUUGCAUUUAAGUUGUAUCGACGAAUACAACUUCCAUGUAUAUAAAGAGAUACAAACAACAAAACAAUAUGGAGGAUUAUAUUUAUUCGCUCUAAUUGUAAUUGUAUUCAUUGUUCUUGUAUCACUUGUAUGUAUACAAAAAUACAAACAAAAAAAUAUAAGGGAUUUAUUUAUUCGCUCUUGUAUCACUUGUAUUCAUAGUCCAAUCUCACCGACAUCACAUGAAUACUUUUUUAUAUUGAAAUAAUUACAAGUACCUCAUCUCAUAUUUCGCUCUAUUACUCUAAUAUUUCUUGUGAUUUACGAUAAUACUCCUACCAAUCUCCAAUCUCAUGGGAGGGAGGUAAUAAGAAGUUUAUUUCUACGGAAAAAGAUUAUCACACCAACGUAACAUUUGGUUUAAUUUUGAAUAUUUACUGUUUCACAUUUCUAUUUCAUAUAUAUUUCUCAUUUCCUCGUUUAUUUAAAGUUUUAACUGAUUCGUUCCAUGUAUAAUUUUUGCAGGUCCUUUUGACAUUGAACAAAUCGCCUGCAAAACCAGGAUAAUAGUUCAGUAGCUUCCUAUUUGUCAUCCGUUAAAAAUCUGGUUCAUCUGACAUUUCAGUUAAUAAAUAAAUGUUAUGGAUGAGUUCUUCCCCCAAACAGGAAUGACAUAAAUCAACGAAACUUUUAGCGAAUCACAUUUUAUGCUGAAAAUAUCACAAUACAUUGUUAUUACUACUAUUUCACUGAACUUGAAAUAAAAAGCUUGAUGAAUAUAUUUACAUCAACUAUACCAUUGGUUUGCGAUCAUCACAAUCAGCCACAGACAUAGUCGCCUUAGAGUGAACAUUCUUGUACGAAUAAUUCCUCGCAACAACAACAUAAACACACAAAUUCACAGCUGUAAUGAUCGCUAACAGCCAGUAGAAAUAGUCGAGCCGGCUGCUGUUUGGAUCUUUUCCAAACCAACUCUUGCCACUUCUCUCUGUGACAUGAUCCACAAUGGUUAUCAACAGGCUGCUAAUGAAAUUUGCUGCUCCAAUUACACUAAGGUACAGUGCAAUCCCCAAACUUCUCAUGGAAUCGGGUAUUUGAUCGUAGAAGUAUUCUUGCAAUCCUACUAAGGCAAAUCCAUCUGCUAUUCCAAGGAUAAGGAAUUGUGGGGCUAGCCAAAACACACUCAUUCUACUCGAGCCUUCGAGUGAAUUUCUGUGUACAAGAUUUAGUCUUUUACUUUCGACUAAAGCUGCAACGAUCAUAGUAGAAACAGAGAAGAUCAUUCCAAUACCAAUCCUUUGGAGGAUAGUAAUCCCUCUCUCAUUUCCUGUUGUCCUUCUCAAGAAAGGUACAAGGAUUUUGUCAUAGAAAGCAACAGAUAUUAUCAUGCCAACAGCUGUCAGGGCAUAAAUUGAGGCUGUGGGGAUCUCGAAAUUGUGGAUGAUCUUCCGGUUCAUUGUGAAACCUUGUUUUAAGAAAAAAGUUGCAGCUUGUGCUACGCAUAUACCAAAUGGUAAAGUGGUUAGCCAAAUUGGUAUCAUGUUGAUGAUUAGCUUCACUUCUUCCACAUUGGUGACAGUUGCAAGUUUCCGCGGGUCUUGAGUUUGGUCUAGGAUUGCUGCUUUAUCAAGGAACCUGUAAUGUAUGAUGAAUAAAGAAAAACUGCUUUCAUAAUUGCAUAACCUAAUCAUGACUAAGUUGUAAUCUUACUUUAGCCUUUUGGUGUGGCUUAAAAGCCUCUUUUGGUUAGUUUCUGACUUGGGAAGUUCAUGUAGAUGAGAAGGAUCCGAAGGAAGUUGAAGACUUCUUUUCCUAAUUGCAGCUACGAGCACGUUUAGCAUGGGUGUCAAUGGACUUCCAGUCGUCUUCCUGUAACGAUAAACUGGCUUCCCUGCAUAAAAGAUGACUAUACUAGAAGCCAUGACUAGUGUGAGUAUUACAUCUGCCAUGGCCCAGCUAACAUGUUCUUGUACGUAAACGAUAAGAGUAACACCAAGUAAUAGCCCACAGCAGAGUCCAAAGUUCCACCAAUUGAAAAAUGACAUCUUUUUCCUUCUUUCUUGAGGAUUUUCAUCAUCAAACUGAUCAGCUCCAAAGCUCUCAAGAGAAGGCUUGUGUCCUCCGGUUCCAACAGAGAUUAAGUAGAUUGCUACGAAGAAGAUUGCCUCAUGGACGUUCCUCCGUUUAUCACACAGCUCACUCUCACAAGAUUUUAAGCUAGGAACCACUCUAGACAUUGUCAAUAGAAGCAAGCCCUGAUCCACAUUUAAGCCAGAACAAGUAAGAGGAGAAAAUUCAUCGAUUCGUUACAAGUUCAAUAAUGAUUCUACAACCAAAUUGCAAUGAGCGGAAAUUCUGUUUACCAGGAAGUAGACCGUGGAAGAGAGAAGAACGGUGGAGAAUCGUCCCAAGUAUGCAUCAGCGAGAAAGCCUCCAAGCAAUGGCAUCAAGGUAGUGACUCCUGUCCAGUAAUUCACACUUUUUGCUGCUGUUUUAAGGUCUUGAUGGAUGACUUUUGUUAAGUACAUAAUCAAACUCGUAGCUAUUCCAAAGAAACUCAGCCUCUCACUGAAUUCAAUAACUGUUAAGGUAACCGUUCAUCAGUAUCAACAAAAUGUAGAAUCUAUAAUAUCUUCAUCUUCGAGUAAGUAUACAACAAAAACUAGACAUAUGAGUGAAGCUAUUUGGUUAUUGUAUAGAUGCUUACCGAUAAUAAACAGGGAGGCCUUCCAUACACCAGUUGAACUCCUAAGAGGAACUCGUCCUUUAUGAUCAACCGAAGAAUCAUAAACCAGUUUUUGAUCAUCAAUUUCUGCUCUCGUUAUCGUCUCCAUCUCCACAUUUAUCUUAUCCAUCUUUUUUGGCUCUUAAGAUACCAAAGAAGCUGAUUAUAUAUUAGUACUCAAGUAAUUGAUAUGUGAAGUUGUUAGUUCGCGUUAUAUAGGAAAAAGAAUUCCUCUUCAUUACUAUUUGUUCAAAGUUUCUAAGAAUAUGAAUAAUGAGCAUCAAGAAAAUGUGAACAAAGAAAUGGAAUUUAUUGCCAAUGAUUGUGACUUGAGGUUGACAAACAACUACUUCCACUAAACUAAAGUAGUCCUUGGCCCUUAACUCUGUGUAUGGCAUCAAUGCUGCAAUUAGAUGCUUCUAUAUGGAUCGAUCUCCUGUUAUGCAAGUGGCGAUGAUAGAUAUUGUAGCGGCCUAAAUUGACUAUACUUACAAAGAGGCAUCAGAUAAGUGUUUUCACAGUUGUAGUACUUCAUUUUAUACUUCAGAAUAUAUUAACACGCAUUUUAUUCGCGUUGUACCUUGUUCUUAUCUUUUAUUUUGUUGAUGAAGUCUCAACAUGAAUUGUAGCUUACACAUACUGCAGUACUCGAAAUGUUGGAUUUAGUAGUACAAGCAUAGGAGUAAGCAGUAAGCACCACGAGGUCUCAGGUUCUAACCCCAGUUAUAUAUGUAGUGUGUAUUCAUCUUGUCCUUUUAGGAAAAAUUUACCCAAACAUAUGUUCGUCUGGAUUGCAAUAUGCAGCCAGAUGGAUUAGUCGAGGUACAAGCUAGCUAAAUUCUUGUCUCUCUUGGAAAAACUAUAAACUCAUGAAUCACAAUUUUGUUUAGCUAAAUUCUUGUCUCUCUUGGAAAAACUAUAAACUCAUGAAUCACAAUUUUGUUUAAGUUGUUUAUCUGUUGCAAAACACCAUAUAUGAUAAUGAUAGCAUUAAUAUAUCUUAAGUACCCCCACAAUCUUGAUUAGUGCAUUUUUUCAUUUUACAUGAUAAGCUUAUUACUCGUAAAUGUUGUCUUUCAGAAACAACCUCUCUAUCUUGUCAAGUAGAGGUAAGAUCUGCGUAAACUCCAUAUUCCUCCCAAACUUCACUUUGUGGGACUACACUUGUUAUAUUAUUGUAGUUAUUUUCGUUGUUUAUUCGUGAUCGGUAUAUUAUUGCAUAAAGUUACUCUAUAUUUGUGCCAGUAGAAUAGCAAAAUUUUCGAAAAGUUAAUCAAGUUACUUAUUGAUUUAGACAUCACGAUUAUUAAUUUUAUUUUUACAAAUAGAAAUGAUUGGGGAACUUCUCUUUUUUUUUCUUAGAUGAGUAAAGUGCAUGAAGUUUUCAACAACUUAAAUUAUUACUUCUCUGUCCCAUUAACACAUAUGCAUGUGAAAGUGUACUAUUGUUUAUACUAAAAGAAAAUAAUGGUUGUAUACCAAAAAAUAAAUAAAUCUAACACGUUUUGAAAUAUAAAUCAACGUGUUAUAUUUUUUAAAAGUGAAAGUAUGGAAAGAGCUAGGAAGAAUUUUGUCCAAUAUAGGUAGAAGUUCAACUCAACUUUGUCUAAUAAAAGAAAAAGGCAUCUUUUAUGUAUUUCUUAUUUCGUCGUUCAAUUUAUGUGAUCGUAAUUUUCUUGUAGCACAUACAAAUAUACAAAUAGAGGAUUGUAUUGAGUUCAUAGGGUGAUUUAUCCGUAACGAAAAUAACUAAAACAUACAAACAUCUUUAACUUAUUUUAGAUUAUAAAUUUUAAAUAUCUUUAACUUAAGAUAACAUUUCCCUUUUCUGUGUGGUAGGAGACGGCAUUUUAUUUAAUACCCAGUAUCUGUAUUGGAGUCUUACACUCACAUUGCAUAGGCCUCAUUCAAGGGCAAGUAAAUCUUUUUCAUACUUAGAUUUCGUUUCGAAAUUUCUGAUAAAGAAAAGAGCAGACUCAUCUACUGCAUCCGACGGAAAGGAGGAUCUUAAGCUAAAAUCACUCAUCCAUAAGGUUGACUAAUGUGAAUGGUAUUAAGAUUGCUAAUAUUAAUCUUUGCCAAGUAUAGCAAAUGUCAAAGCUAUUGAUGUGGGCAAAUUGCUUUUGUGGAUGCAAUUAUAAUGACUACAAGGAAUUUGAUUCUCAUGAAAAAGUGAUUUUAAAAAUAAAAUGAAAAACUCUAAAUUGCAUCUAUCACUAUCGAUAACAUGAUAAUUCAUAAUUUCAUAUCUAAAUGUUGCUGUUUCUAAAUUUUGUUCUUGAAGUCUAGUUAUAACCCACUGAAUAAUAACACCAAAUAUUCGAAAAUGACAUCCAAUAAAAAAUAAUUUAACCAACCUCUCUGUUACAAAAUUAUGAGUUUCUUGAUUUUUAAGUUUGUCGGUUAUCGCUCAUCCAAAUAUGUGAUCUAGUGACAGUUAAUAGAGUGGGUUGAGAAUCAUGAAGUCUCAAGUUCGUGUUUCAAUCGAGACGGGAACACUUUUUUUCAUUUGUUUUAUCCUUAAAGAAUUGGGUUAUUUGUUACGGAUAAAAGUAAAAUCAUGAAAUUAAUUGAAGUGCACACAAAUUAAUCCGAACAUUAUGAAACUCACCGUCAUAUACUAGAAUUUUUUUAAUUCCAAUCACAUGCAAAACGUGAUUCAAUUAAGUUGUCAAAAAUCUCAUAUAUUGUAGGCGUGUGGGAUUCUACAUAACACCUAUCGAAUUUGAAUUUAAGAAUUCAAAGAAAAUAUUAUGAAAACAACAUAUUGGAAACAAUAUAAAAACACGUUGCUAAAUGCUACGUACAUUGCGGCGUGUGAAAAGUUAAUACUAAUUGUAAAAUUAAUAAACCUUAAUAGUGUUUUUUUUUAAUUUGACACUUAAAACCAAUUUUCGAAAAAUUUUUAGAAAGAACAUGAUCUUUUUAUCAAAUACUACAAAUUAAAUUAGACUAAAACGGGAGUCCGAAGCUUAAAUGGUAAAAAAUAUUAACAAAAAUUUUAAAACGGUAUAUGAAUAUUUUUUAAGCCAAAACGAAAUCGCUCACGAAGUAGCGAUUAUAUUUCGCGAAAACAGCAAAAUCGCUGAGAUUUGUUAAAUUUGUUUUUUUUUAAAAAAAAGAUUGUUAAACAAAGGAGCGAUUUAUCAAAAUAAAAAUAUUUUUAAUAAUUUUUUCAUAUGUCGCUGCCUCAGCAGCGACUUAAAGUGCAUUUUUUAAACUAUCUUUUGCUUUUUUAAAAAAAUGGUUUAAAUUAAUUUUUUAAAAUCAAAUCGCCGUCAAGGCAGCGAUUUUCAAUUAAUUUUUUUAAAAAUCAAAUUAAAAGAAAAGAUUUAGCGAUUAAAUUACUUUUUUUAAAAAAAAAAAAAAAAAGUAAUAAUAAUAAAAAAUUUAAACUUAAGGGCGCCAUAAUAAAAAAUUAUUUAAAAAAAAUAUUUUGAAAAUCGUUCCUUUGAGAGCGAUUUUGUUUAAUUUUUUUUUUUAAAAAAAAAAUUUAACAAAUUGCGGCGAUAGCAGUGACUUUGCUUUUUUCGACGGACGAAAUUGCUACUUCGUCAGCGAUUUUACCGUUUUAGUUUUAAAAACACCGUUUUGAUUUUAAAAAAAUUUCAUAUAUCAUUUUAAAUUUUUUAUUAACAUUUUUCACCCUCUAGACUCCAAACUCACUAAAACGAUUUUAGAAUACUUUAAAUAUAGUCUGAAUUGUCUGUUCUGAGUCAGAUAUUUACAAUUUUCCUCAAAACAUCUCAAGUUAUUAAGAAUAUUCAGCCUUAAUUUCUUUCCAUCUUUUCAAACUAACAAAUAUAAGACUUUAUUUUACGUGUCGUCGAUGCAUUCUCAAAACUAUAGGUGAAAAUCGUAAACCAACCCAUCUAUGAAAAAAGGCACUAAGCUAGUUAGGCUCCACACUGUACCCCACAAGUUGUUGGACUAAAAUGAUCCAAGAAUACAUUUAAUAUGAUAGUGAUUCCAUUUUGGACCAAUUCCACACAAUUUUCACAAUAUAACUUUAUUUUUAAUUUUAAACAUCGAUAAAAUUCUAUUCGUACUAUUCGAUAUAUAUUUUCUUGAGUUGUGGAAUGGAUGAUUAGUAUAAGGGUUAGAAAGCAAAUAAUUCUACUAGUUAUGAAGAUAAGUGGUAAUGUAAUUAUUAAACUCCACUUAUGUUGAUUAAAAAUAAUACUCCACUUAAUAUUAAUCGAACUUUUCUUGAUCCUCAUAAAAUAUGGCCAUAGUCUUGAUUCUUUGAAAUUAGUGUACGUGGUUUAUAAGACCAUUUCCAAAAAUGGACAAAAAUCAUUACAAAGUUGUACACAUUUAGACACGAUAACUUCACUAAAUUAGCAAAAUCCCUAGUUUGUGUAGUGGAGUAUUGUUAUAUUAGCUGACCAAUAAAAAUAAUGUUACAUAAGCUUAUGGUAUUAUCAUAUAAAAUAAAUUUAAUAUUUUUUUAAAAAAAAACGUAUUGAAAACUAUUAUAGUUUAUAAUAAAGGUAAAUUAGAAAUUAAAUGAUAAACUAUUUCUUAAUUUUUUAAAAUAAACGACAUUUGAUGGCGAUAAAAAAAAAAUUACAUUUAUUAAUUAUUGAUACAAAAAUCCCUUUUUUCUUGUUAAAUCAACACAUGUGUAGAUAACUCAUUUUCUACAUUAUUAUAUUCUAUAAAGAUGCUAAAGCACUAAAGGUAAAUAUAUGAUUCAUGUCGUUGAUCACUUUUCAUUGGCUAUACUGAUGAAUCAAAUCUUUUAGAUGAUUAAAAAUUGCACUACUUGAGAUUAUACUUUACCCCCCCCCCCUUUUUUUUGGGUGGGGCGAAAAAGCGAGUGCGCAAUAAUAUAUAUUUAUCAUAAUUAAUUUGAUUAAUAUAUUUUUUUUAUAAUCGAAUGAAAUACGUGAGAUUACAAAUGAUAUUCAUAUUGAUUUAAGUUUGAAAUAUUUUUACUUUGCUAGCUCUAUUGAUUAUUCGUGUUUAUACUUUCGGAUUGUAAGUAAAGAAUGCUUGAUUACUAUUUGAGUAAUUCUCUCUUGUCAAAAAAUUUGAAUCAUUCUUGUUUUGUGUGUUAUCCUUGCACAUAGAUCAUGCUAAUAUUCUCUGUAUCCUUUCAAUUUUAUCAGAUAAUAAUAAUUGUUUGAUUAAUUGAGCGGAGAAUUUCAUUAUUAGGGUGAACAAAGAAAAAUAACAAUUAUACCUUUGGAAUUUAAGGUGGAGACAAACUGUGCUCUUAGGUAUCAAUAAAACUUAUGAUAAGACACCAUGAAAUGAAAUGACCUUAGAUGAAAAAAUCUGAGAUGUCCAAAAAUGCAAUUUUGGUUAUUUUUGCAAUUUUGAAACCUUAGUGCAUGGAUAGAACCUUAAUUAGAAUCUUACAAUGAAUGUCCUACCCCCCACCCCACAUUUUUAGAGGAUCUUACUUUGAUUUUCAUGGAUCGCUCUAAAAAAUUACUAUUUUUUUCAUGAAUAUUUUUAUAAAUAUUUUAAUUCAAUCAGUGAGAAGAAAAUUAUAUAGUGAUAUUUUCACAGAAAAAGUAGGAAGUUAUCAGUAUUUCAGCAAGAAUUUGUUUUCCAUCAUGUGUUUUUCUGAGUUGGUUUUAUUGGAAUGGGGGUGGAAAAAUCAUAUUUUAUAAUACAAUAUUUCAUAAAGUCUUAGUAUAAAUAACAUUUGUUUAAUUGUUUCUAGUAGGGCCGUUUAUCUGUCGGUUCGGUUUUGAAGUAUAUCGAUUUGAGUUUUUGGUUAUCGGCUCGUAAAGAUGUUAAACCGUUAUAGAAUCAUUAAAAUAUUGACACAUCAAUUAUUGGUUCGGUUAUCGGUUUAACUGUUAAGAUUUGACUCAAAAAUAAAUUAAUGGGAAUCACCUAGAAACAAUGUGACAAAUCAAAUGAAUCAUGCACAUGAGUUCACAAGUUGCAUCUUGCUCGAAAGCAAACACUUUUACAUUGUAGAAUAACCAUGAUUUUUGAGAUAGCCUGAACUAAAAGUAGGAAACUAAACUCUAAAUCAAAGACUUUAUAUACAAAAUGGUAUAGAUACAAUUAUUUAAUUUACGAUCAGAUUAUCGAUUAACUCACUAAGAAAAAACCUCUAACCAUUAAGAAUCAAUAACCCGAAACGAAAAAAAAAUCAAAAUAAUUAUCUAAACUGCUAAACCAAUAAACCGUUACUGAUAAAUCAAUGAAAAAAUUUUAAUUGAGAUUAUCGAUUCCGAUUCGAUAUUGGACGGCCCUAGUUUCUAGUAGUGGAUAUUCUCUUUGAGAGGUUAAUAGUAAAAAGGCAAGUUACACAUUUCGCUAGUUGGCCCAAAACAAUUACAUUUGCUAGUUAAAUAUACAAAAUAUAUACAUUAUUUUGUGUGUGUGUGUGUAUAUAUAUAUAUAUAUAUAUAUAUUAACGGAUUAUUAUUUUGGUGGAUGGUAAUUAUUUAUAUUUUCCUACAUGAUUUCUUGCAAUCCUAUCCCCAAUCCAUCCACAUCAUUUGGUACUAUAGUUGAAAAUGGUGAUAUAGUUAUGAUGCAUCCCCUUCGUGUGUGAUAUACGUAUGAUAUACAGUGAUAUACAAUGUAGCAAUGACACAUUGCACUCAAAAGUUGUGAACAAGGAAAAAUGCAGAGGAAUUUUCUUAUUUCCUUUUCACUCGUCAGAAUACACUGAUAUUACUACUAUUUCAGUAGCAUACAACUUAUAGAACAACAAAUAUACAUAUACUAAGCCAUUGCUUCGCGAUCAUCUGUAUCGUUGCAAACAGCCACAGACAUAGUCGCCUUAGAGUGAACAUUCUUGUACGAAUAAUUCCUCGCAACAAUGACAUAAACACACAAAUUCACUGCUGUCAUGAUAGCUAACAACCAGUAGAAAUAGUCGAGACGACUACUAUUCAAAUCCUUCCCAAACCAACUCUUGCCAUUUUUUUCUGUUAUAUGAUCCACAAUUGUUAUCAAUAGGCUGCUAACAAAAUUUGCAGCACCAAUUACACUUAGGUAAAAUGCAAUGCCUAAACUUCUCAUCGAAUCAGGCACUUGAUCGUAGAAAUAUUCUUGUAAUCCAACUAAGGUAAAUCCAUCUCCUAUUCCAAUUAUAAGGAAUUGUGGUGCUAGCCAAAACACACUCAUUCUACUCGAGCCUUCGAGUGGAUCUUUCUGUACAAGAUUCAGUCUUUUUCUUUCGACUAAAGCUGCAACGACCAUAGUAGAAACAGAGAAGAUCAUUCCAAUACCAAUCCUUUGGAGGAUACUAAUCCCUCUCUCAUUUCCUGUUGCCCGUCUUAAGACAGGCACGAGGACUUUGUCGUAGAUAGUGAGGGAUAUUAUCAUUCCAAUAGCAGCUAACGCGAAUAUUGAUGCAGGGGGAUUUCAAAAUCGUGAAGUAUCUUCCUGUCUAGAGUCACGCCUUGCUUGAUGAAAAAUGUCGUGGUUUGUGCUACACAUAUACCAAAUGGUAUAGUUGUUAGCCAAAUGGGAACCAUAUUGAUAACUAAUUUCAAUUCUUCCACUUUCGUUACAGUUGCAAGUCUCCAUGGAUUCUGUUGCUGUACUGUUGAAUCUUGUGUUCCAUCAACAAUUGCAGCUUUAUCAAGGAACCUAUAAAAAGAAGAAUCGCAAAUUAAAUUUGCAUAACAUUACUUUGUCUGUUUCAAUUUGUUUGUCUUAACUUUGCAUGAACAUUUUGGUACAAUAUGUCACGUAUCACCAGACAAACAAAUUGAAACAGACAGAGAGAGAGUAUGAUGUUCGAAACUUACUUGAGCUUUUCAGUGUGACAUAAAAGCCUCCUUUGGCUAGUGUCGGAUUUGGGAAUUUCAUAUAAAUGAGAAGGAUUGGCAGGAAAAAGAAGACUUCUUUUUCUUAUUGCAGCUACAAAUACUUGUAGCAUUGGUGUUAAGGGACUUCCAGUGGCCUUUCUAUAACGAUAGAACGGUCUACCUGCAACGAAGAUGAUUAUACUAGACGCCAUUACUAGUGUAAGGAUCAAAUCCGCCAUAGCCCAGCUAACGCGGUCUUGUACAUAAACAAUCAGAGUAACCCCUAGUAAUAGUCCACAACAGAGUCCAAAAUUCCACCAGUUGAAAAAUGACAUUUUCUUCUUUCUUUCUUCAGCAUAGUCAUCAUCAAACUGAUCAGCUCCGAAGCUCUCAAGAGACGGCUUGUGACCUCCGGUACCAAUUGAGAUCAAGUAGAUCGCGAGGAAGAAAAUCACCUCGUGGACAUUUUUAGGUUCGUGACAUAGGUCAUUGUCGCAAGGUUUCAAACUCGGGAUCACUCUAGACAUUGUCAAGAGAAUCAAGCCCUGCAAGAAGAUCAUUUGGUUAUUUAUUAGUUAUGAACUUUAUCGUUAAUUUUUUUGUUAAAUAGCACAUAACAUAACAACUGUUUAGCUAUAAAAUUUGUGUGUUCGAUAUAUAAUAUUGUUACCACCAAAUAGACAAUGGAAGAGGCAAGAACUGUGGAGAAUCUUCCCAAGAACGCAUCAGCAAGAAAUCCUCCAAGCAAUGGCAUCAAAGUGGUGACACCAGACCAGUAAUUGACACUUUUUGCAGCUGUUUUGAGGUCUUGAUGGAUGACUUUUGUUAAGUAAAUAAUCAAACUUGUGGCUAAUCCAAAGUAACUUAGCCUCUCACUGAAUUCAAUUACUGUUACAAGGGUGAAAAUUCAUCACUGUCUCUUAUUUGCAUAACCAAGAAAGGAACACGUUAACAACAACAACAUAUUCAAUGUAAUCCCACCAUCAUUGAGGUCUACGGAGAGUUCAAUGUAGACAAACUUUACCCUACACUACAUCAAAAAUGAUCAUUUGCAGUUAAUUGCUACUAAAUAUGUAUCUUUAGCGGCAAUCAGCACUCUUUGUAUAUGUCCCUAAAGGCUUUAGCGACAUUGAUUUUAAUGACACUUAAUCAAUAUCGAUAAAGACUUUAAUACUCUUUAUUAAUGUCAAUAUUUAAUGCCGUUAAAAGUUAUUUUUAUUGUCAUGCUACUUUUGUGGAGGUAGAGAGAUUGUUUCUGAUAGAUCUUUUUUUAUCAAAAAAGAAAAUAACGAAAACAAAAUAGCAAAUGAAAGGAAUUUGUUGAUAAAAGGAGAAGCUAAUCUCCUCUAAAGAAAAGAUCUUGUGUCAAAUUACUAAAAAGAAGUGAUAUACAAAGUCAAAAUUAUUUUAUAUGAGCAUAUAGUACAUGUUGAAUUUUAUUGACUUCUUCCUAUGUUUAUUUUUUAUUACCAUGAAUACAAUUAGUUGAAAUUCUGAUUCCGCUAUUUGACAACAAGUGGAGUCUAGUAGUGGAACUUAUAACUACUUUGGAAUACAGUUCUUAUAUAUGAUUCAUAUACUGACCAAAAAAGUUUAUAUUCAUUAAUCUAUUUUUAGAAAAAAACAGAAAGUAUGUUGCUGACAGCACUGAGUUAUCCACUAGACAUGACAUUUGCUAUUUUUGUCAAAUUAGUGUCAAAGUGUGCCAACCAAGUGCUCUUAAAAGGCAAACCAAAAACUGUUUUGUGGUAUGCUUAUUAUUAACCAUUCUGUUCAAAUGGUUUUGAAAAGGCAAUUAAGCGCUCCGUUCUAUUUUAACUGUCAUUUUAAUUCAUUUUCUUAUUUUUAUUAAAGAAACAAUAAAUAUAAAGUAUAAUUUACUAACUUAUCUUUAUUUAAUUACAAGAUGCAUUCUUCUUAAAUAUAAAAAGUAUAAUCAGAAACAAUAGCAUUAACUAAACCUUAUAUUAUCGAAUAAUUAUUCUAACUUAAAUGACAGUUAAAAUGAGACGAAUGGAGUAUUCUUUUACUGAAAGAUGAAUUAGUUGAUUAUAUAAAUGCUAUUUUACUAAGUAAUGUUUGUAGUAUAUGCUCAAUAACUUAAGAGGUGUAACGUAGACAAUUUAUCAACCCACGUGAAUUUGGGUCCAUAAAAAUCAAAGAAAAUGAGAUAAAGAUACAUAUAAUAACACUUUCAUAUUACAUUAUACAAAUAAUGCUUUUGAGGACCCUCGACGAUAUUGUCGUUUUAUGUGCUACUUUUUUUUUUCAUUCUAUUUUUUCACUUCAAUUGUUUGUUUUAGACUAAAGUUUUUAAAUUAUUUGCUCGUGGAUGGCAAGAGCAUCACAGAGAUGAAACAAUUGACAAAAAAUGGACACUAUUGCUUCAAACAAACCUAAUUACAUUAGUAAAUAAACAAAAAUAUGAAUGAAUUUGAUUUUGAUGUUUUAUGGAAAAAAACAAAUCUUGAACUUGACUGAACUUUAAAAUUAUCUCACGAAUGAAGAUUUUCCAAGACCAUAUCAAGAAACAAUAAACUAAAACACUCUUACUGACUAGACAACAUAAGUAAAAGGCUAUACUGAUAUCAGUAGCGAAGACAGAAUUUUCAUCCAGACUCAAUAUGACUAAAAGUAUGCAUGGUUAUAAAUUACUUACCAAUAAUGAAGAGAGAAGCUUUCCAUACACCAGUUGAACCCCUAAGAGGAACUCUUCCUUUAUGAUCCAAAGAAGAAUCAUUAACCCAUUUUUGCUCAUCAAAUUCUACUAAUUCUUCUCUACUCUUUAUUUUAUCCAUUAUUUUUUUUGCUAUUAAAAAAACAAAAAAGAAGAUAUAUGUAUAUAUAACAAUAAGUACUAAAGUAUGUGAGAUAACAAAUUGGUGUGUUGUCAGCUUUGGUUUGCUCACCUUAUAUAGAAAGAGGAACAUUAUCCCUGUUGACUGAUAUUGACUAAUUAAAGUUUAAUUAUUGAGAUUAUGAAAUUUAUUUAUUUAUUAAAUUUUAUCGUAGUGACUGUGACUGAGGAAGAACAUACAAUAUAUUCCACUAAAUUAAAGUUGUUUUUUUGUCCCUAAAUGUGUACAUGAGGAAUAACAUUAAUUUACGGUCCUAAGUUUUUGUAUAUUGUGUCUCAUACGAUUGACAUAAUUUGUGAAAUAAAACAAAGUCGAUAAAAGUUGUGUGACGAGGGACGAACUAUAAAAAAAAAAUAUCUUUAUGAUCCAAUCAAAUCCAUGAUGGUAACUAUUAUAAAGUCCUAUAAUAAUUUUAAUUAUAUUACUUUUAACAGGUUCAAAUUUACAUUUCUAAGCUCGUAUUUUAUCGAAAUCAACACAUCUUUUUUACUAAAACAAAGAAUGUUGUACUCGAAAUUUGAGAUUUGGCUUUGUACGUUAGGUGUUAGGAGAAAUAGUAUAAUUAGGAAAGAGUGCAAUAUUGCUAUGUUUAAUCUAGCUUUCAUAUAUCAAGAUAUAUUCUCCUCUAAACUCUAGUAGCUUAGGAGAAUUUCACGUGUGUUUUAUCAUUUCAGUAACUUUGAUUCAAAUUUUAUAUUUAUAUUAAGUAAUAAUCAUUGAAUAUUUUAAAAAAAUUAGUAGGUAUAUGUCCAUAAAUUUCAAUAUUUUUAUUUACGUCCUAUCUUUUGAUACUAGCCAUAAUAAAAUAUUAAUAUCAAAUGAAGGUCGUUAAUGUAAUUUACAUUCCCAGAGACCAUGCAUAGCCAAUGUCUGAAUGCCACUUGGCGCAUUCUUAGUCGUUACACCAAUGUACAAUAUGCCUAUAAUGAUCAUAGCACAAAUCCACUAAUCCAUAACUUUAAUAUCUUAUAUAAGAUUUAGGAUCUUUGUUAAUUAUUAUUUAAAUAGCUGCUGGAAAUAAAUAAGAUAUGUGGAAGUCAAUGCUAAAAGAAAAGAAAAAAAAUGUCUCCCACUAAUAAUCAAAGGUUUAUUUCAGCUUCUAUUCUUUCUUUUUUUCUGAUCGAGAAUCAAUAAUAUUUUCAUGAUUUGAAUUCUUAAUCUAUCAAUCAAUAUUAAAAGUGUUCAAUUGUUUGAAUAAAUUUUACUUGUUUAUGCCUGUUUCAUCAGGCCACUCUUCUCUACCUCAAAAGCUAUUAGUUUCGCUUAUUUCUAGCUAAGUAAAAAGAAAAGUGAAGUAUGAAAUUAAAUUAUUUGAAUUUUUAGAGCAUUUUUCCUUUACUAAAAAGAAGAAAUAUUAUAUAUAUUCUAGCACAUUACAAUUAUAUUUAGACAAAAUAGCGAGUACAAUUUAACUUUUGUGAACCCUAUGAAAACUAUUAGUGAUCUACUUUAGUUUCUUGGCUAAACUAACGAUAUUUUCUUAUGAUCGAAAAAUCUAUUAAAAGAUAAUAUUUUAAAUUAACUGUAAUGGUCAAAGGUCAAAACUCGAUCUUUCUAUUUUUCUCCACUUGGACUUGAUCAAUAGGCUAGACUGAUGAAUUUUAUCCCAUUACAGUUGUAACAGGAAGAAAAUACUGUUAUUACUUAUUAUUAUGUCAUAUGUGUUUCUAUUCAUAAGGUUGACUAUUGUGAUGAGCCUAGACAAAUAGUCAAACUAAUUGUAUUUGUAAUUAUGAGUAGAAGAAAUUUGUAUCUCUUAAAACAGAUACAUCGAAUAUGUUGUAUUACUAUCAAAUGAUUCUUAUCAAAAAGUGAUAUAUAAAUAUAUUUAUAUAUUUAUAUAUAAGUGUCGAUCAUAUAUUUUUUUUAUUGAGUGCUAUUGUUCAUAUAGUAACAUCAAAUACUCUAAAUAAGAAAUAUUUUUUUCUUUACUAAUCAAAAGUUAUUUUUUAGAUUAAGAGUUAGACAAGACGUAUAUCUUCUAUAUUAAAAGAACAUAGCAAAAAUAUAUGUGCGGGGGGAUAUUUUACCUAACCUUUCCAAAUAUAUAUAUAAAAAUUAAGAACAAGUUGGCUCAUAACUUUAUUAUAAUAUAAAAAGUUUUGACUUUUUUUCGAUAUUUGAUGUUCAUAUUGAGACGUUAUUUAUAUUUGAUUCACACCAAAAAAUUUCAAUUCAAGAUAUGUCUUCACAUCUUAUGAUCGUAUCAACGUGUUAAAACAAAUCUUUUUCGUUAAAAAAUUAUGUAUAUACAUAUAUAUAUUAAGAAAAGAAUAUUUCUUUGUAUUAUAUAUGUAUGUAAAGAUAAAAACAAUCUUUGUGACAAACUUUAAAUUUUUUUUUUAGCAUGCUCGUAUAAAUAAGUGGUCCAUUGAAGUAAACAUCUUGUGUAUUUUUCCAUACGGCAGUGUCUUCCUUGGGAAUAAAAUAUAUGAUUUUUGUUGUACGUUAAUUGUAGAUAAGAUAUUAGAAAAAAAAAAGUUACAAGGUUCGAAUUGUACGUUUAAUUAUCUACUUUUUUAUAAAUAUUCCGGAGCUUUAGGAGCACUUUAUUCGUCUCUUUUUAAUUUAAUGUGAAUAUCGAAUAUCUCAUAUAAAAAAAAUAGAUACUCUAUGAACUGAAAAUCUGAAACACUGCUUUUGAUUAGACUUCAAUGAAUUUCUUUUUGAUUAGUCAAAAUAUAAUUAAAUUAUUAUUCUUAUCCAAAACACAGACGUAUUAGAAUCGUCUAGUAAAAGAAAAUGUAGAUGUAUUUAUGUUGCUUAAAUAAUGCGUCUGGAAGCAAAUAUAAUGGAACUCACCAAUAAAGAUUAGUGCUAAUUUAAGUAAACUCCACUUUGAUUAAUUUAAACUAAAUAGGGGGAAAUGGUGGCCCUAGAUUUGAUACUUGAUAAAAAACAAUUUACAUAGUUGCACCCAUUUAGUAACAAAACCCUUUACGACGGAGUACAGAUGAGGUGUGUUGGAGGGUGCAGAAGACAUAAUUAAUUAUAUCAAUUAUCAAUUGUUAAUUUUAUUUUUUUCGUUGAGUCAUUUUUCUCAAUUUUUAAGAAAUUUAUUUUCUUAGAAAAAAUAUUUCUAAAGAAUUUUAAUUAAUAAACAUGAAAAGAUUUUAAUAUAUUUUUUCUUAUACACGCCGAACACACCUUACAUCACGUGAAAAACGUGUUAAAUCCCUAGAUUCAUCUGGAAUUCCUAUUUUAUAAGAUGUUAAUUGCUUUAAGACUGAUUCAUGAGGGAAUUAAUGUUGAAGAUUAAUGAGACAUUAGUGCGUAAAUGUAAUUAAUUGAGUGGAGAUUUCAUGAUUUGGGUGAAGAUAUAUAUGGUGUAAACUUUCAAUAUUCCAUCACUUGGUUGGAAGACAAAUUAUGCUCCCCAACUAAGCUUAAAUAAAUAUUUUUAUAAGGCACCAUAUAGCGUCCUAGCUUAAUUAUAAUUAAUAAACUCACCACACAUUCUUGGACAAGUAAUAAUAUAAUAGUAGUUUCUAUAGUUUUGGGUCAUUCUCAAAUCUCAUCCACAUAUUUUCAUUUGGGUUAUUGAAUAUAUAAUAAAUAAUAUAAAAGUCAAACCCUAAUAAUAAAAAUAGUAUCUGACUUUUUACAACCCCUUAAUUAACCACACAUUUCACUUGUUAUAUAUAUAUAUAUAUAUAUAUUAUAAUUAAUCUUGAAAAUCUAUAAACUAUAUAAACAAUAUAAUUUUUCGACAGCCAAGGGGUGAUCCGCCCCUGCUGACUUGAUUAUGUUAUAAUUAAUAAAGUCUACUUUUAAAUUAGAAUUUCUUUGAUAUUGUUGAAGAGCGAACCUAUAACGAUAUAAUUUUCAAUAAAAUAUGCAUAACUUUUUACGAACAUACGCUCUGAUAGUGUUAUAGUUUAUCCUAAGUUUCUCACGAUAAAUAGAUUUUCUUUUUUCUUAAAAAGAAAACAUAACACAUUAUCAACUUUUUCUGAACUAGUUCUUCCUUUUUGUAAAAUAUGGAUUCAUAAUGUCUUUCAAACACCCUAGUAUUGUUAGCUAUUUGUCCUGAGUUUUUUUACAAUAAAGAUGUUCUCUUUUUUAAAAAAAAAGGAAAACGUAAAGUUUUCAUUUCUAGUUAGUUCUUUUCUUGUAGGAAAAUAUUUACGAGUCUAUAAAUAGAGGUUCGUUUCUUGUAAAAUAACAUUCAUAAUCUAGUCCUAGGGGCUUUGAGCGUUUAACGUAGGAGGAGAAAUGGUUAGACACAAUGAUAUGAUAUCACUUGUGCGAACCUCUUUGUAUUCUAAGAAAAUAGCGCUAGGUUACUUCUCUCAAUAUUCUGUACUCUCACAUUUAUAUAGCGGAUUGAUCAUCUUCAUUAUGUGAAUGUAAGUCGAUUGAUCAAACUAUAUAAAAUCUUUAUCUUUUAAUAUGUUUUUUAAUUGUCUUUUUAUUCAUAAUCUUUCAAAGUUUACUUUAUUAAUUUUCGCAUGAUACUUAAUUAUUUUUUAUCAUAACAAGUAUAAAUUUAGAACUUCAAUAAAGACAUAAUACUUUGUGAAUAAUGCAACUCGAUGGUGAAUAUUAUUUAUUCGUAUAAAUAAUAUUAACCAAAGAAUUCCACUAUAGUAAAAGUCAAAAGAAAUGUUUAACAUUAUAAUGGGGACAAAUAAUGACCAUGGCUUGAAACUUUAGUCUUGUCAUGUACUCGUGUCUUUAAUUAAUUUGCUUCUAGCAAUUUCAUGGUGACGAUAUCUUUUUUAUAAAGCUUACUUUGUGAAUUAAACCAUGUGCUAAUCAUGAUUUUCAUUCUUUGCAAAUUAAUAUUCGCUCUGUAUUAAAAUAAGUGUUAUUUUUAACAUGGUUUACCAAUUAUAUUGUUAUAUUCUUGUGUUUAAUUUUUAAACAAUAUUUAGUAAAUAAAGAUAAUUUAGCAAAUCAUAUAUUAUAUUUAUUAUCUUUUUAAUAGAUGUAAUUUAAUUUUUAUUAUAAUGACAUUUAUUUUAAGACCAAAAAAAUAUAUAGGGAUGUAAUUUUUGUCUUUAAUCUAUUCUUUUUCUUGACAAUCCAAUGAAUCUAAUCUUUUUAGUAGAUGGCUAAAAAUCUAAAAUUAAAGUUGACUCGUUGCUGUCUUUUGAGAUAAGAUUUAAGGUGUCAUAUCUUUAUGUGUAAAUUUAUAAGAUUUUUACCUAUGGUCUCAUUAUGUAUAGUUUUAAGGUUAUAAAUCAUAUUCAUUAUUUAUUUUCAUUUUAGUGAAGUUUUUACAUAUAAAUUUAUAUUUCGUAUCGAGAGUACUCAACCGUUCAUAUUCAGUUGCACCUCCUCGUACGUAGACUUGAUCCUUCCAUUUUUCAUUUUCGAAACAUGUAUAAUGAUUUAUUUUUUUUGGCUAUUUAGAUAAUGUUGAGGCUUAAAGGGAUGAAUUUUUUUUCUCUUUUUUAAAAUUAUGUUUAAUAUGUGUGAUGGUCUCAUAUAAAAGUUUAAUUUUUUUAAAAAAAAAAUAUAUGUUUUUGAUUACUUAAUCAAGUUACAUUUUAAUAAUAUCAUAAUGUAUUUAAAAUUUUAGCACGUCAAGUAUUAUCUAUAAAUUGCAAUCUAAAUUUAGUUAGAAACUUGGCCAAAUGAAUUGAAUAUGAGGAAAUGCGCUGACAAUUGUAGGGGAAAAAAGACAUUUUACACGUUUUAUUAUUAAUGAUUUAUUGGAACGUUAAUAUUAUUUAUUUUCUGUUGUUUUAAGGGCUAUAUAUUGAUGAUUACCAAGUUGACAAAGUGCUUAAAUUUAGUCAAAUUGAGUGGACAAUUUCAUAAUUUGGGCAAAUAUAGUCAAGGAGGAAUUCUAAAGUUUUUAAUAAUAUAUAUAUAUAUAUAUAUAUCUAUUGGUGGAAGACAAAUUAUGCUCCCCAACUAAGUAAAAUAUUGUGAUAAUGGUUAAUUUUUCUAUUUAUAUAUAUAAAAAUAAAAAAAUAAAAAAUAAAAAAUAAAAAUUUCUAACUAGUCUUUGGUACAUCCCAAUCACAAAUCUUCUUCUUCUUACAAAAUAUUUGGGCCCUUUUUGUGUGUGUAUUCCGUUUCUUCAUUUUAUGCAAAUUUAUUUGAUUUAGCACUUAUUAUAAAAGAAAAAAAAAGAGUUUAUGAUUAUUUAUAACAAGGAAGAAUCCUUUUGGUUGGAAUUUGGCUGGAAUGAUAAAAUAAUAUAUUUCACACUAUGUUAUUUUAUCUUUUUGAACAUUUUUGUCUUUUUAACUUUAUACCUUUUAAUUAAAAGUGGAAAAAAAAUGAGUUUAUUCUAUGAUUAAAAAAAGGGAUAAGGGUCUGAAAAAUAUUUCAACUUUGAUCGAGUUUGUUGUUGCGAUACUAAACUUUCAUGGGGACCUAUUACCUCCCUAGACUAUUUAAUACUAUAUUUUAAACAUAUAUAUUCUCCCACGUGGGCAUAAAAAAUAUGCAAAAUUAUAAAUAGUAAUAUGUCGACGUGGGUACAUAUAUACCUUUAGAAUAUACUAUUAAAUAGUUCAGGGGAUAAGAAAUACAGUAUUAAAUAGUUUAUGAAGAUAAUAAGUUCUCAUAAAAUUUAGUAUCGCAAUAAUAAAUUAAUAAAUUCAACCAAAGUUGAGAUAUUUUUCAGACCCUUAUCCCUAAAAUUAAUAUUAUAAACUUUUUAAAUUUUUGAGCAAAUUUUCCAACCGUUUAGCGUUGCCCUUAUACCAAAUGCAUGCAUGUAUAUGACCAAUUCAUUUGACAAAAAGUCUAUACACCAAAUUUCAUAAAUAGUCUAUUUAUUAAAUUUUAAUUGAUAUCUGCGAGCUUUAAAAUUGCUUUUAUAUGAUGAAGCUACUUGUCGUCUUGUUUAAUAAGCUUACCAACAAGGCAAUCGAUUUUCACUUUGAAGGUAAUUAUAUUUUCAAGAUGUUUUUUUACGUGUCAGAUUAAACUUUUAUAGGAUGAAGUAUGUUAAAAUUCAUUUCGAAAUAAAUGGUGAUUUGAUCCAAUUUAAAAAUUUUAUUUAGUUUGAUAUUAUGUUAAAAACGAACCUUAAAUUUAACUCAUCUUCAAAAAUUUACGAAGCGAAGAAUAUUCAACAUCAUAUAUAACCUAGUUCAAUUUGCCACCCAUCCACAUGCAUGGGAUAAUUCAACACCCCCACACCCUUAUAUUAGGUCUGCCAAGCGGGGACAAAAUAAUAUGGAUAUUCAAUAUCGAGUGAAGCAAGAAUUAAAUGAAUUUGACUUGAUAUUAUGUUAAAAUGUGUGACAAUUUCGACUCGCUGCAAAGAUCUAGAGAGCUUCUUUCUUCUUUCUAUUUUUCCCCCUCUCUUUUUUGAACAAAUAUAAAGCCAAACCUGUUGGGAAUGACAAAUCAAGCACAAACUAAAUUUAUAUCAUGUGUUCCAGCGAUAUGUCAAUAUUUAUAUGUCAUGUCCUCUUGUUAACUCAAAGAUUCAUUACUAUUUUCUAUGACAAGUCUUAAAAGAUCACCUAGACAAGCCACAUGUGAAUUUCUUCAACCUUACUAUAGUUGAUUGAGAGUAGAAAGGCCACUAAAUGAGACAGGUGAUAUAAUCAGUGCCUAAAGAGAAGAAAUGAAGAAUUAGUAUCAUUUAAUGUGAAAAAUUAGGAAAUUUAUCACAAGGCUUAUUUAAUUUUUUGUGACCUUGCACCCUAACUAGACUAAAAGGACAAUUUGAUCUCAAAUCAAUUUAAAAGUAAACAUCUAUAUCAUUCAUCAUGCUUGCUUUAAUAUAUCUCUAAUCACAUGGAAAAAGGAGAUCAUCUUUUGGAGAUAUAGAUUGUUGGACCUGACUACUACACCUUUUUCUGUUAAUAUCAGAUUAAUUCAGUAUUCAGUAUCUGCAUUGAAGCACUUAUAAUUUAAAUUUACACCGCAUAUGAUCUUGUAAAAGAGGAAGUGCCUAUCCAAAAAAAAUUCAUAUACAAUGUCUAAACCUUAAAGCUUUGAUUAAAGAUGAAGGGGAUUAUAUUCGUGCUACGAAAAUUCUCGUUAGUGACCUGCCUAUCAAAUCCACCACAUAGUUUAAAAAAGAAAAAAUAUGUCUGUCUUAAAAUAUACAUAAUCUAGGAAAAUAUUAUUAAAGUGAAGGUGGGGAUGGGAGUAAAGGGGGUGGGGUGGAGAGGAUAGGGUGAUGAGAGAUGGGGUGGUGGUGGUGGGGAUGGCGGUGGUAAUGAGAGGUGAAAAGGAGACGAUCAAUUGAAAUGUAACUUAUAAAACGUGAUUUUUCUUUUUUUACUCGGGAGAUUAUUUUUUCGAUUUUUACGGAACAUGUUCCUUUUAGAGGACCAUUAAUAUUAACAUGAUUAAUUUUUAUGAAAUAUUACUACCUUCGUUUUUUUUACUUAGUGAUUUAUUUUUAAAAUAGAUUUUCAUUUUUACUUGUCACUUUUGACAAACCAUAUUUUAUCCUCAGCAUGAAAUAAUCUUAUCCAAAUUAGUUUCAAAACAUCAUUUCAUAGGGACCGGGAUAGUUUGAUAAAAUGUGUGUCAAAUCAAACUGUGACAAAUAAAAGUGAUUGACGAAAGCAAUAUGAGUCUAAAAUAACUAACAUAUUUCGUUCUAUUAACUUUAAACUUUUCUUAAUGUAUUAAAGCGAGUAAAGGUCUUGAACGUAACUUGACUAUUAAUAUGAUCUAUUAAUAAUUAUUAUCACAUAAAUCAUUUUCUAUUUAAAAAAUAUAUAUAUAUAUAUUAACACCAUAUGAUUACCUAGUUUAUGAGUAUUCUUAUAUUUCUCUAUAUUAACUCUAAUCUAGAAUAUUUAAUUUCUCUAUCUUUGCACUAAUUUAUAAAGUAUUCUCAUCUUCUGAUACUUCAUCAAAUUUUUUGUUUUAAAUUUUGAUCAACUUAACACAAAAUUAACUUUAAAGUCAUCAUUAGCAUGUCCCAAAUUUCAACUUUUACAUAGGCCCGUGGGCUUUAAUGUUAUGAGCUCUCGAAUGGGCUGUCAUCUUCGGGCUUGAAAAUUUUGGGCCUUAAGGUAUAGACAAUUUUUUAAGUUUAGCUACAUCAGCAUCAACUUUAGACAUACACGAUUGAAAUUGAAAAAAAAAUAUUGAAAUUACAAAUAGUGUCUAAAGUUUGGUACGUUUGCUCUUGCAAGAAAAAGUUCAAUAUUUUUGUUUGGAUUUCAAAUAUAUCGUUGAUCAUAUAUUUGUUAUAUCCUUUCUACACAUUUUAUUACACUAUAUCUUUUUUAAUAUGACCGGAGGUUUCUCAUUGAGAAAAAGGGAAUAGAAAAAGCAAAAGUGACUCUUGGGGGAAUACAAAAAUAUGGAACACAAAUCUAAGUCAGUUGGUUAACUAUCUAAACGCUGGUCUUAUUAAUGAAGGUUCGAUUCUUUAUCUUGUUAUACACAAUUUUUUUGUAGCAUGUAAAGACAAUUGUUCUACACGUGUACUUCGAGUCAGUAAGAAAGAGAUAUAAAAAAAAAAAGACAAACUAAAUAAAAUGAAGAAAGUACUUUGUUUAAUAUCAAAACCAAACUCAUAAAACUAAAAUUUUUUUAAAAAAAAUGAUUACAAAAAAAAUCAAAAUAAAAAAAAUAUUAUAUAGCGGAACUUCGAAAAAAAGAUCUCUAAAACUAAACCAACAAUAAAUUAAAAUUAAAAAAAAUUACAAGUCAUGUCAUGUGUAUCUAGAAAUUUCAAAAGCAGACAACAAUAAUUAAAUGUGUAGAAGCUUCCACGACUUCGUAUGAAUCGUCAGCGCAAAUACAAACAUAUUGAUUAGUCAACAGCAGUUGUCAAACAAAAAAUUUAUUUAAUUGACGUAUACUACGAUAAUUAUUAUCACCAAGUCCAUAGUAAUCCGUUCCCAUUUUUAGACCGAGCUAUAAAAAAACACCAAAGAAGAGUAACACAACCAUAACAAAAUCUUCUAACACACAACUAGAAGUUAUAUAAAAAUAUGUCAAGAGUGAAAUUGCUUGGUGUUUAUGGGAGCCCAGCCAGUCAAAGAGUUGAAUGGGCUUUAAAAAUAAAAGGGGUAAAAUAUGAAUUUAUAACAGAAGAUUUACAAAAUAAAAGCCCUUUACUUCUUAAAUCAAAUCCAGUUUAUAAGAAAAUUCCAGUUUUGUUGCAUAAUGAUAAGCCUAUUGCUGAAUCACUUGUUAUAAUUGAGUAUAUUGAUGAAGCCUUUGAAGGACCAUCUAUAUUGCCUAAAGAUCCUUAUGAUAGAGCUAUCGCGCGUUUUUGGGUGAAGUUCCUCGAUGAAAAGGUAAAUCGACUGUUUUUUUACAUAAGUUUAUGUUCGAUUGUAGAUUUUGAAAGUUGAUUUUCAAAAAAAAAUUGUUUGUUUAUGAAAUAUAUACUGAAUUUCAAAACAUAGUUUGAAUUAGUUUGUAGGUGAAAUUUAGUACUUACAAUUUUAAAACUUCAUUUUUCUACACAAAAUUAACUAUCCUUUUUCUUUUUUCAAUUUUUAUUAAAUUUAUGAUCAAAUGUUAAUGCAAAUAAUAUAUUUUAUAUUUGGUACCGAGAGAGUCAUUGGGAUGAUUAUUUAACUUUUAUUUAUUGACAAAUUUUACUAAAUUACUUUUGUAAAAAAAAAAAAGGCAACUCUUCUUUAUAUUGAAGCAAGUCAAUCGUCUUCCUUGUUUUUCACAAUACUUUUGAUACGAUAAAGUAAAAAUUGAAUGAUUACUAACGAAAUUAUUUGUCUUUUCUAGAAAAUUAUUUUAUAAGGAAAUUGUUGUUUUUGAUUAUUAGAAGAAAAAAAAUUAAUUAUGACGAAAUAAAAUGACUUUUCUCGUUUAUGACAAUAAUCAUUUUCUAUCGAAUAAUUUUACUUUAAACUUCAUAUUACUUGCUCCGUCAAAAUUUUGACAUUUAAUACUCAAUUUUUUUUAAUCAAAUUACUCUCUAAUUAGUUAUUAGGAUGAUUAAUUAAAGUUUGUUUAUUUUUUUCUCAGUGCUUACCAGCAGUGUGGAAAGCUUUGUGGAGCCAAGGAGAUGAGCAAGAAAAAGAUAAAGAAGAAGCUUAUGAGGUCCUUAAAGUUAUCGAUAAUGAACUUAAGGACAAGAAGUUUUUUGGGGGAGACAAUAUCGGAUUCGUUGACGUAGUAGCCAAUUUUGUCGGAUUUUGGAUAGGAAUUGUUGAAGAAGCCACCGGGGUUGUACUCGUGACUAGUGAAAAUUUUCCAAAUUUUUGUGCCUGGAGAGAUGAGUAUCUUAAUUGCGACAGAGUUAAGGAAAAUAUGCCCUCUAGAGAAAUGUUGCUAGGAUAUUUUAAGUCUCGAGUUCAAGCUGUAGCGGCUAUUUCCAAAUGAAUAUUUAAAUACAAUUUCCCGUGGUUUUAGUUUUAUACAUUUGUAGUGAUUUUUUUUGUGCUUUACUUGAGUCGAGAAUGUAUUAAAAAAGUCUCCAUUAUAUUUUAUUGUUGUUUAUGUUUUCUUUUUGAAAAUAAAAGUUGUCAUUUGGAGAAAUAUUUGUCUAGCCAGCUCCAUAGGAAUAAGACUUGUCAUAACAAAAAUAAAGAUUUUAGUUAAGUUUAUUUAUCGUCAUACUAUCGAUCAAACAUACUUUUAUAAUUAUUUAAGUACUUAAAAUGUCCAUUAUGAUUAAAAUCGCUCAAAUUCACUUUCAAUAUCUCACGUCCACGAAAAGAGUACUUUUGAAUACUUCUCCAAUAAUAUAAUGAGUGAUGAAUUUAACUAAUAAAUAAAAAUAAAGAGAUAUUUUUAAUCCUUUUUCAAAAUACAAAAAAGUUAAAUUGUACCGAAAAUAAUUAUACUUAUACAAAAAUCUCUUUAUGUAAUGUGCAUGACUAAUAAAAUGAAAGCAUUGGAUAAUGAAUAUGUAAUACUUAAUGAAAUAAUUGUGAUAAAAAAAGACUUAUUAGCAACACCAUGUAGUAUAUAUUGUCCUAUAAAUAUUUCCUAAAUAUUUAUGUUAGUAUUUUUAGGUUUAAAAUUUAAAUUUGAAAAUAAUUACAAAAAAUAAGUUUUAUAAGAUGGGCUGGCUCAGUCCAAUGUGCAGCCCAUGUGAACCAUUUUAAGGCUCAUUGUGAUGGGCAGAGCUGACUUGAGUUUUCAAAUUUUAAGCCCAUGUGAAUUUAGUGGGGGGCCUUAUCGAUUAGCUCUAAUUUUCACAUGGAAACUUACCUACAUAAAUUCCAUCGGUAUAACGGCUAUAUAUAUGUAUAUCGAGAUACAUGGAUUAAAAAAAAUGUAAUAUAUUAUUUACAAGUGAAUUUUUAUGUACUUGCAAUACAUAAUAAAUUUUUUUCACCUUUAUCUGAUCUCGCUCGUCACUCUCUUAUGUAUUUGAUAUUUCAAAUACAUAAGAAUUAAAUUACAUCAGAGACAUGUAUCUAGUGUGAUUCACAUUUAUCUGAGAUACAUAACGAAUCUCACCCGCCUCCUGCUCUAUUAUAACAUAUUUGAUAGCAAAAAUAAAUGUACGUAAGUGUUUCUUCCAAAAUAUAGAGUAGCAAAAAUGCAUAUAGCUUCCUGGUAGAAAAAUGAUAAGAUAGAUUGAUAUUUUGAAAUUAAAAAUAACAUAUAAAAAUAUAAAUAAUUAUUGAAUUUUCCAUUUUACCUGAAAUGAUACAUCCAACCAUAAGAUGUCAAUUAACAAAUCAUGUCACAUGUAUCUCUAUAAAUAGACAGAAAUAUUUAUAUGAAUAGAUCCACGACUUCGUAUUGGUCAGUCAACACUAAUUGUCAAACGAUAAAUUUAUUUAAUCGGCACAUAGGUUAAUAUUAUCGCAAAGUCCAUAGUGAUCCGUUCUCAUUUUUGCAUCGAGCUAUAAAAGAACACUAAAGAAUCAAUAAUACAACCAUAACAAAAUCUUCAAUAUCCUAUGGAUUUAGUUAAGGAAAAUAUGCUGUCUAGAGAAAUGUUGCUUGAUAAUUUUAAGUCUCUGAUUCAAAAUGUUGCGGCUACUCCCAAAUGAAUAUCUAAAUUCAAUAUCCUAUGGAUUUAGUUUUACACGCUUGUAGUGUUUUUUUUUUUUAGCUAUACUUGAGUCGAGGGUUUAUCGAAAAUAAUCUAUUUUUCUUUUGAAGGUCUCCGUAAAAUUACAUGCACAUAGUACUCUCUUUAGAUUAUAUUUGUGAAAUUAUAUUAAAUAUGUUAUUUAUGUUUUCUUUUUGAUAAUAACAGUUGUCAUUGAGAAAUAUUUAUCUAGCCAACUUCCUAGGAAUAAGUUGUAAUAACAAAAAUAAAGGCUUCAGUUAAGUUUAUUCAUCGUUAUACUAUCGAUUAAGUAUAUUUCUACAAUCAUAAACUAUUUAAAAAUAUCUCUAUGUGGAUGGAAUCACCCAAGUUCACUUAAAUACCCCAUUUCAACAAAAUAAUUUGUUCCCCGGAGGAGUACGUUUGAAUACUUUCCUAUAAAAUAAUGAGUGAGAAUUUAAUUAAUAACUAAAAGAGAUACAUUUAACCCUUUUUCCAAAUACGAAAUACAAGAGAAAAUUAAAUUAUAGUGAUACCAACCAUACUUAUACAAAAGUCUCUCUAUGUAAUGUGCAUAACCUAAAAAAAAGUGAAAGCAUUAGAUAAUGUUAUUACUUAUUAGCAACAAUUAUGUAAUAUAUAUUAUCCUAUAAAUAUUUAUGUUAGUAUUUAUUUAAAUUUGAAAAUUACCCAAAAAAAAACUUUUAAAAAAUGGGCCUGCUCGGCCCAAUGGGCAGCCCAUGUAAGACCCCGCAAAGAUAACCAUUUCAAGGCUCGUUGUGAUGGGCAGAAUUGACUUAUUGACAGCUCUAAUUUUUGAUACAUUUUAAUUUGUAAUGUUAUAUAUUUUAUGAGAUCUUGAUGUGAUUAAAUACUUUUUGAUAUGUUCAUAUAUAUGUAUAUUGUAUAUCAAAAUACGUGGAAUCAAAGGUGUAAUAUAUUCUAGAUGCAUUGUAUCCAAGUAUUUUCAUUUAUUUGUGAUACAUAAUAAAUCUCCCUCGCCUUUCUCGCCCCUUUCUCUGAUCUCGCUUGUCACUCUCCUAUAAAUCUGAUAUUUCCAAUACAUUCGAAGUAAAACACAUCAAAUAUGUAUUUGGUGUGAUCCACGUGUAUCUAGUAUAUACACAUAACGAAUCUCACUUGCUUCCUCCCCUAUGCUAGUAUAUAUUAUAGCAAAAAUACAUGUAUCUAAGUGUAUCUUCCUUAAUAUAUGGCAACAGAACUGCAUGCAAAUGUAUCUUUCUCAAUAUAUGAAAGAAAAUUUUUAAUUAAUGAUAAAAUACGUAAUAUUUUAAAAAUAGAAAUAACAAUAGUCUAAUAUCAAUAAUUAUCGAUUUUUACAUUUUAGCUGAAACGGUACAUCAACCAUAACCUGAUUUUGAUGAUAAUAUCAUGGAAACUAUUUGAGUAUGAAAACCAUUAAUGGUCCCUACAAAUCAUACCGUCAUAUUGAUCUUAGUUGGACUAAUAAUAAGUAUUAUGUGUGCAAACAGCUAAGAGAAUAAUGUGAAAGAUGAUUAAAUUAACUACCAACUUACAUAUAAUUAGUGACUUCAAAUUGGAUUUCGAAAUCUAUCUUAUCUUAAACCAACACCCAAUAUAUACAUAAUAUUCACCUAUAUAUAUCUAUAUAGGGGAAAGUCAAACACAUAAGACAUCUACCUAAUUGAUAUUCAAAUAUAUGAUUAUAUAUGAUAUGAUAUAAUAAAUCUCUUGAGAAAUUGAUUUGUUUUUUCAUAUAUAUUAACGAGGAUUAUAUAUGAUAUGUAUAUAAUAUAGGGAAUUUUUUACAUCUUCAAAAAUAACUUAAUUAUGUUACAUAGUUAUAGUUUGUUGAACUUCUCAAGUCCAGCUUCUAUAUAAUAGGUUGAAAAUCAUAAGAUUAACGAUGAUUUUGAUAUGUUUUUUAAUUUAUCAUGUGAUUUAAAAGGCUUCUAACUCCUUUUAAAUUAUGUAUCAAGUUAAAAUGAGACAAAUAAUUGAAAUGAAUAAUGAAUUAAUUCGUUUAUUUAUAAUGUUACGACACUAACAAAAAAAAUACUUCAUAUAGUUUUUCAAGUUAAGUCUACGAAACAUGAUGGAAAUAGAGCUUUAUUCCAACCUCAUUGAGGUAAUAAGCUUCCACCCUUGGUACAUUAGUUGUUUUAAGAUGGAGGUUCGAAAAGAUCAAUCGUAAAUACGUACUCAGGCAUUCUUUAUUUAAAUAGAUUAAUUAUUUAAAAUUUUAAUUUGUUUUUUAAUGAUAUGCAUUAACUUGAAUACUUUGUAAGCAAUUUUCAACUUGCAUUGAUGUGUACAUAUAUACGAGAAAGACAUAUGUUAUUUAAAUAAUAAUGUAAGUAAUCGACGCUUGAAAACACAUACGUAAACUUUUUAAAAUAUGGAUAAAAAAUAUAUUAUAAUAUAGUCAAAUAUGUAACUGAAUUAGGAUAUAAUAUGAAAAUAUUUAUGAAAUUAAAUAAAUUUAAGAGAUUAUCGAUAUAUUUAUUUCGAAAAGAAUAGAGGGACAAAGCAAAUCAGAUCAUCUAUAUGUGUCCAUGAAACACAGAAAGGCAUGUUUGGGACAGAAAAUAAACGACCACACAAAAGGAAAAAAGGGGUGAAUUUAUUUAAAUUUUUAACUUAUGAGAAUCCAUGUUGUGUGGGUCUAUUUAUGUUUAUUUGUAGACAAGAUUGGUUUUGUGUGGGACAUUUUAAUUGAGAUCUUAUAAUCAACUUAGACAAAAAUAGGGAAAAGUAAUAUCAUCAUACAUCAAAUAUCUCUAACUUGUCCCUACAUGAGAUACUUUAUUAUAGCACAAUAAAAUUUAACACUAAUCAAACAUUAUUAGUUUAAUCAAUUGUAAGAUGAGGAAGUUGACCUACUUUAUUUAUUUAUUUAUUUUUAGUUUUUUGUUCGAUAUUUAGUAUUUAUAUUGAAAUUCAAUUAUUUUCAUUAAAAAAUUUCAUAUCAAAAGUAUAACGCUCCCGAAAAAAAAGUAUUUAUGUACCAAGGGACUUAAAUCUAAAAUCACUUUGCUAGAACCCUUGUUGAUAUCUGUUUUCCUCCUUUGAUAUAUAAAAAUGAAGAAAAAUGAAGAUAGAAGUUAAUGUAAAAAUUGAUGCAAUCAAUCUUAGGGCCCACACUAAUAGCCCCCUAAAAGUAAUUAGAAAUAAGAAAUAUGGUAGGCGUAAUCGGUGACGGAAAUUACAUUAUUUUUACAUGGUUAAAAUGAUAUCUUUAGGUAUAUACAGUAGGUGUCGUAUCUCUUUAACGGACAACUAUGUCCUCUAACUUUGAGUGUUUAUGAGUAAAUCUUUUUUACAAUAUUUUAAUUUCAUAUAACUAACCAACUAAGAUAUCAAAAUUCUUGAUUUAGGACUUUCAAUUAAAAGUCCUCCAUUUUAAUUUAUGACUUUUCACUUAUUUUUAUUAUCUGGACUAAAAAUACCUUUUUAUUUCACCAAAACACUAUAAAAUUUCCUUUAAAUUUAAAAAAUAUUUAAAAUAAAAUGAUCCAAAGAGGCUCUAAGAAAAGAAAACAAUCUUUAAUGUCAGAGUGCACCUAAUUAAAACUGGAUUCCACUUAGUUUAUUUUCCCCACAAUCAGGGCCUUGGAUCAUUAAUCUUGAACAUGCAUUAUAUGAUUUGUCAAUAUAAUUGGCCCAUAUAUUUUAUUUUAUUUUAUUUUCCACCAAAUGUCCCAAUAUAAUAAUGAUUUGAGUGAACUUUAUCUAUCUAAUCCUUGCGUUUAACAUGGACUUAAACCCCUUUUUGUCGGUUGAUCAUUCCAUUAGGGUCUCUAUAUAUUUCCUUCUCUAUCCUUACCAUUUUUUACGUUCGAUAUUUAUAUUAAAGUCUGAUUAUUAUCAAUAUAAUUUAAAAAUAUAAAAUUUUCAAUUAUCUUAUCUUAAUUCAUAUUGACUCAAUUAAUUUGUAUUCGUAUAUUAUAAAUUUAUUCAAAGCAAAAGCAUUUUCUAUUAAGUGUUUAUCCAUCCUCAAAUUCGAACUCGCUUGAGAUUUAAAUAGAGUAAACAAAAUAAUUAAUCAAAAUAUCUAUAUUAGUUUUCAUACUUACUUUUUUUAUAUAUAAUCUAAACGAACACUAUGAAAUAUAACGAAGAUCUUGCAUGGAGGGCUAAAACUAAAAGUGUCACUUAUAAAACUUAUUUUCUCCGUACCUUCAUCUUAACAUAACUUUGACUACGUAAGCUUUACAUUGCUUAUUUAAGCUACGUUUUGAGAUGUAUAUCAGAUUUAUAUGUCGUACCCAAAACUAAUACCAACAGGCAAAAAAUAUAAGAAGCAAUGUGGACAGAAAAAGCAAGAAAAGGCAGCAGAGUGUUUGGCCACAAAAAUACAAUUGUAACAGAGAAUUCCCAUGCGUUCUACGUCUGUCUUUAAUAAAUGCAUAGGCAAACAAGUAGCUACUACUCACUAUAGCCUUGUACACAUUGCUAAUGUCGAUACGUCUAUGUCAAAUGCUUGAAAAAUAUAUAAAAAUUCAACAUGAAAUAUGAUAAUAUUUUUGGAGAGUCUAGAAACGUACACUAAUAUUACAUGGUGGUGAAAUUAAAAUAAGAACUUUUGUUGUGUAAGUUUUAGGUUAGGGAUCUUAAUUUGGAUAUGAUUCAAAUUCAACUAACAAGUUCAAAUUUCACAAGCUGACUAAGUCAACAAAUGUACAUUUUUUUUUUCUGUUUGAAGGCAACAAAUGAUAGAGUUGUUUCAACAUUUGAUGUGACUAAAGAAAGAAAGUAGUAAUAUGUAAGGAGAAAAUGGUCAUAAUAUCAUCCAUGAAUAGAGGAUUUCAAUUGACGCUUUUUUCUUUCCUUUCGUCGUGUGAUAUUCACAUUAAAACUCGACUAAAUUUGAUAUCAUGUCAGAAAGUCCACAUUAAACGAUUCCAUAUUUAGAGGAAUUCGAAUUUGAAACCUUUAGUUAAUGAUGAAGGAGUACUCAUCUCUUUAUCACUCAUAUUAAAACCCGACUAAAUCUGAUAUCAUGCCAAAAAGUCUCAUAUUAUAGGGCUAAAAAGUGUUCCCCUAACAAAAACGAUUCCAUAUUUAGAAAAACUCGAAUCUAAAAAACUUAUUUAUGGAUGAAGAAAUAUUUAUCUCUCCAUCACGUUUCGCAUUGGGAUUUCAAUAUAGAAUACUAAAGGUAACCCUACCUAUUCUAUUUUAUUACAAACCCAAUCAAAAAUACCCAAAAGUAUAUGGAAAAUGACAGUCAAAGCAAAAUAUUUUAUGUAACAUUUUCUUGAAAUAGAAGUAUUGGGCUGGGCUGGGGCCAUAAAAAUGGGCCAUGACAGUUGGAAUAUUUUUGGAGGGAAAACCCGUGAAGAAUCUGUGACCGUUGAAUCCAAAUCCUAAAUAGAGAUUUUAUUUGGAUAAAUGUGUUGUUCUACUUUGUACUGAAAAUGACAUGUACGGUUCAAAAUUUAACAAACCAAACGAUCACCACUUUGCCUUUCGGCGCCAAAAGAAUAUUGAAUAUGAAUUUCCUCGUCGUAACGAAAACUCACUAUCAAACAACUCGUCCUAGUAUAAAAAGUCAUUUGGUUUGAGUGACGAAAAUAAUGAAGUGAUCAAUAACUCAUCAUGAUGAAAUCGUUCAUAAGUCAAAAUUAAGUCAUUUAUCGACUAUAUUUAAUGAACUAAUUAUAUGAGGCAUUUAGACCAUGGGAAAGUCCAUUUUCUAAUAAUUUGAUGCAUUAUUUUUCACUUUAAAAACAGAUAGGAAUUGAAAAAAAGUUGUUGGCCAACAAGCAGUCCCACUUUGUUUUGUAGAAGAUAUAAUAAUUAAUAAUAAUAAUAAUAUGGUAUAGUAGUUGAUAAUAAAGCACGGAAUAUUUGUUUUGUAAUGUAAUGGUAUCUUUAGAAAUUGUCUUAAAUGGCAUCUGUUUUUUUACUCUAAAUAAUGAAAAUUAUUUUACUUCAUUAAUAAGGUUUCAUGUGCAAAUUCAAACAGGCCAGAUCAUAUAGUUAAUGUACGCUAUUUUGGGGCUUGUGCCUGCUUUGAAUUGGUAGAAAUUGAUGAAUAACACUCAAAUUUCUAUAUAGUUUUACAUAAGUAAUUAACUAAUUAUUAAGGGAUUGUAUCAGAAAUUUAUCGAAAAAUAUAUAAUUUUUAAAAUAUAUAUAUAAUUAUGUUUAUUAUUUAGUAGAGGUUAGUUAUAGGAUUGAUAAAGUAAUAUCUAAUUUUCUUCUUGUAUUAUAGAUGGUAUUUUUUAAAUUUCUAAUAUAAGGUCGUUAGCCACUUUAUCAAGUGGUAAAUUUGCUCGUUAAAAAAAAAUAUAUGUUCAAAUUAAUUAUUAUUUUCGUUGUCCCUAUUCAUUAUUCACUUUAGAAAUGAAACACAUGUUAAGGUACCAAUGAUUAUCAUAGGUUAGUUAUAAUUUUUACUCUUUAACUUUAAAGAUUAUGCAACUUUUCAAGUAUAAUAUAUGUAUUUUCUGAUUUCAAAAAAGUAUGUAUUAUAAUUUAGUAGUAUUAUAAAUUUUAUAGAAUUAAACAAAAGCCUUUUUGGGAAAAAAUUUUUAUUGUUCUUUUUUAAUUUGUUAAAAUAUAUAAAUAAAUAGAAAACAAUAUAAAAUAAAUAUAAACAAGUAAAUAAAAGUAUUUACGGGAGUAUUUACUUUCACAAGCGCAUGGUUGAGUGGUUUGAAAGUGGAUCUUUCAUUGAAGUAAUUGAUGGACUUAAACAUGGACAAAUUAUUAUUUUUUUUAAAAAAAAUUAUAUAUAUAUAUAUAUAUCACAAAUUUAGGAAAUAGUUAGUUAGAUACACUUUAAUUUAUAACAUUACAAUCUUAUCAAAUUUUAAUGCGUUCAAAUAAGUCUGAAUACAUGUAUCUCAAGAUAAAUAGAAUCAAAAUUAUAUAUAUUUGUUAGAAAUAUAUAUUUGAUCUAAGUCGAUUGGUAUGCAUUUGUGAUACAUUGAUAAAUAUCUCUCGACUUCAUCAUCACGCUCGACACUCUUGGGAUACAUACUAUCUCGCUCACUCCAUCCCAUCUUUCUUAUUACUUCCUACAUAUUUGAGAUAUAUGACUAUCUCGCUCAUCUUCCUUCCCAUUCCGCUCGAGUUCUUGCUAUUUUUUAGUAUACAUACAUCAAUGUUUUUAUUUCUCAAUAUAAAUAAAAAAAACUAAGAUACACUAUUUAAAAUAUAAAUAAAAUAAGUAUAUUAUAUCUAAUAAGUUAAGUUUAAAACAUAUACAAAUUGAUUUAUUAAAUAAUUUAUUUUUUCAUCCAUAAAAUGUGGUUCACUAAAGAAAAAGGCGGGAAAUAGGCGGCGGCAGUGCCUCCUUAUGAAAACGACGGGGGCCGCAUACGUAGCAGUUAAAGACGGCCACUAACCCUAAAGUGUGUGGGACCCACAACUUUCACAUUACUGCCACGUCGGCAUAUCGUCAAAAGUUCAGAUACUUUGCUCACUUGGGGAAGAAACCUCACUAUUCAAACUUUAUUAUUUAUGGUAAAGUUUAAAUUUUAGUAAAAUAAGUUUCUUAUAAACGAAUAAUAUUAUGUUAUUCGGGUAAAAAUUUAUUUAUCAUCAUUGAUAUUCAUAUCGAGACUUUGCUUUUAUUUCUAUCCUGAAUAACUAAUAUGAGUAAGAAAUAUUUUUACAACUCAUUAUAUAUAAGUACGUGUAACAUGCUUAAAAGCAUGUGAAAUUGAUAUUAAAUAGAUAGUAAAAAUAUGGGCGAUAUAAAUUUUUUGAAAAAAUAUUCGAUGUAAUUAUUGUUAGAAUAAUGUGGGUAAAAUAUCAUCACUUCAUAGUUCAUGUGGUAUGUUAUUUUUCGAUGUCGAAAUCAAAAAUUAUAAAAUUACUCAAAUUUUCAAUAUUUGUAUGUAAAAAAAUAGUUUAUAAUUACAUAUCUUAUAUAAUCUAUAAUGGUAUGAUAUGUUUUAACAUGCAAGUGAAGAUAUGAAAAGAAUGUUCUUUACUCAGACCACUUGUUUUUAAUUUUAAAUAAAUUAUGAGUCUAAAUUUUCUCUCUUAUCUAUGUUACAUUAAAUAUUCAAGAAUUACGUGUUGCUUGAAUUAAUUUUUCCUUUCAAAUUUUAUUUGGAGGUAUUGUAACAUUUAUGCCAAAUCUAAUUCUGGUCUAUUAGAAAUUAAUUAAAUGUAAUUGAUUAUUAUUAUUUCAAAAUAUUAUCCAAUUUUACGUGUUUUAAUGUACUGUAUUUUAAUUUUUUUUAUUAAUCUUAAAAUUGAUAUCCUUGAGAUGUCACUCAACAAAUUAUAGUUUAUCUCGAUAUUUUGUUUUUUAAAAUUCAAUUUUUAUGUUUUCUUAAUUAAUUUUUUUUGAAUCUUUUAAAAUAAGAAAAAUAAAAUAAAAAUAAAUAGAGAUUGACAAUCAAGAGAUUUUUGUGCAGGCAGAUCUUUUAAUGAGCUCAUUAAGUUACAGGCUUUAAACAUAUGCACUCUGACCAUGUCUCCUAUUUCCCUACUUGUAAAUACACUCUCCAAUUUAAUUUAUAUCAUCUUAUUUUAUUUUACUUCAUUUUAAAUUUAAAAAUUAAAACAUAUACACUAUUGAUAAAAAAUAAAAAUAGACAACAUAAAUUAUGAGUUCAGAACAGAGUGAGAAUGUCACUUUAUCACCAAAGAAUGUGGUGAUGGAAUAAAAUUGUUUUUCAAAUUUCGAAUUUAAUCUGUGGUCAUAAAUUUUUCAAAUAAUAUUUGGAUAAUAAUUUAAUAAAUAAUGUUUCUUCAUAUAAUUUGUUAUUAUUUGAUAAAUAUUUUUGAUAAAUAUCUCAAAUUCUCAAAUACUAAUUGUUUCUAUUAUUUGGGCCAAAUCUCAUUAUUUUGGGAUCUUUUGAAAAUUAAAAUUUUUUCCAAACUUUUAUCUUUUACAAAAAAAAGCCCUCUAUAAUAAUUAUUUGUAUUGUAUUACAUAAUUUUCUUUUACGUGAAUACCAAAAUAAUGACGGAAUAUUUAGUGAAUAUUAAAUAAUGAUAUGAUUGUUCAUGCAAAGUAAACAUUAUUGUUUUUUUUAUGAGUUGUUCAUUUUGUAGUUUUGAUAACAUUUUAUAUUUUUCGAUUUCUGAAUUAUCAAUUUUCAAUAAUUAAUCAGUAUUUUAAUAGUAAAUUGAAUAAUUAUAUUUAAAUCAUUUAAUGUAUAAAAUAAUAAUCUUAAACUUUAAUUUCAUAAUUUUAUUUUUUAUUAUCUCAAAUUAUAAAUUAUACUACAAUGUAUUUGUGUUGAAUUUUUAAGAAUCCGUUUAGAUUGACUUAAAAGUCCGUCAAAUCUACUUGUAAGUCAAUUUUUUAUUACUGAAAAUGAUUGGCUAAGUCAAAUGCUUAAAAUAAUUUAUAAAGUGGUUGACAAAGUAAAAAAUAACUUAAAAUAAAUUAAAAGUAACUUCAAAUAAGUCAGAAAUCAAAAGUAAAUAUUUCUUUACUUUUUAUUACUUGACUUAAAAGUUAUUAUAAUUUAACUUUUAAUUUUUUUAUCUUUAAAACUAUUUUUUAUGCCAAUACAAAGGCCUCUAAGUAAGAUUAUUGAGCGUGAGAGCUAAAUGAAUCGAAAGAUUAAGUUUGGUUCGGGAAAAGGAUUAUGGAAUUUUGAAAAUGAAUGGAAAAAUAAUCUUCUUUUUUAAAGUGAUUUAUUAGAUAAUCGAAAAUAGAAAAUGUUGCAUACUAUUCGAAAUUCAUAAACAGUUUAUCAACUUAUUUGCACAAUUGUCAACUUAUUUGCACAAUACAAUUGAUUUGUCAAUGUGCUCCUAAAUUAUUUUGACUGAUUUUUUUAAUAUCAAAUUUUAACAAUAAAUUGAUAACAAUUACUAGCGGAUAAAUCAAUUAAUAAAUUAGUAUCUUAAUAAUUUUAUAAUCACUUAAUAUAUAUGUAUAAACUAAUAAUAGAUAAAUCGAAUUAAAAGAUCUUCUUUAUUACAAAUUGAUAAAUUGUAAGAUAAAAAUUACCUAUAAAAUAAUUAAAAAUAUUAUUAAUUCAUGCAAAGCACGAAGUAGUACAACAAAAGGAAUUAGUGGAUGAGGACAAUCUGUGUGCUGCCACCCAUUAUGCCAAAUCACAAAGGCGCCAACACGUUAUCAUUAGAUUACAAUAAUCUUUUAUGAUUAAACUCAACUAAAACAUUAAUUAACAUCUUAAUUAUUUUUAAUUAAUUAAUUCCAUAUUAUUUUCAGGUAAAUAUUCCUUAAUUAAAAAAAGGCAAAAAAAAUUAACUAUAGUCUUCCCACUUCCCACUACGUGGGGUCCACCACUACACUCACGUGGCAGACGUGCUUCAUUUACUGGGCCCAAAACGGCGAUUGCGUGUAAUUCAAUCGCCGACAUCGCAAGUGAAGAAUAAAAAUUACUGAAAUUUUUUAAAUUUAAAACCCCAUACAUUAUCUGUAUUUAUUUUUUGGAAUUAAUAUAAAUAUCAACUGUCUCCGCUAGUUGUUUCCUCCUUUCCACCAUUAGAACUGAACUUUGAAGCUCUGAAGUUUCAUUCUCAAAGCUCUGUUUUUGUGAUUUUCUGUUGGUUUUGAUAUGGGGGAAGAUUCGAAGGAGUGUGAGUUUUGGCUGCCGCCGGAGUUUCUCACCGGCGAUGAUGUUUUUAUGGGGUUUAAGGGGAACAGUAAAGGAGAGGGAAAUGAAAGAAAGAUGUACUUUGGUUGUGAUUUUCAGAACGAGUUUUCAUAUGGGUUUAAUAUGUUUGGUCCUCAUUCGGAUCUGAGUUCGCCGGUGGAGUCGGUUGUUGGUUCGACUGAGACAGAGAGUGAUGAAGAAGACUAUAUCACUGAGUUAACCCGACAGAUGGCUCAGUCCACUCUGGAAAACCGCAAGGUAUUUUUACUUUUUUUGUGUUUGUUGUUAUUUGUUUUAUUUUGUCUGCUAGUUCUCCAUUGAUUAAUUUAGAGAUUGGGGGUUUAUCUUCUUUUUGUUUUUCUGUAGGUGUAUAAAUUGUCGAGUUCUCCUCAGUCAACUUUAUGUGGUGUGCUUGGGUCUAAACAGGGGUUACAGAGUGAGAGCCCAAAUAGUCCUUUUCAGGUUUGUUCUCCGACGGAAGUUCAGGGGGUGAAGGGGACUGUGGAUUUGCUGUAUGCUGCUGUUGGUGAGGUUGCAAGAAUGAAGAAAAUGGAGGAAGAGGUUGGAAUUUGGGCUCCUCCAAGGAAGCCAACUCCAGUCUAUGUAGACCCUAAAAUGUCUCAACCAAAUCUUGGCUCAUUUUACUCUAAACAGCCACCACUCUCUUACCAGCAGUUUAAAAUGGCUCAAGUAAGCUUCAAUUCUGUUUAGCCCUUCACUUUUCUUGUUUUGUUCUUCAAAAUUUAUUGAUUUUUUACAUCUGUGGAAGUGCAGUUUCAGCGUUUGAAGCAACAACAGUUAAUGAAGCAAAGGCAAGUUGUAUUGGGUCCUGAAAAAGAAGGAUUUUGGCAGUACCAACUGAGGCAGAAUCACCACAAUCAGAGUAUACAGGGAAGAGACAGAAAUGGAGCUGAGAGGCCUGUGAACAUGGCAAUGUCUGGUGCUUGGCCUGCUCUACAACAAUCUCACCACCACCACCACCACCAGAAACAGCCACCACCACCGCCGCCUGUCUCCGGCAUGCGUGCUGUUAUCCUUGGAAAUGCUGCACCCAAAAGAGAAUGUGCUGGAACAGGGGUGUUCAUUCCCAGAAGAGUUGGAGCUCAAACUGAAACUCGCAAAAAACCAGGUAUCCUUUUCGUUUUCUUCUCCCCUGUUUCUAUGAACUUGAAUUUCAAAUUUGCUUUACAAAAUCCAUAUGUAUAAUUAGUCUGUUUUUGCAGUGAUUUUUUCCAUUGGGUUGUUCUUGUUUUCCGUUACAUUUUAUUAAUUCUACUUUCUUGAAACUGAUUAGUGUGAAUGUUAGACUGGAAUUUUGGACUUUUGCUCUGUUUUUAGUGAAAUAUGAAAAGAUUAUUUUGGCUCUGUUCUCAUUAUCUCAUGUUAUUAUUUAUUAACUUCUUCAUAAUUAUCUUCUGUGGUGUUUAUGUGUUUUGUCAAUUUACCAGGUUGCUCCACAGUUCUUCUGCCAGACAGAGUGGUCCAAGCUCUGAAUUUGCAGCCUCAGGUUCAACCCAGAUGUAAUAAUGGUAAAACAAAUAACAGUUUUAAAAUUCAAGAUCCAUUUGUUUGUUAGUCAUCGCAGAUUUAUUAAAAAUCAUUUUUUUUCCUUGUAUAGGUGGUGGGGUUAUGAAGUAUCGGAAUAUGGGAGAACAACAAUGGCGAAAUUUAAGAAGUCAGGCAGCAGUAGAAGCCAUAUCUCAAGAACAUCAACUUCCUCAGGAGUGGACUUACUAAAAAUCUACUGACUCAGAAGAAAACUUGUGUUUAGUUUUUGGUAGUGAAGAUUUCAGAUUUGUUUGUUUAGUUGAAAAAAGGAAUGGGUUUUUGGGGUUAGUAAUUUUAGGGUUAUAUGAUAAACUAAUUUCAUAGUAAGGUAAGAUGAAGAAGAAGAAGGAGGGGGUAGUAGAAGACAAGGCUCUAGAUUCAAGAAGAAGAAAAAGUAGAUUUUUAGGUACUCUUUUGUUUUGGAUUAAGAUUAGAUUAUACUUAAGUAUAUGACAAAAAUAAACUUGUUUAGUCAAUCAAGAAAUGGGGGAGAAAGUUGACUGUGUCUUGUUUUGGUUGUGGGAUACUUGAAAUACAGUCUAAUUUUCUCUUUUUUUGGUUUAAUCAGCAAAUGUAAUGGGAAUCAUCUAUCAAUAAGUAUACCAUUUGGACUUGUGUUUUAAUGUCCAGUUGCCUCUUUUAUGUUUUUUUCCCCCCAUUAUUAUAUAUUAUGAAUGUAUAUUCAUUUUUGCUUAUUGUAAAUAUAAUUGAGAUUAAAAUUGUGGGAGUUGGACAUUAGGUUAAAAAAUGUGGUGGAAUGGUAAGUAUUCUUUAAAAAAUGUGGUGAAAUGAUAAAUAUUUUUUCAUUCUGAGGUUUUGAUUAUAGAGUUAAUUUUGUCCGUGAGUCUUUUUAAAGUGAAUAUAGAUUUAGUUGAUACCAAACAAGAUAAAUAUAAAAAGAAAUAUCAAAGUAUUUUUUCAUCCUGCUGAUUAUUUAUCAUUCGAGCAAAUCUCUUCGGAUAACGAGAGUCCAAUAGCACAAAAGGGUGAGUGUGCAAACUCUACAUUGAAUAUUGUGAAAGUGUAUUGAAUCACUUUAGUUCCUUAUGGAAAGAAAAAAGUGCCCAAUAUAGGGCUGGCUUUAUUCACACUCUUCUUAUCUCUUUCCCCUUUUAAAUUUUUGUCCUUUGAUGAGUAUUUGUAAUGUUAUGGUCAAAGAUAUUAGGGACCCAAACAUGCCCUAGAGAUCUUCUCUUUCACAUCUCAUCCGAAUAAAAAAGAUUUCAAAUUCAAAUCACAAUAGUAUCACACAUAUUUCAUUUCUAAAAACAAGAUUUUUCGGCGCGACUCUAAAUUAAAUAAAUAGACUUAAUGAGGGUAGUACAUGAAACCCUCCAUUUGGUUCUUGGUUUAAUUAAUUAAAAAAAAAAAGAAGAAGCUUAGCUGUUAUUUUGGAUAAAUAUAAAAUUGUGAAAAGAGUACUUAUAUGUGAAACACUAAAUAGCGGUCACUUAUAGAGAAAUGUGUAAACAUUAUAAUGCUUCGUAGAAUGUUGCCCAUAUAGGACGGAUGUGCAAAGUGUAAACAAGACUCUUUGGUAUUCAAGAUGCUCCAUACUUGACUUUUCCUUUUUCCAAUGUUUCAUGUUUUUAAAAUUUUGAAAAAAAUACACUUUCUUCCGCUUCAAUUUUAUCUAACGUUAGUUCAAUUUGAUACAGAGUUAAAACAAAAUCGAAAAACCUUUAAAAUUUCAAUCAUUCUAACACAUAUAUUUUGUUAAUAAACAUAUAUAUAUAUAUGUAAUUUAUUUUGAAACAGACUAAAGAAAAAUGUGUUAGAUAAAUUGAACCAGUUGAAUGAGUCUCUUAAUUCAUAUAAUUUUUGUUUUUAUUAUUCAAUAUAAAACAUAUGAUAGUACUUAUAAUUUACCAUUUUAUAUUUAUUUUAUUCUCUUAUUACAAAAUAUUAAUUACUUCAAUUAAAUUUUAUUUUCAUUAAUUUUUUUAAGGAGUGUAUCAAAUUAUACGCGAAAAAAUUAAUUUUUUAUAACUGAACUUCAGGUUCAUCAAAAUUUCAUUUACGAAACAUUACAGAAAGGGUAAAAAUAUUUUAAUGUUUACAUUGCAUACGUGAAAUUUUCUCAAACUUCUAAAUGAAAGUUCCGACUCCACCAGCGAUCCAUCACACUUUAAUUACCAACUCAGAUGGUAAUUCAAUGCUCAUUUCUUGAUCAGUAUGAAAUUGAUAAACCUUACAAACAAAUCUCCCUGCUGCAUGACCAACAACAGCCACCAAGAAAAACCUAAAAUCUGUAGUAACAAUAAACACAACAACCAAAUAAGUCAUAAAAAUUCUAAGUCCAUAAAAUCCAGAUUCUUGUAACAACAUUUUAAGACUUCUCUGUUGUUUCUUAGUACUCAAACUGUACAUAGAACAAAAUUCAGACAUAAAUGCCAUCAAGAAAAUCAAACAAACAGGAAACAAACAACCCCCUUUAGUCAUUUCACAAUCAGACCAUCCUGGAAAUUGUGUUUUUGUGUAAGAAAUCCAGUAACUUGAACUUAAUGAUGAUUGUGAUUUGGUUGAACUUGCAUUAGUAAUGAAAUAACUUCGCGAUAUCGAAGAAUAAUUGGUUGAAAACAUAACUGUGUUUCUAAAAUAUGUUGUUAUGGGAACUUAAUUAGAACUAAGGUGAAUUAUAAAUAGCAAGAAAGUAAUGAAGUUGAGUAGUAAUUUGGAAGCAUAAUUGGCUAUGAUUGUUAAUACAAUCAUGAAGAGUAACUUGUACUUCUAUAAUAUCAUAUACUAAUUAAAGAGCUAAUUGUCAUCACUCCAUUUUUCUAUUAUGAGUUUAUCUUGCAAGGAUGGAAACAUAAUUGGCAAUGAUAGUCAUCACAAUCAUGAAUGUUUAUGUACUUUUAUCUUGAAAAGUAUAGCUCUUAGAAGGAGCUCUAAUAUACUAUGUUGUUCGAGCUCUUAAAAAAAAUACUAUUUUACAUGUCAUGUGUUGGACGGAUCUUUCAAGAUGUCUAAUAUACAUUAAUGUUGCUCGAACUCGUAAAAAGUACCAUCUUAGUUCUAAGAUAUAUCAUAUAUGUCAGAUCCUUCAAAAUAUUCACCAAGAUUGACAACAUUUUGAGGAUCCAAGCAACAUAGUUGGUAUGUAUUAGUUUCCAUUUGUAAAUCGAUUUUUUUGUUUCUCAUCCGAUUUAAAUUUACCCGAAAAGUCUUAUAUUUUUCCGCUUAAUUUGAAUUUGCAUCGAAAAGUCUUAUAUUGGGGAGUAAAUCGCUUUUUAACAAAAAUAACUAUAUGUACAAAAUAACUGAAACCUGAAACAUUUAAUUAAAGAUGAAUGAAUACUUACCCCUCUAUCACAACCUGGUCGAUGCAAAGGGGUGAUUUACUAUCACUAGGUAAGAAAGAUUGUUUUCACAAUGGGUGUUGUUUGGUAUAUGUUUAUUAAUCAUUCUCAAAUCUAUUCUAUCUUCAAGACCAUUGCCCAAACCUCAAUGAUUACCAAAUUGAAGUAUAAAUCCUACAAAAAUAUGUCAUUUUUAUUAAGAAUUCGAUAAUAUUUAUUGAAAUAGAAAAAAAUGUGCACUCAAUCAUGCAAAACCAAUCAAGAAACUCGAAAAAGAAAAAGAGAGUGGACUCCAAAUAAACCCGACCUGAUUAUCUAAUCCAUAUCUUUUUUGAAAAUUGGGCUUCCAAAAACCACAUAACCAACCGCAUGGCCCAAAAUUGCAGCAAUAAAAACUCCACCAUUAUAAGACAUAACAGCAAGCAUAACCAUAUAAGCAAACCCGGCUCGAACCGCUUGUAUUCCGGCUUGAAAGAAAACCGCUGCAGCCCGGUUCGAACCGGGUUUAACCAACUUCAAAUUUGAGAAAAACUCAACAAGAAUAGCCAAAAAAAAGACAAAAAUCAAACCCAAACCAUACAUUCCUUUGCUAUUUCCAGGCCAAUUUGGGAAAAGAAAACAAGUGUUUCUUCCCCAAUAGAAUGACAAGUGAAUAAGAUGAUGAGAUUUUGGAUGAAUUUGAGUUGUUUCAUUUGAGUUAGCCCAAGCCAUCAUUGGCAAUGAUGGGUUCAUUUGAUUAAAACCCGGUUCAAGUUAGAGAACCACAUUAAUGGGGGGAUUUAAAAAGAGUAAAAAUGAAAUGGAGAAGAGGAGACAAAGUGCAUAUUAUUUGUCCUUUUACACGUCCUCUUUCUUCUUUUUUCCCUUUAGUUCACAUGGCGUGGAAUUGUUUGGUAGAGUAUAAUAAUAAUAAUAAUAUGUAUAUUAGCUUCGUGUAUUACUAAUAUUAUUCUGAUACAUUUUGUUUACCUUACUAAUGCAUUAUAUUUAAUAUUAUUUUAUACACUUUAUCAAAGAAUCAGAGUCCAAAAGAAUAUAAGAAUAAUGUAUUUAUUAGUUUUAUUGAGUUAUUUUUUUAGUGUAGUGUUUAGUUUGAUAUAAUAAAAAUGCAUUGUGUAACUUCUAUAAAAAUGAGAGUUAUGUUAUUAAUUAAUCUAUACUUGUGUUGAAAUAGUAUGUAUUGUUAAUAUAUGAAAAUAUAAAAUAUUAGUAAUACUUGUUUUAACACACAAUAGAGUAUAUAGUAAUAGUAAAAUUAUUCAUCAACUUAAAAAAUAUACUCAAAGAAAAUACUAAUAAUACAUUAAAUUAAUGUGUACACUAUUUUUUGUUAAUUCACUCUAACAAAGAUGCUUAAAAGAGUGUCAUGCUAGUACCCUAUUAUAAUACAAAUAUUAGCUAACCAUCCCACCUUUGGAUAUAAACAUUUAGACACUAAUAAAUAUUUUUCCCAUAAGAAAUAAUUACUUUUAUGUUGUUUACAUUUGAAUAUUUUUGGGCGUGUGAAUAACAUACAAUAAGAAUGCAUUUUCCUUUUAAAAAAAGAAUCGAAUGUGCAAUUACUUGUUUUGAAGCAAUCCUAUUUCACUACUUACACUUUCGGUCUGACAGUUGGUUUUUCUUUUUUUCAAUAUUAGCAAUAACAAUAAUUAAAAUUUAAUUUUAUCAAUAUAGGUCGUGGUGCGUAUCCGGUUGUCUAAAUUCCUCUCUGGUACAUCCAUAUCACACUUUGAUACAUAUCUUAUCUCUCGGAUACAUCCCUCCCUAUGUAUGCGAAUGUUUGCUUAUGUAUUCGAAUUUUAUAAAUUUUAAGAAGUUUUUUUAAUUUGAAAAAGAAUAGAAAAAUAAUGUAAUUAACUUUAUAAGAUUUAUGUAAAUUAUACAAAAGAAAAAUAAAUAAAUGAGUUGGGCCUUACUGAGGAGAAUUUGGGAACUUGGUAAUUAACCCGCCACAUGGGCCAAACUAACCUAUGGGCUUUGGAUUACAAUCUCAACCCAUACGUGCAAAGAAAAUGGGCCAAGUCUGGAUCAGGUGGAGCAAACCGAUAAAUUCAAAAAUUACACGUUUCAUAUCACUCACCUAAAAUUUUAUUUACAUACUCAAAUUAUAACAUGCAUUAACACCUUGAAUUUAUCGUCAUGUCAUAAAGAUUGAAACAAAAAAUAAUCAAGUGUUUGGUACUCAUAUUAAAGACGACUCAGACCAGAAAAUCAACUUUUUCCUAAAAAAGUUUACUCCGUACCUAUAAUUUGAUGUUUCAUUUAUCACUUAGGAGUGAAUUGCUUCCUUUUGUUACAGCAUGUGCCUUUGAAAGAACCCAACAAUUUUGUUUCCAUCAAAGUCUUCUUUACACACACAAAAAAAAGUACUUUUUCUCCUUAUUAUUAUGUGACAAAUGAAGUACUUUUUUUUUUGGCAAAUUGUAGACUUAUAAUUGGGUCCAUAUAUCUUAAUAAUAGAGAAAUAAAUACUUUUUUUGCUAUAGCAAGUCAAACAGAUAUAGCUAUGCUAAACCCCAUAAGGGGAGGGGGGGGGGGUCUCGGUGUGGUAUGAGUUGAAUUGCGAUCAAAUAUAAAGCUUGUUUGAUAGACUUUGUUAAAAAAUAAAUUUAUGUGCUUAAUAUUAGCUAUAAUUUUUUAUAUUAUGAUAAAAGUUUGGUCCCGAUAGAUAUAUUUUCAUUGAACUUUCAAAUUUCAAAAUAAAGUGGCCAUAACGAAGAGCAUAUAGUAGAGUUUUGAGACUUCGUUGAUGCAUCAUCAAAUUAUAUUUAUAAUAUAUUUAAAUAAAUAUAUGAAAAUAAAACUAAACAAUAUUAAUUUAUUAAACCUAUCAACAAAUAAUUAAUUUAUUUUUGAGCUACUUUUUAGGCCCAAUCCAAUUGCCCCCAAUAAGUGGAAGAUAGGACCAUAAAUUAGUUAUGGAAAAAUUACAUAAAUUAAUACAAUUUAAAUUAAAAAAUAAUUACUCAUUUUAGCGAUACUUUUUGUUUAUUACCAUUUAUAUCAAAGCUUUGUUAAAUCUGUAAUAUGUAUUAAAAGUGAAUUAUGUAUGCAAUAUAUAUGAAUUAUAAUUGUUUUUUGAAAUAUAUCAUGUUUGUUUGGUAAAAAGUUGUCACGUUAUAUUAUAAGUAUAUUAAAAUGUGUGAUAAAUGUAUUAUUCAUCAUUAAAAUUUGUAUUAUAUGUGAAUAAUAAAUUGUUCUUUGUAAUAUGUAUUAAACUUGUAUUAUAAAUGAAUUAAAAGUGAUCAAGUGAAAAAAAAAUUAUUGCUAUAAAUGGUAAAUAUUUUUUUAUUAUAGUAUAUUUAUGUAAGUUUCCCAAUAGUUAUUGAUGCAUGUGUGUUCCUGCUUGCUAGGAGUCUCUAAUGCAACUACUCUUUCUUAUUAUUUUAUUUUCGAAUUGAAUAUUCAUAAUUAAAAUUGAAAUAUAUGAAUAUUAUACAUUCAUACAAAAUCAAUACCACUUAAUUUUGGGAACCUAUUGAAAUUAUAUAUUCAUAGUGCGUAAAAAUUUAUAAGUUUAUUCAUUUUGAAACAAUCUCACUUUUAGAUAUAUAUUUGAAAUUUCACUUUGAUAUAUUUGACUGAAGUUCAACUAUUUUUAUUUGAACUUCAGUCAUAUAUAGUUGAAUUAGUCUUUUUCUUAUAAUUUAAAACACAAUAUAUCUGAAGUUAUGUCAGAAGUAUAAACAAAUAAAUAUAAAUUAAAAAAUAAUAUUCAAAUAAUAUAUCACAUAAAAUAUUUACCAACUAGUACCUGCACUGAAAUUUUGCAAUAUUACCAAAUUUUGCCUUUUGUGCCCUAUAAAGUAUGAUAAAGAAUUGAGGUUAACCUACUAAUAUUCAAAGAAAAAAUAUACUAAAUAGCUACAAGAUUAUGAGAAUAUUUGUAAGAAUGGACCACAAUUAAUCCUUUAAUCCAUUAGCCCAUUGGUCUAAAAUGGUUCUUUCACUAAUCCAAUUCAAUGAACGUUCCUAAUUAGUUGUUCAUUUUUGAAUUUACAUAUUUAUUAGGAAAAUGAUUAUUGACAUAAUGAAUUUAUCAUUUUAUUUUUAUUAAUUAUGAAGUAGAUUAAUUAAAAAUUUAAAAUUUUAAAAAAGUUUUAAAUUUUUCGAAGAAAUUAACCGAGGAUACAAUAAAUUUAAAAUAUGUAUUUUCUUGAUUUAUUAUAAUCGAUUUAUAAUUAAGAACAACUAUAAAAGAAAAAUGAACGAACUAUUAUGAACAGACGGAGUAAUACUUGAAACAACGUUUGGACAUAAAAAUAGUAAAAUUUGAAGAACAAAAAGUGUUAAUUCCUUUUUAAAAAAGUUGACACUACUAUUUAUAAAAUAAAGUUGUAUUUGAACAUGAAUAUUUGUCAGUUAUAUUUAGAUUCCUGUGAGUGAAAAUUGUGUAAUAAUUUUUUAGAGUUUUUUUUAAAAUAUUUAUUAUGAUAAAAGAUUAAAAGAUAAUGGAGUGUUGUUUUAUUUUUUAAAAAUUUAAAAUUGUUGAUAUUUGUUAUACUACUAAUUGUAAUCUUAUAGUAGUUUUUAUAUCUAUCACCAUAUGUUAUUUAUCACAUGUAAUUAUUCUAUUUUUAUAGUUUUUACGAAACUUUUUUCUUUUUUAUCCAAAUUUAUUAUAGUUAAUCGAGAGUCUUUUAACAAUAUUUCAUCGUCCAAAUAAUAAUGCAUUCCCAAAAAAGGAAAGAAAUAAUUCUUUACGUAGACCCCAUUUGUGUUCAGUUUUCUGUAUGAAUGAAUGAGUUGUUUUCGUACUUGCCUAGCUACCGGUUGUGUAGAAUUUAUAGAUAGAUUUCCCAAAAGAUUUUGCUAUUUUUUUGUUUUAAAUUUUUAAAACUUUAAAUCUCAAAAAUAGCAAAAGUAUAAUCUAUGGAGUCCGUUUUGAUUUGAAUUUACGUUAUGAUGAGUUAGUUAUGAUAGAAUAAGUUACGAUCGAAUUAGUUAGGAUGAAAUAAGUUAUACUAAAAUUAUUUUAUAUUGAGUGUUUGAUUGAUUAUAAUGGUCUAUCUGAUAUCUAAUAAUUAUAUGUAAAUUUGAUUUGAUUUAUUAAAUUUUAUUUAAAUAAUAUAUUCAUGUUAAUAAAUUCAUUAUCUAUAUUUAGCUUUUGUCAUCUUUUGUGGUGUUAAUUAGGUGAGAUAUCUCAAAGUUUUGCUUACUUAGAUCUUCUUUGUCAUCAUUUGGCCUAUGUCAUCUCUUUUUUAGUGUUAUUAAUUACUCAAUCGAAUAUAAUAUCAACUAUCCUUAAAUGUAUUUAUAAAAUUGUAUUUGAAUAUUUAAAUUAUAAAUGAUCUAAAUCAAACAUUUGAUAUAAUAUAAAUAUUUUUAUUAAAUGCUUUACUGUGAUUAAAUACUUAUAAGCUAAAUAAGUUAACCAAUAAAAUGUGCCACUUGCUUUAAUUAUAUACAUCAAUCUUAAUUAGAUUGUCAUGCCAUUUUUCAUUUUGCUUAGAUUAAUGUGUAUCACUAAGUGAGGUAACAAACUUUAAUGAGCCGUAAGUGAAAUAAAAAUAAUAAUCUUUUGCUAUUAACUUUAUGUAUAUAUAUGAUUUGAGGUAUUAACUAAUUUCAAAAGUAUUUUAUUUUCUCUGUUUCAAAAAGUGAUUUAUUUUGAUUUGAAUUUAAAAAAAGUUUUUUUUUUUAAUUUUGUGAUUUUAAAUUAAAGUUAUAUCAAAUAUAUCAAAAUGUCCUUUAAUUUUGUGGUGUUAAAUAUGUUAUGUACAAAAUUAAAAUUAAAAUUUUACCAAAAAAGAAAAAAAUUAACACAAUAAAAAAUUUAAAAACAGAAAGAGUAUCAUAUUAUUUUCACCAAAAUAAAGCCAUUACGAUAAAAGGUGAUGUCAAAACUAUUCCAUUAUAUAUUCUUAUUUAUUUCAGCUCACAUAACAAACGAUUCACGAGUUAUUAUCCUAUUCACAUACUCUUUCCAAAAUUUUGAAGCAAAAAGUAUCUAUAAAAAUAUAUUAUCAUAAGUUCAAGUCAACUAUCAAAACAUAUUAUAUUUCGAGUAUUAAAAUAAAAAUUACUAAUAAACUUGAAAUUUGACAUGUUCACCUUAUUCUGUCGUCAUGACUAUGCGAUGUUAAUUAAUCAAUAAUUUUUUAAAAAAAGAUAAUAAUAUAUUACAAUUUUAUAUCAAAAAUAAAUCAUAAAUCUAUAUAACUGCAUUAAUUUUCAAUAUAUUACAUACUUCUUUUACUUGGUAAUCAUAACUUCUAAAAAGUUAAAAAGAAUUUAAUACUUCUAAGGAAGAAGUUUAAUCUAAAUUUAAUUAGAUUCUAAUUUAAUUUAAACUCUAAUAAUUUUGAAGAAUCAAUAAUUUCGUCGUGUUUUAAGCGAUUUUGAUAUUAGCACCUUUCUCUCAAAAGCUGUGUAAAGCAAAAAAAUCCACCGUUUUUCUGAACUGUCGCUCCGUGUUCAACUCCUUGGCAGACACACCAAAAUGGAGAGAGAAACUUAGAGAGAGAAACAUAAUUUCAAAGUAGCAAUUACCAUUUCACGCACAAAAAGGAAAAUCAAUCUGCAGGAAAAUUUUUACAGGAAAAAAAAAAUUAUUCCUGCUAGACUGAUUUUCCUUCAACUUCAUUGCCUGUUGAAUUUUUUUUUUUGUUUUCUCAAAAUUUGGGGAAUUGCGUUGUUUUCAAAAAAUUGGAAUUUUUGGGUUUUUAGGAUGAAGGAUUUUGAUAUUCAAAGUUGGUUUAUUAUGAUGUAAAUACGAUUUUUUUUUUUAAAAAAAUGUCGUUUUAUAUUGGUCGUGAGGCUCCAAAGGUUGUUUCUUUUUCUCAUGAAAUUUUGUGUUUUAUGUUGUGCUUUUGUUUAUUAAAUUGUGAUAAUGAUGGUUGUUGUUGUUGUUAAUGGAGAGUAGCUGUGGAGGAGAAUUUGUGCAGAGGCAACAAUAGAGAUUAAUCUUCUUGCUGAAAAUUGGAAAUAUAUUCUUGGUGGUUUAAUAUUUCAGGUUUCUAUUUUGUUCUUCUUUUUUAUCAACUUUUGUUGCAUAGAAUGAGAAGUUAUUCAGAUUUGCCAUAACUGAAAGCACGUUGGAGUAAGGCAAAAGGAUAUAUUUUGCUAAUUGGGAGUGUGUUUUUUUCCUCUUUUGGCGUAAUAUAUAAACGUCCUCUUUUAACUUGGUCUCAUCUGACAUAUAUGCUUCCAAUGAAUUGAACAAGUACACUACGUGGCAAUUCACGUCCUAUACUAUGUGUAAUACGCAUAAGAUGUGUGUAUCUACUAGUUUAACUUAAUGUAUAAGUUUGAGUCUGCACACCCGAAGUUGGAGCGUGUAGAUGCCAACUGAUGCUAAGUUAAAUGAUAUAUUUAUGUAUUAUGCCUUUUCGUUUAGAUGAAAGUUUGUUAGUAGAUUGUCUAAUGAUCUUACCGGGGUGCCUGGUUGGCCUAAUGCAGGAAAUAGUAUUUUCUGAUUAAUUGAUGUGGUUGUAACUUUGCGGAGAGUUAACGUCUGCCUUUUUGGAUUAAGAAUAUCCAUCUAUAAUGGUGUAUAUUAGCUUAUAAAUUAAGAUGACUACGAUUUUUCCUGUUUUCUUUCUGCUAAGGUAUAGCUUAUCAAGUAUUGACUCGUGUAAGUAGCAAAAUAUCACUGUUCAAGUUACGAGCGAGGAGAGAUUGAGAGACAUCAAAUUUUGCUUUCUUUUUCAUUUCGUGUAACAAUUUGUGGUUUUACAUUUCUUACCUACACAUUUUGCUGCCAUGGAAAAGUGUCGUUGACUACUGUAUGAUGUAUCACCAAGUUGUGCAUGAAGCCAUUAGGCCGACGACAUGUUUGCUUGGGCGUCACACAUUGUAGGGAGAAAGACGUUCUAAAAUUGAGUUUCUACUUUUGAUCAUUGUAAAUUUAGAUACAUGAGUUAGAGUUACGGAGUUUAUCUGUCUCCUUUCUUCAGUACAUCCAUGGACUUGGUGCUCGUGGGGUUCAUUACUUACAUCGACCUGGACCAACUCUUCAGGACGCUGGCUACUUUCUUCUUCCGGUUAGACUUAUUGAUUGUUUUUCUAUAUCUGUCCGCUAUCUUGGAAGAGGUGUAUUCUUAUUUUUUUUCCUUCUUCUUUCCUUGUAAACUUCCAGGAGCUUGGGUCAGACAAUGCUUAUAUUAGCGAAACUGUAUUCACUACCAUUUUUCUAUCUUUCGUCUUGGUGAGUUGGUUUCAGAUAAAUUUUUCCAUCACUAGUUAACACUGAGUCUCUUUGUUCCCUCUUUUUGUUAGUUAUAAACUUUUUACAAGUACUUGAAUAUGUUCAAGGUAAACUGUGAGCCCAAGCUGACUUCGGUUUAAAAAAAAUAGGGAGAGCAUGGACAUAAGACUCUAGAAAGUAUUGCGUGGUACCACAAUGACUUUCAUAAUCCGCACCUGGCUAUUAUCUUGUCUUAACGUUUAUAGUUUAUUUAUUUACCUAUGAAGUGAAUUUUUGUGUGUUAUUGAUCUAAUUGUUACUCAUCUUUUACGGCAGUGGACAUUCCAUCCUUUCAUUUUCAAGACCAAAAAGAUCUAUACGGUUCUGAUGUGGUGCAGGGUCCUGGCAUUCUUAGUUGUAAGUGCCCUUUUUCUUAUAAUUCACCUUCCUUUUGUUUCGUAAGUCAAUUUUCAAUUGAGAGUAGUUUCUUUCAUCAUUACUAUAUAUAUGGUUUAUGUUGGGCAAAAGAUGACUUUCUGCUCUCUUCCGAUAAAAUACAUAUGUUUGUUCGUUGCUUCCAACAUUUAGAGUGAACCUCGACUUAUGUAUUCUAUCUUCUAAUUUGUUAAAUAAUUGUUUGGUACAGGCUUGUCAAUUUCUUCGGAUGAUAACAUUUUAUUCUACACAGCUUCCUGGUCCAAAUUAUCACUGCCGUGAGGUAGAAACCGGCCCAAUUGAUGAUUUAUUGGUUUGCAUUUGGUUAGAGGUGUCUAUGCGUUGUGCAUCACCUUAUUUUUUUAUUCUGCGAUUUCCAGGGUUCAAAGCUUGCCACACUUCCUCGGCCUGAUAGCGUUUUAGAAGUUCUACUACUUAAUUGUAAGUUGCAUUCACGUUUACAUCUAUAGCAUUUUGGAUCUUUGGUUUGUUUAUCUUUGUUGCUUAAAUGAUCUUUAUGGCAGUUCCUCGGGGCUUACUUUAUGGUUGUGGUGAUUUGAUAUUUUCAUCGCAUAUGAUAUUCUCCCUAGUCUUUGUGCGGACAUAUCAGAAAUACGGCACACGAAGGUAAUAUAAUGGCUUUGAUAUUACUAUGUUGUUCUUUUAUGAGUAGGAGUUAGGAUUGAUGUCCAAAUUUAGCUUUACAACUGGUGAGUGCGAUUGUGCAAGUGAUAUUAUCGAUGAUGUUGGGGAUGAAGCUUGAUUUCAGUUGUACUAGACAAUGUAGCUCGGACUUUUCAAAAAAUAUUGACGGGUGUGUGUUGGAUCCUCCAAGAUUAGUGCAUUUUUGGAGGAUUCGAUACGGGUAUGGAAUCAACGGAUCAGUCCCAACUCCUGAACAUAAUAUCACUAAUCUUUUUAAUCAAAUUGAUUCUGCAGGUUUAUAAAGCAAUGUGCUUGGAUAGCUGUUAUUGCUCAGAGCUUUUUAAUUGUUGCAUCACGUAAACAUUACACUGUAGACGUUGUUGUGGCAUGGUGAGUCUGUUUUUUUGGCUUGAGGUGCUGUCUUGCAUAAUUUUCGCAGAUGACUAACUUAUUUGCCCCAUACUGUUUUCCUACAGGUACACUGUUAAUCUAGUAGUGUUCUUCGUUGACAAAAAAUUAUCAGGUUAGGCAUGUAGCUUUAAACUUCCCUUCGAACGAUUCUUUUAUCUGGUGAGGAAGAGCUAAAGUAUGAGCUAUACUCUGUAGAGCUGCCUGACCGUAGUAGUGCAGCCUCAUUGCUUCCAGUAAGCAAGGAUAGCAAGACUAAAGAAGAGAAUCACAAACUUUUGAACGGAAACACAGAUCCUGAAGAUUGGGUAUGGAGAUUUACCGUUUUCUUUAUCAUUAGACAUCAUCUGUAGCUAAUGAAAUUGCUUUCUUCAUUGUUUAUAGAGGCCUAGAACACAAAUCAACGGGAUGAUCAUGGAAGAUGGUAACGCAGUCCACGUUGAAGCAGCAGUGAAUGGUGUAUAUAGACAGUAAAAUACAUAGAGCGCAACUACCUGAACCUGGUUGAGGCACUACUGUUCAAUGUCACUGAAGUCGGCGUUCCACAACUCAUUCGUGGUACUCUUCCAGGUCCCAAUAGUUUUGGUCUGUAGUGUAGGAUACGAAAUCUAGAUGAUCUGCUAUGAAUGCCUCUAAUCGUCCCUAACCUUAACUUUCGUGGCUUCAAUGUAUCAUGGAACUCAAUUUUUCUUCCGAUAAUGCAAUUAUUUUCUAGUUGUGCUCACCAAAAUCUUAGUACAUGUGUUCAUUUCUUUAAAGGCCGAAGAGAAAUGUGAAAUAUGUAAAGAUGUCCGUUGUUAUAAGCAUUCAUGAUGAAUUUACAAGUUUUGCGCUAGUCCUUUGAGACUGAGGCGUAGUUAUUGUUAUGGUUGUUAGCAAGUUUUACACAUCAAGAACCACUAUGUAUUCAUAAAAAGUAAAGUUCUUUAUGUAUGGCCCCAUUUACAUGUUUGCUGCAGAUAAAAACAGAGAUUGCACCUAAAUAGCCUCUUCCUUCAUUUGGGGUAUUUUUGUCAUUUAAUCAUGGGAUAAUACUCGGUGAAUAAAAAAAACAUCUCAAUAUUUCAGUAAGAAUCUACCAUAUGUUUUUUCGAUAAAAACUGUAUAGAGAAGUAUUUUAUAAUAUUGAAUCGCGAUAGAAAAAAUCUUAUAAGUUGUAGUGGGUGAUAGAUAGCCUGUCAACAGCUAGUUAUGCAACUAUUGUUGAUAACAUUUGACAGACAACAUGUUUGUGAGUGAGAUUUUGAGUAUAAAUAUUGUCAUAAUUAGGGUAUGUUUGUCUGUCUAACAAUCACUAUUCUUACUGUUAUUAAAGUCUACAUACACUGUUAUUGAAGGGGUCCUCUUGACACCUUUGUGGUGCUACACAUUAUAAACAUAAUGGACCUACUUGUUUCUUUAAGUGAUGUUGAUCAUUCAUUCAUUUGGUCCCAAUUCAGUCGUUUGGUUCGAGGGAUAAAAAGAUUACGUGUAAUUUCAGAAUACAAUUUAGGUUAUUAACGUAUAAUUCUACGUUUUUUGAUAGGAUUUUUUAUUUUGAUUUGAUUAUGACUUCAUGUUGGAUAACAAUCUUGGUUAGUUAAACAUGCAUUUGCCUUCUCCAAACCUUUUCUUCUAAGGUCCUUUUAAGAUAUUUAGACAAGUUUAACAUUGAAAUAUAUGAUAAUCGCGAUUUAUGAUCUAGUUUAAACCAAAAUAUAUGUUUUACUAUAAUAUAUACCUUGUAUAUUUUUUUUUGUUUGAUAAAUCAAAGAUAUGUCAAUAAGAAUGUAUAUAUCAUAAUAAUUGUAGUAUAUAAUUAUUAGUUUCGACAUUAUUAAAUUAUUUAUCAAUAAAACAACUUUUUGUAAAUGACGAGUCAAUAUCGACAUAAAAAAUAAAAGACAAUUCAUUGUUUUAAGCUCCUAUUUAUGCCUGAGAUUCAAGAAACAAGACUGAGUUUAUUAUAUGCAAUUGUCUUACUUUUUUUAUUAUUAUUAUAAGAGACUAUUUUUGCAACGUAAACAUGUGACAUAUUAAUUACAUAAUUGCCCCGUCUCUCCUUCAAUCAAAUUCAAUUUUUGCAUAAUUUGAUGUAAAUUAAAAAGGGAUAUAGAGAUCGUAGUGCGAUUCAAAUUUAAUCAAGAUUUUUGAAUAUCAAUUGAAAUUUCUCAAAUAACUUUUUUUCUAACAUUUGAAAGAGUCUAAUCAAUUAUUAGAAUUACUAUUAACCCAAUAUUCAGUGAUGCAGACAUCUUUUAAUCAAUUAUUUCAAAAAUAAUCCAUUGGAUUUGCCAGCUCCAAUCUUAACAUUUUCCUCAUAUAUUUACUGACUAGGUCAAGUCACUAUUUAUUUUUCUUAAAAAAAAAUUAGGUAUUUUUUGAAUUCAAGAUUCAUAAUGGAAUAAAAAUAAUAAUUUUCUUUUAAUAUGUAGUGGAAGCUAUGAAGUUAUCCAUUGGCUAAAUUGAAUAAAAUAAUGAAAAUGACUUGACUUGACAUGGUCUAAAACUUUAGUUCAUAAAAAAUAAUAUUGACCAUAUUCUAAUUGGUUAUAUUUCACCUAGAAUUGCAUGAACAUUUCAUGUGUCUAAAUCAAUUCCAUUGGCUUUUAUUAUCCUUUGGAAGCUACUUUUAUUGGAUUAACCCCUAAAUUGUAACACUUUUUGAUUUGAUGUUUAGAUAUGAGAUAUGGAAUUAUUAUUUUAAAUUAAAAUUUAAUUAUAUAAUUUGAGAUUAUGAUUUAUAAAAUAUCAUGAAAAUAUAUAAUUUAUUAAUGUGACUAUUUAAACAUUUUUAAUUAUAUAUUUAAAUAAACUUUAACUUCAAAUCAAUCUGAUUCAUAAUAUAUUGUACUAAGUUUAUUGAAAUUUACAUAGAAAAAUUUCAUUUUGUAAAAUAAAAAGCGCAGUUUAAUAUGAGAUCUCAAGUUUUGAAUUGAUAUGAGAUCUCAAGUUUUGAAUGUGUUGAUAAUUUUUUUUGUUAUUUUGAAUGCAAAAUGAAUAUUUUAAUUAUCAAAUAUUAGAAGUAUUCUUUUGAGUUUUAGUUAAAACUAUUUAGAUUUAUUCCAUAAAAGUAUAUUUGCUUAAAAUGUUUAUAUUCAAUCAAUAAAUAUAAGUUAUGUAUAUUUUUAUACACACAUUUAUUACUAAAUCAUAGUCUAGGUGAGAUUAUUCACCUUGAGACUCAAUCCUAGGCUAUAGAAUUUUAAUAGUAAUGAAUUAAGAAUUUAAAGAUCACCAAGGACAUUCCCCUUUCUAUUUAAAUAGAUUAAUAGGACAACAUUAUGUUAAGAUGCAGUAGAUGUACUUUAAAAUGCCUCAAUUAGUUUAGAAUUGAUAUACGAUUCAAAUAUAUUGAUUGUUAAUUAAAAAGUUUACCUCGUUCCUUUUUGGAAAAAUUACAUAAAUUAGUACAUUUUAAUAAAUAAUUACUGAUUUUAGCAAUACUUUUUAUUUAUUACCAUUUAUAACAAUGCUAUGUCAAAUCUACAAUAUGAAUUAAAAGUGAAUUAUGUAUGCAAUAUAUAUGAAUUAUAAUUGUUUUUUGAAAUAUAUUAUGUUUGUUUGUUAAAAAUUUGACAUAUUGUAUUAUAAGUGUAUUAAAAUGUGCGAUAAAUGUAUUAUCCAUUAUUAAAAUUUGUAUUAUAUAUGAAUAAUAAAUUGUUAUUUGUAAUAUGUAUUAAACUUGUAUUAAAAAUGAAUUAAAAGUGAUCAAGUGAAAAAAAGAUAUUAUUGCUAUAAAUGGUAAAUAUUUUUUUAUUUUAGUAUAUUUAUGUAAGUUUCCUUAUUUUUUUUACAUCCAAGUCUGAUCCAAUUAAAAAAGAUACAUUUUCAUUUAUUCAGACUUGAUCCAAACUCAUUUUAUAACUUAGUAGAAGCAGAUUUGACCUUUUAUUUUCAAGUCGGAUAUUGAGGUAUAAAUAUUUUUUUAAAUUUAAAAGAAAUAUUAUAUUAUUUUUUUAAUUAAGUAAAUAUAUAUAUAUAUAUUAAUGAAGAAGCUAAAUAUUCAUUAUUUAUUAAACCAUAUCAAUAUAUGCAUAACUCUUUUAAUAAUAAAAAAUAAAUAAGAAAGAAUAUAUUUACCCUUUUUCCCUUUUAAAAAUUGUAUCCAGCUAAAAAUCAGAGUAUUUCGAAUCAGAUAGUGAUUUUUAUAAUCAUUUUGUCAGAACUUGUGAAUAUGAUAUCAUUUUCUCUAUCAAAAACUUAACAAUUUAACUUAAAACCAAAAAGUCAAUUUAGUCAAUCAAAAUUAUUGAAAUAUAUAUAUAUAUAUAUAGUGAGUAGGAAGAGAAAUUAAAAAUGAAUACUAUGUAAGAAAUGAGUUGGAUUGUGAUGAAAUAAUAAGUAUUUUUUUGUUUUGAUAUCUUAUUCGUUAUUUGAAGUCAUAUUGAAACUUUGAUUAAAUUUGAAUCGCAUUUUAUAUGGCCAAUUUGGGGUGACGAGGGCCUGAACCCUAGUUAACGGGCCCUUUAGACAAGAUUUUCUUUAUACCUAAGACUUAAGACUUCUGAUUAAAAGUGAAUCACUCUCACUAAUGCAUCACAAUUCAUAUUGAUCUUUUGUGUUUAAUUAAAAAAUCUCGAAUUUAAAUUUAAUAUAAGCAUUCAACACCGCUUCAAAAUAAAAAUUCUGUGUAAGCACAAAAAUGGAAGUUCAAAGGCAGAAAAGUUAGACUAGAAUAGAAAUAAAAAAACAGAACAGAGAAAUGGAAAGAGAAAUAUAGAUACAUAUAUAUGUAUAUAUCUCUGUAAUCUAGAAAUAGUAGAAAUGAAGAAAGAAAAGGUCAUUCCCUUUGUAGCACAAACACGUCUUUCUCUGAAAAGUUAAACACAUGAAAAUCACUGUUUCUUUAUCAUUCAACCAUUUUUAUAUAACCCAUUUUUCUCCAUUUCUCUAAUCUUCAAACAACAAAACAGAGCUUUUUUUAAAAAAAAUCUUUUCUUUGGAUACCCACAUAGUAAUUAUCUUUUUGUAUAAGAAAGAAAGUUGGUAUAUACCCAUAUAGUAUAAAAAAGAUAACUUUUUUUUUUUUCUGUUUUCAUUUUGCCCCCUUUUGUUUUGUUGAUACUUGAAGAGGGUAUAAGUUUUUCUUUUUGAAGAAAUCUGAUAGAUUUUGCUGUGAAAUGGGUGGUCGAUCUUCUAAAUUCUCUUUCUGCUGCUGGCAUUCAAGCCGUAAACCAUCUCCUCAUGAUUUAUCUGAUCUGGGUAUUUUUUCUUUCUUUUAUGUGAUUUUGUUUGAAUGGGUUGAUGCUAUUUGGUGUUCUUGUUUGCUUUGUUAGUUUAUUAGUGUAAUCUGUGCAGAGAAUGGAGGGGAAAAUGGGAAAAACGCCUUGCCGAGUUUUACUGAAUUCAGUCUUGAUGUGCUGAUGAGUGCAACUGAAGGAUUUUCUGCUGAUAACAUUGUGUCUGAACAUGGAGAAAAAGCCCCAAAUGUGGUUUUUAAAGGGUUGCUGGAGAAUGGUCAUUGGGUUGCUGUUAAACGCUUCAAUAGGUCUGCUUGGCCAGAUUCUCGCCAAUUCUUGGUUAGCUUUGAUGAAACUCUAGUUCUUUUAUUGAAUUAUUAUGUGUAAUCAUAGAAAAAGAUUUGGUUUUGAUAGGUGGUAGUAGACACUUAAGCUAAACCUUAGCCAGCUUUAAUCGGAGGCAGAUCCAAGAUUUAAAUUUAUGCGUUCCUACUGCAAAAUUUAUGGUUAGAUAUUUAUAGAUGUUUGGUGAAUUUCUUAAUGCACUUACAAGGUCUAAGAAAAAGCUACUGGUUCCUGUAAACUGUACUUUAAGUCCGCCACUGAGAAUACAAUCAUGUUGAAUUGUGUAUGACCACCUUAUCUAAAUGCUCAGAGAAAGAGAGUGAGAGCACAUAUUUAUCAUAGUACAAGCUUUGUCAACAAGAUUUCUUUUUGAUCUAUCCAAUUUAUUCUACCAGUUCGUAUGUUGAGCUUUGUUUUGGACACUGUUUAUGUAAUGCAUAGGAUGAGGCUAAAGCGGUGGGGAAUCUGAGAAGUGAGAGACUGGCGAAUCUACUUGGAUGUUGCUGUGAAGGGGAACAAAGGUUGCUCGUGGCUGAGUUCAUGCCAAAUGAGACCCUUGCAAAGCAUUUAUUUCACUGUGAGUUUUCACUGAAGUUUUGAUUAAACGAUACUUGAAUCUUUAUAACUGCAAUGUGGAGUGUAGGAGCAUUAUGUUAUAUCUCCUUGAAGCUGAUGCAGUCUAGAUUAUAGAAUUUCAUGAUUUAGCAGUCUAAGGGAUAGGAUGGACUUAAAUUGUGUUCUCUAAGGGUAGAUUGACUGUGAUGUGCUGUUUUGGUGACUGCAUCCUUAAUUGUAGUAUAUCUUGACAAGGCUAAUGAAUCAGUUCAUGAGUUGAGGGUAAACACUGGUAUUUGAUUUACUCUGAAAUGCAAUAGGGGACAGCCAACCUAUGAAGUGGGCAAUGAGGUUGAGGGUGGCUUUUUACUUAGCUCAAGCUAUGGAAUACUGCAGCAGUAAGGGUCGAGCAAUAUAUCAUGAUCUUAAUGCUUACAGAAUCUUGUUUGAUCAGGUAAAAUUAGUUUUACCCUUAUGUUAGUUAACCUUAAUGAGUUGCUAUUUGUGUGGCUUUGUAAUUUUGUUUUGUAUUCUACAGGAUGGUAAUCCUAGACUAUCUUGCUUUGGCCUGAUGAAGAACAGUAGAGAUGGAAAAAGUUAUAGUACAAACUUGGCAUUCACACCUCCAGAGUACAUGAGAACAGGUCAAACAUCUGUUUUUCUUAGCUAUUAUUUACUCAGUUUAGUGUUCUAUAUAGUGGACUCCUGGUGUCUUUUAGUCGUUUGCUGCAAAAAAACUAGCUUUGAGAGGCGCUGUUUUGUUAAUUUAUAUAUUUCUUGAUGUCAGCAGUUUACUUUAGUACCAUAUUAUGCUUUCCUUCCUUAAUUCAACUAUUGCAAAAGCUGAGACAAGAGUUCUAUGAUUGGCAGGAAGAGUGACAUCUGAAAGUGUAGUUUACAGCUUUGGAACAAUGUUGCUAGAUCUUUUGAGUGGAAAACAUAUACCUCCAAGCCAUGUAAGUUUUGAAGUAUCGUUGGACUCUUUAUCUUGAAAAUCAUGUCAUCUCUUAUCAGUGGACGUUAUUGACUCUAUUAUCUAAGUACCUAAUUGUAAGCUUUUAUCUUACCUUCCUGUAGGCACUUGAUCUGAUCCGGGUGAAGAAUUUAUCGAUGUUGAUGGAUUCUUGUUUGGAGGGUGAUUUUUCUAAUGAUGAUGGAACCGAGCUAGUGCGGCUAGCCACCCGUUGUUUACAGUAUGAAGCACGUGAGAGGCCAAAUGCAAAAUCUCUUGUUAAUUCUCUUAUUACCAUUCAGAAAGAAACAGAGGUACAAUCAAAGUUAUUGAAUCCCCCUUGACUUGCUUUGAUAUCAUUCCAACAUUUGAAGAGUUGCAAUCUCUCGUCAUAUAUGAUAUAGAAGCGAGUUUAUAAUAUAUAUUCUCCUUUAACUUUGGCACUUGAAAUUUGGUCGUCUGGGUUCUAAGUGAGGUUGGUUCUCACAAUAUAAUAGAAGUGUCUCCUGUGACCCUAGUUUACGUCAUUAACUAUUUGUGGAACUUGUUGAGGAGUGACAUUGAACACAAUCUUCUGACUCUUUAAAAUGAAGCAUGUUCUAGAUAUCUUUGUAAAAUGUGCCUCAGAAUUAACCGAUUAAAUAUUUUCCCUUUUAUGAAAUAUUCAAUUGUCUCCUACAACUCGAUAAGAGAGUGAUGGCUUAGUGGAAAGAAAUCUCCCACCUCCAAGCAUGAAAAUGGUGUUUCUAGUCACACAGGGGCAAAAAGUAGAAAAGUCACUUGGCCUCAUUAAAAUAUUGUGUGCGCGAGGUGGGGUGGGGUGAAGUUACCAUAUCAAACAAAAUAAUAAUUAUUGCAUCAAUAAUGCUUGAUGAUCAUACUUCCUAAUGAUGUAAUUCCAGGUACCAUCACAUGUUUUGCUGGGAAUUAGACAUGGAGCUGCAACCCCACCCCAACCAUUGGUGUUGACAACAAUGGGUGAAGCAUGUCUGAGAAGAGAUCUGACUGCCCUUCAUGAGAUAUUGCAAAAGACGGGGUACAAGGAUGAUGAAGGAAUUGCCAAUGAGGUUUGUCCCUUUACUAUUUAUUGAUAAUGAAUAAUUUUCCAAAUGUACAUUGUUCCUCUUGUUUCUUGAAAAGUAAGACUACGGAAGCUGCUUUGUUGCUAAAGAAUUCUUUACGUGAUCUCACACACUUAAUCUUAUUCCCUCUCCCAUUGAGCACUUUAUAUGAAUGACAUCCAUUUUCUCGACAUGUUUCUUCUACUGGUAUCUUUGUUACCAUCGACUUAUUUCAUUUUCUGCAGCUUGCUUUUCCACAUUUUCAUUCCCUUGGCAUCAGCUUUGUUUAUACAUUAAUAUCCUGCCACCUCCCCAACAACCACAUACCCAGCGUAAUUCCACAAGUGGAGUCUGGGGAGGGUAGAGUGUAUGCAACCUUACCCCUACCUUGUAGAAAUAGAGACUGUUUCAGUUAGACUUUCAACCCCACGACCAGAAAGGAAAAAAAUAGUUAUUCAAGUUUGUUGUCAUGUUUAUACUCUAAUAAUUCCCAUAUAAGGUUUUCCGUUUUAAAGAGGUUUUAUGCAUUAUCUCCAUCAAAUAUCAUUUCCAGAGGGACCUUCUAUGUUAUCACUAUCAUGUCCUUGUAUUAUUCUCGUCGGUAUGUAAGCAUUGUAAGAUGUUUUGUGUUAACUGUUAUGAGAGUAACUACUGGAAUAAUUAGAAGUAAGUUAGUAAGAUAUGCUAAUGUUAUAUUAUGACUUUUUCAUAGUACAGCAGUCAUCGGUUAAUAAUAGAGUGAUAUGAUGAUGAUGAAGUAUAAUUUGUUUAAAUAGGGUGAAAAUGAACUAAUUAUUAUGCUAGUUUUAGCAUAAGAAUUGAGUGAUGUGUUGCUCUUCUUUCUUACUGUGUAUGAGAGAUACUUCGUGUAAUACUCCUUUCGUUAUCUGGGGAUUCUACCUAAGUUAAACAUUGAUAUGUUUGCAGCUUUCUUUCCAAAUGUGGACAAAUCAGAUGCAGGAAACCUUGAACUCUAAGCAACAAGGAGAUGCUGCUUUCCGAGCCAAGGAUUUCAUAACAGCCAUUGAAUGCUACACACAGGUUUGACCAUCUAAAAUUUUUCAUCGUCUUAAUGAUUCACGUCUACCUUUAACACAGGCUUACAUAUAUACUAUCAUUAUUAUAUCAGUUCAAUGAUGGAGGGACCAUGGUGUCACCCACCAUAUACGCGAGGCGCUGCUUGUGUUAUCUGAUGAGCGACAUGGCACAAGAAGCUUUAGGAGAUGCAAUGCAAGCUCAGGUUAUAUCCUCUGAGUGGCCUACCGCCUUUUAUCUCCAGUCUGUUGCCCUUUUUACCCUUGGGAUGGAGAAUGAUGCUCAAGAAGCACUAAAAGAAGCCACAAAGUUGGAAGGCAAAAGGAGCAAAAAUUAAAAUACUAGUGUGUAGACUUACAUUUCUUGAUUUUUCAAGUUUCUUGUGAUGAUAUAAAGUUGUUACUAUGUCAAUAGUUUAUUUCUAAACUAAAUUACUUUUGAUUUUGUGCUCACAUUCUGUCAAGGCAUUGGAGAAUUAUAGAUUGCCCCUUUUGUUCUUGAUUUGUUUAAUAGAAAUGGAAUCUCAACUUGUUUGGUUUUGCAGUUUUAACAUAGUCAGAAGGUGCUUUUUUUAAAGAAAAAUAUUUUGUUCUACCAAGUGCUAACAAAUUAUACGACGUUGAGAUAGUGAUAAGAUCUGUGUAUAUCUUACUCUCUCCGUGAACUCCAAAAUCAAGAAUUUGCUUGUUUUGAGGAUCAUGAGUCAUUAAGAUUCAUUUAGAAACACAUUAUCCCACAACUCGAACACCAAGUACCUUGUCUCUUUUGAUAUAAUAAUAUACUAUAAUUUUUAGCAUCCCAUGUGAAGAGAAGUACUACAGCAUAGUUUAGUGUGAUGAAAACAAUAAUAAUCAAACAAAAGUAUAUCAUAAACCGAAUCUCUAACAAAUCAAGCAACCUAUAACAUGAUGGGGCAACAAAAGAAAGAUGCAGGCCUUAUUUUAAGAUGUAAAUCAGAGGAAAAUCCUAAUUAGACAAUCAUUUCUACCAUAAAUACUUAUACAUUCAAUAGGUUGAAAAAACUAUGUAUUGACUUGCUAAUUAAUAAUUGACAUAAUAUAUAAACACGACUCUUAAUUUGGUGUCAACCGACAAUUAUGACCUUUAGACACAUCCGUCCUACAUGACACCUUGCAUGGAAAUUUUGUCCCUACGUGUAUUACGUAGGACACAUGUAUCUACUUAUUCAAUUUUAUACAUACUCAAAGUUGGAGGGCACAAUUAUCUGAUGAAGUCAAGUUAAGGGUCAUGUUUAUAAAUUUUUUGUAUCAAAUUUCAAAGUAAACACCGUUCUUUUAGAUUUCACGCUAGAUACAUGUUUCUUUGAUAUUAAAUACAUUCUAAUAUAUAGAUACAUAGGAAGAGAGAGAAUUAGUAUAUCCAAAUACAUGCAAAUAAAAUAAAUUACAUCUAAUUUGCCCCCGUAUAAAUGAGAUACAUAUAUAACUAAAAUGAAAAAUAAGAGACGUGCAAAAAAAGAAAAAACAUUUUAUUGAAGUCUCAGCAGAAGAAAAACUGGUAAAACAGAUUCUCUCACAACAACAAUUUCGUAUGUAAAAAUGAAUCAACAAAGAGAUCAAAAAAUCCCAUUUCUUACUAUACUACAAUCUUAAUAAAUAUAAGUAACAAUAUCUCCUCUCUCUUUUCAUGAACAAAUUCCCAUAAAAAAAUGAACUUUUAGAAUGAUAUUAAAUUAGAAAGAAGCAGGGGAAAUAUCAGGAGCACCAACAAUAAUAUCUUCAGAAGAAAUCGGAGCAGAAGCAUCAGUAGCAGCAGCAGCUCCACUGCUCAAUAACUCAAUCAUUGCGCGGUGUGGGCUGCUCCUCUGUUUGCUGCACAAAUCUGGCAAAUAUACUCCUGAAAAUUUCAAUUGAAAACAGUUGAGAUUCAUGAUAAACAGAACGAAAAUACUAUGUGUGAAUCGAGCAUGUAUAUGUAUAUUUAAAUAAACAAAUCGUAUUGUUUACCUUCUCCAGCAGCUAAAUUGAAGUAGAGAUCAACAACGUUAGGGCAAUUGCGAUAACAUGAAGGAGAACAGAGUUUUGCAGUGAAUUGUGGUUCAAGUAAAGAAUCGGAAGAAAUGCCAACAGAAUUUCUGUCUACACCGCAUGAGUUAAUACAUUCAUCUGUUUCAACAUACUCUGCAAUGUUUGCAACAACAACUUCUGAGGUCUUGCAUUGAUAUUCCAAUUUUCCAUCUUCGGUUGCUGAAUUCUCCAAUAAACAUCUCUUUCCAGAUGAUGAGAUUGAAAAUGAACAAACAUUUGUUGGCAAGUUUUCACAUGUGAUUUCCCCUGUUACAUGAUUUUGUGAUAUGUUAAUAUUCUAAUCGUAAUAAAGAAAAACAAAAAGUUUUAUGACCCGUUAUUUAACUCAUCUAACUCGAUUCAUUUCACUAACUAACUUAUGAUUCUAUUCAUUAAGAGUUGUUGUUUUGUGAUUAGGUUAUGAGUUAAAACCUUGGAAAUAGUUUUUUCCAACGCUACGUAAUAUAGACGAAUGUUUGGAGCUUUGUGCAUGGAAAUUCCCCGUUAUGUUAAUUUAUAUUAAUAACGAGCAUGAUAUAUAUAUGAUUAAAAUUACGAUAAAAAAAGAUUUCAUGUAAACAUACCUAAUGCGACUUGGAGGAAAAGGGUGGAAGCAAAGAAAAGAAUAAUGGAAGAGUGCUUCAUGGAUAAAGCCAUUUUUCUUCUUUUGGUUAUUAAGAAUGUAUUUUUGUAAGGAUUUAUGUUGUAAUUGAGAAAUGAAGUUUUAUUAGUAAUUGUGUUUUGUAAUAUGAGAGGGGUUUCUUUGAGUUGUAUAUAUAUAGGGAAAAUAUGACAAUGAGAAACCAAAGAUGACAUGAGGUCACACGUUUACUUUUUAAGUUUGGUCGUUUCUUUUUUUAAUUUUUUAUUUUUUAAUUUUUGGGUGAGUGGUGGGUGUAUAUGUUUUUGUUUAUGAAUUUUGAAAAUUCAAAUUUAAAGGCGGAGCUAAGUGGAUGAAAAGAUAUUCGAUUUAAUUUAGUUUUUCUUCAAAUUAUGUAAAAAUCAAAAAUUUAAUUUACUUGACAUACGAUAAUAUUUUAAUCUAAUAUAUUAAUAUAAUUUAAAUUUUUUCUUUUAAAAAAAUUCUGACUUUAUCAUCGUGAGCUCUACGAUAAUGAAAUAGGAAGGGAUUGUCAUGGGAGGUGGCUCAAAGAGUCAAGGUCCUUGUGUAAACAUAGUGGAGCCCACGCGUUUGCUAAACUAAUUAUUUAAUUAUUUUUCUCUCUUUUUUUCUUUGCCAAUUAUAAAAAAGAAAUGUAUUUAUUUGAUUCUCUUAUUAUUUGUAGUAAUAUUAGUCGUGCCUUUGUGAUUGGAGACUUCAAAACACGUCUGCUUGUUGAAGUUUCAAACUCUAGAUAUUUCUACGAAAAUCAAUUUCAGUUUGUUAUUUGCGCAUUACUUUAAGAUUUCACCUAUUAGCAGUGUCAGAGUCAGAAUUUUCAAUAACGAAUUCAUAAUUUAUAGAAAUAGACAUAUAAAGUAAUCGAAGGAAAUUUAACAUCUAAUAUAUAAAUAAAAUAUUAUUUUAACCAUAUAUAAAUAUAUGAUUUUCCAUCAAAGGGGGAUUCGAAUGAACCACCUUGUACCAAGGUGGCUCUGCCCUUGCCUAUUGGCUUAUUAACUAAAACUUGUGUAUUAAAUAAUUUAGAGAAAUAUUUGGUUAAAUUUAUAAGUCGGUCAAAUUAGUUUAUAAGCAGUUUUAGUCGAUCUAUGUUGUUAGGUAAUAUCAAAAGUGUUUAAUAAUUUGAAAUCGGGUAAAAAUCGUAACUCAAAUUUAGGAUUAUAGAACUACAAUAUUUUCUCCUCGUUUUAGUAUUAAUACAUGUCUUUUAAAGAUAUUCCAAUCAUUUGAACAUGACAAAUGCUUAUGGACAGUAUUAUUUUACCAUUUUAUCUAAACACACAAUUAUUUAUUUAUAAAAUGAAAAAAUUUCAUAAAUAGCAAAUAUAGUAGACAUAAUAAAACUCUAUUAAUUAAUUUUUUUUUUUUUUAUAAUUGCGUUUCGUAGCUAUAAUUUUAUUUGUUAUGAAAGCUACGAUUUAUUUAUCUCACUUACGAAUAUAUAAAAAUAGGGUAAAUAUAUACAAGUUUUCACGGAAGAGAGGAAUCAAAGUCUUUACUUGGAAAUAACGUUCCAUUAACAAUACGCAGCACAAUUAAUUGAUUGUCAAAUAGUGGACGUACCGUGUAGUUGACGGUAUGAAACUUGCAAUUUUCUGUUUUAGAAUUCCACAUUUUGGCCUACGUGUAGAAGCUUCUAUUUGGUUUGUUAUGACCCUUUAGACCAACCCAUGCCACAUUUUGCCAACUUUCUAAUUAAUUCACUUUGUUAUUAAGGUUUGGAAAAAUGUCUUUUAUUUUAUGGUAUUUGAUAAGUAAAAAAACAACGUUCAAGUGUAACAUAAGAUACGAAGAAGCUAAGAAGAGGAGGGAUAAGCCAAGCGAUAGUGGUUUGGAGGGUGAAGCGGAGAUAAUUACUUUGAAAUGUCUUUUAUAUCUCGUAGAAUACGAUGAAGAAAGUGGUCCAUUAGUAAGAAUGACCCAGCCCAACUCAUGAUAAAUACAGUUGAAUAAAUGAUGAUAAUGCUGUGUUAGGCCCAAUCAUAUAGUAUAGCUUCAAAAAGGAACAUUUAAACUGGAAAUUAUGGGCCUGAGUUAUUUCAUGGUAUUGGGGGCAUUACUGUGUGAAAAAGAUACAAGUUAUAUUUAGAAGCCCUAAACAAUAGUUUCCAGCCCUGAAGAUGUCAUUUGAAAUUGCAAAGAUUAACCAUACAUGAAAGGACAAUUUCCACGAAGUACGAAAACAUACACUAGCUUCCACACACCUCGAUUAUUUCAUAUGUACCUACUAUUUCCAACUAGGCAUUUUGCAAACACCUCGAUUAUUUCAUAUGUACCUACUAUUUCCAUCAAGGCAUUUUGCAAACACCUCGAUUAUUUCAUAUGUACCUACUAUUCACUAUUGCACACACCUCGAUUAUUUCAUAUGUACCUACUAUUUCCAUCAAGGCAUGUAACUGCAGUAUCAUCGUCUAUCUAGCCUUGGGUUAAACGAUGAAACGAACACAGUAACAGCAGACAAGAUCACAAAGGCACAAACAGAGCAUAAUAGCUACACAGAAUUAACCAAAAACAGAAAAGCCACAAAAUAUCACAACAUUGAAAAUAGUCUUCCAUAGCAAAUUGAACUAAUACAAGAUAAUUAAAGCUUCAAAGUUUUGAACUAUUACAUCUCAUAGCCAAAAAGAACAUCAACUGGAAGUUGUGGUUUGGCAUCAUCCAUAACAAAAGUACAAAUUACAUUUCAAUUUACUCCUCUUGAGCUUCAUCUUCAUCCUCAUAGUACUCCCCCUCUUCAUCAGCAGUGGCAUCUUGGUACUGCUGAUACUCCGACACAAGAUCGUUCAUGUUGCUUUCAGCCUCGGUAAACUCCAUCUCGUCCAUUCCUUCACCAGUGUACCAAUGCAAGAAAGCCUUUCUCCUGAACAUAGCAGUGAACUGUUCGCUCACGCGCCUAAACAUCUCCUGAAUUGAUGUUGAGUUACCAAUGAAGGUCGAUGCCAUCUUAAGUCCGGUAGGUGGGAUAUCACAAACAGUUGAUUUCACAUUGUUAGGGAUCCACUCAACAAAGUAGGAUGAGUUCUUGUUCUGCACGUUGAGCAUUUGCUCAUCGACCUCUUUCGUGCUCAUUUUGCCCCUGAACAUAGCUGAGGCAGUCAAGUAUCUGCCGUGGCGAGGGUCAGCUGCACACAUCAUGUUCUUGGCAUCCCACAUUUGCUGGGUAAGCUCGGGGACAGUCAAAGCUCUGUAUUGCUGUGAACCACGGGAAGUCAAAGGUGCAAACCCAACCAUAAAGAAAUGGAGCCUUGGGAAUGGAAUCAGAUUCACAGCCAGCUUACGGAGAUCAGAGUUCAACUGACCAGGGAAACGCAAACAACAGGUAACACCAGACAUUGUUGCUGAUAUCAAAUGAUUCAAAUCUCCAACUGUUCCAUCAAACAAUUACGAAAAAACAUAAACACCUACAACAGUAAUAAACAACAUCUAUAAAGCAAAUCAAAACGCAUAAAGGUUCUUACAGCUUGGGGUGGUAAGCUUCAAGGUUCUGAAGCAAAUAUCAUAUAAAGCCUCAUUGUCAAGAACCAUACAUUCAUCAGCAUUUUCAACCAAUUGAUGAACAGACAGAGUAGCAUUGUAAGGUUCAACGACGGUAUCGGAAACCUUAGGUGAAGGGAAAACCGAAAACGUAAGCAUCAUUCUGUCUGGGUACUCCUCUCUGAUCUUAGAAAUCAAAAGGGUACCCAUACCAGAUCCUGUUCCUCCACCCAAUGAAUGGCAAACUUGAAACCCUAAAAAACCCAAAAAACGAAAAUCACAUUAUACAUAACCCAUAAAAAACCCAGAUCUAUAACAACAAACGCAAAACAGAAAAGAACAACAAACCUUGAAGGCAAUCACAGUUUUCAGCUUCCUUACGAACAACAUCAAGAACAGCAUCAAUCAAUUCAGCGCCUUCAGUAUAAUGCCCUUUCGCCCAAUUAUUACCCGCACCAGAUUGUCCAAACACAAAGUUAUCAGGACGGAAGAUCUGUCCAUAAGGACCAGAUCUAAUACUAUCCAUGGUACCAGGCUCCAGAUCCAUAAGAACCGCCCUCGGAACAAACCUACCACAAGAAGCUUCAUUAUAAUAGACAUUGAUUCUCUCAAGCUGAAGAUCAGCAUCCCCGUCAUAUCUUCCGGUGGAAUCAAUGCCGUGCUCAGCACAAACAACCUCCCAAAACUUGGCACCGAUUUGGUUGCCGCAUUGUCCACCUUGAAUAUGAAGAAUCUCACGCAUUUUGUUGAAAUUUGGGAGAAAUUUUCUUAGAAUCAGAGAGAAAUGAAAGAGAAUUUUGUGUGUAGGGACGGAGAAAGGGGGAGUUGUAUUUAUAAUGAAAUUUAAAUUAAUUUAGGGUUUUGAGAGAUAAGUGGGUGGCGGAGCCGGGGCUCCGGUAACGGUUACUAAAUCAACGGUUAGAUUUAAUUUGACCUCUUGGACCCUGUGGAAAUGAAUUUGAAAUUUGAAAAAUUGUGCGGUACAGCUGGAUAACACAAGAAUUCUUACUCAAAAGUCCUUUUAGGUUUUAUAUUUGACAAUGGAGGUCCUUUUAUUUUACUAAACUACGAUACGAUACUCUUAAUUUUGAAAUUUUGCUUGUACAUACUAAUGUUUGGAGAGUUCUUUGCUUGUACUGUUAAGUGUGGGUCGCGUCAAGUCUCGUGUGCUUGAAUUAACUUCAAACUAUCUUGUUAUCCUACUAACACUAUGUUUGAAUCAUUGUUACCUAUUGUAUUUAUUGUAAUCGUUAUCAUACCUACAAUGUUUGUUUUAAUUGUUACUUAAAAUGUAUGAAUUUGUAUCGUUAAAUUUCGUUGUUACGUAACAAUAAAAAACCCUUUUUAAUGGAACAACCAAUUUGAUGUGUUUCCAUUGUUACUUAAUUUCUUUUUUCAAUUAUAUAUUUACAUAAUAUUUCAAAAUACUAUUUUACCCUUUAUCUUAAUUCUUUAAAUCUAGUCAAACCUCCUAUCCUAGAAUAAAUAAGGAUUUUUAAGUAAAUUUAUAAAUUACAAUACAGUACGAUAGGAUCAAACUAAAACAAUUAAAUGUUAUUAAACAAUAACAAACAAUACAGUCUAGUCAAACAUUGUAUCUACCAUACAAUACAGUACUAUAGAGUACAAUACACAUUAUGAAAUAAUGGAUAACAAUGAUCCAAACAAAGUGUAAAGUGUGUCUAGUGUUUAUUUCACAAUUUUGGUAAACUUAUGCUUUCAUUUAAGAUUAAUCUUGUCUUAGGAUUUAAGGAUCUAUAUGAAUCAACCAUUUUUUAGCGAGUUUUAUCCAAUCUUUUGCAAAAACAAUCCUGUUAUGAUGAUGCUUUUCGUUUGCUACCCACUCUAUCUACAGUGAAUAUAUCGGAGAAACUACAAAUAAGUCUUUCACUUCCAAUAAUGGACUUGUACAGAGAGUUCAACGUUUAGUUCAUUCAUAAAUUUUGAAGUUGAAAUAUAAAAUUUAAGUACUUGAAUUGUGAUUUAUGAGAUUUGACAAGUUGCAUUCGAACAUGUAUUUGAAAAAAAUUAAAUUAUUAUAUGUGAAAGUGAAAUUCCUAUUAAAAAUUGGUCAAUUUUUUAGAGAUAAAUUUUUAAAUGUAUAAUCCAUCAUUGAAGGCUCUUUCUAAUUUUUGAAAAUUUCAGCUUUUUAUUUUAUUCAAAAAGAAUCUUCUUGCGAAGUUAGAUUUUUCCUAAGAAUUAUUAUACGUAGAGUGUAUAGUUUCUCAAACAUCAAUAAAGUGGAGUUUGGCAUCAAAAAAAUAAAAAUUGAAAUUUCAAAAAUUCAAAUACAAGCUCAAAAAUGAACAAAUCUUAAUUUGAGUUCUCAUUGAAUAGUAAAAAAAAACAUAUUAUUCAUCAAAGCCUAGUUCCAUAAGAGUUAAGACAUUUCUAUGCAUCGAUAUUGAGAACAGUCAAAUAACUUUAUCGGUUUAUCUUUAUUAGUUAUACAAAUAUUUUUAAAUAUUUGAAUUCAUCUAAUUUGAUUUAUGAUAAUUUCUUUCUUUUAAUUCAUAAGACAAAUUUGAUAAAUUAUUUUUAAAACUUAUAAUUAGAAAUAUGUCAUAGCUCCUUAAUUUUUCCUAGGAGCUAUUCCUAUUAUCAUUCCACGUCUUAAAUAGGAAGUAUCAAAAGUUAUAUUUAUUCAUAAAUAAAUAUCAUUUUUCUUUAGACAAACUAAUAUAAAAAUAAUGUCAGAUAAUUAAAAUAGACAAGCUUUUCUUAAAAAUUUUACUUUUAGAAUAUAUACAAAUGACUUAAUUGAAUAUUUGUACUUAACUUUCACUUAUUGGUUGCCAAUCUUUAAUUAACUAAACCCCAAUCGAAACCAACAAGAUAUCAAUUGAUUUUAUACUAAUUUAACAACUAUGGACGGGAAAAAUAUUUUUUCAACUUUCUACAUUAUAUAUUUAAGAGUUAAAAGACCACAAUGAAAUAAUGUUUCAGUACAUUCUACAUUUUUUUUAUUUUAAGACAUUCAAAUAUAUUUUUGCUUUUGUUAAUUCUGUAUCAAAUUAAAAUCAAAAUUAAAUAAAUAAUCAUUUUCUAUAACAAUAUCCACACUAGCUUUUAGAUACCUGAAUUAUUUACAUAAAAUAUCGUAUCACCCAAUAAUUAAGAUUAAAACAUAUAAAAAGAAAUUAAACCUAAGACCUCAUAACACUCUCGGAGUACAUUGCAACCAAACAAAUAAUCGUGGCAAAAUUAACUCCACACAGCUUAUUCCUUCUUUCCCGCUCAUCAACCACCAUUCAUUUUGCAGCAAUCAAAAUUCUCAGUCCUUUUUGCCGGCUGUUCUAACUUCUAUGGAAACUUCCUGUUCUUCUAUAUAAUUAUAGCAAUUCAGACUAACUUUACUAUCAACAAUCUCAAAUUACAUUUCCAAAAGAAAUUCAGAAAUUUCUCAAAAAUGGGCAUUGUUUUUGGGAAGAUCUGUGUUGAAACACCCAAAUACAAAACAAUUCAAUCUACAGCUGAUUACGAAAUCCGCAAAUACCCAGCAGCUGUUAUGGCACAAGUCACCUACGAUCCGAUCCAGUUCAAAGGCGACAAAGACGGUGGAUUCAAACUACUUACCAAUUACAUUGGGAUAUUCGGUAAUCCCCAAAACUCUAAUCCUGAAAAAAUUGCCAUGACAACCCCUGUAAUCACCAAAUCGGGUGAGAAAAUCGCCAUGACAACACCGGUGGUGACUAAAAGCGAUGACAGAGAGAAGAAUACGGUGACUAUGCAAUUCAUUUUGCCAGCGACGUAUACGAAAUGUGAAGAGGCACCAAAGCCAUUGGAUGAGAGAGUGGUGAUUGUAGAAGAAGGGGAGAGGAAGUAUGGGGUGAUGAAGUUUGGUGGGACUGCAAGUGAGAAAAUUGUGAUAGAGAAAGUAGAGAAUUUGAAGAAAUUGUUGGAGAGAGAUGGGUGUAACAUAAUUGGGGAAUUUGAGUUGGCUAGGUAUAAUCCGACAUGGAUAUUACCUCCAUUUAAGACCAAUGAAGUUAGGAUUCCAGUUGAGUGAUGAGCUGAAACUAGUAUAUGGGCUGUAUACUUUGUAUAUCAGACGUUAUUUUAAAGUUGGUAGCGUAUACUAUUUCAUGGCCUGCUUUAUAGUGUGUUAUAAUCGAAUUUAUCAUGUAGUUCUUGUUUUGCUUUUGUUAAGAGUUUCAAAUUCUACGUAGCUUAUUUGAUUUAUUAAAUUCGAAGUUUAUAAUAACUUGACAUACUCUACUAUCAUAUAUAUUAAAUAGGAAGAGAGGCGAGCAAGAUUUUGUUAUUUAAUUUAGAUAUAUGUGAAUCUCAUUCGAUACAUAUGUUUAUAUCUGUUGUGGUUCGCGAUAUAUCUAGAUUUUCAAUACAUAGGAAAGUAACGAAUGAGACGAGCAAGAUACGUUUGAAUGUAGCAUAUCAAGAAUAAAGCACAUCUAAUUUUAACCUCAUGCAUUUUGAUAUUAGCGAGAUAUAGAAAUAUAUAAUAGUAAAAACAAGAGUAGUAAGAAAAUUGACCGCAUGUAUAUUAACCUACCGAAAAUGAUUUGCUUCCUAUUUUUAGUAAUGGCAUAAUGCUGCUCUGUUUCAGCUAGCGUAGAUUUCAAUCAUUCCACAUAAGAUUUAUUUUCUUUCGCUAUAAUUCUAUUAGACAACUCGAAAAGAAAUUAUCGAAAAUAUUUGCUAUCUCUCAUCAAUUUUAUGUCAUAUUAUUAAUAAUUAAUUAUAUAUCAAAGAUUUAAACGCUGAAUUCAUCUUAUCUCAUAUCGCGAUAUGAAACGUGGCAAAACAAACUCCACAUCCUUGCCCUCAUCUACCGCCAUUUGUUUUGUAGCAAACAAAACCCCUUUCUCAAGUCGAUUUGGGACCAGAAGCUUCGUUUCCAUCCAUUUAACUACAAGCAAUUUACAGCCAACAUCUCAUCCAGAAAAUUCUCUAAAAAUGGGCAUGAUUUUGGGGAAAAUCUCUGUUGAAACACCCAAAUACGAAUUGAUACAAUCUACAACUGAUUACGAGAUCCGAAAAUACCCAGCAGCUGUUAUAGCACAAGUCACAUACGAUCCAACCCAGUUUAAAGGCAACAAAGACGGCGGAUUCAUGCUACUAGCCAAUUACAUCGGCGCAUUAGGUAAUCCACAAAACUCCAAACCUGAAACAAUCGCCAUGACAGCCCCAGUAAUCACCAAAUCGUCUGAGCAAAUCGCGAUGACUGCACCCGUGGUAACUAAGACCGGUGACGGCGAGAAGAAUACAGUGACUAUGCAGUUUAUUCUGCCGGCGAAGUAUACGAAAGCUGAAGAAGCACCGAAACCGUUGGAUGAGAGAGUGGUGAUUGUAGAAGAAGGGGAAAGGAAGUAUGGGGUGGUGAAGUUUAGUGGAACCGCAAAUGAUAAAAUGGUGAAAGAGAAAGUGGAGAAUUUGAAGAAAUGGUUAGAGCGAGAUGGGUUUAAGAUAAUUGGGGAAUUUGAGUUGGCUAGGUAUAAUCCCCCAUGGACAUUGCCUCCAUUUAAGACCAAUGAAGUUAUGAUUCCAGUUGAGUGAAGCUCAAACUAGUGUAUGUUAAGAAAAAAAACAGUGUUGUUUAGCUCUAGAGCUUGUGAAUUUUUAUAUAUUUCGCGUGUUUUUGUAUCGAGUUCUUGUUUCUUUGAUUAAGUCACAAAAUUAAGUUCUAAUCAUAGAAAUCGCGAUAAUGAAGAUGAAGAAAUUUGCAACCAUGUAUAAAGACUAGUAUAAUAACGUUUGUGGUAUAUGUUACAUUGUGAAUCUGUGGAAAACCUAAUGAAUAAACCAAUUACCAAAACCAACUCAGAAUAAAUAAGAAAAUGAAUAAAUGUUGUAUACUGCACAGUAAAAAGAAUGAUUUGAGUACCUUGUGUUGUAUCUGCUGCCUCUUCUGUUUUUCUCAUUAUCUCUGCUUCUUUAAGCUUUGUUCAUAUGGCGUAAGUCCUCUUUGAUUCUGCUUGCUGACUAAUAUCAUAGAUCAAAUACUGACAUUUAUCUAAUCUAAAUCUUUAUCUUUGUGCAGCAGCCUUCAAAUAAUUUGCUGCUUUCUCACUUCCAUCAAAGAUCUAUCACAUAUACAACCUGGGAAAGGAUUUGCAUAGAAGUUCUCUUCUAAUCUUGGUGAUUCUCCUGCUUCUCUAGAGUAAGGAGCUCCUAAUCUGUUGGAAUGUAACGUCUUGACCUCGGAGGUAAACUCUUCUCGAGUGAUCGUACCCUUAUCCAACAAAUCAAUCAAUCUUACAACAUUCAGUCUGAAAUGAACAGAAGUACCAAAUAUCAUCAUUAGUUUGAUUGAGUGAUUGACAAAGCGAGUACAAAAAUCUAAAGAUAAUAGUAAUAACCUGUCGGGGCUUAUGGUCUUUUGAAAUCCUUCAAACCUUCUAUGCCCUUGCACGGCCUUUGCCAUAUUCCCGUCAUAUGUGUAAACAAAGACAUCACUUUCAAGGGCUACGAGAUAAUCUAAGGCAGCAAGACGGUUUUGGUAAUGCCUGAAAGUCCCUAGUUCUUCCAUUGUUGUAAGAGUUGAGUGAGAGAAAACAUUAGGAUACUCAUUACGAAAUGCAUCCAUGCUGUUGUUGCCAUAAAUUUCCCCAGCGACAAUAUAUAUCCUGGUCGUGGAGGGAUAGCCCAUUGCUUUAAGAAACAAGGCAGCCUCUCUAGGCGACAUAGGGCAGCCCCCUUGUAGUCGUUUCUCAUUGCCAUCUAUCUCUUUCUCUUUCCAGUGCUUCACUUGAUACCUCAUAUAACGAAGUUCUUCAGCCUCUUGAGCAGUUAAAUUGUUGCUGCAGCCGGUAAAGGCUAACAUAUCUUUUUCAUACCUGCAAACAUGCUAAGUACGUUCUUAAAAAUGAACGGUUGAGAAAUUGGCCAACAGAUACCAUGUUAGAGAGAUCACCUCAAGUGAAGAGCAAUGUAGGGUUCACCAUUGUCUCUAAGUCUAUCCACCAACUUCUUUCCAAGCUCCUCAAUCUCAUUUGUGUACCGUAGAGCCUCAUAAUUUGCUCUACAUCGAAGCCUCUGAAUAGAGGAUGCCAAGCCAUUGUUAGCAAGCCUUGAAUCUGUAUGCGUAAAUUGUAUCACCUUGUGCUUCUUAAGUAAAGGAAGAACCUCUCCUCUAUAGUAACUAGCCUGCAGAAAAGCAACACAAACUAUAGUUCCAGCAUGCAAAAGAUCAUCGCUUGCUAAGAGUAGUUCAAUUAAACCGACCUUAGACCAAGAGACCGGUGCCUUCUGAAUAGGGGUCACAGCUGCAUAUUUUGGUGGCAACGAUUCAACAAUCUUAAUAUCAUCCUUUAAAACAUCAAUGAAGCGUCUCCAGUCAAAAAUAUCUUUAAAAUCACUACAAGAGACGAAAAACAGAUCAGAACUAGAACUAACAGAAUCAAGAAGAAACACAGUGGAAAACUAAAGAAUUGUACCUGGGAUCUGUCCAAAACGAUUCAUGAUCAAGAGAAGGAAGAACCAAAGUGGCAUUCAAAAUUUUUGCAAUAGCCACCAUAUCACAUAUCUACGGUAACCCAAAACAAUGAUUGUCAUAAAUAACAGCAUCACCAACAGCUGAAAAUAUAUAGAAUAGACAACUUGAAGCUUCAUUUACCCCUGUUCUCAUCUGGUUUAAUCCUCCGUUAGCAUGAACCAAGACAUAUCCAUUAGUCGAUGAUCCAGUUCCUAAAAUAAUCAUAUAACAUAACUAUAGCCAAACUAUGUAGGUAAAACUGGUUCAAAUGAAGGAAAUGAACAUUAAGAAAUCAAAAUCUAAAAAAAAACAAAACUCAGACAUACUUAUUCGAUCUCUAGGCGGAGCAAUGCAUUUGUAGUAAGUAUCACUAGGUGGCUUCAUCCAUAUUUCUGGUACCUGUCCAAACAAUUUCGAGCCGGAGAAAGUCAUUGACUACAUACAACCCUUAAACUUUGUUGCAUAGCGGAGUUUUUACUCAGAACUUACCGGCAACUCCUCCAUCUGGCGUUUCCGCGCAACUCCACCAGAAGAGGAAACAGAAACAGAGGACUGUGUUUCAGAAACAACUUUUUGAGCAUUAACCCAAUCAUUUUUAAAAUUCUGAACAACAAAAAGCCCAUGAUCUUUACUCAUCAAAUUCCCAUUUACAUCACCAUUCAUAACGAUUGAAAACUUAAAGAACACAGAAAUCAUCACCAAAACCAACAAUAUCCCCAAAAUAGUACGACCCAUAUUAUAUCUUGAUCCUAAACACGCCAUAAUUGAACAAAAACUCAAUAAACAUUCUUCUACUCUAAAAAUCAAACUUUCCGGCACCCAUUUACACGCUAAUAAAUAUCGUACUAUUGUACGAGAAUGAUGAUGAUGGUGGUAAUAAGGAAGGUUUCCGCUACCCGCGUUAAUAAUAUUUGCAUUAUUGUUAUUAUUAUCACCAUAGUAAUUGUCAAAUCCGAUUUGUAUAUGAUCUGAUAAUUUUUCAGGGUCAUUCUCCAUAACAGGACGUCGGUGGUGGAUAGUGAGUCCGGUUCCGGCCACUCUGGGACUACCGCUGGCAGAAUUGGUGGCGGUGCCACCGGUUGACAUAUUACCCAAUACAGAAUCAAAACAGAGAAUUAUGGGUAAUGUUUGCAGAUUGACAUAUCACAAAAUACAGAAUCAAAGAGAGAAUUAUGGGUCUAUUCAAAGAUUUUUGCUAAAAAAAAAAAUGUUUAUCGAUUGACAUAUUACAAAAUACAGAAUCAAAAGAGAGAAUUAUGGGUCUAUGAAAGAUUUUCGCAAAGGGAGGGAUGUUUGCCGAUUCAGAAUGGUAGAAGGUGGUUUUAACGCUUUUUUUGUGUGUUAAUUAAUUUAUACUCUUUAAAUAUGACUUUUUAUUUUAAAAAAGAAAAUUAGUCAACUUUUAAACUAAGCUAAAUAUGUACAAUUUGUCAAAAAGGAGAAUUUUUUAACAAAAAAUAUUAUGUCAUUGUCUUAUUAAAGGUAAAAUGAAAAUUAAGUUAUUAAUAAUUUUUUUUGUUAAUAACUAAUGGUGACCAGAUUAAAAAUUGUAAAAUAACUUAAAAAUUUAUGAUCUUAAACUUAAAACAUGCACAAUAUAUCAAUAAUAUCUUUUAAAUUAACGAUUUUAAAUAGAUAAUGACAUUCUAUUUCUACGAGAGUGUAUGAUAAUAAAAAGAAACAACAAAAAUAAUAAGCUUGAAAACUUAUUACUAAAACAUAUAAAAUGCGUUAUUCUAUUUAAUAAAGAAAGUAAAAAUACAUAAAUUAAAAUAAAAUAAUUAAUAAGCACUAUAACAUGUUUUGCAAUUACGAAAAAAAAAAUGUAAAUUGAAAGAAAAAAAAAACAAUAAUGAAAUUUAACAAACGUCACUUCAAGCAACGGCUUAAUUAUCUUACGGAAGAAAGCAGCUUUGUGUGUGUACGGUUUUUAAAGAUCAAAUCAAAAAAAGUUGUAAAUACUGAUGAAAGCUUUUGUCUGAAAAUAUAUACUGACGUAUAGUUAUUAGAAAAAUGGUUAGAUAAUAGGAACGUAAUUUUAUUUCUUAACAAAACUUACGUAAUAAGUAUAUCUUGAUCAUACGUGAUCUGAACAUCCCCAUAGUCAUGUCAUGAACAAAAUAUUGACAUUAUUCAAUAAAUUAAACUAAUUUAAUAGUCUUUGAAAAUUUCAAAUGACGACUUCAAGUGAUAAUAACUACUGAAUCUUUAAAUUUAUUAUUUAAAUGUAUUAAGUUAUUGAAUUUGAUCGAACUGUACGUAAGCGUCUACCUUAGUCCUUCACGGUGAUUUACUUUUUGGUUCUUUUUUCCUCAUAUAACAUAGCAAGAAAAACGUGCAUGAUGGUUCAAAAUAUCAAAGUUUUAGGCUUUAAUUUUUCUUUAUCUCUUAUUUUCUGCUACUACUUUUUCUAGGAUAUUAAUUUAUUUUGCUUGUAUGUAACAAUAAGAGGUUACUAUGAAUGUGUCAUAAAAAAAUAGUUCUUGUGAUGUGGAAAUUCACAUGAAUAUUGCUAUACUGGCAGUUGCGUCAUUUUUGUAUUAAUAAAAUUUGUGAUGAAAUUUAUAAAGAUAUAUGUUAAAGAAAAGGUGGAGCAACGUAUACCACAAACUUUGGUAUCACAUGAUAAGUAGUAGUAAUAAUGCAUGAAUUUUAAUUGAGGCAUGGAAUUCCUAGGGUUCAUAGAAGGAAGGCACGAAAUAUUCUAAUUUUGAGUAUGCACGUCUAAUAACUAGAUAUCUUAAUUCGUUUUUAUUAUGUCAGUUGAACACUUUGAGUGAUGUUCUAGAUAGAAAAUGUAAUAUUAGUGUAACAUUGAAAUUUAUAAAACUUCCAACGCGGGAUUUUCCGAUGCAAAUUCCGAUUUAAUCGGGCUUCAAUAUGGAGCAAACCUAGACUUUCUUAGGGCUUGCCAACACCCGGUGAAUAACUAAAACUGAAAUAAAUUAUGGAACUUUAUUUGAUGUAUGUGAUUCCAUUUAGAAUUUUGAAAGCUAUUUUAUCCUAAACCUUAGUUUAUACUUAUUUAAAAGGAACUAUUAUAUUACUUUGAGAAACAUCUCAAAAAUUCGAAAAAAGAAAAGGAUAAAUCUCAAAGAAGUCCAUAUCAUUCUGCUUAAAGAAAUACAUCUAUGAUCCUUAAAUAACGGAUAAAUCCUCAGAGAGAUUAGAUUUGUAAUCUUAAGAGAGAAAUACGCCACAAUGAUUCUUAAAUCAUGGAUAAAUUCUCCACUAUAAUUCUUAAAUCACGGAUAAAUCUUCAGAGAAAUAAGAACUGUAAUCUUAAGAGAGAUAAAAAUCAAGAGAGAAACAUUAUUAUAUUUAUAUUUUUAUCAAUAAUAUCCUUAUUUUUUUAAAAUUUAUUUAUGAUUAUUUUAUUUUUCACAUAUUUAAAAUUUCUUAAUAACAAUUACAAAAACAAAAUAAAAAUAUUAUAGUUCUGGACAAUAAAUAACUCAAUAACGGUUGAUUUGUGUUGAAAUGAUUUUGUAAUAUAAAUAUAAUAUCUUACAAAAAAAUCUCAUAAAUACAGAAAGUGUCCGCUCAGACGGAAUUUUUCUGGAAAAUAUUUCUAAAAUAAUUAUAAAGGUGUGUUUCUUAUUUAUUUUUUGUAUUUGAUAAUUACCAAGUAAAAUAUUUUGUGUUAAAUUUAUUUAUAUUUUCUCCUAUAUAAGAUAUUUUCAUUAAUGAAUAUGGAUAAAAUCGAAAAACACAUAAUGAUAUAUUUGUGACAAAUUAAAAAUAUAUCAACCGAUAAUAUUGUAUGAUCGUCGUUUUCAUGGACCAUAGUAGUGCUCAACCAUCGAUGAGUUAAUUAAAUGAUAUUUUACUAGAAAAUUUUGAUUAAAAUUACUAGGUUUUCUUCGAUAUUUUAUCAAGAAUUUAUACACUUGUCAUUUUAUUAUUUAUCAGAAAACGAAAAUACAACUAUAUGUAUUCAAGUACCACUAGAAGGACACAUGUCAAAUUUUAUAAAUAAAUUAGUUAAUGUAUCCUUAAAGAGUAGUGUCAAGAACAUGUUUCAAAGUGUAAUGGACUACCAUAAACACCAACAUGGGAUUUAAUAGCAGUCAAUGAAUAUUGAGAAAACUAAAUUUGUUUAAUUUAUCAUAUGUAUUAUGAGUAUGUGUCCUUUUAUUUUUAUAAAAAAAGUUAUUAAAAAUAUCCUUAUACUCGUGUAAAUUAUUAGUUUUGUUUUUAAAUUAUUAAUAAUUUUAAAAACACUCCUAUACUUGACUAAGUGAUCUUAUAUAUAUUCUUGAACUGCAUAUGACAUAUCAAUUAGUGGUCUCAAACUCUUGUAUAAGCGUAAAGCUCUUCAUAAAAAUCUAGAGAAAUGUUGAGAAUAUUCUUAGUGAUGAGAAUUUAGGAUGGUUUUUUUACACAUAUAAUAAUAUCAUGAAUCUAUUUAAGUUUUGUUAUCUUGAAGAAUGUUGACGUCAAUAUUUAGACAUAAAUGGACUAAAAAUUACUUGGACUUUAUCCUAGUUAAUAAGGUGAAAGAAAGAAAAAUGAGUCCAUGAAAAUAAUAAUUACGUUUCAAUUUCAAACUAGAAAUUGAUUGUAUGAGUACCUAUUAUGUAUUAAAAACAAAAACUAAAAAAGGAAUAAGUCUAAACAAUUUCUGCCCUAGAAGGGAAUGAAUCACAAAAGGGUUAUUGCACUUUUACUCAUAUUUUGUGUUGGUCUUUAUUUUAUGUCACUCAUAACUUUUUUAUCGGCGAUGCAUAAGUAUAUAUUUUCAUAUACAUAAUAUUCCAUAAAUUAUAUUCGAGUAUGACUUCAGUUUCUAAAUAGCUCAUAUCUUAUUAGGCAUAAAUUCGAUCAUUAAAAGAUAAAUUGAAGAUCAAUUUAUCCAAAUGACAAAAAAUUAAAAUUAAACAUAUUUGAAAGAUAAAAUGUGUUAUUUAAAACCUCAAAACAUCCACUCAUAGUCAUGCAUGAACCCUAAUUUUAACAUUUGAGCCCAAAUGAAGUAUGACAAAGUUAUUUCUUUUGGGCUUGGUACUCCAUUGCAAUUAGGAGUGUACAUAGGUCGGUUCGAUUUGAUUUUUUAUUUGAAAAAAUUUAAAUUAAUUAAAUCGAUUUAACAAAUCUAAAAACCAAAUCAAAUCAUAUAAAGUUGGUUUUUUUGGUUCUUUCGGAUUUUUUUUGUUUUUCAAUUUUAUCAGAGAGUAAAUGAAAAAAACAGAAAAGAGGGUUAAGUUUUUUCUUUGAAAGAUCAAAAGAAAUGAUUGAUAGAAUAUUGAGUUACCAAGGAAGAGAGGAACUAAAAGAAAAGUCAAUUAUUUCUAUGCAUGCUUUGGGAUAUUGUAUAAACAACAUGUUGAUAGAGAUCAAAGAUGUUAAAAUGACUAUGAAGGAAUUGACACAGUGGGAAAGAUAGUAAUAAUGGCGGGCUAGCCACUUUCGAGCGUUUAUAUGGUCCCAAAAUUUAACUUAAUGACUAUUUUCCAAUUAUAGACGCUGAAAAAAUUUCACGGAAAAAUCCCUGUUGAAGAGUUGGAAAUUUCUUGAGGUUUUCAAAUCAUAGCAGCAAAUAUUUGAUUAGAAUUUUAUGUAUAGGGUAUAGGUAUUAUUCCCAAGCAGAAUUUUUGGACAAUAUAGUUAGUUAAAGUAAGAGAAAACAUAUAAGAAGAUUUAUAAGAUUGUACAGUCAAUGUUUAAUCUAAGCAGAAUAAUCAAGCAAAAAUGGCUAAAUAACAUAUUUUUACUCUAUUCCUUCCGUUUGUUUGUGCUCUGUUUCUUAUUAGUUUAUUUUAAAAAGACUAUUAUUUUACUUUUUAAAAUAUUUUUUACUAUUAACUUUUCAAAUGACACGAUUAAAAUAUGAAAAAGUUACUUUUAGGGAUGGGUCGUUUAACUUUUCAAAAAAUAUUUCUUUCGUUUUAUAUUAAUUGUUCAUUUUUUUUAUACGUUUCUUAAAUAAUAAUAUUCUAAUAAAUUAUAAAAGUAAAGUGGAAAAAAUUAAUCAAUUUUAUGUUUAAUUUUAUAAAUAAUUUAUUAAAAAUAUUCGUAACUAUUUUUAAUAAUAUAAUAUGAACAAUUAAUACGAGAUUAAGUGAAACGAUAUGAAACCGCAAGGGGUAAUGUUUUGGCCGGAGCUGAACUGAAUAGCAAAGACUUUUCUGUGUAAAAAAUACACUCAAUUUGGAAAGUUUUAGCAGUCUGAAAUUGCGAUACUUCCUCCGGUGAUCUCAAUGAAAGCUAGGGUUUUACUACUCUGUUUUCUGUUAUUAUCUUCAAAUUUCCGUUUUCUGCAAUCUGAAGACACGACAAAGAACAAAUUUCGAGAACGGGAAGCCACUGAUGAUGCCCUCGCUUACCCCAAUUUGUAAGUUUCCGUUCAUUCGUACUCUGUGUUUUUUUGAGCUGUUUAAUCGAUUUUGAUUUCGCAUAAUCACUUAUUUCAGGAUGUUACAUAGAGCUAUACUGACUCAUUGAGAAUUUUCUCCUAAUUUUUUGGUGAUAUUACCAAUUUAGUGUCUUAUUAUCGAGAUUUAAUGAUCAAAAACACAUUUAAACUAAGGCAUUUCCUGAGUUUUACAUUUUCUGCUUGAACUGUCAGUAUGCUUGAACUGUCAGUAUAGAUGAGGUAGGAAAAUGGAAUAAUUGAUAGUUGAGGUGUGUCUUUAGUAUUCAGGUAGGAAAAUGGUCCAAGUGAUAGUUGGGGAGUGGAAUUUGCGACAAGAUGAUAGUUAUGUAUGUUUUUAACCAUCAUCUGUAUUAUCACGCCUCAACUAUUAGUUUUUCGCUUUCCUAACUGAACUAUCACCAUAGUUGAGGUUGGAAAAAACGGAACAGUUGAUAGUUGAAGCGUAUUUUAAAACAUGGUGAUAUUUAGGUAGCAAAAAGGAACAGGAAAAUGCACAAGUACCCUCUAGACUAUAAUUGAUAUUUCAGAGAUACCUUAACUAAACUAAGGUCCUAUUACCCUUGAACUUAUUUUUUUUGGUAAUUAUGUGCAUCUUUUUGGCUUACGUGGCAUUCAAAUAUCUCCCACGUGCAAGACCUUAAUUUUAUUAAGGUGUGUCUCUGGGAUUUCGUUCAUAGUCUAGGGGGUACUUGCGCAUUUUUCCAAAAGAAACAAAUGAUAGUUGGAGUGUGAAAUUUGCGGAAAGACGAUACUUGAGUGUGUUGUUUUUAAUCGUUAUCUCUAUUACCAAUAUCAAACUGGAGAUGUUAAUAUCUUUCUAAAAUAUGUGCUUACUCCUAAUAUGGCGGACACACUUUCUAAAUUUUAAUUUAUUUGUUUUUGCAUACAAACAUAUUGACGCCUAAGAUUUCUAUAGAACUUUCAAGAAUUCACAUUCAUGAAACUGCUAAAAUUGUUAUAAUAACAGACUUUUUAGCCACUAUUUACCAUUUUCUUCUACUACUUCUAUUAAAUUAUACUUUAUCUGGUUCAAUUUAUAUGACAGUCUUUCCAUUUUGGAAGGUUCAAAAUGUGUUCACGCCAUUCUAUUUCUAUUCAAGCUGCAGAACUUCCAAGUAUUCAAAUACAUUAAAUUAUUCAAUGUUUAAAAUUUGAUGUGAUGUUUUCUUUGUUUUCUCUCUCAAACUAACUUUUCGACUAUAAGUAUAUCAUUUUCUCCCAUUAUUACUAAUUUACUAUACUCGAGUCAAAACAAAAGCCUUAAACUUUGUGCCUGAACAAACACCGAUGUAUAAUUAAGAUGGAGGGAGUAUAUAAGUCAAAUUAACAUCUUAAAUUCCUUGUCUUGUCAAACAUCCUAACAAAAUGGGACAGAGGAAGUACCAUUGACAAAUACUUUUGGUUUCAAUGCCUGAUACACAAAAGAUGAAAACUGAAAAGAUUUUUAAUAUUACUCUUGGUGUUUAUGCUGGCAGAGACGAAGAUGAAUUGUUUAAUACACAGUGCCCUCAGCAUUUGGAGCUGAGAUGGCAGACAGAAGUUAGUUCCAGCGUAUAUGCAUCCCCCUUGAUUGCUGAUAUUAACAGGUAAUGUAAUAGAAGCAUCUUUCCUUUGGGUUGUAAUUCAUUUGCUUUUACACUCUCUGAGUGUGUGAUGACUGCCUUAAGAUGAGUGUUCUUGUUUACUUUCUGAUACUACUUGCUUCCAUAGUGGUACAACGGUCAAUUAUUAUCAAGAGAAUAAUAGUUAUAAUAACAAAUGAGUGACAUGGAUGCAGUUAUUUUAUUAAAAGUAAACGAGAGGCAGGUGGUUUCUUAAGGAUAGGAAGGAUGGAGGACUAGGUGUGCACAAUAUGACCUUGCUCUUCAAAUGACUUUGGAGAUAUAACUUCGAGAUCAAUGAACCUGAAAGAAAAUAAUUAAUGCUAUACAUGGCAAAAAGGAUGACUAGAGAUCUUCUAGGCAAGUGGAUGUUAAAUGGAGUAUCUGUAAGGGUAUAAGCAUGCAUGGAAAGAACUCAUCGAAUACACUAAGCUGGAGGUGGGAGAUGGACAUAGGAUCAAUUCUGGACAGAUUUAUGGGUUAGAUAAGAAUUCUGAAGGCUGAAUUCCCUAUAUAGUUUAAUUGUUCUGUUAAUAAAGGAGUCUUUGUUGCGGAAUUUCACUCAAACUCAGGUUAGCAAAUUUAUUUCCGAGGAAUCUAAAUGAUUGCUAGGUAGAGGAUUUUUCCUAAUGUUUCAGCAGCUGGAAUCAGUCUCUAUAGAUUAAACUGAGAUGGAUUCUCUGAUUUGGUCAGCUACUGAAGAUAAAAUAUUCUCGGCUAAAGUUGCUAUAUUAUUUUGUUAAAGCAGACAGGCAUUGGGAUGAGAAUUGGCCUUGGAAGAUGAUUUGGAAGGAAAGCACUCCUGUUAAGUUAACAUGCUUGGGAUGGAUUGCAGCUAUGGAGACUUGUCUAACUCAAAAUUACCUGCAGAAAACCUUUAUUUUGGUGGUGUAAUAGAUGCACUCUGUGUAAAGAGGACCAGGAGACAGUUAUUCAUCUAAUCCUUCCGUGUAGAGUCUGAAGACAAUUUUGGGAAUUAUUCAUUAAUAUCUGUGGAAUUUCAUGGGUGAUGCCUCAGGGUUAGGAGCUUAUUGGAAAGCUAACAACUUCAAAGCGUACUUAAGAGUGUUGAAGCAUAUUCGGAGAACUGUCCUAGUAUGCAUCUUCUGGAGAGGAAAAAGCUUGCUUUGAAGAAGAGAAAUCACAUCUCUAGAAUUAAGAAUGAAUGCAUAAUCUGUAUUUUUGGUGUAAAAGUAGUACCUUAGCAGUUUAGCUAGUCUGGAUCAGUUCGUGGAUUUUUUUAAUUUUUUUAGGAAGGUAAGGGUAGUAGGCUGUUUGUUUUCUGUACUUUUCUCAUCUUGGUACCUUUACUACCUUAUUAAUGAACUUUUACCUUAUUUUAAAAUGAAAGUAAUUGAGGAGAUAACAUGUAUCCUGAUAUAAAUUUGUUGAUGAAAAUGGGUGGUCUGUUGAAAAGGCAAAUAACUAUGUUUUCAAGCCCUCCCAGAUUAUUGCAGGGGAAAGCUACAACUAUUCUAGUUAUGUGUGAGAUUCAACAAAAUCACAUGCAGUUGCUUAAUUUCGAACUUAAGUAUCUUUUAUUGUUUUCUGUUUCCUUAAUUUAUUCAUUUCAGCUAUGUUUCUGGAUCAUUACUACAGUGAUGGAAAGCUUGAGGUGGUAGUUCCCUCUUUUGUUCAUUACUUAGAAGUUCUGGAAGGUUCUGAUGGAGAUAAAGUUCCAGGUAUGAUUUGUAGAAAGCUAGUUAUAAGCUAUGUUGCUGCUCUGGACACCCCAAAAUGUUGCCGCACCUGUGUUGGAUCCUCCAUAAAUACACUAUUUUUGGAGUAUCUACACACAACCAUCGAUACUUUUGAAGAGUCCAAAUGACAUAGGUUAUAAGAAUAAAUGCGAACUUAUUAGAUGAGCUACAUAAUACCUCACAUCCCGCUUGUAUAUAAAUUGAACACCAAAAUGUAAAUUUAUGAUCAAUGAAACAACAAAAUUCACCUCAAUAUAAAGAAAUUAUCUAUAUGAAAUGAUAAUGAGGUUUGAGCUGUGUGUGUAAAUCUGAUGACAUCUCUACAAAUUUUAUAACUUCAAAUCAUCAGGAUGGCCAGCAUUCCAUCAAUCAACUGUUCAUUCCACUCCUUUCCUGUAUGACAUUGACAAGGAUGGGGUGAGGGAGAUAGGCUUGGCCACCUAUGAUGGUGAGGUGCUCUUUUUCAGGUAUGAGUACAACAUAUCUUGUAGCUGUUGUCUUGUUGAGAUUUUCUUUAUUUAGUAUGACCUUUUUAGAUUUUCAUAGGGUCUCAGGAUACCUGAUGUCUGAUAAAUUGGAGAUUCCUCGGCUGAGAGUUAAAAAAGAUUGGCAUGUUGGUUUGAAACAGGAUCCGGUGGACCGUUCUCAUCCAGAUGUACAUGAUGACCAACUCAUACAGGAGCCUGUCAUGGACUCCGCAGCCAGUGAGUAUUAUCCUCUUACAUUUGCUUUUCAUAGUCACUUUGUUUCCUCUUAAUAUUCCUGCUUGUUUAUGAUAUAUUUGACCUAGCUGCCCCAGCAUGUGUAAUUUUUUAAAAUGUGUUGUGACAUUUGGCAUUUAUAUAUAGAACCAUGAUUUCCUUAUGUUCUAUAAGUUAACCUUUUGUUACUAAGGUCCGUAAUAAGUUACUGCUAAAAUAUUCUUGAUUCUGCAGUACUGAAUUAGUUUACCUGUUGUCCUGUAGGGUCUAUUACUCGAAUAUUUCUGUUGUAAUUUGGUACCUUGGUCUGUAUAUUUCUCAGCAUCGGUGCACAUCUUUUGUUGCCACUCGACUUUUUUCACCUAUUUGCCAAUUCUACCUCUUUCUUUGUGCUUUCUAGUAUUCAACUGAUUUUCAAUGGGACUCCGACCCUUGUGCUUGUUUUGACUUGACACUGCGGAAAGACUAAUUUUUCCUUGAUUUUUAUCUCAACAUGUCAAGAGGUACUCUUAAUUUAUUUUUUGUUUAUUUGGUGAUGUUACAUUCUGAAUAUAACCACUUUUAGACGUGGAUGCUAGAUGUUGACCUUCAUCAAUUGAAUUAUAUCUUAAAUCAUAUCUUUAAUUCAAAAGUUUUCUCCUAGGUCACAAUGCAUCCACUCAUGGAGGCAACUAUUCAAAAUCUACUGCAUCUGAAGUUAACACAGAAACCCAUUCUAUUCAAAAAGAAGUCAACCAUGACGCUUCUAAUGCUUCAAUAUUUUUGCCGUCAGGAGUUUCACCUAACACAUCAAAUUCAUCUAAUUUAGAGGACCAAAAGGGGAAAAAUGAUAGUGUAGCUGGUGGAGAAGUUAAAAUGACUAACUUAAACAAUAUUACUCUGAAUUCUGAUAAUGAGAAAAUCAGUGUCCCAGAGAAUGGAACAAGUAAAGGGAGAAGGCUUCUAGAAGACAAUGUCUUGAGAAGUUCGGAGGAAAGUGAUUCUGGAUCCAAAGAUGUUAGAACUGCAACUGUGGAAAAUGAAGGAGGUCUGGAAGCGGAAGCUGAUUCAUCAUUUGAGUUAUUCCGGGAUAAUGAGGAUAUCCCUGAUGAUUAUGAUUAUGACGAGGAUGAUUACCUUGAUGAUGAUGAAUUAUGGAAAACUGAAGAAUUUGAGGAACCAGAACAUGAGAAAUUGGAGAAUUAUGUUCAUAUUGAUGCUCAUAUUUUAUGUACUCCUGUAAGUCUGUUGGAAAGAACAGCUUAUUUGAUUGAUAUUUCAUAGUCGGUAAAUGUCAGGUAACAAAUUUGGAUGUCCUUGUUUCUGUCAGGUCAUUGCUGACAUUGACAGCGAUGGGGUGUCGGAGAUGAUUGUUGCAGUAUCCUACUUCUUUGACCAUGAGUAAGCUUUCUCACCAUGGUGCUAUUUUGUUUUCACAUUGUUACUCGGUUUCUGACUGAAGUCUCAGCUGAUUUAUAUAUUUGCUCCUUAAAUGUUGAAGUCGUUCAGUUUUCCCUGUAUGGUAUAUGCUAAUUAAGUCUUACAGAGCAUUUAUUAAGGGUGAAACACCAAGCCUCCCCUUGUAUGGUAUAUGCUAUUUAAGACAUUUGUUGCUGCUAUUAUAUGGACAGUUGGCUGAAUUAUGUAUCUUGAAGUGAGUGUCUUGUUGAUUGGAUAAUGAUUACUGCUUCCAGAAAAAGGAUGUUUACGAUGGGCAUGUGGGAUUGUUUGAUUAAAACUUCAGCUUGGUUAUGUUAAUAGGCUGUGUUAUACAUUUCACUCAUAAUAAUCCUGCCAAAUAAAUAUGGGAGUUGCAAUUGUUCAUGUCAAGAUCUCUUAAUUAAAUGCUACUUAUCUCAGCCAUAUCUUUUUGACAUUGCUUUGAUCUUCUUGAUGUGCAUUACUGUAUGAAACAUAUAUAACUUUUAAAUUGAUUGAAUCUGCUCCUUUUUUCUUGUCAAAUAGAGCCCCUUUAUUUUGCUCCAUUCAUUAAUGACUCUCUUACCUUCUCAAAAAAAAGCCCUAAAAAGGUCUCUUCUAGUAAUAGACAGCUGAUUAGAACUUUUUGAAGUCAAUUCUGCAGCCAAAAAAAUAAAAAACUGAUGAAUCAUGAAUUCACAGGUACUACAACAAUCAGGAGCAUAUAAAGGAACUUGGAGACAUUGAAAUAGGAAAAUAUGUUGCUGGUGGUAUUGUUGUUUUCAAUCUAGAUACCAAGCAAGUCAAAUGGUCUGCACAGUUGGACUUAAGUACUGACGACGGGACAUUCCGUGCCUAUAUAUACUCUUCUCCUACGGUAGUUGAUUUGGAUGGUGAUGGAAACAUGGACAUUCUAGUUGGGACCUCCUAUGGCUUGUUUUAUGUGUUGGAUCACAACGGUAAUCCUCUGUUAAGGUCUUUCCAGUCUUAUUUUUUAGUUUAUUGUGUUGCUGAUGUCUGGUUUAAGUAAAUCAUCAAUCGACCACUACAUGUCAUUCCUAUUGUUGGAUUCAGCAAUAUGAAUCCUAUGUAUCCAUUAUUCAGUUGUUUCGAUUCAAAAAUUCAGUAGUAUUUUCAGCUUCUAGUAUUCACCUUAGUACCAUAACUGUUCUUUCCAUGUGAUCUGAAUUAUUUUCCCAUCAUGAGAGACCCAUCAUUGAUUUAACACUAUGUCCUUUCAUGGUAAUUAUAAUGCUCUGUAUCAUGUAAAGAGUGCUGUUUCCUGCUAGAUUCUUCUUUGAUUAAGCCUAUGAAGUCUGGCAUCACUUGUAGUUAAACGUGCAAGCAUGAUAUUGUCACACCUCAAAUCUGGAGAAUGUGACCGGCACCUGAUGCCUUAAACUUCCAUCAAGGAAACCAGCCUAACAUGGCAUACUCAACAUAAUUCAUGCAUGAUUAUAACAUGUGCAAAUUAAACAUCCCUUAGUAAAUGUAUUUAAUGACACAACCUGCCUCAUCUUCAUUUAAAAAAAAUUGGCACCAUCAGUCCUUUUCAAACUUCUCCAUUUUGGUCCUUUUGUCCUUCCUAACUCUCCAACCAAAUCCCAAACCAAGUGAGACACCCGUUAACACGUUCCAAAUACUUAACCAUCCCCGUGUGUGUCUGCACACAGUUUUGGAGUUAAUUAUCAUCCAUUAAGCUUGUAAUUAACCCAAUUUUUAGAAUUUGCGGGGCUUUACCAAUACUUUUGGCUUACUCUCCGCUGGACAGUCAUACACGUCCCUAAGUGGCAAUUAGGUUUUUUAGUGUUUUCCAUUCAUUUCGUUUUUAGUAAAUGUGUCAUCCUCCUAAUUCUUGUCUGCUCUGCUUCAUAUGAUUGUUCUUAUUAUCAAAUCUUUUGAAGACUAAUGACCUAACAUCAGGCAAAGUCAGGGAAAAGUUUCCUCUUGAAAUGGCUGAAAUCCAAGGAGCAGUAGUUGCAGCUGAUAUCAAUGAUGAUGGAAAGAUUGAACUAGUUACAACAGAUUCACAUGGAAAUGUUGCUGCUUGGACUGCACAAGGUACAGAAAUUUGGGAAACGCAUCUCAAGAGCCUUGUUCCUCAGGGACCGGUCAUUGGCGAUGUGGAUGGAGAUGGCCAUACGGAUGUCGUUGUCCCAACACUUUCUGGGAAUAUAUAUGUUCUGAAUGGCAAGGACGGCUCAUUUGUACGUCCAUAUCCUUAUAGGACUCAUGGUAGGGUGAUGAAUCGAGCACUUCUCGUCGACUUGAGCAAACGUGGGGAGAAGAAAAAAGGGCUUACAAUUGUCACAAUGUCAUUUGAUGGUUAUUUGUAUCUCAUAGACGGACCAACAUCAUGUGCUGAUGUUGUAGAUAUUGGUGAAACUUCGUAAGACAACGAUUCAUUCUCUCUCUCUCUCCAUUUUUCUUUUUUAUUUUGUUGACUUAUCUUUGAUCUGAUCUGCUAUAUAUUUUCUGCUUGUCACAGAUACAGCAUGGUCUUGGCUGAUAAUGUUGAUGGUGGCGAUGAUCUUGAUCUUAUUGUAACAACGAUGAAUGGUAACGUCUUCUGUUUCUCCACGCCUGCCCCACAUCAUCCCCUCAAAGUAAGUGAAUUUGGUGUAUUUGCUUUUGGUUAAUUGUUCGUGUUCUUUGAUAUUGAUACCUGCACUCAGACUUGGAGAUCUCCUAAUCAAGGGAGAAACAAUGCUGCUUACCGUAAUGAUCGUCAGGGGAUCUAUGCAACUCCGUCUUCAAGAGCUUUCCGUGAUGAAGAGGGCAAGAGCUUUUGGGUUGAAAUAGAGAUUGUUGAUAAAUACAGAUACCCAUCUGGGUCUCAAGCUCCUUAUAAUGUCACGGUAAAUCGCUUUCACAUUCUUGGUCGAUCCUGCUUACUAUUUAAAUCUUAUCAGUUAUUUCUUCUCCAUCGACACAGGUGAGCUUGUUAGUUCCUGGUAAUUACCAAGGAGAACGAACUAUUAAGCAAAAUAAGAUAUUCGACCGUCCUGGAAAACAUCAGCUUAUGCUCCCAACUGUUAAUGUAAGGACUGCUGGGACUGUUUUGCUGGAGAUGGUUGACAAGAACGGACUAUAUUUCUCAGAUGAUUUCUCUAUAACAUUCCAUAUGCAUUAUUAUAAGCUAUUGAAAUGGAUUCUCGUACUCCCUAUGCUGGGAAUGUUUGGUGUGCUUGUCAUCCUUCGUCCACAGGAGGCCAUGCCACUACCAUCAUUUUCGCGGAACACUGAUUUAUGAUGUUGCAGUCACCUAUAUUACAAAUUUCCAUCAUGUUGAAGAAAUGAAGCAAAUCACUCCUUCUGGACCUUGAGCGGAGAACUGACUUACUGAUACCGGGUAUGUUCAAACAUGAAAAUUUUCAUUGUUCUGGGCGGAUGUUCUUGAACAAUAGAGUUACUCGAGGAGGAAGUUCGUUGAUCAGGCCAAUCAAGUCUGGUUUUGUGGGGGGUAAUCUUAGAACGGAUCAUGUAAGGGACACUGCAUUUUGUGAAGUUGAAUAUUUCCUUCUCUCUGAUCUCAGUACAAAUGGCCGUGGACGCGGUUAAUGUUACUAAUAGAGUAGAUUGUAAGAAAAUGUUCAGUAUGUAAGGAGAAAUUUACGAUGUGAUGCCGGGAAGUAAACUCUUUUACUUGUUAUUAGUUACAAGAUGCACCUGUGUCAAAAUAUAAUAUGGAAUACGGUAGUGACUGAUUUAUUAAAAGGGAUAUCAUUUAUACUGAAUACCUAUUUAUUCCACAUAAAAGGUAAUAUUAUUAAUGCUCUAAUCAUAUGAUAAAUGGUAGUUUUGUUUCUACGUGCACAAAUUGGGAAGAUUAAAUAAGUUAAAGAGAAUGAAAAGAUCAUGGUUUAAUCCUUCAUGGAAUGUCAAACCUAAUCAAUCCUAUUCAUAUUGAUAAUUAACGGCAAAAGAAGUCGUCGCUAAUAACAACUUUUAGUGGCCACAUAAAUAUUCUUUAGAAGAGCACUAUUAAACGACUCUUAGUUGCGACAUAAAUAUCGAGACAAAAGUUGUCACACCUUUCGCGGUGUGAAGUUGUCACCAAUAAAGACUUCUCAUGGAGACAUAAAUAUUCAUUCGCGGCGAUGGAGGUUGUCACUAAAGACUUUUAGUGGCGACUGUAAGAGUUGUUAAUAAAACUUUUAGUGGCGACAUAAAAAUCCUUUAGCGGCGGUGACUGAAGUUGUAACAAAUAAUUUUUUUUUAUCGGCUACAGAAGUUGUCACUAAUAAAACCUUUUGGUGGCGACAGAAGUUAGUCACAAAAAAUAACUUUUAGUGGCGAUAUAUAUCCUUUGGCGGCAACAGAAAUGUCACAAAUAAAUAUUUUUAGUGGCAGCAUAAAUAUCCUUUAGCGGCGACAGAAUUUGUCGCUAAUAACUACUUUUAGGAGCGACAUUGAUAUCCUUUCGGCGACUGAAUUUGUCACUAAUAACAGCGACAGUUAUCCUUUCGCGGCGACACAAGUUGUCACUAAUAACAACUUUUAGUGGCGACUUAUAUAUUACCUUUAGCGGCGAAAUUAGUUGUCAAUAAUAACAUAUUUUAGUGACGACUUAUAUAUACCUUUAGCGACGACAUUAGUUGUCACUAAUAACAACUUUUAGUGGCGACUUAUAUAUACCUUUAGCAGCGACAGACUUUUAGUGGCGACUUAUAUAUACCUUUAGCGGCGACAUAUGUUGUCACUAAUAAUAACUUUUAGUGGCGACUUAUAUAUACCUUUAGCGGCGACAAUAGUUGUCACUAAUAACAACUUUUAGUGGCGACUUAUAUAUACCUUUAGCGGCGACAAUAGUUGUCACUAAUAAUAACUUUUAGUGGCGACUUAUAUAUACCUUUAGCGGCGAUAUUAGUUGUUACUAUAACAAGUUUUAGUGGCGACUAUUAUGUACAUUUAGUGGCGACAAAAGUUGUCACUAAUAAUAACUUUUAGUGGCGACUUAUAUAUACAUUUAGCGGCGACAAAAGUUGUAUAAUAUCUUUUAGUGGCGACAUAUAUAUAACUUUAGCGGCGACAGAAGUUGUCACUAAUAAAAACUUUUAGUGGCGACUUAUAGACACCUUUAGCGGCGACAGAAGUUGCCACUAAUAAAAACUUUUAGUGGCGACUUAUAUAUACACCUUUAGCGGCGACAGAAGUUGUAACUAAUAAAAACUUUUAGUGGCGACUUAUAUAUACCUUAAGCAGCGACAGAAGUUGUCACUAAUAAAAACUUUUAGUGGCGACUUAUAUAUACUUUAGCGGCGAAAGAUGUUGUCACUAAUAAUAACUUUAGUGGCGACUUAUAUAUACCUUUAGCGGUGACAUUAGUUGUCACUAAUAACAACUUUUAGUGGCGACUUGUAUAUACCUUUAGGGUGACAGAAGUUGUCACUAAUAACAACUUUUAGUGGCGACUUAUAUAUACCUUUAGCGGCGACAGAAGUUGUCACUAAUAACUACAUUUUAAGUUGCGACAUAAAUAUCCUUUCGCUGGCGACAGAAGUUGUCAUUAAUAACAACUUUUAGUGGCGGAAUAAAUAUCCUGUGGCUGCGACAAAAGUUGUAACUUAUAACCUGUUUUAGCGGCGACAUAUAUAUCCUUGAGCGACAACAGAAGUUGUCACUACUAACAACUUUUGUCUGGGGACAGAAAUAUCCUUUGGCAGCGACAGAAGUUGUUACUAAUAACCUCUUUUAGCGUCGACAUAGAAAUUUUUUGCGGCGACUGAAUUUGUCGCUAAUAAAACCUUUAGUGGCGACAUAAAUAGUCUUUAGCGGCGCUUGAGGUUGUCGCCAAUAACCUCUUUUAGUUGGGAGCUAAGCUGCGAAAGAAGGUGUCUAAUAGAGACUUUUCGUGGCGAAAUUAAUAUCUAUAGGCGACAGAACUUGUCACUUAUAAGAACUUUUAAGGCAUCCUUUAGCGGCUACUCAAACUGUCCCUAAUAAGUGAAACAUAUAUAAUAGGAUAUUUACCAUUUAUAAUAAUUAAUAGUUAAUAAUUAUAAAAAAUUAAUCAAUAUAUAAGCUCGGUUCAUUAUCUAAAUUUGUUAGCAACUAAUAUUAAUUAUUUACUUUAUUUAUUUGAAAACAAGUAAUUUAUUUCAGAUAUAUAUCAGUAUGUAUCAUAUUAAAAAAUAAAAGAUAAUAAAUAAACAAACAAUUGAUGUUCAAACAACAAGCGGAAAAACCCAGAAAAUAUUUAAUUGUAAAUUUUGUUUGGGAAGCAAAAUAAAUUUACCCAGCAACUAUAGUAAAAUCUUAUAAGAUACUAGAAUUUAUCAAAUAUUAGAUGUGUAAUGGCAAAAGGGUUGCAUAUUUAUUUUUAUUUUUUUGUAAGAGUUUUCUUUUAGCACCAGCAUAUGUUUUGUUUGUCUAUAUUUGGUGAAUUGUCCUUCAUUAUCUUGUUUGUUUCAUAUUUGUCAAAUUGGACAAAUUAUUUUGACUACCUGUUAUAUUGACACUUCUCUUUAGGUUAAAAAAAAUGAAGAGAAAAAACACAAAUAUUUGAUGUUACUUGUCAAAUUAGACCGACUCAAAUAUUUAGAUCACAUUCUAUAUUGACCUUAUUUUUGAGUUUUAAAAGCGAAUAUUUUUACAGGAUUACUCCUUUUAGGCUGAAUAAAAUUAUUAUUAUCUUCUGGGUUAGCCCUACAAUCCUCCACGUCAUCACUAUGGUUCAUAACAUAAAAUUUAUUAUUUUGCUGACAACAAAUUUCCAAUUUAGAUUGAUUGAUAGAAGAACUCGAAAAAAAAUAAAAAAAAAAGGCAUUGUAAUUAGCUAUAAGGCUAGUUUUAUAAAGUGGCCCAAUUGUGUGAUUAAAUGGGCUACUGAAUGUGUGAGCCCAAUAGAACAUUGCAUCCAGUAGCCAUCUUUUACAUUACUAUUUAAUCCAUACUCGAUUUUCUUCAAAGUAUUUAAUUUGUAGUCACUAUUGUACAAUAGCAAUUGCAUGCAGUAGCCACUUAUAUAAAUGUAUUGACCAUCUUGUUUAUCAAUAUGAUCGAUACAUUUUGACUAUAUAUAUCUAGUGUAUAGUAUAUUGUAUAGAAUAUGUAGAUAUUUUUUUAAUAUAAAGGGUAGCCUGUUAUAGAUUAUGUUUGAGGAGUUAACUACAAUUUCAAAAAAAAUCAACAUGUAUGUCCUUAAACAAUGUGAAAUUGAACAAAUAUAUUCUCCGUCAAUAGUUUGAUUCAAAAAAUAUUCUUGGCAGUAUUACUUUGUUUCAUAAAUAUGACCGAUGUUAAUUAUUUUGGUCAAAAAUACCCCUAUCCUCAAAUAUUGACAAUAAUGAAUUUUAGGUUCAAAGAUGAAGGCUUUGAUUUUGUGUGUAUUAGGCUAUGAUUCAACAUAUUUGAUGUCCUUUUUGGCUGUUAGAUUCAAUCUCCCUUUGAUUUAUACAUAUUUCUGUGCAUGUGGGGUGAAAGUACUCUAUUAUGUUUGUCCUUUUUGUUUCCCCUUUUUUAUCUUUUAAAUCAUGAUUUACUAUUCAUUCUUCCCUUUUCCUACAACAAUUUGCUUUAAACAAUAAUCUAUAAUCAAAUGCAACCCAAAAAUUUUGACAAAUAUUUCAUUUUAAAAAAUGAGUAUUUUCUUGUCACAAUAAGGGGCUAAAAGUGGAGGAUAAGAUGAACACGAGAAUGAAUAUUAUACAAAAGAGUCAAGAUCAGGUUAUCUAAUGUAUAAUUGAUUCAUUGCAGAUCAAUAAUUGGUAUGGAAAUUGUAAAAUGGAAAAAAUCACAAGAAACACAACAUGUUUGAAUAAUUCGAUAACUUACCAAUUAUAGAAGUAGAAAUGUUGGCAAGUAGUAAAUAUUUCUUCACAAAAAGCACAUAUGAUGUUACGAUAUUGAAUAUUUUUAAAAAAAAGAUGAAUAUAUAAUAAUAUAAAUGUUACUAUAUAAGUAUCUUAUGUAUUUAAUAAGCUCAAAAGUUAUCCUUGUAAUUAAUUUACAUAAACAACGGAGACAUUCUUUUUUCUUUUUUUAAAAAAAAAUAUCUUGAUUGCUUUAGAGGUUGAUCAUCCACAUGGAUGUUGGUAUAAAAUCGAUUCUCCACUAAUGUUUUUUAAAUCAAGCAUGUCGCAUAAGGCUUAUUUAAAGCGAUUUAUAUUGUGGAUAAUAACCCAACUCAUCAAAAGUUUACUUAGUUUUAAUUAUUUUGUUCUAUUUUAUAAUUCUUUGGUAUCUAUUUAUCAUGACUACAUAUAAGUUAUAACAUAUCAAAUAAAGAAAUGUCUAUUUAGAUAUAUAUUGACAAAAUUUCGUACAGAGUAAUUUGAACAACAUAUCAAACGAAAUUUUUAAUACGCUGAGCUAAUAAAUAGUAAAUAGAUUAAUAAUCAACCUAACUUUUAAAUAAAUUUGUCAAAUUAUAUUUUCAUACCACUAAUAAAGAAGAAUUAGUAAUAAUUAUGAAACAACAUUAUUCGACCUAAUAAUGAGAUGGACGAAAUUUGUGGAAACUUUGAUGCACGCCUGUGCAAUUAUUCCAUGGCCUCUCAUUACUAUUUUUCUUCUUACCCCAUCUCAAUCAAAAUUAUAAUAUUAAUAACAAUUUUUUUAUUAUAUAUAUAUAUAUAUGUUAAAUCUUCCAGAAUUAGUGGGAAAAAUUGAUCAAUCUAAAAGUUUCUAGGUUUUGAUUAUAUUUACCAAACUCUGUUGUAUAUUGGUAAUAUAAUUACGAUUCGAUUUUUUUCAAUGAUUUUAUUUACAAUAUAGACAACAUAUAACUAAAGUUUUAUUAAUUGUCUGAACUUUAGCUUGAAAUGUGUAAAUUUAAUUAUAUAUAUACAUAAAAGAAAUUAAUUAAUUUUUUGCUCGAUAUUUGAUAUUUACGAAAGAAGGAGGCGAGCAAAUGUAAUCUACUACAAUCACAUCAUUUAUUGGUAUCGUCAACAAUUUUAAGCUACUUAUUAUGCAAAAUAAGCUUAUUCAAACAGUUAGAGCUCUUAAUUUGACAAAUGAAUCAAAACAAUGAAAUAAGAUUUUAAAAUAAAUGAUUUUAUUUAUAAAGACAAUUGUAAAUGAUGAAAUCCAGCUAUUAAAUAGACAAAACCUUGUAAUAUGAUGGUUACAUAUGAUGUAAAACCUUUUUUUUUUCCUUUUAAGACAACUAUAAUGGUACGAUUUUGUUUCGAUAUUCCUUGUACUAAGCAGUUAAAGAUUUGUCUAAUUAUUAUUUAACAGCAUAAUGUUGUGAUUUGACCACACAAAAUGUGGUAUAUUGAAAGAACAUAAUGUUAUCUAUGAUUUCGAUUAGAGAUUAAAUUUAGACAGAUUAAUAUAAACUAAAUAAAUAAAUGAACAAUCCGUUGAAAUUUUACUGAAAAUUUGAUCAAUAUCUCAAACGUUCAACACUUACAAAAUUUUAAGUUUUUAUUCAUUUUCUUAUAAUUUAUUUGAUUACCAAAUAAAAUUACCUCUUUCUCGUUAUGACAACUUCAUCUAACAUAUUAAACAAUAAAAAUAAAAUUAAAAAAAAUUAAUACAUAUUUAUAAUGUUCUAUUCAAACUAAAUAUUUAAAUCAAAUCAAUUCAAUUUUUAAAUGGACUAACGGUAAAUUAUGACUAAUUUAACUUACCAUGAAUAUAUACCAACUCAACUCAACUUAUACACGAAUCAUAUUUUCAUGGCUUAAUUUUGUUAUAUAUAGUGAUGGGUGUAUAGCUACUUUAUUUCAAGAUUAUUUUGGAUUUUUCUUUUUUGGCAUCUUUUUAUUUAUUAUUAUAAUAUAAUGUAACAGAAAAAAACAAGAAGUAAAGAUGAAGAGAGCAGCUAAGCCAGAGACAAAUGUGAAAGCUUUUUUUUUGUUUGUUUAUACAUAUUUUUAUUUUAUUCCUCUUCUGUAGUAUUUUUUAUAUCAUAAAAUAAAGAUAAAGAGAAUAAUAACAAUAUAUAGUUGACGACAGAGAUUCACUUUACGUAGCAUGCAUUCCCUACACAAGUUUAAUUACUAUAAUUUACAAAAAAAAUAAAAAAUUACACACACGUAUGCUAAUGUAAAUCAUGUCUCUAUUAAUUAAGUUAAUUACACAUAUCAAUAGUAUAAUAUUUUGUAUAUAUAUUUAACUUUAAUAUGGCAUAACAUCGAAGGCCGCAUAAUAAGAUUGAUGGCUUAAAAUUAAUUUUAAUCGAAGACCUUAUUUUUUCUGUUCGAUCAAAAUUUGGGAUUAGAAAUCUUAGCUUUAGUAUGUUGACUAGGAGAGUAUAACGCUUUGUUAGUGUUCUUGAUUAUUCGAGAGAAAUAUUGUAUACCAAAGGUUAAGUAUCGUAAUCUAUAACAGGUUAAGUAUCGUAAUUUAUGAUAUUUCACAUCAUCAACGUUGUUUUUUUUAAUCAAGAAGUUUUGGGAUUCUGAGCUCUGAUUAUAUAAAAUAACAUGAUAAGAAUUAAGAAGUGUUUUACUUUGAAUAUAAUCUUACGUAAUAUGAAUUUUAAAUAAUUGAGCUUCAAUACGGAUAUCGAAGUUUUCGAAAUGAAAGGUGUGCAUGUCCCAUCAUCUUCAUGGACUUUAUACGAGGACGUUUCCUGCCUCCUCUGCUCAUGUGUUGUCUUUCUUCAAUUUUUUUCUCUCCUAUCAAAAUGUAUAACAAUAGUCAAAAUAUUGUAGUUGCUAAAAAAGAAUAUCACUAUUUUUCUAUUAAAGAUUUCACUAGAAAAUGUGUAGUGGUCAUUUAUAUAUAUAUUUUGAUCGAAUAGUCAGAAAAAAAUUAAUAUAUUUUUAUGUGAAAAAAUUAGAAAGCUUUCUAAUGAUUCAGUGAAAAUCUGUUUUUCGUUAUAUAUUUUUCAAGUGAGAUAAUUCGAUAAAAAAUAUAGUGUAUUUUUAUAAAUUCACUUGACAUCCAACAAGUGCUAGCUCACUAGUCAGACACAUUGCUUUUAUAGUUAAAAAUAAAAAGAUUGAUCACACAUUUGAAUUUUCUUGAAAAUAUGAUAUACAUAUUAUUUAGAGGCCUAAUAAUCAUUUGUCAAUAAAAUAGAGUUUGUGUAUAAAAGGAUGGAAUCAAUUGUAUAACUCUCCCAUAAACGAAAUUUAAGUAGACUAGUUGGUCAAAACCACAUUUAUAUUAUUUUAGGUAAUUAUGAACAAAAUAUUGAAACUUUGUCAAAGAAUAUAUCAAUAUUGUGUUUAAAUGUUUUAUAAUAUCAUUUUAUUUUAUUAAUCGUGGAUUUAUUUAUUUACUCUAAAAAUAGUUACUUAUAUAUAAAAAAAUUGUAAUGCAACUAUUUUUUUUGAUUUUCUCAAUAGUAUCCAACAUCUACAUUGAAGCCUGAUUUUAUUUAAAUUUACAUAAAAAAGUCUCACAUGACGAUAAAUCGAUAAAAUAUUCCUUAAUAAAAAAGACUUUAUCUUCGAAAUUCAAACCCAAGACCUCUGACUAUAUAAUGCAACUGGAUACAUUACUUGUCACUUCCACUAUACUUUGGCAAUGCUAAGUACUCCAAAAUAGUUGAGAUAAAUGUCACAUAGCAACCCACAAAUGAUAUGAGAAUAUAAAUAAAAAAGAAAAUGUAGAAUUGUAAAACUCAAAAUGAGGUGUCAAAUAAAAGGAGGUACACAUAAAAAAGAGUAAAAACAAAAGGGAACUCCAAAACCAAGAAAAAGAGCAAAAACAAAAGAGAGAUAUUUUUAUUUUUUUAGUGUUUGAUAUUUAUAUUAAAGCUUGACUUAAGUUAAAUUCACAUAAAAAAAGUUUACAACGAGGAUAAGUCGCUCCUCAACAAAUUAUAUAUAAAAAAAAAAGGUUAAAUUCAAAUUUUUUAAUUAAUAAUAAUAUAAUAUUUACCAUUCUAGAACAACGACGACGCAGAGAUAGAGGUGUUAUAUUAGACAAAAGAAAAAGCAAAGAAAGGGAAAAGAGAAGUGUUGGAGAGAAAGAGGUGAGACAUUUCUGUAUUACACAUUCAGACUUAUGUGUGUUGGCGUGAUUUAUUACUUUUGCUUUUAUCUAUCACUAUAAAAAGGAAUCUUUGAAAAUCAAAAGUUCCUUCUCAAAUACUAUUAAAACAAAUACUUUUUAAAAAAAAAUAAAAGAGAUAUAUUUUAUUCCUUUAAAAUUAAUUAAAAUCAUCUAGCUGUAUGAAUAUAAAGAACUAAUGAAAAAAAAGCGAAACUUUUGAUUUUAGCACACAUGGGGUAGACUUGUUUGACAAUAUAUGUAAAUUCGAUUAGCUGAUUAAAAAUAAUUGAUAGAUUAUUUGAUAUCAAAAGAAUACUUAGUUGAUUUUACGUAUUUAAAUGAAAUAACGAAACUCAUAAUGAUUAAUUAAUGUAUUUAAUAAUUAGAUGUUACACGAGUCACUUUUAAUUAAAAAUGCCUUUGAAGUAUUCUGAAAGCCUUUUAUUACAUAAUAUAAAUUUUAGCAAAUAAGAAAAAAGACUAAUGACACUUAAAUUUUACACAAGUAAUAAAGUUAUAAAAGAUAUUAGAAAUAUUGAUCAAAUUAAAAGUACUUAUGAGCGAUAAAUUAUAAAUUGGGGUGAUCGAGUUAUGAUUCUAUCUGAUUAAUUUUAACUUGCAAAUAUUUUUAAUUAUUUAUCAGGCACAUGAAUAUAUAAAAAAAUAUUUACAAGCUAUUUUUUUUUUGUUUGGCUUAUAAGCAAGCCUAUCAAGUACCAAACAUCAUGUUAGUUUCUAGGGAGUAAUAUUAUUUCUAAAUAUAGAAAAAAAUAUCCAUUUAUUACAUUGUUAAUUAGGAGUAAGGACAAAUUUAAUGGACAGUAUUUUACUGUAACUGAAAAUAUAAUCUAUGAACAUUAAAAGGGAAAAUAAAGGAUAAGAUUUGUUUAUUUAUAUUUCUCUGUUUAAUUUUACAUGUCAUAUUUUUACUUUGUGUUUAUACUAAUAAAUAAUAUUACUUUAUCUUUUUAUUCUUAUUUAAUUUUUCUAAAUUUUAAGUUUUUAAUUAAUUAAUAUGAUUUAAUUUAUUUUAAUUAAUUAAUUUAACCAAUGAAUAUAAAUUAUUUAUAACUUUUAAGUUAGUCAAAUAUAUAUUUUCAAAAUUAAUAACUCAUAAGAAUAAAAAAUAAUAAUACAAUAAUUUAUACAUUAAUUUUAUAAAAUAGCAAAUGCAAUAUUACGAACUAACUAUUUGUAAAUAUAAUUGACAUAUAAAAUCGGAUAAAAGGAGCAUUAAAAUAGAAAUAGAAAAAUAUUAUUCCUUGGAAAGCGAAUAAACGUAGGUGAUUAAAAUAAAAUAAAAGAGCAUGUGUGAGUAUUCGUUCCCACUUUAUGUAUUUCAGUUUUUUAUUUUCUUCGUUUACGAAUUAUGUAUAUUUUUUUAAUGUAACCGUCUGAAAUUAAAUAAUUUUACACUUUAUUAGGCUUUUAAUCUAAUAAAUCUCAUUUUUAGACAUUAGUUCAAAUUUAAGAUUGAAAUUUAAAUUAUGAUUAAAAAAAAAUUAUUAUACGGAAAAUAACGUAGAAAACAUGAUAAAUUUCUAGUAAAGAUCAAAAUUUAUGCCGAAUAAAUCUACUUAGAUAAUUGUUACAUAUUUUUUCACAAUAUAUUAUAUUAUUCUAUUGAACUAUGUUGUAUGAUAUCGUAUGAAUAUAUUAUUUCGAUAUAUUGUAUUAUUCUUUAUUAUUAUAUAAUAUCACACAUUAACAAUUAAAAUAUUGCGCGCAAGGCAUGAUUGGGAGGGAGGUGAGUCUCUCACGUUGGAGAGCAUAUCAAAUUCAAUCUAAGUCGGUUAUUCAAUCAUAUGAGCUCAUCACAUGCAGUUUGCUACAAAUUACUCGCUCGUCAUAGAGUGCUUAUCUAUAAGUCAAAAAUUGUGAGUUGCUUAGGUCACAAAUUAUAGGUUAUUAUCUAACUAUGCAUUAACAAUUCGAACAAAUAUAAUAUUUACCUAAUAAUACAAUAUAUAAGAUGCAAAUGAUAUACGAAAAUGACGAAGUUGCUUCCCCGAAAAAAUACAUUAUACUAAAGUAUGAAAUAAUUUAACGACAAGGCUACAAUAUUUGGUCAAACAAAUUAGUUAUUUAUAAUAUUUGGGAAAAAAGAUGAAAGAGUGUCCGUUGUGAAGACAUUUUUCAUUCUUCUUUAUUUUUCUCUUCAUCUUCUUUGUUGUCUCUUCACUUUUCACCAUUGUUGAGAGUACUCAAAGCUUCUUCACAAAUUCUCACAGUAUAUUUCACUCUCUUUCUCUGAUUUGCAGAACAUGAGCAAAGUGCGCAGCAUUGCACAUUACCACCUGGUAUGAAUCCCACCACUGCGGACCCAACACAGCCACCGCCACUUCCACCGCCGCAGCCACCUCGUUCUUCUUUCAGUUGUGACAGACACCCAGAUGAAGAUUUCACCGGAUUCUGUCCAGAAUGCCUCUGUGAACGCCUCACCACCUUAGAUCAGACUGCAGCUAGUAGUAACAAUCCUUCUUCUUCUUCACGUCGACCUUCUACUUCAUCUGCUUCUGCUAUUAAAGCCCUUUUCUCUAAAACUUCUACUUUUUCUACUUUUAACCAGAAGCAUCCUCCUCUUCCUCCUAAACCCUCUAAACCCACUUCAUUUUUCCCUGAACUUCGCCGGACUAAGUCGUUUUCAGCUUCUAAAAACGAAGCUUUGAGCUAUUUGGGUGGUUCUGGUUUUGAACCCCAACGUAAGUCUUGUGACGUUCGAGUUCGUAAUACACUUUGGUCCUUAUUUUCCCUCGACGGAGAGGCUAAAAACCCUCAUUCUGAGGAUACUGGUGAUGCAUUUGUGAAUAGGCCUGUUAUUGAGUUAAAAGAAGAAGAGGAAGAGUCACCAGAAAACGAUCAAAUCAGCCAUAUAGGUAACGGAGAUGUGGUAAAUGAAAUAACUGAAGAGUCCCCUGUGGAGAACAGUUUUUGCAGAGAGGUUGAUUCAGAAAUUGUUGAAGAAGAGCUGGUGAAUGGGGAUAUAUUGAAGCCGAUGAAAGAUCAUAUAGAUCUCGAUUCGCAGGUGAAAAAGCCUUCAGGUGGAAGGGACUUGAAGGAGAUUGCAGGAAGCUUCUUGUCUGCUGCAUCAGUUUUCAGCAAGAAAUGGCACAAUUGGAGGCGAAAACAGAAGGUGAAAAAACGAAACAAUUGUGAGAACUCAUCUACACUGUCAUUGGAGAAGCCCAUUUCAAGGAAAUUCAGGGAUACUCAGUCUGAGAUUGCUGAUUAUGGGUUUGGGAGGAGGUCUUGUGACACUGAACCCCGAUUCUCUCUCGAUAUUGGGAGGAUUAGUAUUGAUGAUCCAAGGUACUCCUUUGAUGAGCCUCGAGCUUCUUGUGAUGUCCACUUCAUGGGAAGGAGCAUUCCCAGAGUUCCGCCUAUGGUUUCAGUGAUAGAAGAUGCACCAGUAGUGCAUGUCCAAAGGGCGGAUGACCAAAUUCCGGUUGAAGAGUCGCCUGUUUCAGCGAAUUGUAUCGGUGAGGAAACUGAUUUGCCUGGAGGGUCUGCUCAAACAAGGGACUAUUACUUGGAUUCGUCUUCGAGGCGAAGGAAGAGUCUUGAUAGAUCUAACUCAAUUAGGAAAACAGCAGCUGCUGUAGUGGCAGAGAUUGAUGAGAUGAAGGCAGUGUCUAAUGCUAAAGUUCAGCCUGAGAGGGAUUUGAAUUCGAUUUCCAAUUCCAAUUCUUUAAGGGAUGAUUUCUCGGAGACUUUUGAAUUGACAGGGUUCAAGGAUACGGCUUCUGGGAUUGGAAAUGGGGAACGAAAGGGAUCGAAAAAGUCGAAGAAGUGGGCCUGGAAUAUAUGGGGAUUUAUACAUAGGAAAGGUAAUGGAAACAAAGAUGAAGAAGAUGACAGGUACAGUAGAUCAAAUGGAGUGGAGAGGUCAUUUUCAGGAUCUUGGCAAGACAUGAGGAGGGAGACUAAUGGUGAUUUAAAAGGGAGUCUUAAUAGGAAUAUGUUUAGGAGUAAUAGCAGUGUUAGUUGGAGAAAUUCGACUAAUAUUGGUGGAUCGUUUGGAACUGUGAGGAAUCUUGGCAUUGAUACUAAUGGCAAUGGUAAAAAGAAAGACGAUUUCGUGUUGGAGAGGAACCGGAGUGCAAGGUAUUCGCCUAAUCAUAUCGAUAAUGGGUUCUUGCGGUUCCAUUUUGCUCCCAUGAGAGGCAGCCGGAGAAGUUUACCUGCACAAAGUAGGCCAAAUGGGAGGAGCGUACUUCGCCUGUACUGAAAUUCAAGGUCCUUGGUGUUUCUUUCGUUUAAUUGUUAAUUUUGUCGCAUUUGUUAUAAAAUUACUUGUGUCAUUGUAUUUGUUGACUAUGCAUUUGUCAUAAGAAUGCUUCUUGGACUUGUUCUAAUAUAUUUGACAUGAAGAAGAAGUCUUCUUGAUAUUAAUCUGAUUAUCUUUCUCAUUUCAUUCUCAAUGAAUUAGCUUUAUGUCAUAAGUUGAGUUGGAUUAUUGUAUCUGUACAUGCUUGUUAUGGAGUUGGUAAUCUUACUUCUUGUGGUUUACUUCAUUUUCUAUGUUUGUUUAGUUUGUUCAUCUUACCUCCUUAAAUCCAUAUUCAACUGUAUAUUCCAUGUUCCUUUUUAUCAAUAGUUCCAAAAGGGAACAAUGGUAACAUAACUGUCAUAUUUGGUUAGUAUGAACUAUGAUAGUUAAGGAUCUAUAAUCGCACGUGUACUAGUUUCAUGGUGUGCUUUAGUUAUCGUCUUAUCUUUGUUUUCUAAAUUUCAUGUUUGAUCCUUUCUCCACAUGUUUAACAGCUAGGAUAUGGUAGUUUCGCUUGUGAAGAUAUUCCUAUACUAGUUGUUUUAUCUUGAAACUUGUACAUAAAAACCUGAGGAUCCGCCCCCGUGAGUAUAUCAACUACACUCAGAAGCAAAAACUGAUUUAACUGUCUUAAAAAUGACCUGAAUUUGCAAAACUAAUCAGCUAACUUAUUGAGAUUUGGGAGCACGGAACUCCUACCUAUUUGGAGGUGUUACGUUGAUCAUUGUGAUUCUGCCUAAUACGAGUGUCAUACUUACUCAGUCUCUAGAUUACCUGGAUACCAGCCUUCCCUUUACAGUAGUGAUUUCAUGAUUGUUGCAUCUUGAGUUCAUUAUUAUGUGUUAGUCGUUGUCGAUAAAUAGUAGUUCUUGUCAAGGAAACAAAACAUAGUGGAUCAUCCACCCAAAAAAGAAAGAAGAACAAUUAUGUUGUCGAUCAAAUGAACUGAUAAUUCUUUUGACUUUAUUAGUUUCUGUGUUCUUUUAGAAACAAAGUUUUAUAGUUUCCUGUUGCUAUCUCAUUGGAACUGAUCCUUAAUUUGUUUCCUCAUUUCAUUUCCUUUUAAUCCAGGAACGCGAUUUAAGGCUUUAGACAUGCUGCAAGUUGUUCAUUUCUUGGUAACAACAGUGAUAAUGAAGUCAGUUCCUGUAUUAGGUUUUCACAUGGUGUUGUUGGUUAGAGGCUCUUAUCGUAAUUCAGUCAGAUAAGGUUGGAAGUAAAUCCAGCUUCCCUGGGACAACUGAACUUACCGGAGGGCAUUGGAUUGCAAAGAUGCCAAAUAAUCAGACUGGUUAUGGAUUGAGUUGAAAAAAACUGAAUCUUUCUUCCUUCAACUGUAGCACAUACGUAAAUUUUUUUACUGAAUCGGUAUAUGUUGUACAAUGUCUUCAUGGUUCAGAAGUACGCGUUUUGGUCCUGGGGAUAUAUAUUUUAUAUAGAUUUACACCUUAUUAUUACUUGCUUGAUUGGGGUCUGUAACUCUCUAUCUUUCAAUGUGUUGUUGGUUUAGUAUAAAAGUGACAAAUUGCACUUGAAAAGUCUUGCUAGUAAGUACUAUUUUUCAUCUUAGAUGAUCAUUUAUCUUGAAUAGGCUCUCUCUUGAGCAUAUGAUUAUUUUGAAGCCUUAAAAGGCUUUUCUCUUGUUCUUCAUCCCAAUAAAAAGAUGCAAUCUUUCAUAAUCAUUUGGGUCAAUGGUGAGGCUAUAAUGCUAAAGUGUGGUGCUAACGAUUUAAUAACUAUCUCCGUAGCCCCAGAAUGUUUCAGUUUAUGCUCCUACCUAUUAUCUGGAUAUACCAAGAAAGUGAGGCUAUAAUGCUUAAGUCCCUAACAGAUCUCCUACAGACACUCACUAAACCAUGAAAACUCCUUAUAUCACCAACGGACUUGGCGGAUAGGGGAUAGAGAUUUCAGUCUCGAUCUCAGGGUAUGAAAAAUGUCUUUGGUAGGAGUUUUACAAUGUGAAUCUGAAUUAAUCAGAUUACGUAUUGUUACAAUCUGCACUCCACAAUAUUAUAAUGUUGAAUUAGGUAAAUAUGUUGAUUACAUUAGCUCUAUGUUUAUUAUUUAGAGAACAUAUAAUGGAAAAAGUAAUGAUUAUAUGUCACAUAGUAUGAUGUGUUUUCCUCUUCUUAAUGGGAAAUCAACAAGAAAAAGUGUCAAUGAUCAACAUAUGCUUUUACCCUUUAAAGUCAAAAAGUAACAAAUUUAAAGAACAAAUACUUUUACAUGCCUUACUCAUUCAAUUCAAUAGUACUUAGUCAAUACUAAGAAAAGAUUGAGAAAAAAAAGUAGUAGUAACAAGGAUAGGCUCGAAAUCCUAUGGAAUAACAUGUUCACUUUUAUACCCAUUAAACCUUCUCUUUAGUGGAAAUGGUUGGCAAAGAUUUUCUUGAAAACAUUUGGGAUUUGCCCCUCUUUUUCACCAGUCAGCCAAUAGGGAUGUUGUACUAUGUACUGUAUGCCUAUGGGUCUAUAUUAUAUACGCUUAGCGUUAUGUUAUAAGUUAUAUUUUGAUGCGUAACUUCAUUUUUUAACUAAAAUUCCAUCAAAUAAGUAUUAUGUUCGAUAAUGACUCUAACUUUGAGUUAUACGUACCAAGUAAACAUUACGAAUAUUUUGUAUUCUAGUAACGUGAUUAAUGAUUAUUAUAUUAUGGAGAAUAGUGAAAGUUGUUACUAAUAAUAGAGUCAGGAUUCAACGUAUAUAAUAUAUAUAAAAAGUAAUUUUAAUCAUUUAUGAAUAAUGUAAUUUUUCGUUGAAGGGUUGGAUGUACCCCUGGCCCCAAGCUAGCACUGCCCCUGGACUUGUUGGGCUGGAUAUGGGGGAGUAGAAGCCUGAUGUUUGUAGUUGUAUGUGUCCAUUUGAAUAAUGCUCUAAAGAUGUUUGAUGAAGUGUUUGAAUGAAAGUUUCUUCCAAAUAUGGAAAGUUUUAAGUAUUUUAAUCCAUGGACCAUGAGUUUUGGCAGCUAUUAAUAAGGGUGUCACAUUUGUUGGUUUGUAUGAUGAGAGAUGCAUUGGUUCAUGUGGGGAAUUUCGGGAUGUGACGGAAAAACAUGAGCGGAAAAUGGAUAUGUUUGCUUGUAGUUCCAUGAUUUGUUUGUGGGUGAACAGGCAAUGUUUAUUCAAGGAAAUAAUUGAGAAUGUUAUUACUUGAUGUUGUGGUUUAUGAUGCAUACUCAAUGGUUGUUGAAAUAAGGUUGGAAAGAUUUAAGUGUUUCAAGAUUGCAGCAGUUGACGGGCUGUGUGAGAAUGGAUGUCUGAACAAGUCUGUAACUUUGUUUGGAUUUUGAAAUGAUGGAGGAGAAAUGGAUACUUUAGCAUAUACGUCUAGUUAAUGUAGGUUAUGCAGAUAUGGAAAAAUGAAUGAUUUGAUGUCAAACAGGGAACUACACGAUAUUCUCAACUUACAAUACCUUUUCAAUGGCUUUGUCAAAGCCUUUGAAAUUGAGGAUGCUAACAGGUUUUUGGUGAAAUGAACACUUAUUAAAGCUAUCAGGUGAUUUUCUUUUUGCAGGUAAGAAGCUUUCAGGUUCUAAAUUCAGUCUUUGUUCUUUAUUAACCUCGGUUUGCUUUCUCUAAAGUUGAUUUUGGGAAUUCACAAUGUUGUAGGAGCAAGAUUGCUUCUUGGUGCAGGAUUGCCAUUUAAUACUUACUAUGAAGGAAAAUUUGUUCCACAAUACCAUGCUUCCUGCUUUGAACCGUAAAAUAAAGCUCUUUUCACCUCAGGUGAUUAUAUCUUAUUAUCAUUAGCAUGCCAGGCUAUAUUGGGUAAAAGUUAUACUGUAACAAUCAUGCAUGGGUUAUUCUGUUGUGUGCAUCUUGGUUUUCUACGAACAUUCCUCGAUUCUCUUUUUUUUUUUACAAGUUCGCUAGAGUAUCCUUGAUAUUUCUCUGUGCUUGACACUUCCCCUGAAAGACGGGUUUAAGGAUGUUAAAUGGACCUAGCCAGUGCACCAGAUAUUAUGAUCUCAUGUCUACUGAUUUUUUACUAUAAUAUGCCUCCUAUUGAUGCCUUUUGUAGUAGUACAAGUUUAUCCAAGUGUGUAGUUAUGAGAGGAACAGUAAAGGGAACACAAAAUUUAAUUAACAGUAUUGGACUUUUUAUGUGAAUGACAUGAUAAUAAUAGUAGUAAAUGUACUGUAUUUGAAUUUCCUUUAACAACUGCAAUAAUUCGGAAAACCGGAAAGGAUCCCUGAUCUAGACGACCUAAUCAUCGGUCUGAUGGAAUAGUAUAUUUGACGUGCCAAGAAUAAUGCCAGGGAGCUAAUUAGUUUUGUUUUCUUAUGGACAGAUGUAUUCUGUUCUGAUUAUUGAUACACCCCGAGUAUUUCGAAUAAGAAUCUUUGCAUCAAUUGAAACUAUUUCCUCUUAGAUUUUGAGAAAUCUGAGGUCCUACAACUUCUAUAUUCUCUAGAAUUCAGAAAGUAUCGUUCCUUUGAUCGACAUAAAGCAACCGAUACAUAUCCAACGUUGGCGGCUACGGUGGUGUCACCAAAUUUGCAUGAUGCAUGAUAAAUUUUGGCAUGAUAUAUGAGCCUUGAGUAAUACAAUUAUAGUUGAGGUUAUAACUCAUGCGACAAUACUAGUUGUUUUCUGUAAAAGAGAUAGGAUUUUACUUUUUGUUUUCUUUUGAUUUCUGUUUUCCCUCCAGGUCUGUUUCUGAUAAAACACUCUGCUCAUAGAUGACUUGAGAAAGCAAACACACCAAAAUAAUCCCAAGAACUGCACCUUUUCUCCAGUCAGACGACGAAGAGAUGAAAACAUCUGCAAUUCCAACUACAACAAGGCCUAUAAAUGCAAGGUAAACAGUCCUUCUAGUCGUCGAUCCAGCAUUUUCUCUACUAAGUUGCUUAAUCUUCUCCAUCUCCUCCUUAGCUUUUGCUUUGUCCACGGCCACGAUUCGUCUUUGCCUUAAGUUCUUAAAGAAAAGCCAUUCAUUUCUUUCCUCCUCCAUUUGGCCUUCAAAAUCUGUUAACUUUUUUUCAUUUCUUUCCUCCUCCAUUUGGCCUUCAAAAUCUGUUAACUUUUUUUCAUUCUCUUCUAUCUCUUGUUUGUUCAACCCCACUGAUUCUUCAAAAGCUUGCAUUUGGUUCUCUAUAUUCACCAUUAUCUGCUCCACAAACAAAACCAAAAUAAAUAAAUAACUAUGUUAAUAUUCAGAUAUGAAAUCCAAACUCUGUAUAUCGUCACUCAACUAAUAGUUAUUAUCUCAGAAAAGUCACUUUCACUGUUAAAAAUGUGACUAUUAGUUAAGUGACCAUAUGAGAAAUUAACUCAUUAACGGACCCUUGCACCAGCUUCAUCUAGUUCUUUAAGGGCAUUUUCACCAAUCUGUUCCAUUUCACAAUUGGCUUCUUCAGCAAACUGUGUUAGAUAUGCAGAUCUUUCAUCUAAGUAUUCGGUUAGACGAACUUUCUGUGUUUGAAGCUGAACAAUUGUGGCAAGCAAUUCUUGUUUACGCGUAUCUCCUUUACCAUCUGAAUCUGAAUUUCUUGAGUACUUGCAUAAGGAAAUGAAGGUCUUUUUCCUCCUAAACAAACUUGUUCUAUUAAAAGAAGCUUGUUGUGUAGGUGUUAAAGAGGAAUGAAUAGAUUUUACAUGGAUCAUUUUCUAUGAAUUUUGCACAAGUUUAGGUUAGGAAGAUGAGUGUUGAGAGCUAAAGAUUAGUAACUAUGAGAGGGAUGCAAUGGAAGAACUUUUGAACCUCUAAUUAGAACUACAUUAUCCAUUUCAUUUUUUUUGAGAAAGAGGUCAUUAUUUUUGGGUGGUCCUUACGGGACUUAAAAGAAGUUAUUGUAUUGUUUUUUAAUGAUAUGACUUUCCGAUGAUUUUCUUGUAAAAAUUUUAUGAAUCCUUCGUAGGGAAUAGAGAUUUUUUUAGUUUUUCGUGUGUGUAAACCUAUGAAUAUUGGUUAUAUGACUAUUUUAAAAAUGAUUAUUUUUUAAGAAUUAUACCAUCUCAAUUUUUUGGAUUUUAUAAUACAUAAAUUGGUACAUUUUAAUAAAUAAUUACUGAUUUUAGCAAUAUUUUUUAUUUAUUACCAUUUAUAGCAACAUUAUGUUAAAUAUGCAAUAUGGAUUAAAAGUGAAUUUUGUAUGCAAUAUAUAUGAAUUAUAAUUGUUGUUUUUUUAAUAUAUUAUGUUUGUUUGGUAAAAAUUUGACACAUUUUAUAAUAAUUGUAUUAAAAUGUGUGAUAAAUGUAUUAUCCACCAUUAAAACUUGUAUAUUAUGUGAAUGAUAAAUUGUUCUUUGUAAUAUGUAUUAAACUUGUAUUAUAAAUGAAUUAAAACUGAUCAAGUGAAAAAAAUAUAUUAUUGCUAUAAAUGGUAAAUAUUUUUUUAUUAUAGUAUAUUUAUGUAAGUUUCCCUAAUCAAAAUUAGAUUUUUUUAAACCAUCCCAAUUAUAUUGGUUUUUCUUUGGUACCGGUACGAUUCGAUUAAUUUCGUUUUUUCUUUACUUUUAAAAUAUCUCUCGACAUAUACUACUAUUAAAAUAAUCCUUUCACAAACAUGUUCUUGAAGAAGAACUUUGAUUCUUCACCAAGAAGACAAAGAAUGUUAAACUUUGUUGUCGUAUUGUUUGGUUUUAAAUUUUUAAGGGAAACUUAUAUAAAUAUAGUAUAAUAAAAAAAUAUUUACCAUUUAUAGCAAUAAUAUAUUUUUUUCACUUGAUCAGUUUUAAUUCAUUUAUAAUACAUGUUUAAUACAUAUUACAAAGAACAAUUUAUCAUUCACAUAUAAUACAAGUUUUAAUGGUGGAUAAUACAUUUAUCACACAUUUUCAUACAAUUAUAAUAAAAUGUGUCAAAUUUUUACCAAAACAAACAUAAUAUAUUUUAAAAAAACAAUUAUAAUUCAUAUAUAUUGCAUAAAAAAUUCACUUUUAAUUCAAAUUGCAUAUUUAACAUAAUAUUGCUAUAAAUGGUAAUAAAUAAAAAGUAUUGUUAAAAUCAGUAAUUAUUUAUUAAAAUGUACCAAUUUAUGUAAUUUUUUCAACUUUUAAUAAGAGUGUUUGCAUAGAUUCUGCUAUAUUAUUUGAUAGAGUAUCUAUUACAUUAUCUUUUAAUUUUAAGCCUAAUUAAGUACAUACUAAUUAAAAAGCAAAGACCCAAAGUCGUGUAGUCACCAAAGGCCUAGGACCUAUGUUAUAUUUAUAUUUGAAAAAUAUUAUAAAAUAUACUUAUAUAUUAAAUUUAACAUAUUGUUAAUGUAUAAAAUAUAUUUACAUCAUGUAAGGUUAUUCGUUUGGGAAUUUUUAGGGUUUUUUCAUAAAUUAAAAAGACUAUUUCAAUUAUUUAAGACGAUUAUACACUUUAAUAAAAGUUCACAAUUUUAUUGAAAAAGUAACAUAAUAUUCGAUUUGAUCUUCUUUUCAUAUUAAUUACACCAUAUAUAUUUUACAUAUAUGAUGUGCUUAAGUUUUAAUUCAGGUCGUUACGCUUCACUAAAAAUAUUAUAUCACUUGACAUAUAAUCUCAUCAUUAGUUUCCAUUACCAAUUGAAUUAACUUUAUUUUAGGCAAAAUAUAUAUGAUAUGUUAUAUGCUAAUUUCCAACAACAUAGUUGUAUUAUAGUUGCUUUCAUUAAGAACUUGGUCUGGAUAAAUUAGGUAUUAGAAGGGCAAAGUGCACUAAUACUCAAUUUUGACAUUGUCAUUUAAUUUAUAUUUUCUUUUAAUUUCCUUUUACGUGUCUAUUUAUUCAAUAUAUAUAGUUUCAGGUACGUGAUAUCUUAAGUUAAUCUUAAAGUUCAUUUGUGCCUCACUUCUGUUAUUUUUGCUCGAAUUUACUAGUCAUAUAUAUGCGUGAACUUCAAAUAAAAAUGACGAAAAUAAAAAAAAAAUUGAACUUCAAUCAUAUGUGACUUUAGACUAUUUUACAAAAUACUGAAAAUAUAUUAUAUCUGAGUCCAAGAAAUUCUUGAGUGUUAGAAACUAAGUGCGCUCGAGCUGAAUAUUAGUUAUACAAAGGUCAUAACUACUAAUUAUCUCCCUUUUCUUUUUUAUUAUAUAUUUCUUUUUCACAUUAUUGUACAAACAAAUAUAAAAACAUGAAAUAUAUCGUGUAUUCCCGUUAUUAUUAUUUUUCCUUAUAAUUACUUUGAGAUGGGGGAGAUAGAUAAGGCAUGAGCGAAAAUACUCAGUAAUGUUUGAAUUCAAUAAUUUAAUCUAAACUGUGUUAUUAUAUCUACCAUAAAUAUAAUUAUCAUAUGACAACUCAAAUAGUCAAAUUCAAUAGUAUCUCGAAUACAUGAAUAUGCCUCCGCAGACGUAUACGUAUCUACACGUGAGUGAGUGUGGGUGGGUGGUUGACAAUAGGAUCCAACGAUCGAUUGGUUGAAGUUAAAGUCUUAACUUUGAAACAAUGUAUAUAUAAUACUUAAUGUUGUUAGCUAGCUAAUAAAGGUAAUUAUAGUGAUCUAUCUUUUUAUAUAUAAAUCAUGAAAACAAUUUAACAACUAAUUUAUUUAGUUCUUCGAACGUGUAAUUAACUCCCAUAUCCUCUCACCAAAAACAAUGUAUUUAUUGUUCUAGUUCCUAAUUUAGCUAAGCUUUAAUUUUAUCCUUUUAUUUUCCACCAAAUUUGGUGAUAAUUAUUGAACUAUGGUUGAGGGUUUUGACACGUUUCUUUUUAUUAGCAACACAAUUUUAAUAUUUUGGUUUACCACUUAAUUAUGAGUUAGAUUUUUGGCAUUACAAUUGGCUUUAAUUUGUCGGUUUUGAAUAAUUUUUAUUGGUUACUCGAUCAAUAUCUGAUAUUUAUAUUUGAAUUUGAUUGAUUCAGAUGAUACACAAAUUUUAUUUUGAGGAAUACAAUGCUCUCGCGUGUACAAACAGAUCAAAUGAGACAAAACUCUUCAAUAAUUCUUACUCAUGAUCUUCAAAGUAAUAGUACCGAAAACACCUUUUAAUUUACGUAAAUUAUUUGUUUUGUCUUUAUAUUAUUCAGUCUUAAAAAAAGAAAUACUUAUUUCCUUGAUUAACUUAAUUUAAAUAUAACUUUGAGCUUGCCACAUGAGUGAAAUACGUUCAUAAAUUAUCGUCAAAUUUAGAAUCAUUUCAACACUUCUCAUGAACCUUUUUUUAAGAGUCUCAUGCUUUUACAAGAGUUUGAAAUCACUUAUUAUGUCACAUGACAAAUACGGGGUGUAUUUAAAUUUAAAUAGUCAAGUAGAAGAAUAUUUUUAAGACUAUCAAUAGUUUAGAGACGAAACUAAAAAUUAAUGCUAAAUUGAGAAAUAUUUUCAAUACUUAUUUUAAUACAAUAUAAUAAUGUACCAAUGGGAAAAUUUUGUAUGUUUAAACUGCCUCAUGCAAUGGACGAGGCCUAUAAGCAAAGUCUCCUAGUAUUAACUACCUAGGAUCUUUUUUAAUAGUUAAAAUAGUUUUCUACUAUGAUUUUGUUGUCUUGCAUGCUUAUGUAUUUCAUGCAUGGGGAUUUUCUUAUAUUUAAAACAUCUAAUACUUAAUCUUUACUAAAUCAGUAAUAUAUCAUGAUCAUCUAAUUUACAAGUUUUUUUUCUUUUAAAUUUUCCCACCCCCUGUGUAUCCUUAUUUCGUCUUGAGGUAAGUUAAAAAGAGAAGUACGUUGAAAACAUCAUAAAAUUCUGUGUGAAUUACUAUUUUUAUUUUCGAACUAUUGACAGCCUCAGAAACACUCAUUAACUUAACUUAAACACAUCCGAUCUUGUAACAUGAGUGAAAGAUACACCCCUAAAUUCUCGUCAAAUUUAAUUUAAGAAUGUUUUCAACAUUUCUUUCAGCUUUUUAAUAAGAGCUCCAUGCUCCCGUAUGACCACUUGCUAUGUCAUGUGACAGAUUUGUGAUGUAUCUAAGUUUAGUUAGUCAAACAGAGAGAUAUUUUUACACUCUUUGAAGACGAAAUUAAUGAUUUAUAUCGAAUUGAGAGGUAUUUUUAAUAUUCUCUAUGAGUUAAAAGGCUAGCACAAUGGGUAGAAAUAUCUAAUUGACAAUUUUUAAAUUGUUAGAAAACAUACAUAUUGUUUUACUUUAAUAUUAUGUUUCAAUAACUUGUCAAAAUAUUAUUUCUCUUUUUAAGUUUUAAAGAAAAAAUUGGCAUAUAUCAUCACAAAAAUUAAUAGUCGAGUAGUUUCAUCAAUCUAAGGCUCUUCCCUUUUAGGUGAUGUCAAAUUAAGUUAGGAAUUUCUCCAAAAAAAAGUAAUUAACACAUUAAUUUGACCUACAAAUCUAAUCAUAUCAUUAAUUUUUUAAUGACAAAUAUUCAACUGACUGUAAUUACUCAGUCAUGAUUAUAAGAUGUGUUGAGUGCAUUAUGAUUAAAGUAAUAUUUAACACUAAUCUAACUUAUCUGUACGUAACAAGCAUCAUAUAUUACUUUACAUGAAUUUGGUUCAUUUAAGUCAACUAAUUAAUGGAUUAAAGAAUUAAUUACUUUUAAAAUGGUAUAUUUUUCUUUUGUUCCUAAAUUAAAUGUACAAAUUAUAUAUACACUUUUAACAUGUUAUUAACAUAUAGGGGUCCACUAAUAAAUAAACUUUAUGUAACAUGCAAGUAAGAGUAGUGGAUGGAGAAAUUAGCUAAUAUACAUCAUUUACCUAACUAAAAAAAAUGACAUAUCAUCAAAUUUUAAUUAAAUUAAGUAAAAUGUCCUUUCAUCUAUAUAUAAUUUGUGUUGGGAGGUCACAAAAUUAGAAUGCAACAAUUCUAAAAUCAUAUUUUUUAGAACUUAAAAGCAAAAGAUAUCUGUAGAAAGUACAUAAACAAACUCAAAAAAACACACACACUAAGACAAAAAUAAAAUGGAGUCAAAUUGGCUUCGAAUUUUUGUCCUCUUGGCUUUUUGCUUCUUUCCAGUUUUUGGCAUUACUCGUCAUUACAAGUUCAAUGUAAGUACUCCGUUUUCUCUGUUUCAAUUUAUUUAUCAUACUUUUCAUGAUCAUGUUUGGUACGUCAUUUUACGUAUUAUUAGUUUAAGAUUACAAUAUUUAAAAGUUUCUUUACUUUGUUCUGCUCUGUGUCAAGUCAAAACCAGACAAAUAAAUUGAGUAUUAAUCGUUCGAUUUUCUCGUACUUGUAGUUAUCUAAGUUAUUUUGGUUUUUUAUUAUACCACUAUAUAGAUAGAGUGUCCAAAUAGUUUUUUAUUAAGAGUAAAGAAUCUUCAACACGAAUAAGUACAAGUAAGGUGGGCUAGAUCGAUAUCAAGUCCAAUAGUUUUUCUUUUUUUUUUCAAUUUCAUUUUCUUAUAUUUAUUGGUGUUAUAGGUGGUAAUGAAGAACAUGAGUCGUCUAUGUUCAAGCAAGCCUAUUGUCACUAUUAAUGGAAGAUUUCCAGGACCAACAAUUUAUGCUAGAGAAAAUGAUAGAGUACUAAUCAAAGUAGUUAACCAUGUCAAAUAUAAUGUCUCAAUCCAUUGGUAAGUUAAUUCAUAUUUUAUACGAACGUGAACUAUUGUCAUUAAAUUUAAAUUUUGAAUUCGUAUCUGAUUAACAGGCAUGGUAUUCGACAACUUAGAACUGGUUGGGCAGAUGGACCAGCAUAUAUCACACAAUGUCCAAUUCAACCAGGGCAAAAUUAUGUAUACAAUUUCACAAUUACAGGCCAAAGGGGUACAUUAUUUUGGCAUGCACAUAUUUUGUGGCUAAGAGCUACUGUCCAUGGUGCAAUUGUCAUUUUGCCUAAACGUGGUGUGCCAUAUCCAUUCCCUAAACCUAACCAUGAAGCUGUGGUUGUUUUAGGUGAACAUAUUUACGCUAAUCUAUAUACUUGUUUGAAACUAUAUUCUUACUCUUCUUUGUAUUUCCGAGGAUCUUUCAUAAACUAAAGCAAAUUAAGAGUCUUAUUCGCCCUUUCAGUAUAUUAUUUUGCUUGAUUGCAUAUCUAGCUAAUUAAAAUGAUGUCUUUCGUUGGAAAAUUAUAGAAUAAUUUUUUUAAUGAUGUAAUGUAGGUGAAUGGUGGAAAUCUGAUACUGAAGCUGUGGUUAAUGAAGCUCUAAAUUCAGGAUUAGCCCCUAAUGUUUCUGAUGCUCACACAAUUAAUGGUCAUCCUGGCCCAGUCCCCAAUUGUCCGUCUGAAGGUAAUACUUGUACAUCGCUCCGUUUUAAUUUAUAUGACAGUAUUCGAUCAGAUAUGAAAUUAUAUAAAGCAAAUAAAAGAGCUUUUGUUUCGUCAUAUAUAAAAAUUUAUGGUCAAUUUUGAACAUAUCAAAAUGAGGUUUGAAAUCUAUAAAAAUAUGUCAUUUUUCUCAACGUGCUAUGAAGGAAAGAUUUCAUAUGCCUUAUACAAAUAGAUUAUGUUUAGUUCACAUUUUAUGUGAACUUUUCGCACUUCUCAUAUUAUUUCAGCUUUGAAAAUUAGUCAAAUUCAUAACUGUCUGUCUUAGUAAGCACAUAAUAUCACAUAAAUUUGAUUGUUGGACCAUAUUAUAUGCAGGUGGAUACACAUUAAGUGUUGCUCCUGGUAAAACAUACAUGUUACGAGUGAUAAACGCAGCACUCAACGAAGAGCUUUUUUUCAAAAUUGCUGGUCACAAAAUGACAGUAGUUGAAGUCGAUGCUACUUACGUUAAACCCUUCAAAUCGGACACAAUUUUAAUAGCCCCUGGCCAGACAACAAAUGUCAUACUCACAGCAGAUCAAAAAUUCGGAAAAUACAUGAUGAUUGCUUCUCCAUUCAUGGAUUCACCAAUUACGGUGGACAACGUGACAGCUACUGCCACGUUGCAUUACACCGGGGCACUUUCUAGUGCCCCGAUGACCCUCACUAGUGCCCCUCCACAAAACGCGACGUUAGUCGCGAACAACUUUAUCGACUCUCUUAAAAGCCUUAAUUCGAAGAAAUACCCAGCUAAAGUACCGAAUAAUGUAGAUCAUUCGUUACUUUUUACAGUUGGGCUCGGGAUUAACCCGUGCCCAACUUGUAUCCCGGCUAAUGGAAGCCGGGUUGUUGCUAGUAUUAACAAUGUUACGUUUGUUAUGCCAACGACCGCGCUUUUACAAGCUCAUUUCUUUGGCAUAAAAAACGUUUUUACGACGGAUUUCCCGGGAAAUCCGCCGUUUAUUUUCAACUAUACGAGUACAUUACCACCACCAAGUUUGGCUACGACGAACGGAACCAAACUUUACCGUCUGCGUUAUGACGCGACGGUACAGUUGGUUUUGCAGGAUACUGGAAUUAUAGCUCCUGAGAAUCAUCCGAUUCAUUUGCAUGGUUUUAAUUUCUUCGCAGUGGGUAAAGGUUUAGGGAAUUUUAAUCCGAAAAUCGAUACGAAGAAUUUUAAUCUUAUCGAUCCUGUUGAAAGGAAUACAAUUGGAGUUCCAUCUGGAGGAUGGGUUGCUAUAAGAUUCCGCGCUGAUAAUCCAGGUACGUUCUGAUAACUUUUUGUGUUUCUCGAGUUUAAUUUCUAUGUACUAAUGUUAUUGAACGGAUUGGAAUUAGUUAUGAACUUUGUUUGAUGGUAGCUAAUAAACCCAAGGUACAAUUUGCUUUUUGGAGAGUUGAAAUAUUUGAUUUUUGACCAAUAUUUUGAGAUGAUAUUUUUUUGGUUAUACUGAUUAGAAAAAUUAAUAACUUAUACUAAAAUUUUUAUUUAAUUUUUAGAUAUCUUGAUUCAAUUUUAAAAUAAUUUAAUCUAAUUAACUCUAAAAAUAAGUUAAAAUGACAACUGAAAAGUGAAAUGUCACAAAUGUAUUAAAAUGAAAGGAUUGUAAUAAUGUAGUAGGUUAGUGUUUGACUAUGGAACUUUUUACGCUCUUUGUCAGAGUUGAAUUCUGAAAAAUACGUUUGCCCAUAAUAUUUUGGAAUUUGAGUUGAAGAAUUUGAAAAAUAACAACAGAAUGUUCACUUUUUUUUACACCAAAAUACUCAUAAAAAGUCGAACAACUCCCAAGUGUAUUCAUGGUCAAACGCAAUUGUUUAAUUUUUAAAUAGUUUUCUUUACUUUAAAAAUAAUUUUUAUUAAAUUUUACAAUGAAACAUGAUGAAACGCGAGCUCUAACUUUUAAUCCUGAUCAAUAAUAUUGCAGGAGUUUGGUUUAUGCAUUGCCAUCUAGAGAUACACACAACAUGGGGAUUGAAAAUGGCAUUUCUUGUAGAUAAUGGAAAGGGUCCAAAUGAGUCACUUUUGCCACCUCCAAAGGAUCUUCCAAAAUGCUAAAAAAGAAAAAAGAAGAAGAAAAUCCUCUAAAGGAGUACAGCAAAAGCUGCACCAUGCAAUGAGGAAAAAGAAGAAUUAGAGAGUCAACAAACAUUAUAUUCAUUUUCUUGAGUGGAAAAAAGAAAAGGAAAAAAAGGGGAACUUUGCUCAAGCAAACCUCAAUAAUUAUACAGAUAUGUUUGUGUUGUAUACAAUUUUUUGUUGUUGUUUUUGUUUGUUCAAGGAAUUUUGAGAAAUGGAUUUUUCUUUCUGGUUUAUUUUUACACACACUAAAGGGUAACUUAUAUUCGUUUUUAAAUUUUUCCUUUUUAAUAUAUAUCUGCUUUGAACAUUUAGAGUUUGAAGUUAGGCUUGACAAACAGACAAAAAAAUUGUUAGACUUUAUCAUUUCGUUACUAUAACUUAAGUUCAAGUAAGUAAAAAUAACUGAACUUCAAUAUAUGUGUUUGAACCUGAUGAUAUGUAUAAAUCGCUCACAUAUUCUUCUGAAUUAUAUGUAUCCUCAAGAUUAAAUUGGAAAACAGUAGAAAUAUGGAAGAACAUAUGCAAAAUUUUACAAACGACGUCGUCUUGUAGGUGAGUUUUGUAUGAAACUGGUGCAAUUGAUCUUCCAUUAGUAUAUAACUCAACAAAUUCACAUACUUGUCACAUGUACAGUGAUUGAAAUGAAUACUUAAACAGCACAACAGGCUAGGUAUUUUAGGUCAAUAUUGCAAAUCUGUUAUAAUUCCAGCAGCAGACUAUUUGCUGGCUAAUGUUUUACAAUCUUCAUCUAGAUGUAAGCAAUAAGAGAUUCAGCACCUUCCUAAGCACAAAACUAUACUUUUUUACAAUAAAUCUGAGAAAUGUGUCACCUACAGUACUUCGGGUGCCUGGAGCCUACGCUUGAACAGCCAUUGAAAUGGUCUUGAUAACUGUGCUCUCUUCUUCCUCCAGAACCAAAUGGCUGCGUUGUACUGCUCAUUACGAAUUUUUCUUGUGGCAGCCCUCCAAUCAAACUUCUCCAUUUCUGUACGUGCAGCCCGACCAAUAGUUUCUCUCAAUUCAGCAUUGUACAGAAGUGGCUCCAGUUUGCUCAAGCAGUCGUCAAUAUCCCCAGGAUUAUACAAAUAUCCAGUUUUUCCCUGAUGAUCAUCUGGGAUGAUAUCUGGAAUUCCUCCAGCACGGGCAGCCAAAACAGGAAGUCCUGAUGACAUGGCCUCCAAAACGACGAAUCCAAGUGUCUCUGACUCUGAAGGCAUAACGAAUAUAUCUCCACUGGCAUAUGCCUGAGAAAGUUCCUCCCCUAGUAACAUACCUGUGAACACUACAGGCAUGCCAGAGAACAUUUUCUCCAAUUCCUCCCUAUAACAAGUGAUGAAAUAAAUAAUUUAUAGCUCAAUCUUUUAUAAGAAUGAAAAAUUACAUGUCUCAUGUUAAGCAUACAGGCUAUCAACAACAAUACCCAGUGUAAUCCAACAAGUGGGGACUCGGGAGGGUGGUGUAUGCAGCCUUAUAAGCAAUCAAGCAUGCAUUCUAUCAAAACAGGAUUUUUUUAUAAACACCAAUGCAUUCUGAUGUGCACAUUAUCAACAGAUAGUAUUUUAGAGUAGAUUUUUCUCACACCCCAAACAUGUCUCUUCGAUAAGAGCGCUAUUCAUCUGAAGACAAUUUUACUUCCAACCAAUAUUUUUACUUCUAAGAUUUUCAGAUUGUUUUACUUCCAUAAAAAAAAUGUACUUCUAUGAUUUCUGUGUCCAAGUCAGGGAGCACCUUUUUCGUUGAAAAUUCCUCGUUCCCUUUUGUGUGAAUGGCGGAUUUCAAUGAUGAAGAGAAAGCUCUUAUACUCUUUAUUGGAAAGGGGAUGGAUAUCUUAUUGUAAGUUAUUAUGGAGGAACCUUUUCAUAGAGAAGAGUGAUAGGCUGGUUAAAGGAAGCUUGAAAACAAAAGGUGAUGUCAUUCAUUCAUAGCAGGAAAAAGCGGUCUCUCACUUGUAUUAUACGAUUGUAUCACUCAGUCCAUUAGCUCCAAAUGACCAAUGUCCCAAUCUUGUGGAUCAAAUCCAGUAGCUCUUGCCAAAGUAGAAAGUUUAAUUUAGAGAAAGGAUAGCUAAUGUGAUUUGACUUUUAAGACACCUCAAAUUCCAAGGUUACAGUAUGCAUUAUACCAUCAGGUAUAAUAGAAUAUACUGGAGAAUAAAAAAUUCCAAGUCUGUCCAUGUUGAGGGAAUAUAUAACACGCUAGUUUAUAGUAUAUAUACAUAGAGAUAUCUUGUCAACAUAAUAAAUAACUCCAAGACUAAUGAUGGCAAUGCAUCACAUAUCUGCUGCAAAUGGGAAUGAAGUGAAUAAUUAGGGUACAUAUCGGCUUGCUAACAGAUAAUUAACUCCCGUCCAUGCUCAACUAGCUAGCGCUAACCAAAUGUCUGAUAAUGAAAUGCAGUUCACUUUUCACUAAGUUCUCUGUACCAUCUAACAGGUAACGAAUGAAAUGGGGUAAUGCUUAGCUAAGAAACUCUACCAAUAAUUUAGCAACUCCUACACAACAUAUAAAUGGUACUAUUGUUAUAAGUUCAUCUUCUUUAGUAAAAAAUUACCUGCUAAAGUGAAGUCAAUAAAAGUUCAGUGGGAUUAUCAGGUAGCAUAGUGAAAUAUAACUAGUGUCUAGACAAUGACUCUUUUCACACGAGAUCCUCACCGAUAAUUUAUUAUCAUAGACUUGAUUAUCAGAAAGAGGGAGAGAAAAAGGAGACAAGACAGCUUAUUGUGCAUGAUACUGUAUAUCAAAUAUCUUUUACAGUAAGUAUAGGUAAAUGAUCCUGGAGGAGUUCAAAAAGUGAAAUGCUAAAUUGCUACUGCAACUCACCUAUAUGGCCCAUCUCCAAUGAAUGCAAUGCGAGCUUCGGGAAGUCUAUCCAUUAACCUGUUCCAAAGUCAUUUUGAAAUGCCAUGUGCAAGUUACACCUUCAUUCACUUUCAUAGCCAAAAGUGCAAGUUUUAUCCUUUCUCAUUAACAAAGAGAGGCAAUACCUUUUGAGGAAAUCCAAAUUCUUCUCGACUCCAAGUCGUCCAACAUGGACUAUCAAUGGUUUAUCAGGUUCCCCGUCACUGAUCAUGAAAAGUAACAGGAGAAAUGAAAAAUAAUUAUCAGUACACAUUAAGGUUGUUUAUAUAGUGAAUAGAAUCUUCAGCGGGAAGCUCCCACCUCAGUCUUAGCCGCAUUUCAUGAGAACGAUACCGGGGGUGGAAGCUCUCAGAAUCAACACCCUUAUUCCACAAACGUAUUUUGUUAGCUGACAAAUAGGAAAAGAGAGGAACAGUCAACAGCUCUGAGCAGAGCUUUAGCAGCAAAAAGAAGCUAACAGGAGUUCAUAUCUAUGACCAACAAAAACUUUUCACCAAACAGAGAAGACAAUACUGUUUUUAAAUUAAAUUGCUAAUUGUAAAGUUCAUGCCGUGGUGUAAGUAACAAGUACACCUGUCGGUCGUUUACCUGCUGUCACCCUAUAAGCUUUCAGAUCCUUCGCAAUAGCAGCAGAUGGCACCAACGUAAGAUCAGCAGCUCUAUGUAGAAACUCUGGUAAGCAGCAGUUAUGUCUUAAUUAGUAUACAGAGCUGGAGACCUGAGAGAGAAUAGAUACUGCAGAAGAGAAUGCUCUGCUCACAUACUUAUAAUCAUCCACAUAGGUUGCACCAACCAACUAAAGGUAUAUCUAGGUAUGUAUCUGCAAAAUAAGGGGCAAGAUCAGUGUAGAGCCCUAAAUUAAUAUAGAAUGUAAGAGAAUCUUCAGGAACUCAUUCUCUAUGUUAUUCAUCAGGAAGAUCAACAGAGAAAACGUUUCGGCUUCUUGAAUCAUGUAACUUACAGAACCUAUCAAAUGUUCCCAUCUGGAGACAAGAUGUUCAAAAAUGUGACUUACACAGGCACAUGCGUGUGAUAAGACAUCACUAUCGGCACAGAUAACAGUUUUGCAAUGAUAAGAGCACCAAAUACCUAACCAUAAGAUAAAGAUUUAUCUCUGUCAGCAAGCUGGGGGAAAAAUUAGAACAACCUUAAGCUCCUUGAAGCUACAAGACGAACAUCACUGCACCACUUAAAGGAGGAGCAAAAAGAAACUGAAAACUCACCAUUAUACCAGGAGAUGAUGCAUGUAUGAUGUCGGGCUUGAAUCGUGCUACUUCUGAAAUUAUUCUUGGGCUGAGGGCUAGUGACAGGGGCACCUUCUCGUACAAGGGGCAAGGAAAACUGCAGAUGAAGAGAGAAAAAUGUUUCUUUAACUAACUAGCCAAACACCACACAUGGAGAAUAUUUCAUAGUCAUGCACCCUAAAAUGCCGCUGAUCUUUUUGCUGAUAUUGUAACAGAUAGAAUUGAGUGAAUUCAUUGAGUAAACACGAAAAAGAAUAUGGGAAAGGAAGUAGAAUCUGCAACCUUCUUGAUCCAAUCAACUUUGCUCCAUAAAACUCUUGAGGUACUCCUUCAUGUGUUGUCACAACCAUAACCUGUACCCCAAAAAUAACAGAGGAGUAUAAGUGGCCAAAGAUCAGAUGUACACUUCAAUUCUUAGUUCAUGUGGGAACUCACUCAACAGUCUGGCUGAACUAUGGCUAAGAAGUAUUACAGUAAGUCCCUAUGAACUAAAUGACUGUUAGAAUAACUGUUUCUAGGCAAGUGCAGACAAAGAAUCUCAAGAUUGCUUGAAAUUAGUUUAGGGGAACAGAACUAGUAGAGGUCAAGAUAAUGAACUCCUGAUUGGCAAAUAGCAUCCUGAGAGAACUUGAAAUGAAUAAACAACUCAAACAUAUCAAAUUUUUGGGUAGACACAUGGUAUAGCAGUAAACUCAGAAGGCCAAAAUAACACCAACAGCUAUCAGUUAUCAACAACACUCUUGUCAGCUACGAGUAUACCUCAUCCCCCAUUUCACGGAGAUAUCUUAUAAAAUUCUGGAACCGGUUCUUAUAGCCAGAUACAUACCUGCACAUUUCACAAAGGAAAAUGGUGGUUAUGUCAGAGUGUAAACUCAAUUGAGCAAGAAUUUUGUUUUUCUAGAAAUGUCAAUCUUUAUUCUCUAAAAUACUGAUCGGAGCUGAUCCAAAAUUCACCAUAUAAGACAUCGGAGUCCCCAGCUGAAAACAUAUCCGACUCCUAAGUGCCACUGAGCAAUAAAGACAGCAAAAUGUAAUAGAAGUGGGUAUUCUGCUCAAGUGUAUCUGUAGUUAAAAGGCGUCUUAUUGGACAGAGCUAUAUUUAUUUUGCCAGAUCAAUAUUCAUUGACUUCCCAAAAUACUAUGAGGACCAUUAAAGAAAGAAUACAGAGAUAACAUAGAUUAAAAUGCAGCUCAAGAAAAUAAAAAGAAAAAAUUUAGGUUCCAAUGCUGAAGUGGUAAACCAGUGCAACAAAACAAGAUUUGAGAUUGUGAUUGACCAUGCACAUUGCUAUAACUAACAAGAAUGCGACUUUCCUUCAAUAGCUACAGUUGUUAGAAAAUCUUCAUUCCUCCCUUUUAGGUCAAGGCUAAGCCUCAACAUAAGUCCCUUUCCUACAAGCUAUUCAAGGUCUAUUGGCUCCAAUUCUCAUGUCUUACACAUCAGAGAUCUGUUCCAAAAGCAAAUGUGGACAGAUAGUUGAUCAAGUGUACAUUGCAUAGGAUGAAAAAGAGAAAGAUUGCAUUAUCAAAAUUCUUAUGCUAAGAGUCCAUUAUCUACUACAUUCUAGCAUAUAAGUGAAGAUAUGAAGGAUCAUUCAAAAAACAUAUGCGGAAAGGCAUCAAGUACUUUUAACAGCAAAAGCUCCUUGGAAAAUAGACAAGAAUCAUCAAAAUUGCAUAGCAGAGAAGAUUGAGCAUAUGAGACAAUUGAAUUCGCAUACAUUGACAAUACUGCUGCAAAAAUGAUACUCAAUAACACAAUGCCAUUUUCAUUAUAGGCGAAACAAAUGAUUAGUUAUCACAUCACUAAUAUCUGUCAAUAUAUAUAUAUGAAUAGGGAGAAAAGUAAGUCACAGAAGCUCAGAAGGGUUGAAGAAGAAAUUAGACCUGAUGGAUCACUCAGUAGUCAACUCAACAAACAGAAAGAGCAUAACAGUAAGCAGAACCAAAGUUAAGCAAUUAACGCCAACAAUGUUGCAGUUUAGGCUCAAACUAUAAGACUAUAAACGGGAAAAAAAAUCACUCACGAAAAAGGAGAAGGCUCAACGAAGAUAGCAAUACGUCUAGGCUUCGAAGUCGUUUCAGAUUCAACCAAAGGAGGAGGACCCUCUUCCUCUUCUUCCCUAUAUUCUUUACCUUUCAUGUUGCUAGCUGCAAUUAAGGGUCUUUUCUUGAAGGGUCUUUCCCUAAAUCUCCUCUCACACUGCAAAAAAUUGUCUUUUGUACAAAUUAAGCUAAUGGGGUUUGUUCUUGAAGUAGAAAAGUGAGAAAAAUCAUGAAAACUAGUAGGUACUGAAACAAAAGAAGAAGAAGAAGAAGAAGAGAUGACAGGAUUUAUAAACAGAGAAGAAGCAGCCAUGGUGAGUUAUUUGGAUAAUGAUGUUAAAUAUAUUUGAUUUGAUUAGCUCAGUGAGCAGAGAAGUGUGAAAUUUAGAAGAUAGAGAGAAAUUGAGGAGCCAUGGAAGGGACUCCGGCAAUGGAUAUUCUUAUUUACACUAAGGAAUAUUUGGAGAGUAUAUGCCACAAGUUUCACAAGCCGCUAAUAGAUAUAUUAUUGGGUCAUUCUCAAUUGACACAUUUGGAUUUUGUUGGCAUGUGCAACAUUUUUGUUGUGUUUUUUUUUUUUUCAUUUUCGAAAAUCUCUCUAGAUAGUAAUUUGUGAAAAAAUACUAUUUAUAUUGUUAUUUGUUUUAUUUGGCUAUCGAUGUUACUAUCUUACAUAACAUAAUAGUGAUAGAAUCAGAAUUUUCAUCAAGAGAUUCAAAAUAUGAAAAGUAAACACACUCCACCCAGUCACAUAAAUAAUUAUUGUAUCAUUAAUAUUAACAAGGGUUCAAUGACACUUUCUUGUUGUCUUUCAGUUUAGUUUGAAUAGAUUCGAUCUAUUCAUUUAAAAAAUUAUAUGGCUCAACUCGAUUUCAAUAAAAGCUCGAUCUAAUCCAAUUCAAUUUCUAUCAAAACUCGACCUAGUUCAACUUGAUUAGAUUAAAUUUUGAUAAAGUUUGACUCGGUCUAUUCGAAGUCUAUUCAAACUUCAUCGAAUUUGUACAUAACAUGUAACUUUGUGCACACCCCUUCCUAUGCAAAAACACUAGUACCUUCUAUUGUUCUUUUCUAUUAAAAAUAAAAAAGAGACAAGUUGCGCAGAUACUUCAUUUUUGAUGUCGCAUUCGUAUUGGAUUCUCCAAGAAUACACAAGUUUUGUCAAAUCUAACGCAUAACCCUUGAUAUUUUUGAAGAGUCCGAGCAACAUAGAUAGAGGGUAGCAGCAUAUUUUGAAUUCAAAACAGACUCAUAAUUAGUUAGUAAAAGUAGAAGUUUGACUCCAUUUUGCAACAAAGGAAAGAAGCAGUUUUAGUCUAUAAGUGGUUAUCCAACAAAGUUGCAUUAAAUAGCAUUUAUACAUAUUAGUUGGACACCCCAUAAGAGGCUUGAAAAUCUAUUGUACAAUAAAAAAAGACAAUUUUCAAGAAUAGCAACUAGUCUAACUUGUUUUCUUUUUAUUAGUAUUAGACAAAUGAAGCUUCUGUUAUACUUGCAUCUCUCAAUCAUUGUUAUGUCCAUUGCAAUCUCAAGUUGUGAAUCAAAUGAUCUAUUAGCAUUGCAAGACUUGAAAAACAGGAUAACAGAUGAUCCACUCCACGUCAUGGCUUUUUGGAAUGAUCAUUCUUCACAUUUCUGCAACUGGACUGGUGUAACAUGUAGUCCUUAUAAUGACAGAGUUAUCAAUCUUGAUUUGAGUUCACGAAAACUCGUUGGAACCAUACCGUCUUCCAUUGGCAAUCUCAGCUUCCUAACAGGUCUACAUCUUGAAAACAAUAGCUUCCAUGGUGAAAUUCCUCAAGCAAUAGGUCUCUUGCUGCAGCUUGAACAUCUCAAUCUUAGUUCAAAUUCUUUUAGUGGAAAAAUUCCGACAACUAACUUGUUGUAAGGAGCUUUGAGUACUUGAUUUACGAGCUAAUUAUCUUGUUGGAAGAAUUGUGGAUCAACUUAGUUCAUUGACAAAGUUGAACUUCUUAAGACUUAAGAGCAACUCUUUCACUGGAGGCAUCUCGCGUUGGAUAGGAAACUUUUCGCCUUUAAAGUACCUUGACAUUUCGAGUAAUAGUUUAAAAGGACCAAUACCUCAGGAUGUUGGAUGUCUAGUGAGUUUGGAAGUAUUUGAAGAUUCAAUCAAUCACGAAUGCUUCUAGGCUUCACGUGAUUGAUUUUUCCCAAAAUGGACUUACUGGGGAUGUGCCAUAUAGUAUAGGAAAACUGAAAAGUUUGGUUAGGCUCAACUUGAAGGUCAGGUUCCAAAUGAAGGGAUCUUUUGCAAAUACAAGCGCAUUUUCAAUCAACGGAAACAAUAGGCUUUGUGGUGGUGUACCCAACUUACAUUUGUCUGAAUGCUCUAAAGCUACCAAGCACCUUGAUUCAAGAGUACUGCUAGCUGUUAUAGUUACUCUUGCAUUAUCAGUUUUGGUGCUAUGUUCCUGUGCUGCUUAUUACAAACUCAGCAACUCAACAAAGGCACAACCUUGGAAUGCUGAGCAACUGUUUGAGAUACCAAGAACUACAUAUCGAGCAAUACAUAGAGCGACAGAUGGAUUCUCUGAUGCCAACUUGGUUAGUAGAGGAAGAUUUGGUUCAGUAUACAAAGCACAUUUGAUGUUGACAAUACAAUAAUGGCAGUGAAAGUGUUGAACCUACAUCAAAGAGGUGCCUUGAGGAGCUUCCUGGAUGAAUGCAGAACGUUGAGUACUAUUAGGCAUCGUAAUCUUCUCAAAAUUAAGACUGCUUGUUCGAGCAUUGAUCACCAAGGUAAUGACUUCAAAUGCGGUAGUUUUUGAGUACAUGACUAAUGGAAACCUACAUGAUUGGUAGCAUACAGAAAAUGAUGAUCAGCAACACCAAACAAAGAAGCUGAGUUUCAUCCAAAGACUAAACAUCGCCAUAGAUGUUGCUUCUGCUCUUGACUAUCUCCACAACCACUGCCAAACACCAACAGCUCACUGUGAUCUUAAGCCAAGCAACAUACUCCUCGACGAAGACAUGUCUGCACAUGUUGGUGACUUUGGAUUAGCAACAUUUCUGUUUGACACAUCGAGUAGCAAUUCUCAGAGUCCUGCAGCAUUAAAGGGCUCUAUAGGUUACAUCCCAACAGGUACAACAAUGUCAUUAGUUUACAUUUCAUAUACGAUUAAUACAUAUAUCAUCCUAAUUGUGUACCUCACAGAGUAUGGAUCAGGUGGUCAAGCAUCCACAUUUGGAGAUGUUUACAGCUAUUGCUAGAGUUAUUCAUCAGUAGAAAACCAACUGACGCGAUGUUUAACGAGAGUCUAAACAUUCACAAGUAUGUUUCAAUGGCUUUGCCUGAACAUGUCAUGGAGACUGAAGAUCCCUCAUUGCUCUUGACAGAGGAAGAACAAUACAUCAAUCAAGAUGAAGCAACAACAAUGGAAGAAUGUUUAGUCUCAGUUCUGAAAAUUGGGCUUACAUGUUCUGCAUCAUCACCAACAGAUAGAAUGCCAAUAGAUACUGUUUUGAACAAACUUCAAGCAAUCAACAAGCCCUUCAUUACAAGUAGAUUAUAACAAAACUCUCAACCUUCGCACUCUGUCCCAAUUUGUUUGCAUUACUUUUCUUUUUAGUCCUUUAAAAAAGAACGGUUUUUUUUUAGCAAUUCUUUAAUAUCAACUUUAAUUUCAAUCUCAUAUCAUAAGACCACACGAUCAAUUAACAUUUUAGUGUAUUGAUUUAGUGAAGUAUAACUAGAAAUAGUGUAUAGUCAUAUUAAUUAAUAGUAAUAAUAUUUUUUAUAUGAUUUUAUUUGUUGAAUAUAUAUUGUUAUUAUAAUGAUAUGACUAAGGACCCCAUAAGUUUUGAAUCAAGAAAAUGACCUUUUUUAUAUAUUUUUUGUCGUUAGUUUGAAAUUAAGGAAAUGACCUUCACUGAAGAAGAUUGAUUAGUGAGUAAUUAAAGAUUUAUCAAUUAAGGCUCUCACUAAUUCAGGGUAGUAUUUUGAUUUUUGAGGAUGAAAAUAGACAGUUAACCACAGAAUUUAUUUGGACUAAAAAUUCCUUUAUAUUUCAUGUUUCAAUUAUGAGAGACAUGGUUUAAUGUAUUUGUCCCAUAUUUAUUACUUCCUCUGUUUUAAUUCAUUUUGACUUAACAUAAAAAUUUUACUUUUUAAUUUUGACAUAACACAAAAAUUUUCAAAAGUAAAGAUUUCUUUUUAAGUUUCGAUACUCGAUAGUAUUCCUUCCAUUCAACUAUAGUUAUUUAUUAUAUUAUUUUGAGAUGUCUAACAAUAUUACUUGUCCCAUUUAUUAAAUUAAUGAAUAUUUUUAUAUUUAGUUGUUCAUUAGUCAUUCUCUACGCAAAAGAACAAACUCUAUUAUUGUGUCAUUUUUUUGUAUGCUAACAUACUUAAAUAAUACUCAUAUUUUAAAAAUAUGUCUCCAUAUCCUGAUUAAUAUUUUAUUUUGUGUUAAACUCUACUUAUACGAUUACAUUGAAUAUAUUGUUAGAAUACUUUACUUUUACUUUUGUAUCAUAAGAAAUUAAACUCUCAACUAUUUUAGAAUGAAAAGGCAAUUUCAUAGUGCUGCUAUUCGUUUUUUUCUAUAAACAAGAGGAAUUAUUCAGGCUAGUAUUUUGAGGAUGAAAAUAUAAAUUAUUGUUUCAUUAUUUCUUUUCUGCUAACGUAACGUACUUGUGUGAUUACAUGUGGUAUGUUGAUGAUCGUGAUGUCCGGGAAGGUCUUCGCCCACCUCGACUUAUUCCACGUGAUAUCUGUCACCUUCCAACAAUAACAGGUACCAAGUAACUCUAUCCACAAAACUAGAACAGACGAGAAUAAUCACCUAGUGUUAUGUCUCUGCUGGGAUUUAAACUUGAGAGACCUCAUAACUCUCAAAAUCAUUUUAUUCACCGCUAGGUUAUACCCUUGAGGUGAUGCUAGUCAUUAUUUUUUUAUGACCAUAGUAUUUGGAUCAGCUUUCACGCAACUCGACUAAUAUCACGAGAUACUUGCCACCUGUCACCUUCCACCAAUAUACCAAGUUACACUGUCCACUAAGGCUAGUACAAAUGAAAAGAAUCACCUAAUAUUUUAUUUUUUUAUCUCUAUUGAAUUUUGAACGUGAGACCUCAUAAUUCUCACCUAGUCGAUAUUACGUUCAGCAAACAAGGACAUUGAUGAUCUCAUACAUGAAAAGGAAUCUGUCAAACGAAAAGAAAAAUUCAAAAAAUGUGACGUUAGUUUUGUGCUAAAAUUAGCCUAUUCAUGAAAACUUGACUGGCACAACAAUAUGCAACAAGCUAAGCUAAUUGGUAAAAGAUUUUGUCACUCUCAGUCUGUCCAACAAAUUUGCAUUUAUUAGCAUUUAUACAUGUUAGUUGGAACUUGAAAGAGCCCUGUAAAUUAUUGCAUGAUUCACAUUAUUAUAAGAAAAGGAAAGCUUACAUUCUUUCUUCUUAUAAGUUAAAAACAGCAAUUAGCUAGUCUCUAAAAAAAUUCAGGACAAAUGAGGCAGUGGUAUCUAACAUCCAAUUCCAAAUGGCUUUUGUUGUUAUACUUCCAGUACUCAAUUAUUGUUAUGUCCAUUGCAAUAUCAGGUCUCGAAUCGACUGAUCAAUUAGCAUUACAAGACUUGAAAAGCAGAAUAACAGAGGAUCCACUUCAUGUCAUGGCUUCUUGGAAUGAUCAUUCUUCCCAUUUCUGCAACUGGACUGGUGUAACAUGUAGUCCAGGAAAUGGAAGAGUUACGUUUCUUGAUUUGAGUUCACGACAACUUGCUGGAACCAUACCGUCUUCCAUGGGUAAUCUCAGUUUCCUUACAGGUAUUGAUCUUGGAAACAAUAGUUUCCGCGGUGAAAUUCCUCAAGCUAUAGGCCGCCUGUUGCAGCUACAACAUUUAAAUGCUAGUUACAAUUAUUUUAGUGGGAAAAUUCCUACUAAUUUAACUUACUGUAAGGAACUAAGAGUACUUGAUCUACAAUUUAAUGAACUUGUUGGGAAAAUUGUGGAUCAACUAAGUUCAUUGUCGAAGCUGUAUUUGUUUAAACUGAAAAGGAACUCACUCGGAGGAAACAUCCCCCGUUGGUUAGGGAACUUUUCAUCUUUAGAGUUUUUUGACAUUUCGGGUAAUAGUCUACAAGGACCAAUACCUGAGGAACUUGGGCGUCUAACGAAGUUGUUAGUGUUUCAUGUGAACUCUAACGAACUAUCUGGUACAAUCCCUCCAUCGAUUCUCAAUAUUUCCUCCAUAUACUAUUUCUCUGCUACACAAAAUAUACUGCAUGGACAACUUCCAGCAGAUGUAGGCCUCACUCUUCCAAACCUUGAAGUAUUUGCUGGUGCUGUCAACAGCUUUACCGGACCUAUUCCUGUUUCACUAGCUAAUGCUUCUAAGCUUCGCGUGAUUGAUUUUUCCCAAAAUAAACUUACUGGGGAUGUGCCAACUAGUUUUGGAAAGUUGGAAACGUUGGUUAGGCUUAACUUUGAGGCGAAUAGACUAGGUGGGAGGGGAAGUUAUGAGGGCUUGAAAUUUCUUGAUUCCCUAACUAAUUGUACACAUCUGAUGGUACUGAGUUUCGCCACCAAUAACUUUAGGGGAGAAUUGCCUUACUCAAUCACUAAUCUUUCAACUGUACUUGAGAUUUUCUCUCUAGGUCAAAAUAGGCUGCAUGGUACUCUUCCAGCUGGAAUAGACAACCUGAUUAGUUUGACGCUACUAGGAAUGGACGGAAACUACCUCAAUGGGAGUGUGCCUGAAUCUAUAGGUAAGCUUGAAUAUCUUGAACGUCUCUAUUUGAACGGAAAUGCAUUUUCUGGGAAGAUACCAUCCUCUAUUGGUAACUUGUCAUUGUUAAAUACUCUAAAUCUGGACGAAAAUAGACUAGAAGGAAGCAUACCUCCGGAGUUGGGGAAGUGUAAGUUCUUGUCAACGUUAAACCUUACCAGAAAUAAUCUCGUUGGCUCCAUACCAAAAGAGGUUGCAGGAUUAUCUUCCCUUUCAAUUUCUUUAUCAUUGGGAAGUAAUUCUUUGACUGGAUCCCUGCCAAAAGAACUUGAUCAGUUGAUAAAUCUCGAGGAAUUGGAUUUAUCACAGAACAAGAUAUCUGGUGAGAUUCCAAGCACCCUCAGCAAUUGCCUCCACUUAGAGCGUGUAUAUAUUAGUAAUAAUCUCUUACAAGGAACCAUUCCUCAAUCCUUUAUGAGUUUAAAAGGAUUGGAAGAGAUAGAUUUUUCGCGGAACAACUUGUCAGGGGAAAUACCUGAGUUUCUUGGGGAACUUUCAUAUCUCAGAAAACUGGACCUUUCAUUCAAUGAAUUUGAAGGUGAGGUGCCAAAUGAAGGGGUCUUUUCCAAUACAAGUGCAAUUUCAAUCAAAGGAAACAGGAAACUUUGUGGAGGUGUCUCCGACUUGCAUUUGCCUGAAUGCUCCAAAGCUCCGAAGCACCUUAAUUCAAGAGUGUGGAUAGCUGUUAGUGUUCCUGUUGCACUCUUAGCUUUGGUGCUAUGUUGUUGUGGUGGUUAUUACAGGAUCAGAAACUCAAGAAAGGCACACCCUUGGAUCGAACAGCUAGCCCAGAUACCAAGAACUACAUAUCGAGAAAUACUUAGAGCAACGGAUGGUUUCUCUGAGGCUAACUUGGUAGGUACAGGAAGUUUUGGUUCAGUAUAUAAAGCGCAUUUCCAUGGUGAGGAAACAAUAAUGGCAGUGAAAGUGUUGAACUUACAACAAAGAGGGGCCUUGAAGAGCUUCCUGGAUGAAUGUAGAGCUUUAAGAAAUAUAAGGCAUCGUAAUCUUCUCAAAAUCAAGACUGCUUGUUCGAGCAUUGAUCACCAAGGUAAUGACUUCAAAUGCCUAGUUUUUGAGUUCAUGAGUAACGGAAACCUACACGAUUGGUUGCAUCCAGAAAAUGAUGACCAGCAACACCAAACAAACAAGCUGACCAUUAUCCAAAGACUAAACAUUGCCAUAGAUGUUGCUUCUGCACUCGACUAUCUCCACAACAACUGUCAAACACCGAUAGUUCAUUGUGAUCUAAAACCAAGCAACAUACUCCUCGAUGAAGAUAUGUCUGCCCAUGUUGGUGACUUUGGAUUAGCAACAUUUCUCCUCGACACAUCAAGUAAUUCUUGGAGCCAUCAGAUUUCUGCAGCACUAAAGGGUUCUAUAGGUUACAUCCCAACAGGUACAACGAUGUCAUUAGUUUACAUUUUAAUAUUCAGUCAUAUAUCAUGCUGCAGAAAAUUGAUUUAGUACCUUGCAGAGUACGGAUCAGGCGGCCAACCAUCCACACUUGGAGAUGUUUACAGCUUUGGAAUAGUGUUGUUAGAGUUGUUCAUCUGUAAAAGACCAACUGAUGCAAUUUUCAACGAGAGUCUAAACAUUCACAAGUAUGUUUCAACAGCUUUGCCUGAACAUGUUAUGGAGAUUGUAGACCCCUUAUUGCUCUUGGCAGAGGAAGAGCAAAACAUCAAUCAAGAUCAAGCAAGAAGAGUGGAAGAAUGUCUACUCUCGGUUUUGGAAAUCGGGCUUACAUGUUCUGCAUCAUCAUCUAGAGAUAGAGCACCAAUAGACACUAUUUUAAGCAAACUUCAAGCAAUCCGCGAAUCCUUCCUUACAAGGAGAUGAUAUAAUAUGAAUAACUGCUUAUUUUUCAUGCUUCUUAUAUUAAGCCUUAUUAGCAUAUAGAAAUUUGUAAACAGAUCUAAAGUUGUUUUGAUUCAAACAGGCAAGAAUAGAACACAAUCUCCAUAUCUAGUCAUCACCAACACCAUCCCCAAUCGACAUCCUCAACCUCCAUAUCUAGUCAUCACCAGUUCACAGCCACUAACCAUUGGGUGGAUAGACUGUCUGAACUAUGAUUGUUACCUAGUUCAGUGUCAAAAGCAGAAACUUUUGGUCAGACUGUUAUCAUUCAUGGAAAUGUUGAAAAUACCAAGAGAAUUGUCUUGUGUUUGUUGUAUCAAUUGAAACAUAAAACUAGAUAGCCACGAAAAAAACCAGAAAGACGAAAAAGACAGAUAAGAAAUGCUUCUUUAAGAAAUGAAAAAUAUGGUGCAAUCAACAUAUUAAGAUUUGCUGGUAAUGGCCAGAAAACUGUACAUAUGUGAGUGUUCAAAAAAAAUUAUAUACAAACAGAAUGCCUGGUAUGUACUACCUACUUAACCUAAGUAUUUAUAUCAAUAAUUCGGAUGAGCAGACUGGAUCUGGAUAGACGGCAGGCAAUUUAUCGAUGUACAUGAGAAGUGUCGUCAUAUUUUCCCUCGUUAUAGUGGACAAGUCUUUGAUGUCACAUAUGUUGGUGUAUAUCCAAAGCUCUCCGGAAUCCAUCCUUUUGAGACUAUCUCGACAGAAAGGGCAUGACUGAGAUCGGGCACGCCUACAGCAACCAUGUAACAUUGAUAAAUUAUUCAAGUAGAAGACAAGCUAAUAAAGAACACAAAAGAAUAGGAAAACUAUUAUUUGCAUAAGCACGCCUAAUUUCCCUCUGAAACCCCUGAUAAAAAGCACUAAGCAGAAGAUCCUUCAGAGACCAAUCAAGCACUUCACAGAUAGAUUAAGACUUGUCACCGCAAGAAAAUCAACUUUACCAGAAUCACCCUAGAAUCCAAAUCAACAGAACACUAUCUCACCGAGAAAUUUUUCAAGAGAUGCUUCACCAAUUUUACCUACAUACUAGCAGAAUUUAGGAUAAAAGUCGCCCAGAAGGUAGCAAGCCGUGUGAUAUUUAACCAAGAGAAUUUGUAAAAUCCUUCCAUACUUGUCCAAAAUGCUGCUCAAAGCAGUGGCGCAGGUAAGAUUCUCACCAAGAGAGUUCAUUAUCCACUAUAUGUACAAAAAAAAGUUGACUUAAUAUAUAUAUAGUGUGAUUUUCGGGCGAAGGGGUUUAAGAUGAAGUCCCUUCAGCCCCUCUAGCUCCCCGCCCUGGCUUAAAGUAGGACUUUCGUUAUUUUAGGCCAAAAAGACAAUUCCUUCAGAUGCAUUGCUGGACCAUAAAAUCUCAUGGGUGAUAAAAGUGAGCAGCAUACUCUAUAUAUGUCCAUCGUUAAAGACAGGUAUAUCAAAGUAAAAGUAAAUUCAAUCCACACACUCAAUCGGAUGCAAUGAUCUGGCAGUUAACACUAACUGAGAACCCACAACCUUCCUGAACAAUUACUAAACUAUAUUUAGUAUGCACGAAGUAACAGAAAGGUGGAAAAUCUAACAAAUUAGAGGAGUUGGCUCACCAAUUUCUAUAACACUUCAGGCAUAAAGAGUGAUUGCAGGAGGGCAACACAACCUUUGUAUUCAUCUCCAUGCAGAUACCGCAUUCCUCCUCCCUCUCUAUUUCGAUUUCAGACAGCUUACCUUUGCUCGUCUCAUCUCCUCUUCUGUAUUUGGUUGCACACAACUCUCGUUGCUUCCUAUCAUCAAUGUCAGUGAUUCCCCUUUGAAGUUGCAACAAAGAGGGAAAUAUCACCCCUGUUCAAUGACAACACAACUCAAUGAACAGCAUACUUAUAAGAAACAAAAGAAAUUGAAAUGCCCUACAACGUGAUUUGAGGAGACUAAAUAAGAACAUCCAAGUUAACGUACCAUAGAACUGUUUUAUACUAGCUUUUCUCUCAUGAAUAUACAUGCUUGUGUUACCAUCCUCAUAAGCCUGCAAUAGACAUCAUAUGGCAACUUUCAUACCAAGAAAGCUGAAAGACAGAAACGCAACAAGAAAAAUGGGAAAAUUUACCUUAUAAAUAUGGAUCCUAAGCAAUCCUAGAGCACCAGCAAAGUGACAGUCAGUCCACUGAACAAGAAACAGAAAUAUAUGAGCACAGUGACUGUACGAUAGUCUCAUCUGAAGGCUAGCACCAUCAUAUUCUUUUGGAUAAUCCGAAGCCCUGUAUAUCUCAAAAAGAACCAGUCAUGUCCAAAGAUACCACACAAAAUGCUUCAAACAUUCACACGAAAAGGGUACAAAUUUCUUAUUUUAAGGGGAGGGGAAAACCAGUAGUGGAGGCAGAAUUUUCAAGUAACAGAUUUUCAACAUCUACUAUAUAUACGUAGAAUAAAAAAAUUAGUCUUGCAUUACAGUGCGAUUUUCCUGUGUCCCCCACCCCCAGCUCCAUAAGGAUCCACUCAUUCACAGAUUAUAGCUUUUGGAAUACAGACACACGGAUUCUCAAAAUACAAAAUGUUUUGCCUGGAAUUCUAGCUAGGAAAAAUAAGCACCAAAGAUAUGGUCUAGUCAAUGAACUAGAUUGAGAAACACAAGGUCUCAAAUUCAAAUAACAACAAACACAGCCAAAAAAAGCACUAGGAGAUUUCUUGACACCUAAUCCCGUGAAAUUAACAGAGGUGCGCGAAAAACACAAACUUAGCUCAACACCACAGUUAUAACAAGCUUAAUCAUCACAAAGAAGAAAGUACAGAGUAUCACUCAAUUUCCAAAUUAAGGGUUUUAACUUCUCGGAAAUUCUAUUUAGCUUAAAACAACAAAGCCAAAAGAAAUAAAAAUCCCAACUUUGUCCAUCAAAGCUAGAAAAACAGAAGAAAAAAAAGUAACGUUUUUGAUGUAAAAUCACCGAUUAAUGAUCAAAUCAACAACUUUUUUGUACCGACAGUUGAUUAUACAGAAAAAUAAAAUUGCAAAUACUAAAAGGGGAAGAAUAUUGAAAACGUACAGAGUAUUAGCAUGCUGAAUAUCAGCUUCAAGUGCUUUGAGUGAAUCUUUAAAAGACUUCCUCAUCACUCCUAUUUUAUAUUCCCAUUCAACAACAAAACAAAACAAAAGCCUCUUCCACUCUGUUAUAUGCUGAUUUGAUCAACCAAAAAAAAAAACUGCAGAUUAUUCGAUCGAACCGAUGAAGAAGAAGGUGAAAGAGGGGCCCCGGGUGGUUGUAUAGAGACGCAGUUCACUCAAAAACAACAAUUUGCCUUGCACAGCACGCUUCUUCCUGCUUAUACUGAAGAAAAAAAAAAUCUCAACAAUUUGAGUAAAAAUUAUAAAGUGUCAUCAGUCAUGGCUUUUAUAGAACACCAUUGCUAUGCUUAGGGCUGAUUUUGAACGUCAAUUUUAACUAGUUUUCCUUUUUCGACGGAUAUUUAAUUUUUCUUCUUCAAAUGUACAUUGAUAUUGGUCAAAUAUAUGUUUUUUGACCUUUUUUUAAAUAAAAUCUCAUUAAACUAAUAAAGAUAGAAUUAUAAAAUGUAUUAUUUAAUUAAGAAAAAACCCAUAAAAAUUAAAUCUAUUGUACAUAAAUUGUGCAACGAAUAUAUUAAAAUUAUUUAUAUCUUGCUAAAUUAAGUAUUGCAUCUAUUGAAUAUAUAUAUAUACACUUAUAUAUAUACGAUCCAUUUGUAAUAUAUUUUUUUUUUGAAUGAUUUAUUAUUUAUUAAUAAUCAAAUAUAAUUCAUUGGGAUAUGUUAAAUGAUUAGAAAAAUUGGAUAGAAUUUGACCAGAAAUUUAAAAAGUCUGUGAUAUUUUUUUAAUUUUAAAAUAAUUAUUUUUUUUUUAAUAAAAAGCUAUUAAUGUCAAAAAGAAAAAAAUGUGCAAAAAGGUAAAAUAAUAUAUUAAUAAUAUAUAGUGAAAUAUAUUAUUUUAUUUUUCUAGCCAAAAAUUUUUUUACUUAUACAUUGUGUCUUUAUCAAAAAUAUUUCAUGUAUGAUGGUGAAAAAUAAUUUCUUGAAAUUAUAUCUAAAAGAUUUAAAAGUCACAAAAUCAAUAAUAAUAUAUCAAAUAAGCAAAUACUAUGUAAUUACAAAAGAGAUCAUUCCAUCGCAACAAGACUUACCAUUGUAGUAACAUUGAAACUUUUGAAUGCAGUCGAAAAAUUUAAAGAUAAACUUUGACUAGAUUAGAAUGUUAAAAAAAUAAUAGAAUCAUAUUUUAUUAAAUUGUCUUAUUUAUAUUUAUAUUUUUAAAGCAUUAUUAAUUUAUAAUAUUAGUGAUACCAUACAUUUAUAUAGAAGUCUUUUAAAAAUAUAUUAUCUUAUUAAAAUAAUUAAUCUUUUCCCUUGAUACAAGUCGAGAUCAGAAAAAAAUACUUAUAAAAUAAUUAUCCAUACGAAUGAUUCGAAAUCGAUCUCUCUCAAUAAUUUUUAAAUCAAACAUGUCGUAUAAGACUUAACUAGUGCGAUUUAUGUUUUCGCUAAGUCGGUGCACGGCUGGCAAGUUGUGAAGUUUGUAGAGUAUGGGAAUUUGUAUUGUACUUGCCAACAACAUAAUUUGUAAUUAUACAACGAUGUCAUCAUCUUGAAGAAACUAUACGUGGAGUUUGUAUUAAAAAAGACAAAUGUUGGAAGAAUCAUGAACAUUAACCAACGUUGAUACACUCAUAAUUAAUGAAACGAAAAGACCCCAAGUAACCAACAUCAAAAUGAUGAAGAGGUUAUUAAAGACGUAGUAUCGCGGAUAAAAUUAUUUAUCUCUUAAUUAAAAAUUUUAGAUUUAUAUCUUGAAUAUAUAACAAUGAGUUUAGUGGUCUCGACUUUGCAUUUUGAGCAUGAACAAAUAUUGACAGGAAUAACUUUUUUUUCAAAUGAAAAUAAAUACAAAUUAAUUAAUCUACAAUACGAAUACGAAACACAUAAAAUAAAAUUAACGAUGAAGAGGUGUUAACGUGUUCUUCCCUUCAAGUAUCACCCUCUUCUCCCGCGAUGUCAACAUGUGCUUCUUCUCUUACAUUAAAGAGGGUACAACAAAUUAAAGUCUGAGUCAUAUUGAUGGAAUCGAGAUUUUUAAUAAAAAGAGUCAAAAUUUAAAAUUUAAAAAGUAAAUAUAUUAAUAAGUAAAAAGAUAUCGACGUUCUAUUAUAUAUAUAUAUAUAUAUAUAUAUAUAUAUAUUAUAUUAUAUUAUUUAAAAAAAUUUGUAACACUAUAUAAAUAUUAAAAUUUUCGUUUAGGAUGAUUGAAUGAACUCCGUAAGUAUAUGCUAUCUCCGCCGAGUGCAUGACGCAUGGUUUAGUUAUUACUUCUAAAUUUUAAAUUGAAGUAAAUUUUUUUGGGUAUUUUUUACCUAAUAUUUGUUAUUCGUAUUAAAAUUUGACUAUAUUGAAUUUAUUUCGUGUAGAGUAUAUUUAGAAGAAAUUCUCUUUAUUUGAAAAUUCAUGCAGACUCAAAUUGAAGACAUCUAAUUAAUAGAUGAGCAAUUAUAUUCACAGUGUAUUUAUAUCAUAUCCUUUGAUGAUAAAUAAGUUUUUUUUUUACUAUGCUAUUUUGAAUCUUUAUUAGUUAUAGUUUAUGACUUACAUUAAAUUUUACAUAAAUUUCAAAUAUAAAAAUUUUAUUUCAAAUUCAGAUUUACGGUCAUAGUGUAUAAAUACUAAGAAUUCUGAAACAUAAAAACAAAAAAAAAAAAGGUGAAUAAAUUGAGUUCUAUUUUGAAAAAAAAAAUAUAAAGUUACUAUAGAAAUUGUCUGAAAUUUUUGAAACAUUUUAACCUUGCAAUUGUCUUAUCCUUCACUAAAAAUUUUUAAACAAAUAUUAUUAUAUCAUAUUUUUUGAUAUUUCUUGUUUUCUUACGUGUGUAACUCACUCCAAAUGCUAGUCAAAUGUCUUUUCAUUUUCUGUUAUAAUAAUUUAAUUGUAAUUGUUUAUAUCGCGCUUUAAAAGUUCAUUUGAUUUUAUAUUUGAGAUAAAUUUAUUAAGUCAAGUGAUUUAUAUUGAAAUAAAAUUUCAAUUUUAAUUUUUAAAAAAUGAUUUAUUAUUUUUUUGGGGUCAAACAACCCCUAACUAUAAAUUAAAUUCCACCAUCCAUUUACUCCGCAAUUUAGACAAAAAGAAAAAAUAGAAAUGUUACGUUGGCCAACGAGGUCCCAUUUUUUUUUAUAAGUUUUUGUUUGGUUCAUUCUAGAUUUAACUUUCUUUUUUUUCUUUUGUAAAUUAUACUCGGAUUAUUCAUUACAGAGUUUGUUUGAAAAUUACUAUUGUGCGAUGAAAACAAUUCUUCCAUUUUUAUGAAUUCUUUUAGGCUUUUAGCAUACAUGAGAAUGAAGACCAUUUUGGUGUUUUACCCUUUGAUGAUUUAUAUUAUAUUAUAAUUAGAUAUAAGUCUGAAAAUACCAAAUAUUUAUAAAAAGAAAAACUAAUUACGAGCUAUCGAAUUCCAAAUAAAAUAAUACGUAAUUAAAAAAAUCACUAAUAUUUAUACUAUGACACAAGUACACGGCCAAAAGUUUUUGAUGUAUUAAUUAACAACAUUAUUUUUUAAUCAAUAAUCAAUUGAGAAGUGAUAGAAUUUCACAUAUAUUUUCAUCAUAUUCUUUAAUUAAAAAAAAAAAGAAAAAAUAUAUAAAAAAAAAUAUUCUAACAAGUCAAAUCCUAAGAAUAAUACGAUUAAAUAUUUUUUUCAAAGCGCGAAACUAAGUUUGUUAAUAUUUAUUAUCUUCAUGUUGAGAAUUGUUUUUAUGGUUAUCCAAAUAAAAAGUUUUAUUCAUAUAAAUAAUAAAUAUAUUUAUACGUAUACAAUAUUUCUCUCGCAGAAUACAAACACAUUUAAUGAAAUUGUCAACUUGAUUACGUUGCAUAUUCUAAUUUUUGUUCGUCUCAUAUCCAAAAGCUAUAUAUAUAUAUAUAUAUAUAUAUAUAUAUAUAUAUAUAUAUAUAUAUAUAUAUAUAUAAUUGAGAUAAAGAUAAGCAUCUUCCUCUUAAAGAGGAAACAAUAAAUUAAAGCAAUAUAAACCAAUGAUGUAUAGCAUUAUUUUUUAAUUAAUAAUUACUUUUAUAAAUAUAAUGGAUUAGACUAUCAUUUAAUUAGUAGUAGGACCAAAUAUGAUUAGUUGUGUAUGACAAUGACAUAACAACUUUUUAAUUUUUAUGAUUUUAAGUGAAAUAUUCAAUUUAAUUCAGCAUACGUGGAGUAAUGAACAACCCAUUUUCUUGCGCAAAUAACCUAUUUAAUUAAAUUAACUUGAUGUUUUUUUUUCUGAAGGAAAUAAUAAAAUAAAUUAGCAAUUUUCUUUCCUCUGAUUGAUAUUAUUUGAUAAAAUGACCCUUUGAUUCUUGCUUAAAUAAUACAUUUUUAUAAUCAAGAAAUUUUCGAAAAACAAUAUCACACAAUAUUUGAUGGAUAAUGAAUUUGUUAAUGUACUAUUUCAGUAUUUAAAUAGGGAAAAAACAUAAAUUGUCUUUUAAAUUUGUCUUGAAAAGUCAAUUACAUGAUUAAACUGUUAUGACGAUUUAUUACACACCUUUACUAUUUAAAAACGAAUUUAAUAAUAUGAAAGGGUCAUAUCUAUUCACAGGAUCAACAACCAAAAGCAUCUCAAUUCUGGCUAAUAUAUAUUGUGCCAAAAAUUUUCUUUCAACAUUUACUAGCUCAUAAUUAAGUUAUAUUACCAUAAUUUUAUGCACAUUAUAACCACUUUAAGUAUAGGAAAAAAUUGUUAUAUGAGAGUAACAUCUAACAGUAUUUCCCAAAAUUGCAAAACGUAUUAAAUUAAAAUUAAUUUCAAAAAGAAAAAAGAGGUAGUCAAUAUCUAAUCUGCCAUCAAAAGUCUAUCCUAUCCAACGGUGAGCAUUCAACUCUUCAUCAAAUCUAACGGUCAUUCUCAGGAUUGGCUCUUGGCUUCAAAAUUUAAAGGCAUUAAGCGUUAGAGCCUCAAAUUUUUACAGAUAAAAAAGUAUUGUUUCUUAAUCCCAUUAAAACAGAAGAAAUCAACGAAAUAUUAUUUUGAAUUCUUACAAUUUUUUGGCUAACAGUUAUAUUAUUUAUCCUUUUUAACUCCUUUUGUAUUUUAUUUCUUUAACUCUUUGAUAGUUAGAGUAAUACAGUCUCAAAAAUAUCAAAAACAUCAAUCGAUAGUUGAAAAGUGUUGAUAGUUAAAGUAAUACAGUCUCAAAAAUAUCCUUUUUAACUCCUUUUGUAUUUUAUUUCUUUAAAUCUUUGAAAAGUGUUGAACAGAGUGCAUUACAAUUUAUUUUUAUUUCUUUGUUAAAUUUCAUAUUAAAGUAGGUAUAUCAAGUUAUCAACUUUUUGAAUCGGAUUCUAUAAUUCUAACUCUUAUCUUUAAAGGUUAUUAAUUUAUUAGUUAUAUAAUAAAAUGUCUCACAUAAAAGGAUGUUUUUCAUUAUUGAAUUAACAAAAUCUUACUUAAAAAAUAAUGAUUAAAAAAAGUAUUUGAAAAAAUCAUUUAUAUAAAAAAUAUUAACUAGUAAUUUACAUUUAGAAAUUUAGAAAAAUAAAUAACCAAUCCAAGUAAAGACCCACCUAAAUUUUAAAAUAUCCCUAAUUUUAUUUGGGUGAGUUAUUUUGAUUCAAUUUUUGUUCAGAAUUUUUGAAUUAUUUUCAUUAAAAAAAUUAAUUACGGGGCCGAAUUAUAAUUGUCACGUAUCAAAAAUUAUUUUGCAAAAUCACUUUUAAAAAAUAAUGGCAUGAAUGAGCCUUUUCUUAAAGGGGCAAUGGCAUAUGAGCCAAACUUUUAACGGAUGACAUAAAUGAGCUUUUUUUGAAAAAUUCGAUAACAUAUUUGAGUGUUUUCCUUCUUAAAAUAAAAGAGAGUGCAUUACACACAUCAUAAUGAGAGUGGUAUAAAAGAGAGCUGUGUUUCUCAAAUUAAAAAGUGACAUUUUAGAUAUGAAACUAAAAGAAAAAUGUAUAGUUUAAGCGUGUGGAGAAAUUAUCAAAAUAUGGUGUCACCAUCUUUACGUGAGAGAAAGAAACCACUUUCUGUGAGAAAAAAAAUCACUGUAUUGCUAUUGAUGGCGCUCUGAUACCACGUGUAUAAUAAUAUUCUCCCAAAAUGAGCUUUAUGUGAAAGUCUUCUAUAUUAUAUAUAAUGUUAUUAAGAGUACAAUGUAUCAAGUAGACUAGAACUCUGGUAAAAGUAUAAACUUAAAUAAGAUUCAACCUAAAGGUAAAGUUGUUUGUAUUCAAUAAACUUUCCUAAUACAUAACCAGGGCCUGUGAUUGCUCUCAACUCGUACCUAAUAGUGUAGGUUGUAGCUCUUUUCCAACCUUUAUGAGCAAUUUAAGAGACUAAAGAGUCGUUCGAUGGAGUGUAUUACAAAAAUAAUGUAUGUAAUAACUUAAUAUAUUAUUAAUAGUAUUUUGUUUGGUGCUAUGCAUUAUUUAUACACUAUAUUGUGUACUGAGAAUUGUAUUUACAAAUUUACAUUAAUUUGACGUGUAUUGAAAGAAGGAAAACAAAAUAAAAGAAAAUACUCCCAAGCUCAAUUCUUGAAAAAGAAAGAAAAAACAAGACAUUCAAUGAAAUUUGAACCGUCAAUUUCACUUAUAGAAAUGCAGCCAAUAACAAGACAUGCCUCGAAUUUGAGCUUAGAUGCACCCAUAUACUAAAGUAAUUUUGUAUAAAUAUACAUUUGUAUAUAUGGUUUAGAGAAAGGAGCACGGGUGCACGUUAACCCAAUACGCCCUUACCUAAAUAUAACUAUCUAAUGGAUAACGUCUAUAUACAUUCUAUAACAUACCCCGAACUUGUUUCACAUAGCGUGAUGCUAGGAACUCUGUCCGCCAUAGCGCCUCUGUCUUUGCUGAAAAGAACAUAAAGCCUCUAAAAACUCAGCUUCACCAAAAUCAGGCCAUUGUGAAUGAGAAAAGAAGAGUUCAGUAUAAGCCAACUGCCAAAGUAAGAAAUUGCUAAGUCUCAACUCUCCGCUAGUCCUUAUAAGUAAAUCAGGACUUGGAAAUUCAGUACAUUUUGUUUGUAAUUCCUGUUCUACUAGUAAACUAUUAAUGUCUUCGGGUUCGAUAUUGCCAUCCUUCACUCUUUGAGCAAUGGUUUGACAAGCUUGUACAACAUCAUACUGUCCACUAUAGUUAAUUGCAACAAGGAUAUGAAGUCGGGAGUUUGCUUUUGUAGCCAUUACUGCUUUAUCUAUUAAGUCCUGCAAUGACUUGGGGAGCUGACUCGCGUCUCCGAUUAUAGACAAUCGAAUCCCUGUUCUGUAUAAAUCCAAUGAAGAAGCAUAUAAGGGAACUCCUUAGACUAUACAGAGUCGUGUUAGGAUCGAAUCCAUGCACACACUUGAUAAAUGAAGAACACAAGAACUUUCUUGAGAAAGAGAUGAGAGAUCUAAAGAGAAAACAAUAUUUCGUGGUAACACUCCGUGAAUAAGCUUCUACGGUGGUGGGGUAUAUAUAUAUAUUAAUAAAUCAGAGUAUUUUUUAUUACAGAGAAUAAAUGGAGUUUAAACCGCAUAAACAUUAAUAUAUAACAAUACAUCAAAUAUUAAUCAGGCUCCACAACCUAACAAGUUGAUCAUAAAUUAAUAAUACCUCAAACUUAAAGCUCUAAGAAGGAAAAGAGGAGAGGUUAUACAGGUAAGUGUAUUUCAAUUGUUCCACAUUCUAUAAAAGCAUAAAACAAAAACGACAAAUGUUGCAUUUGUUGUUAAGUAGUAGAAUUUUACACUGGAAGCAAACGUAUUACUUAUACAAGAUUAUACUUAGUAAUCCAAAGUUUCAUAUUGCAUUUCAAACUUUGUAUGAGUCAUGAGGAUUUAAAGCUUACGAGUUUUAAAGUCACAGCUCUAUUGUUUACUGGGUUCGAACAGGAGCGGCUCAAGAAUAUUAGUGGCAUAAAGCGAAAAUCAAACGGGGUCUUAAACUUGAAUUAUUAAUAACUUUUAUAUAAUUGAUUUCUUCUAGUUUUCAAUUGAUAAUAUAAUCGUUCUUAUCUUUUAAAUUAUUUUUCAUGAGAUAUAGUACUCUAAAUACAUCAAAUUUCUUCCAAUAAUUCCUUAAUUUUUCAUGAAAAAUUUACUUUUUCUACAAAUAAUAUUCAAUAUUUCUUAAAAAACAAUAACUUAUAAUCUAUUAUUAUUAAAAAUUAAGGCACAUGCCUUUUUUUUAAACACUAUCGAGCCACCCUUAGUUCGAGAUAUAGAUUAUAUAUACACAGAUUUCUUAACACAAAAAAAAAAUUGAGUCAAAAACUAUUGAAUUCCAUCGAAACCAGUAAGGGCCCGUUUGGAUGGGCUUAGUAAAAGCAGCUUUAAAAAAGUACUUUUAAAAGUGCUGAAACUUAUUUUUAAAAUAAGCAGUUAUGCGUUUGGAUAAAAGUGCUGAAGUUGUUAUGUCAAACGUGAAAAGGGAAAAAUGGAAGAAAGAAAUGUUAGGGUUAUAUGGGUAAUUUGGAGAUUGUAUAAAAAUAUUAAGCACAAAAAGAUAAAAAUGUGGUCAACUUAAAACAGCUUAUAAGCUAAAAAAAAAAAACACCCCUACCCCAGCUUUUAACUUUUGGCUUAAAAUAAGUUUUUUUUAACUUAAAAUAAGCUGUUUUGAGUAUUGCCAAACAGCUAAAUAAGUUAAAAACCAGCUUUUAAGUCAAUUUGACCAGCUUUUAAGUCAAGCCAAACAGACUCUAAAUAUAGUUUGUUCGAUUGGCUAAUGUAUGAUAAUUCAAUAAUACCAUUUACCUGGCAAGAUUUUCAAGUUCAUCUUUCAGUACUUUAUCGAAUAAGCCCAUCAAAAGAUCAACUUCCGCCUAUAAUAUAAACAACACAAAACAUUACAAAAAAAAAAAAAAAUUAAUAUCAUCAAACACAAAUCAAUAACUGAGCCUAUAGAUAAAGGGAAGUUAUGGAGUUUACUUUAGGACGGAACCAAUUUUCAGAGGAAAAAGCAAAUAGAGUAAGAGCAGAAAUUCCCCAAUUGUAGCUGAGCUUAACAAAGUUCCUAAGAACUCGAAUACCGGCUGCGUAACCUAACGCAACCGGUAAUCCUCUCCUCUUUGCCCACCUUCUAUUCCCAUCCAUUAUCACCGCGAUAUGUUUCGGCAUCAGUUCUCUGCUCAAUUCUGUAGGCAACGGCACUUCUUCUUCAUUGAUUGAACUCUCGUCCAUGGCGAUAUAAUUGUGGUCAAUGUUGCUGGUGGCGUUGUUUUGCGCAGAGGCAAGUGGAUGAAUUGGCAGUCUUUUCGUUAAAUUGGGGAAAAUUUGAAGUUUUAUUGAUUUUGGUUGGGAACAAAAUUUAACAGGGAAAGGGAAGACUUGUUGGAGCUGAAAUGAAAACGCCAUGUUUUUGAAAGCAAAAGGAGCUCUUGCUCACCAAUUUAUAGAAACUAAACGGUUUUGAUACACAAAUUAUAUUAUUAAUUUGUUUGUUUCCUAAUUACCUCAUUUUCCCAUUGAUUUUUAAAUUAUAGUGUUUAUCCUGGCAAUCAAUUUGUGUGAAUAUCUAAAAUUUAUGAUAACGAAAGUAACAAGUUUGGUCCAUAAAUUAUAUUUUGGUUUAUAAAUGAUUUUGCAACUAGCCUCUUUUUUGGAUUUUUACUUUAUAUUCUGUUUAAUUGGUAUUAUUCAUUGUAUUUAUAUUGUAUCAUUAUUAUAUUUAUAAUAUUUAUUUUAAUUGCUACUUAAUAUGUAUUAUGUUAUAUUCUUAAAUUUUAUUGUUAUUUAAUAAUAAAAAUAUAUAUUUUUGUUAGAAAUAUUUUUUCUCCAAUUUAAAUUUUUUCCUUAUUAAUUUAGAUUUAGCCUCACUUCAAUAUAUGAAUGUGAAAGGUCAUUGUCUUGGAAUGCAAUUCCGUUAUGGCUAAGGAAUUUGCAUGAUAAAAAACCUCGAAUUUCUACGCCACGUACGUGUGGCUACUAACUAAAACAAACCAAAAAAUUCAAAUUUAUACAAUUUGAAUUCUACAAGCAAUUGACGGUGUUCACACAUAAUCAAAAAAUUCAAUGAAAAAUCUUUUACACGUUUAAUUCGAGUUGAUUCGAUUUUAAUUUUUAAUCGAUAAAAGUUGACUUUUAUUUUAAGCAAAAAAAAAAUUAAAUUAAAUCAAAUUAAAUAUAUAAAUAUCUAUUAAAAAAUGUAACUGCGUAUGUAGGUAUAGUUUUAUAUAAUUUUUAAUGAUCCAUAUUUAUUUUUUACACUGUCGUAGGAUUGUUCAAAAUCAAAUUGAAAUAAUUAAUUUGAGCCCCAAAAAAAGUUAUUAGUUUAUUGAUAAUGAAUAGGAUUGUUCGAAAUUGAAUCGAAUAAUUCAAACUAAAAAUAGUUCUUGAUUUAUUGGUAUGAGUAAUUUGUUCAGCGAUUUUGCUAACAGUCUUAAUUUUAUUAUCAUCGAAUUAUCGAUUCUUAAUAAUUCAAUGUGUUACUUAAUAUGCUAAUUGAUAACCGUAUUGUAAAUCAGUGAAUUAUAUUUAUAUCAUUUAGUGUGUGUUUGGAGUGACUUAUUUUUUUGUAACUUUUGACUUUUAAGUUUUUUUUUAGAAAAAUAUUAAGUGUCAGAAUAACAUAAAAACUAUUUGAAGGUACUUUUUAAAGCUUAAAAAAAAUAACUUAUAACUUUUAACUUAUAAGUAAUUCAAACAAAGUCAAUACGAACACCGCCUUAAUAUAUAAAAUCGGUGACUUAAUGUUUUAGUUUCAAACAUUCAGUUCUAACUAUCUCCACUCUUGGUUAUUCUAUAUCUAGUUUCUGAGAACGUGCCUUAUACGUUCGUCCUUUAUUAUUAUUAUUAAACUUUUAUAUACUAAAAAGUUAUACAAAAAAGUUAAGUGAUUAAAAAGAUGCUUAAAUUAACAGUAGUAGUUUUACCAUUUAUCUUUUAUUUGCUAAAUAAUAAUAAAUAUAAUAUGAAGAACAUUAAAUAGAUGAUAUAUCUAUUUAUUUUUUUGUUAUCCUUCUCUCAUUUUCUUUUCUUCUCAUGUUGAACAGUGUAAUUUUCUUUUUAUGAUAAUAUCAAUCUUAGUAAUUGGUUCUUAAAAAGCAUAUUAAAAAUUUAAUUCUCAAAGUGUUUUUACAUAAAUAGAGGAGAACGACUCUUCACAUUGAACUUUUAAUUUUAAAAAAUUAUGUGUAUGAGAAAUAAUUAACAAUCAAUAAGUAGGCAGAAGAAUAUCACAUCAUAAAUAAAAUAAUAUCUCUAAGGCAAAAAUAGACAUUCUAGUUUGGAAAAUAAUUACUACCUAACUAUUUAUAGGUCCAACUCCAAUCAAUAAUCUAUAGAUGGGAGUUUGACAAUUUUCCAGCUAUAGUUAAAAUUUUACAUCAACAAUAAAUAACUUAUUAUCACAGUAAAUAGACGUUUGAUGCAUAAAAUUUAUAAAUGCUAAAAGAUUUCGUCAAUGUGGUACAUAUGCAAAUUUAUGAUAUAAACACUUGGUAUAUUACGAAACACACUUGAAGCCAUUACCAUGAUUAAUUUGUCAAUUAUUUUUAUCAUUAUAUCACAUACACUUCUUCUUUUUAACCUUAAAAAGUAUUGUACACAUGAUUUAUGAAGAGAAAAGAAUAAUACUCCUUUUUUCAUAACAUUUCUCUUUGAAUAAUUUAAUAUAAAUUGAGCAAUAUAAACUUUUCAAAAUGUCUUAAUCUAGAUAUAUGAUCAAUUUGAGGAAUGAAUGUUCCAACAAACAAAUAAUAGACUCAUAAGAUCAAUAAAUUAUACAUAUAAACGAAAAAUUUAAAUAAAAAUACAAGCUCAAUCAGAUAUAUACUAUAUAGAGUAUGAUCCAUUCUUUAUCUCCAAUUAGGUGGGCCAUUUUAUUUUAGGAUAUGGAUUCAUAUAUAUAUAUAUAUAUAUAUAUAUAUAUAUAUAUAUAUAUAUAUAUAUAUAUAUAUAUAUAUAUAUAUAUAUAUAUAUAUAUAUAUAUAUAUAUCUCAUUUAGUCAUUCUUUUCACUACUCAUAAAUAAUAAUUUCAAAAAUAUAUUUAUACUAAAGUAGAACAUUCUAUCAAGAGCCAAAUAAGCAUAUCAAAUGAACUGAUUAAUCUUUCAUUAAUAUAAAUUUCAUCAGUAAUUAAGAUACAUAGAAGAACAUGAAUUGUAUAUGACUAUUUUCUUCAUGUAGGACACAAAAUAUUCUAAAAAAAAAAUCAUACGAAAGUACAUCAACAUAUAUAAAAAGGAAAUAUAUAAUACUUAGGACGUACAAAAAGGAGCAAAAAAAAAAAAAAUUAUUGCGCAUACAAAAUAAUUUGCAAAGUUCAUUUUUGCAUGAUAAUCAUUUACAUGAAGAUCAUGCUAGGUAAUUUAUAGAAGUAGCUAUGAUGAACUUUGAGUAGAUAAUUAAUUUACAUUAAAUUAUCAAUGAUUUUAGUCCAUAUCAAAUUUGUUUAACGGAAAAACUCUUCAAAUACUCCUGAUUUUUACACUAAUAAAGUAAUUAAUUAUUAAUAUGAAUUUGAUUCAUGCAUCAAUCUAAAUGAGUUAUUGAUUAAUUAUUUGAUUAUAUUUUAUAAUAGUUAUUUUAAUUAUUUUAAUAUAAGAGUAAAGUGAUAAUUCGACUUUGAACUUUGGAUCUUCUCACUUAUAAUAUGAUAUAUCAGUAUCCACCUUUGAGCAAGAUAUAAUUUAUCAAUGAUUCAUUUGGUUCGUUGCUUGUUUUUGAGUAAUUUUCAAUGAUUUGUCACAUGUCACAUACUAACAAUAAAUUUCGAUGCACAAAAACUUGGUUCGGUUUGAUAGGGAAACAGAUCCAAAUCGAACCAUCAUUAAACUAUAUGCAUCAUUACAUGUAUCACUUGCUCAAACUAUGAAUUCAAUUGCAUCAGGUAAUUGCAACUUUCAGCAAGUAGAGGAAAUGUAAAAGGAAAUUAGACACAAACUAAGAAAAGAUGAUAUGCCGAUAAUGUGAAGAUUGCAGUUACGACUUACAAUAAUCAAACGCCCACCACGAGUCACUUAUCUUCCCUCAUUACUAGUCUAUACCAGUUCUCCGUGACCAUCCAAGAUGCAUCGCGGUCAGGUGUCUGAGAUACCGUAUUUACCACCUUAGCAGCAAGUCAUCGAUCUUGCCUCGUGUGAUUGUUGGAGACAAGGUAGAGCUCGCUCUAAUUGGCUACUAGAUGAAAUGUCUCACAGCUGUCCAUUUGCAGGAUCAUGAGACAAGGGUUGCUCAAUGCUGCACGCUGCACCCGUGUUGGAUCCUCCAAAAAGGAUCAGACAACAUCGCUCUUAAGUACCUCAGACUUGUUUCUCAUAAGAACUGACCAUCAAUGAUCUCAAUAAGGUUUUCUCAGCCUCACAAUUAAUCCAAAAGUUCAUGGCAUAAAGCUAGGAGCUCUGUCUACCGUAGCGUCUCUGCCUUUGUUGAAAGGAACACAAAGCCUCUAAAAAUUCAGCUUCUCCAAAGUCGGGCCAAUGUGAAUGUGAAAAGAACAGUUCAGAAUAAGCCAACUGCCAGAGUAAGAAAUUGCUAAGCCUUAGCUCCCCACUAGUCCUUAUAAGCAAAUCAGGACAAGGGAAAUCGAUACAGUUUGUUUGUAAUUCCUGCUCUAUUAGGAAACUAUUAAUGUCUUUGGUUUCGAUAAUGUCAUCCUUCACUUUUUGAGCGAUCGUUUGACAAGCUUGUACAACAUCAUGCUGUCCACUAUAGUUAACUGCAACAACGAGGUGAAGUCGUGAAUUUUCCUUUGUAGUCUUUACAGCUUUAGCUAUUAAGUCCUGCAAUGACUUCGGGAGCUUACUGGAGUCUCCAAUUAUAGAUAUUCGAAUCCCUUCUCUGUAGAAAUCCAAUAAAGCAUAUAAGGGAACUCCUUAGACUAUACAGAAUCGAUCAUAAUAUCUAAAAGUUAGAACUUUAAGAAGAAAAAGAGGAGAAGUUAACAAAUAUGUAUAUUUUGGCAAUGCAAAUCAGAAUUGGUACUUAUGAAGUGGCAGUACAAACAUAAUGAGCCACUUAAGUCAAAGUUAUUGAUGAACCAGCCUUAACACGUUCAGCAUUCAUCUCCACAGUAAUUUCAGCCAAUUAAUGAUCUUAGUCAUCUUACCAAAGCAAUUGCACUAAUAGAAGUUGAAACUUCCGAUCAACCAGUGUAAACACGUUUAAACAUUUGUUUUGACAGUAAUUUCAACUGAUUAAUGAUCUAACAAUAAUAAUAUUGGGAUUUUGACUACUUCUGACUUGUGAGGCAAUACUACAAAAUUGUAGUAUAGCACACAACAAGAUUCACUAAAGCCAUAGCCUUAUGAGCCGCUCUGUGUACUAAGUGGUUAUUUGGUUGAUGAAAUAGUUAUACAAUAUUUAUACAAAACAAUGAUGUUAUGCAAUGAAAACAGGAAAGUGUGAAAUUAGAUUUGGGGGUCCCAACAUCGGGUGAGACGGCCCUGCUCUGAUACCAUGUUGAAUUAAGUCUUAGGCCUUAACUCACACCUCAAAAGGAGGAGAAUUGUCUGUGUUAAGAGCAUUUGCUUGAUGUUGAGCAUUUGCUUGAUGUUACUAUUAUAUUUUUUCCACAUUCUAUCACGCAUAAAACAAAAAACACUACAUUCAUCACAUAGAUAUAUAAUACCGGAAGCAAACAUAUUAGUUAUGCAAGAUUACAUUAGCAAUCAAGACAACCACUAACCGAUCUAAAAUUAAAACACACAUUUUUCAUGAGUGUUGACAAAACUACAAACAUCAAUGUUGAUUCAGAAUUUGAAGUAUAGGGAUUCGAUUGGCAUUUACCUGGCAAAAUUUUCAAGCUCAUCAUUCAGAGCUCUUUCGAAUAAGCUCAUCAAAAUAUCAACUUCCACCUAUAACAUAAGCAACAAAAAAAAAAAAGGUUCAGCAACAGCAAACACAAACAAAUUACACAACACUGUAUAAAAGGUAACUUAUAGACUUUACUUUAGGACGUAACCAAUUAUCAGAGGAAAAGGCAAACAAAGUAAGAACCAUAAUUCCCCAAUUUCCACACAGCUCAAUAAUCUUCCUAACAGCUCGAAUACCAGCUUCAUAACCUAAGGCAACCGGCAAUCCUCUCAUUUUAGCCCACCUUCUAUUCCCGUCCAUUAUCAACGCAACAUGUUUCGGCAUCAGUUCUCGCCUGAGCUGUGGAGGUAAAGAUACUUCCUCAGCUGAACCGUCAAUGGCGGCGACGCCGGUGUCAAUGUUGCUGACGGCGGCAUUUUGAGCAAAGGCGAGUGGAUGAAUCGACGGUAAUUUGAGGGAGAUUAGAGGAUUAGUUAUUGAUUUUGGUUGAGAGCAAAAUCUAGUGUACGAAACGAAGAUUUGCUGGAGCUGGAGUGAGAACGCCAUUUUUGUGAAGGGAAAAAAAGCUUUGACUUUGGAAGGGGAUUACUUUCAACUUCCAAAAGACUUGUAGGGUUGAUAAUAAACCAAAGGUUGUGAGAAAAAGACAAAAAAAGGUCAAAAAUAAGAAGUACUUGACAUAAUUUUCUAACUCCAAGAUAAAUUAUCGUAAGAUCUUAUUCUUCAAUUACAUGUAGUAGAAUUUAUUUUUUUUAAGUUCUUUGUGAAUUUUAUCCUUUCGUUCAAACGAUUCGCAAGGGAUAGUCACUUUCAGUUAAUGUGAUUUGAGCUGCUUCCAAGUUAAAAACACAGAAUAUGAGAUCUGAAAAGGUCAUUUUACUCUAUUCAAUUGAGAUCAUUUCCAUCCUAAACAUAUCAAAUGAACCAUUACAAGGCUAACUGUUACAUUUCCUCCAUUCAGGUACUUCAAUUACAUUAAGAACUUUUCAUAUCGGGGGAGCAUUAACGAGGAGUAUUCAGAAGAUGUACGAGCCGCAUCUAAUGGAAGAAUAACACAUGAAGAUACAGCAAAGGACACUAGACCCCUGUGCCCUCACGGUGGAGGUAGCUAGCACAAAGUUAAAUCUCAGUUCCCUAAGCUCUCUGAUACUGCUUCAGUGGCGCUGGUUUCUUUGGGCUUAAUGCAAUACACACGAGAUCCCAAAUGGUUUACUUCAAGACCGGCCUUUACACAUCCUGUGAAGAAGAGUGACUCGUCUUCUUUCCCUAUCCUGCGCCUCCAGCUCAUCAAGAAAGCUGGCCGAGGCAAAGGACAUGUAUCUGAGCCAUAAGUUUUGAUAGACCGGUUAAUUAGUAAUGUCUAAGAUUAAUCGGUAAGCUUUACAAAAAAGCAUGUACUGACCUUUUUCUUCACUAAUUCCAGAACCAGUUUCGUUAACUUUUGGCUUGUAGGAUUUCAAGAGAAAGCAUAGUGUCUUUACCAAGUUCUCAUAUUGUUUUACAUCUGCAAGUAGCAAAUGAACAAGAAAAAUGAGAAUUAAGGGGAAGUUUCGAGGAUAUGCACAAGUAUUACACGCUGACACGUACAAGAUAAUAGCAAGGGAUAGGAUGAUAGGAAAGAUCACGGAGAGCUUGAGGCGAAUUACUUACAUAGUAAGAUAUCACUUGCAAUUAUGAGGUCCCAAUCAGGAUCAGCUAAUGGAAACACAUCUCCCCAUGAAUCUGAGAGCAAUGCCAAUUUAUUUUCGGAAGUUUUCUCAAGAAAGCAUAACUUGCAUAUCAGAAAAGAAGUUAAUUUUUCAUGGUUUAUAGUUUAUUCCCAGAGGAAUUUGCAUUGUGGUGAUAAAAGAAGUAAAGGAUCAAAUGGAGAAAAGAACUAACGCCUUAUGUGAGGAAGGGCAGGUGAAACACCAUUUGCCUGGCAAUUAUGAGCUAUGUUCUCUUCAAUAUCAGGAUCAUCAUAGUCCGACGUUGUAAUAUCAAGUUGAUAUGAUUUGCUCAAGAAUAUAGCCAAAGCUCCAGUUCCACUGUGACAAACUCAAAAGGUAGCCCGAGGACCACCAUUUUCAAUAAAGGGAAGGAAGCAGAAAGAGGAAGGAAAAGACACGAGUUGAUGUUUAUAACUUAAUGUUAUUCUUAUCUUCCACUUUCCUCUUUUCACAUUAGAUACACAUGAGAGCCAAGAGGACAGAAACAAAUACAAAUAAAAUAGAACUCUUUCAGUCAAUAGCAUGACAGAUACAAAUGAGAUUGCCAACUGAACAAAAAAAAAGAAUGAAAAAUGAUAAAAUAUUAAUGAAGGGCAAACACCUCAGUCCUCACAUUGACAAACUUCACAAAUCAGAACUAUAGAUCACCUCUAAAACGUGCAAGUAAAAAAAUUCUUCGAACAAAGCAGUGACUGCUCAAAAAUAUACAUUUUAUUCAAUUCACCAACUGAAUUUUUUUUAACUCUGGGAUCCUGCUUCAUCUUCGAUUUUGCUAUUGAAGAUAAAUAGAGAUACAUAUAUAGAGAGAGAUCUCCACUAGAGGGGUACAGUUUAGAUAUAUGCUUAGGUUUCAGACAAAAAGGAAAUAAAAUUUUGAUCUGAAUCCAUCCCUCAACAAUUUUUUGGAGAUAUAUAGAGCUCACUAUUAUCCUAGUAUUAAGAAGUGCUUUUUUUCUUUUUCUCUUUUUUUUUUUGUAAAUCCCACCUCAUCAGUUUUUACCUGAUGAGUUUUUUGGCGUGAAUACAAAGUUACCUUAUCAAAAGAAGAAGAGAAGAAGUGUUUUUAUUACUGUUCUCUAUAACUUAACAGAGCUUAACAGUCUUGAAAGGAUAUAAGUUGGAACAGCAUCGUGCAAACAUUGGCUACAGAUGAAACUAUAGUCACUGAAAAUUGCUAAUAUGGCAGUAACAAGAAACAUUAUUUGAUAUUGAAAAGGAAGUUUGUUUCUUAAGAUUAUAACGAACAUGUAAACAGAAUAGCAGCAAGGUGCGCUUGCACCAUGAGCUUUGAAGCAAAGUUCUACAAAGCUUGUGCAAUGGGCACAUGCUAAGACCAUUUAGCAGAGAAAAUACUGAAGAAGGUCCAAUCAUUUAGGAUGAGAAGACAACAUAUCUAAUGCUUUAAGGUAUUACCUGCCUAGCUCAAUUAUGCGACGCCCUCUUAACCAGGACGUAUGUUGCGCAAGCCAUUCCGCAAAUGCAAAUGUCCCAGGCCAAAGUAAAUUAGCAUUCAUCUGGUGAAAAGAAAAUUCUUGGAUGAGCAACUCCUGUGGACAAACCAAAGUGUAUUAGUUUUUAUGCUGAGCAAAACAAUAAACAACGUACACAGAACUCACGAUUUACUUUGACAAAAAUACAAGGAAGAAGCAGCAUUGUGAUAAAUCCUGAAACAUGGUUUGAUCCUUAUUAACUUCUGACAAAUGAAGAUUUGGUCAAUAAACUGAAUACUGAUAUAUAACAAUCUCAAGCUAUUUAUUUAGUUGGAAGACAGUAUUUUUGUGCAGAAAAAUAAAAUCCAAGCCGGAUAAGCCCGAACAUCCACCCACAAGAUAAGGCAACGAGAAAGGAAAAUUUUCCAGAUAAUCGUCCAAGUGAACUAUAGAUAAUUUCGAAAGAAUCAUUAGAUCAUUACAUUGCAACUUGCAACCACGAUGUUUCUUUUAAACCAACAAAAGUUGAUAAGCAGCAAGCAACUAAAAAUUCUCAAGUAAAAGAAAAGGAACACAUCUCAUGUCCUUAAGUAUAAACAUAGUACGUAAAAGAUAACAACGUGAAAUCAGUGAGUGAAUGAAUGUACAGACAUCAUUCUACACCUAAGCCCAAGGGGAAAAGCGACCUCGCGGUUCAAAUCCUAGCACAGACAUCUUUCCUUCUCAACUAAAGGAACUAUCUUUCUGAUUUAUGAAGUUUGUCAACUAAAGGUGCUGUCUUUCCUUCUCAAAAGAGUACCAAGACUCAUGAAAUGGGUUGAGCGAGCUCUCGUUUGUUCUAGCCUUGGUGGACAGAAGUAUCUAAUACUCCCUCCCUCCCUAAUUACUUGUCUGCUUUUCCUUUUGUAAUUAUCCGUAAUUACUUGUCCAUUUUGACUAAUCAAGAAAGGACAAUUUUUUUCUAUUAUUACACCCUCAAUUAAAUGACUAAUAACUUUGAAAAAUGUAGAACUUCUCAUCCAAUUCAUAAUUAAUAGGGUAAAAUGAUAAACUCACUAUAAUCAUUAAUUAUUUUCUUAACAAGUUUGUUAAGACAAGUAAAAAGAUCGGUGAUUCCACAUAAGUGAUUAAUGAGAUGGUAGACUCCUGUUAGGACUUGGGCAAUACUCCUUCCUUAGAGCUAGCUUUUGGGCGUAAGUCAGGUCUAAGAGCUAAUUUCACACUAGUGUCUACAAAUCUUUAUACUCAUUUACUUUUAGCUCUUCAAUUUUAAUGGUGAUAAAGUAAUAAUACAAUUGCUAAGGAACCCAAAACACAGAAUUAAUAGUAGAAAACACAAAUCUAAUUGAACUCACCAUUUCAGGGAACUGGUGCCUCCUCUCCACAAAAUUUUGCUGAGCAUCCGUGUUCUCUUCAUCUGCAGCAAAAAAAAAUUACAACUAAUGUAACGUGAAUGCAUUACGAAAAUCAUAUAUGAAUAUUUUUAGGAAUUUUUUUUUAAAAAAAAUAUUGUACCGGAGGAGUUGCUAUCACUGCCGCCGAACAAGGAAGAAGGAGAAAACAGAGCAGUCUCCAUUACUGUAAUUGGAAAAUUUGGGGAAAGACGAACACUUGAUUUUUUAUCAAUUUUAUUAAUAUCAAACCUGGUCCUAUAUUUUAUGUAAAUUAUAAUUUACCCCUCAUUUCUUUUAAUAGUUUGUCAAGUUUUUAAAAUUCUUUUUUUAUAGAUUUUUUUUAAUUUAAAAGUAUUUACUUGGAAAAAUGAUCAAUUGAUGUUGUUUUUAGGUUUCCUUCUAACUUUCUAGACAAACAUUUCUCUUGGAUCUCAAAUAUAUAAAUCCCACUGGUGUAGGUUCACUCCCUUCGUUUCAUUUUAUGUAGCAUUAUUUGAGCCAGCACAGAGUUUAAAAAAUAAAUAAAAACUUUAAAUCGUUUAUCAAUUGUCCUUCAAAAGUUAACUCAUUUUUUUCUCUCCUCAUAAAUGCAUUAAAGUACUUUUUAAAAUUAAGUGGACUAACACGGGUAAAAGAAGAAUUAUACCUUUAAAUAUUUAUCAUUAUAAGGAGAUGUGACAUUCUUUUUGGGACUGACCAAGCAGGAAAUAAUGUCACAUAAAAUGGGACGGAGGGAGUAACUUAAGAGAAUUCUUAGAAUUAAUUUGGAAAAAAUACAUAAUUAGACAAAUAUUUUUACUAUAUUUGUAAAUUCUAUAAAUAGUUUAAAAUAAUUACAUAUUUUUUCACUAAUUAUUAAUUUUAUACCAGACUUCAAGUUAAAUACACAUAAAUAUAUAUAUUUUUGUCAUUAUAUACACUAAAAUAGUAAGAGAAGCGAGCCACAAAAAAGAGAGGCUAGCGAGGAGAGUAAGAUCUCAUGUGAAUGAAAAAAUUACACAUAAGUUUAACCUAAUAGAUCUGAGGAUUGAGAUUUAUAUAUUGAGACAUAUCUGCACACGUCAGAUACAUGUAUUUGAAGUCCGAAAUCUGUAAGAUUUGUAAUAUUGUUAACUAGAGUAUAUCUGAGUAAUUAACUCUUAAAUUAGUGAGAUUUUUGUAAGUUACCUAAUUAUUUUUCAUAUUUAUUCUUUAUUUAAUGAGGAUUUUUAUUUGUUUUAUAUUUUAUAGUAGAAUAGUUUGAAAAUAAUCAAAAUCGUAAUAGUAAAAAAUAGUACUCAUUCAGUUAUGUCCUUAAAUAUUUUUAUAAAAUAUGUCAUAUCCCAAUAAUACUUAAUAAACAGGAAAAUACGCUCCUUUCAUCCAUUAUUAUUGUCAUGAUUUUUUUCAGAGACGAACUAUAAAAAUUUUGACUAACAUUUAAUGAUGUAUUUUUUCAUCAUAUUUAUAUGUAAUAAAUUACUACAAUUUAUAGUAUUUUUUGUAUAGUGUUUGAAUUUAUUUUUUUUAUUUUGUUUAACAUAUCGAAAUAAUGUAAUCUAAUUUAACUUGAAAAAUUUAUCAAAUUGACUUUCAAAAUCAUGACAUAACAAUUAAAAUUAUCGAAGAAAGUAUAAUAAUAAAUAAAUUAGAAUGAAAAAUAAUAAAAUUGCUCAAGUCUUAAGCCUCAUUUGUUUGCACUUAAUGGAGGUUUGAAACUUCAUCAUUCAGAUUCACCAUUAAGUGCGUUUAUUUUUAGGUCUCAGAUUCAACCUAUUAAGUCCAUUUGUUUCUUUUUUUCAAAAACCCUCUUAAUAGACCCGAAAAGGUCUAAACAGUCAGAUAUACAGGAGAGUUUUAAUAUCAUUCAAACUUAGUUAAUGAGUUAUACUCAUUUGUUUGCACUUAAUGGAGGUCUGAAACUUCAUCAUUCAGACUCAAUCCAUUAAGUGCGUUUACUUUUAGGUCUUAAUGAUUCAGAUUCAACCCAUUAAGUCCAUUUGUUUCUUCUUUUUUUUUUCAAAAAAACUCUUAAUAGACCUGAAAAGGUCUAAACAUUUAGAUAUACAGGAGAGUCUUAACACCAUUCAGACUUAUUUAAUAAGUUAUAAAAUAAUAUUGUAUCGCCUCUCUCGAUCUUUGUGUGACUUUUGCUCUCACAACGAUAAACUUCCUUCAUCUCUUUUCUCAAUCAAACACCAUUUAUUGAACUAGUUGGUGACAAAAAUAAUGGAGCUCUUAAUAAUUCUCCAUCCCAAUCUUCAGUUUCAGCUAAAAAAAAGUUCUUGACAAGAAGAAUAACUUAUUUACCUAAAUUGGAAAUUGAUGAGAAAGAUAAUUACUGCUCUAGAGUUAUUAUAUAAAAAAAUAGUGCAUCUAUAUUUAAAGAUGUAUCGAAAAAUUAGAUGGACUUGGAUGGAAAAAGUCUAAUACAGUACAUGUGUUAGUAUAUUUUGUAAAAGUGUCUAUUACAAAAAAAAAUGAAUGAAUGACGUUAGAGGUUCACAAGUUAAAAAAUUGGAUUAAGGUUAUCGAAAAAAAGAUAAAAAUUCGUUAGUUUUUCUAAUUAGCGAAAAUAUAUGUUAGGCACUGAUAAUAUGACACCUUAUUUAUUAUUUUUUUAAAGGAAAAUGCACAAGUACCCCCUCAACCUUGCCGGAAAUCUCAGAGACACACUUAUACUAUACUAAGGUCCUAUUACCCCCCUGAACUUAUUUUAUAAGUAAUUUUCUACCCCUUUUUGGCCUACGUGGCACUAACUUGAAAAAAAAAAUCAACCAAUGUUGGGCCCACAAGAUAGUGGCCGAAAAGGGGUAGAAAAAUAUUAAUAAAAUAAGUUCAGGGGUAAUAGGACCUUAGUAUAAUAUAAGUGUGUCUCUGAGAUUUCGGGCAUAGGUUGAGGGGGUGCUUGUGCAUUAUCCCUUUUUUUAACUAGUAUUUAUCAUAACUAUGGAACUUUUGAUAUUAUAUUGUACCUAUAAAAUACUUUUUAUUCGACAUUUCUUUUUAUGUUAUGCUUGAUGACAGUGAUAUUUUUUUAAUCAAAAAAAUAAUAUUUAUUGUUGAAAUGAAAAUUUUAUAACACCUUGCUAAUAUAAUAUUUAAUUUCAUAUGCAUAUUCAAAUAUUAAAAACAAAUAAUAAUUAUUUUAUUAUUUAAAUUUAAACACCGUAUUUUGGUAUUUAGAUAUUUACUCAAAACUAAACACCUAGCUUUUAAUAUAAACUUUAUAAAAUAUUAAAUCAUAUAUUCAGAUUCAAAAAAUUUAAUCUUAUAAUAAAAAUAAAUAAAACCUGCUCACCUUCUCCAUUUUAAAUAAGUGGUGUUUCUAAUAUAUCUUUUCUCUUGAAAUAAUAUUCUAUCCUAAAAAAUAUAGAAUAUUUUUACUUACUUACGCAUAGUCAAAGAAAAAUUAAUUGUUCUUUAGUUAUGUAAAAAAGGGCAACUUUUUUUAAAAUGGGAUUAAUUUCUUCCUGAAACUCUAAAAUAUUAUUUAUUUUGAAACUAAGAAAAUAGUGUAUACAAGAUGCUUAAGAAGCGCGUGGAUAGUAAAGAUGCAAUGGGCGGAAGCAUUGUGAAGCUUAGAUAUAAUAUAACUCGUAAUCCCCGUUAAUUAAUUUGCGCAUAUAUUUAUAUUUGAAUUUUCUUUUAUUUUGAAUCAUAAAUAGAUGCGAAUCUAAAAUUUAGACUUUAUGAAUUCAAAUUCAUAACUCUACUAUGUUUAUCAGAUUAUCAAAUACAAAAUCUAUUUCAAAUGUAUGAUUUCUUUAACAUGUAUAUAACUUAAGUCAAGAUUUAUGAAUUUAGACGAACUCAUAGUUUGACCAUAUGCUUAGUAAAUCUCUUUUAGUUAAAUUAAAUUAAAUUGCUAAAUAAGUCCUUAAGUUAUACAUAAAAAAAUAAAAUUCAACUUGUUAAAUUUAACAGGUUACAAAAUUUAAAAAGUAAAAUAUUUUUUACUUUUUUAUUUAUCCGUUUUCGUCUUUUACCGAAUAAGGAAGAUUAAUAAUCAAUGAGCAAAUUUUAUUUUAUCUUAUUUUUUUUUUUAAAAAAAAAACUGACAUUAUUUUGAUGUAAUGUUUCAUAUCACAUGUUCCUUUUUUGUUUUGUUUAUUUAAUUGAGAAAAAAACUUAAAUAUGUUAUUAUAUUUUAAAGAAAAAUUAUUUAUCUUAUUGAUUACAAAAUUUGGUUUAUCUAUAUUGUUGCGGUUAAAAGAAGUACUUGUUCAUGUUAUUUUUUUAAUUUUAAUUUUGUAAAAUAGAAUAAGAUUUUACACCUCAAAUAAUUGUUUUGCAAAAAUAUUUAUUUUAUUCUGUAAAAAAAUGUUAACAAUUGUUUGGAGUGUAAAAAAUAAUUUUAUAGAAUAUAAAUUUUUUAAACGAUAAUUAUAUUGAUAAACUAAAUUUUUAAUGAAUCGUCUCAAGAUAUAUAUUAGAACAAGCUUGAGAUAUUGAUGCAAUUAUAUGUUCUUAUCCAUCCAUCAUAUGUAACAAUAAUUUAUUCUCAUUUUCCAUAUUAUUUCUUGGUUUAGAAAACUACAAUUAUAUUUCUCAUAAUAUAAUAAUCAUAAAUGGGCACAUGGCAAGGUGUAUUAACUAAUUAACAACAUAUUUAAAUUUUAACUUUUAGAAUAUUGAUGUAUUAAAACUUAGUAUCUAAUAUAUAAUAAGUUGGUCAGUAAAGGUGAGCUAAUACCUAAAACAUGAAGAUGCACAAAAUAUUAUUUUAUUGGUAUGAAUUUAUGGAGGAAGAAAUUAAUUAAUCUCGUCUCUUGUACGGAUGGGAUUUUAAAUUGCGAUUUUAAUUUUUUACAAUAUAAAAUUUGAUUAUAAGUUUAUAUCAUGUACAAAAGAUGCUCCUAUUCGGAAUAAAGAAAUUCUUCGUAUUAUAUUAAAUAAAGAUUAUAUUAAAAGAUAACUAGUUAUAAUUAUUGUUGAAUAGUGAAUUUUUAUAAGAUUAUAUUUAUUUAAAAGUUUGUAAUUGCGAAUAUUUAUACAUAAAAGGAAUUUUUACACAUGAGAUUUAUCAAUUUGUCAUCUUAUAUGAUAUUUUGAUUAUAAAUUAUGAUUUGCUCAUUUGAAUCGUAUAAUUUUAAAUUUAAAAUAGAUCAAAAUAUUUUUUAAUCUUGUGACUUAAACAUUCAUGUGGAAAAUUAGAAUUAAAUAAAUUAUAUAUAUAAAAAUAUUUACUAAUAAGAGUAAUAUUUUUAUUCAAAGCAACCAGCUGUAUUAAGAAAUUAACAACAUGUUUAAAUUUAAAAACUUCUUGAGAUUGCUGCUAAGACAGACAAAAUUAUAAUAAUUAUUAAAAAUUAGAAUAUUUUGAAUAUAAUUUAGGGACUGAUGUAGGUAUUUUGCAUUAUAAAUACAAAGUGCUACAUUAAGAAGUUUGUAUCAUUAAAAAAAAACGAAAAUUGUUUUACUUAGAGAAAAAAAACAAAAUGAGUGAGUCAAAGGUAGGACCAAAUCGUCCAUUGUUCGUUCUAUUUGGUUCAUCAAUUGUGCAGCUAAGUUAUUUUUUUGAUGGCUGGGGCGCUUAUCUUACUGGUCGCUAUGCUCGUAAGGUAUUAUUAUUUGUGUUAAAAAAAUUGUUAUAUAAUGUACAUCAACAUUAUUUAUAUAUUUUAUUCAAUAUUAUUCAAAAAUUAAAAUCAUCCAUCGACUUGCAAAUGAAAUACUUGUUCGAGAUGAUAUUUAUGACUUUUUUUAAAUUGAAUAAGAGAAAUUAAUCUUAUUAGAGAUUAAAUUUCUCGUAAAUAUUAAAGAGUUUUCUAUUACUCAAAUAUGCCAUAAGAUUGAUUAAUAUAUUAUAUUAUUAUAGGCCGAUAUAUCACUUCGUGGAUAUGGUGGUUGGACCUCAAGAAAUGCUCUUCAAAUUUUGAGCAAAGUCUUUCCACCGGUAUGUUUCAUUGUUUUUCUAUUGAAAAAUAUGUGGUUAUUCUCGUAAAGUUUUGAUUUUUAAUCGGUGAGAAAAAAAAAAGAUAUAUUUAUUAAUAAUUUUUAAUAUUUUAUUUUUUUUACCGUGAAUGUAAAUAGAUUAUUUGACGAAAAUGAGAUGGAAAAGCAUGUUUUAUAAUACACACAUUAAUUUCUCAUUAAUUCGUGGUGAAUAAAUAUUUAUUUCUAAUAGUCAUUUAUUAAAGGAGGUUAUCAAUUAGGAAGAUCUAAUUCGAAAUCUCUUAUUCAAAUGUGAAAGCAUAAAUUUAAAUAAGUGUUUUCAUUAGAAUUAAACAAAUAGUUUAGACCUUAUUUGUUAGUUGAUGUAUAAUUUAUUACUCCUUCCGUUUAAAAAUAAAUGACUCUAUUUUCUUUUUAGUCUGUUGAAAAAAGAUUUGACCUAUUCCUUUUUUUGGCAACAGUUUGACUUUUACUUUUUACAUAACAUGUUCAAAAAAAGAAAUGUUUAUUGACAAUUUUUAAUAUUUUAAAGGAACCUUUUUUUUUACCGUGAAUUUUUAUGUAAAUAGAUUAUUUGACCUAUUUCUUUUUUUAGAACUAUAAAAUUAAAAAAUCUUCUUUUUUUUUUAAACUCCGUUUCAAGUUAAACUAGAUCAUUUUUUUUAAACAAGGACAUAUAAUAUUUGCUUUUCUUUAACUUUUUUUCUUUUAUGUGAAAUUUUAAUUUGGUUCAUUCACAUGCAGAAUGAUAAAAUUCAGCCUUCUCUAGUCAUACUUUAUUUUGGUGGAAAUGAUUCAACAGAUCCUGAUUUUCCUAAUAGCCCUAAUGUCCCUAUUGAUGAAUAUGUUGAAAAUAUGAGGAAAAUUAUUCUUCAUAUCAAGGUAAAUUUAUUUUUUUUACAACAUUUCUAAGUUUAAAUCAUUAUUUGUAAGCUAAUUAAUUUGAUGUCAACUUAAUUAUUUUGUUUUUUUUUUCUAAUAAAAAUUUGCAGGGCCUUUCCAAAAACACACGUGUAAUUAUGUUAACCGCUCCUGCGGUGAACGAGGAACAAAUUAUUAAAUAUUAUGGGUAAUUAACCUUAAUAUAUUUUUUUUCAUUUUUAUUAAAAUAGAUUUUUAAUUUUGCAGGUCACACUAACCAUGUCAGACAAUUAUUUUAAAUAGAUCAAUAAUCUGUUUAUUUAUUAACUCAAUUUAUUUUGAUAUAUUUAAUUUUAAUUCAAUCCUCUCAUUUUUAUUUUUAGGAGUAAUUUAGGUAGAACAAAUGAGAGAGGUCGUAUAUACUCAGAAGCUGGUAUCAAAUUGGCCCAAGAACUAGGCUUGAAGUAUAUUGAUUUUUGGUCAGCCCUCCAGGAACCUUCUGAUUGGUUGGAUACAGUCUUCUGGUAAUCAAAAUUCUGCUAAUACGUACUUUUUUUCGUCUCAAAAUAAGUAUCAUUUUGAUCAAAUUACUAAGCAAUUUAAAAGUACAUAUAAGAGAAUUAAGGUGUUUAACCAAACUUUUAUGAGAAUAUAUAUACAUAAGUGAUUUUGAGUAGUAACAGAAAUUGUGUUUCAGUAGUUGGAAAUAUUACAUUUUUUUAUAUAUAAGAAAUAAUUUUGGAACCUUGAUCAAGCAUAAACCAGCAAAAGUUUUUCAGGAAUUGAUAAGUUAAAUAUAAGUUGAUAGUCUUUAAAAAAGAACACAAAAAAAUACUUUUUAAAAUAAAUAAAUUCUAAAAGCUGGAUCAAACGACCUAUAACAUACACUAUCACAUGUGUUACAAGAAUAUUUCUUUUUCUCUUUUUUUUUUGUCCUAAAAUACUUACUUUUUAACAAUCAAUUUACAAUAAUUAUUAUGAAAAGAUGGGGUUUUUUGAAUUUGUUUUUGUAGGGAUGGAAUGCAUUUAACGAAAAGGGGAAGUGAGAUUGUGUCUGAAAAAAUCACAAAGGUAAUCAAAGAGGCAAAUUGGGAGCCAACCCUAGAUUGGGAAGAAAUGCCUGAUGAGUUUGAUGGGAUUCAGCCUCAUGAUUUUUACUAUGAGAAGGUGAUGGAGGGUAUUAACAGAAUAACGGGAAUUUCUGAUUCAUGUCAAGUUAAAUUAGAAUAAUAUAAUUAUGUUACAUCUUUUAAACACAAUUAUUUCAAAUUUCUAUUAUUACAGGAUGAUUUAUGCACCAAACUAUCCAAUAAAAUAAAAAUAUACAAGAAUCAUUAGAAUAAGUACUAGUCAAUUUCAUUUUUUUUUAUGUGUCUAGAUAAACUCUUUUGCAAAAGAGUAUCCAAUAAAUGUUCCUACGAUGGUUUUGCCAUUUUCUAGGAAUUAGGGUUUAAUUUGCUUUGUUGUGGAAUGUUUCUAUGUAACAGUGUAUUAUGGAAAGUUAUUAAUAUUUGAAUGGAAUAAUGAUUAUGAUAUUGGUCCAUCUUUCAUUCAAAAUAGUGUUUCAAUUCAUUUUGUGGUUUAUUUUAUACAAAUUUUUUUAAGAUUUUAUUUUAUACAUUUGAAUGGAAUAAUGAUUAUGAUAUUUCUCCGCAUGUUAGAAAUAGAUUAUGGUUGAUAAAAUUUGAGUAAAUUGUUGAUUUUUUAGAGUUUUAUAUUUAAAAUAUUGUGUGUAAAUUGUGAAGUACUCUUUUUCGUUGAAAAAAUCUUUGACACAUAAAAUUUCACAUGAAUAAAAUAUUUCAUCUUGAUCAAUAUUACAUAAUAAAAUUUUAGUAUUAAUUAAAAAAUAAAAAUCAAAGUAUUACUAUCCCUUGAAUUGAUAAUUUUUAUUAAAAAUAAAUUUAAACUAUUUCUUAAUUCACUCCACCACUCACCUCCCCUCCUCCCCCAAAUCUUUGAUAUUUUUAUUUUCAAAAAAAUAUAAAUUCUACACUAUCUUAUUUAACUCUCGGCUCCUAAUUUAUUUAUUUUAUUUACGCUUUUCUUGUUUUGAAUCAGAUAUAUACAUAAAAUUUUAGAAUUUUUUUCUACUUGUGUACCAAAUAUAAAAGAGUGCUAUUUUUCGAGGCAAUAAAUUUUUAUUUAAUUUAACUAAUACUAGUAAUUUAUUUAAUUUUGUCAAGGUGAAUGUUUUGUUCAUGUGUAGUAUGAUUGACAAUUUUUUUUAAAAUAAAAGCGUUAAUAUAAUACACACUAUGAUCAAACUAAUUAAUGGUUAGUUAGAUAUGAAACUUACAGUAUCUAUAAUUUAAAUAUGAAACUAAAAAAAUAUAGUUUAAAUAUUUUUUAAAAUUUAUUUCAUAAAAAAUAACUAGUUUCUUUGACGAAAGUAUAAUUCAAAAACAAAUGACAACUAUAUGAAAUAUAUGAGCUAUUUCUUAAAAUGAUUAUUCAAAAACUAUAUACCUCAUAUAAUUUUGAAAGUGAAUUCUAAAAAUAGCGGUGUGUAUACAAAUUUGUUUAGAUUCUUAUUUUAUGAAGAUAGUAUAAUCGAUUCAAAUAAGUGUGAAAUAAUUGAUAAAAAAUUAUAAUUUAACUUGGUGGAUCUCAAAGACAACACAAUAUCAUUAUAAAAAUGUAACUCCUCAGAUAUUAACUAGAUUAAGAUAAAUUUUAUUUGAAGAUUAGUUUAAGUUAUUUUUCUUACUUUUUAUUUUUAAUUGACUUAAUUUUUCUUUUUUUUUAAAAAAAAUUAAUCCAAAUAGACUCAAUUUUUUAACUUUUAAAUAUUAAAUUAAAAUAAUAAUAGAAAAAAAAAUAUAAAUACCAAUUUUGUUUUGGGACCAAAAUAGUCCUUUUCACCACACGCCGUUAAUUCAAUGUUGUUCCUCUUUUUGUGUUCAAUAGGUUUAUGUCUCAAUUUUCCUCUUUAGUUGUUAGCGAUAAUUUCAGUUUGAUUUUUAUUUAUUUGGAGAAAUAUGGCUUCAAUUUCUUCUACUCCAAGGACUGUAGAAGAGAUCUUCAAAGAUUAUAGUGCUCGUCGUGCUGGGAUACUUCGUGCUUUAACUUAUGGUAACUUCUUCAUAUAUAUAUAUAUAUAUAUUUAUAUAUACAUGUUUUUGCCUGUAAUUUUUGUUUAUUUUGAUGAAUUUGAAAUUGUUUUUGUGUUUUUUCAGAUGUGGAAGAGUUUUCUCAUAUGUGUGAUCCAGGUAAUUUUCAAUUUUAUUGAUUUUUUUGUUGCUUUAUAGAUCGAAUUUAUAUUUUUGGCUUGGGAUUGCAGUAGUUUGAGAUAUUUGAGGUUUAGGAAUAAUUAAAGUGAGAAUUAGGGGCAGAAGUAGGGAGUGACAAAUUAGGGCUUGAAAAAUAUGUACUAACUUUUUUUGUUUGAUAUGAUAAGUAUAGCUAUAAAAAAGAAGUUUUUUUUUUUAAUCAGUGAAGUUUGUUAAAAAAACAUACAAAUUAAAGUUUUACUAAUAAUUGGGUCUGUGUGGAAAGUUGGCUAUUGUGGGUAUAAAGAGAGGUAAAGGUAAACCUAGAAAGUUUUGGUGAGGUGAUUAGAUAGGACAUGAUACACCAGCAACUCGAUCUUGUCAGGACAUGAUCCUAGAGAGGAAGAUAUGUAAGUCGAGGAUUAGUAGGUAGUCGAGUGUUGUCUAGUUCCCAUAUCAAUAUAUGUUUUUUCUUUGGUUUAGUUAUCAUUUUAUUUGUUGUUGGUAGUUGUUCCCUUCUUAAUUGUUUUAAGCAUGACUUCUUCGCUAUUGUAUUUGCUUUACAUACUUGAUUUUUGAUAUGCUUGCUUUAGCCGAGGGCUUACCGGGAACAACCUCUCUAUCUUCACGAGGCUGUGUGACUUCCACUUGUGGGAUCACAUCGAGAUGUUGUACGAACAGUUAUCUAGGUAGGGUUAUGACUCAUUUUGACCCAACCAUCUCUACCGAACUUAUUUCUGGGCAGGUCGGGUAGUGACCCAUUUACUGAUUUAGACCUUUUUAGCCCAGAGUCCUGCCAAACCACCAUUUUCUACCUCUAUUGCUGGUCAAUGAUCUUCAGAUUUUAUCAGGAACUGUCUGCAUUAAUUUACUAGGGAUGAAGUAGUCCUUAAAGAACAAAUUUCUCUUAAAAAGAUGCCAUCUUUUUGACAAGUAUUUACUAGGGAUGAAGUAGUGCUUAAAUAACAAAGUUGAUCUUUGUGAAAUAUCUUUUACUGAACCUGCUGUGACUUCUUCAAUAUUUUUCCUUUUAAAAGUAUGUUGUGGUUCUAAGUUUGUCUUGCGUUAACGUCUCUCUCUGUUUUAAACUCAUUGGCAUCUCUUUUGUAGAAAAGGAAAAUUUGUGUCUGUAUGGACAUCCGAACGAAACAUGGGAAGUCAAUCUUCCAGCUGACGAAGUUCCACCUGAACUCCCAGAGCCAGCUCUUGGGAUAAAUUUUGCAAGGGAUGGGAUGAAUCGUAUAGAUUGGCUUUCAUUGGUUGCUGUGCAUAGUGAUUGUUGGUUGCUUUCUGUGGCUUACUUUUUUGGAGCUCGUCUUAACAAAAAUGAAAGGUACUCGUCUAUUUUUUACAAAAUUGAGAUAAUUUAAUUUAAUCAGAUGUGAAAAGAACUCUAUAUAUGUAGGUUCUUUUUCCACCAAUUUUUUAGUGUAGAUGUGCAUAUACCUCAAAAACUCCUACUCUCUGAUAUAUUUUACUGAUGGCAGAUGAUAUUAUUUGUAGGAGCUUUAAAAUAGUUAAUAUAUAAUUAUGUAUUGUUAUGGUUAUAACUCCCCUUCACAUAUGAUUCUUGUUAUCCUUUUGAAGUCCUAUAUGGAAAGUAGACAAUUGUCCAAUCUUGAUGAUGCUAACGGGAUAAGAUUGAAUAUUGUAGUCGUUGAGGAAGGUAACUUAAGCGGGAAAGUGUCACAAGUUGUCAUUAUAAACACGGAUGACAGAUUAGCCCGAUUUCUUUUUGGCUAUCUUGUUUCUUAUUUUUCUUUUAUUAUACUACACAUUUAAAGUGAAAUUGGUACUGUAAUGUUGAUGAUUUUCUCUUUUGCUUAGAAUUCAUAAGAAAGUCUCCUUACAUGACAUUAAUUCUUUUUUGUCCUGCAAUCGUUCUAGACUUCAUGGGAAAUCGUAACUGCAACUUGAUGCAAGGAAUCUAUAUCAUCUCAUAUACAGAAUAGGCAUUAUGAAAAAUGUUUGACCUUUAUGCUUGAUUGCUUGUAACUGAUGUUAUUAGUACUCCCUCCGUGUCAAUUUACGUGUUUCUUUCCUUUUUGGCCUGUCCAAAAAGAGUGUCUCUUUCUAUAUUUAGGAAGUUUUUCAAUUCCAACGUUCAACAUAGCAAGUUUGUGACCACAAGAUUAACAAGGACUAGACACAUAUUUAAUUUAAAACCAUAAAAUUCAAAAAUAUUCCUUUAUUUCUUAUAUUUCGUGCCCAAUCAAACUAAGUCACUUAAAUUGGGACUGGUAGAGUAUGCCUUUGAAUAAGGACUUAGAGUUAUGUUUAACAUCAAUUUCAUACAUGUAAGAGAACUAAUAUGACACGGCUAGCAUUAAUCCAUACGUUCUGGAGCACUGUCUAAAUUCUUCCUAUGUUAUGUGUUCAUGUUGCAUGGGCAUCAUUACAUAUCUGUUGGCCGGAAAACUGGGUUUCUAUGAGUAAAUAUUGGAAAAGGAACAUCUAUUCCCUUUUUAAGUGUAGAUGGAAAUGUUGAAGUGCAAAAAGUUGAGAAAUUAUUAUGUGGCAAGAGUGCUCUGACAGAUCAUUAGCUGCUUUAUGCUAUCAUAUUGCAGUUUUGCGGUUUCCUAUUUAUCUGGACUUUGAAAUGAGCCAAUUUCAUAUCCAGAUGAUUGUUCUUUCUAAAUGUGUUCGCUUGGAGAUAUUUCUUAUUGGGUGGAUUGGAUGCUUUCAAUUGAUCGUGUGUAUUGUCUUGUUUGUCCAACAGUGGAUCGCAACAGUUUGCUAGAAGGCUGUACUUCACUAAGACUAUCCCUCAACAAUUAGGAUUACAUGUUCUCGUGCUUUUACCGCUUCCAAGACUUAAUUUUACUUCUAUCUAUAACCCUUGUUCUUUUGCAUGAACAGAAAGUAGGCAAAACAUAUUCCUGAUCUUUAAUGAACAUAACAUUUGUUUAUAUCCCUCACACAGUCUAUGAAAAAAGAUCAGAUUGUUCAUUGAUUCUAGUUUUCAUGAAUUAUCUACCCUCAAGGAGACUAAUCUCUGUUUUGGAGAUAGUGUCUGCUACAACUUCUAAUUUGAAUUUGUUAAGUCUGCUCAUCAACUACUCGCUCUUUCAUUUAUGGAACACUGAUAGUUCAUCUUGCUACAGAGUGGAUGUUGUGGAUCUCGCGUAUUAGAGUAGAAGAUUAGCAGGAGUAGGCUGUUGUCUUGCCUUGCUUUUGUUAUCUAUCAUCAUAUGUUUUGUAUUGUGUUUUGAUUAUCAUACUCUGCGGGUAUAGUUUCUUUCCUGUAGGUUCUACAUUGCUUUUCGUAUUAUCUGCUAUACUUUCUUCGUUGUUUUCCUCCUCUUUUUCUUGGGUUUGGUGCACUUGAGCCGAGGGUUUCUCGGAAACACUCUACCUCCAUGAGGUAGUGAUAAGGUCUGAGUACACUCUACCCUCCCUAUACCCCACUUGGUGGAAUUUCAUUGGAUAUGUUGUUGUUGUUAUGUUUCAAUCGAGACACUGUUUACUGUCUUCAAGAAGAAAAUUUUAAAUUGCUCUAUCCUUUUUGUGCUUUAGUAUUUAUCCACCAUUUUGUAUGCGGGUUGGCUAGUUUGGCUCUUUUUGUAUGUGCUAAUUAAGUAUUCAAAUUUCCAAUUGGUUGUGGUGGAUGUCUGGAGACUUGGAGUAGGAAAGUGAAUCAACAUAUAGUCUCACUCUCUUGUCCAUGUGGAUCCAUAAACAAGUGAUUUGACAGUGUUCAUUUCUGCUCUAAACUUCAUUAGACAUGUGUUGAUCUCCACUUUAUUUGUAUUCAAUGAGUCUGUUUAGAUUAAAUUUAGUACUAUCUUUCAUUUAAUGUGAAUUCUUUCCAAAAAGAAUGACACUUUUCUUUACUUGCAAGCAAUUUAACUUUAGACUAACCAUUACUCUUGAUGGCAUGCUUUUAUAGCCGCAGAAUGUUUAAAACCACAUGUUCUAAAAAUCUUUGUUCUUUUCUCAAGUUCCAUGUCCUGUCGAACAAUGUCAAAUAAAAUGAAGUGAUGUAAUAGUAAUCAAGUGAAUUUCUACGAGCUAGAAAAAAAGGGGAGGGUUGCAUUUGAUUGGUUUGCAUACAGUCUACCCUCCCCUCCCAUACUCCACUUUGGGGUUUCAAUGGGUGUUUUGUUGUAUAAAGAAAAAGCACGUAAGAGAUUAUCCUAACUUUCCUCUGUUGUUUCCUGCUCAGGAAGCGUCUGCACAGCUUGAUCAACGAUUUGCCCACUGUGUUUGAAGUCAUAGCAGAAAGAAGGCCCAUAAAAGACAAGCCUAGUGCAGAGAAUGGGAGCAAAUCCCGUGGUAGUAUACAGGUAAGAAAAGACAUCCUUCAACAAUAUCUUCUCGUUGUUUUCUCUUCCUGAGUUGGUAGGUACCAUCAGGUUGUUGAUGCUCGUUAAUUAAGUUCCUUGUGCUUCGAUCUAUUGGAGAUUCAGAUUCUCUCUGUGUCCUGAUCUAGUAUUAUCUUUUUUCUUCGGAUACGAAAUAACUGCUCUCCCAUUUCUGCAGAGGACAAGUGAUGUUCAGUCUAAAAGCACUGCAAAGCUGGCAGAUGAAAGUUGCGACGAGGAUGAAGAAGAACAUGGUGAAACACUUUGCGGAUGCUGUGAUGGGCAUUACAAUGCUGAUGAAUUUUGGAUUGGUUGUGAUAUCUGCGAGAAAUGGUUCCAUGGUAAGUGCGUGAAGAUAACACCUGCUAAAGCUGAAGGUAUAAAGCAGUAUAAAUGCCCUGCAUGUAACUUGAAGCGGCACCGACCAUAGUUCCCUCAUGAAUUAGAAAGAAGGCUCAUAUGCUUUGGCAACUAACAAAAUAGAUAGUACAGCAUUAUGUAUUGGGGAUCCUAAUGGUAACGACUUCGCCAUGACCCCUUUUAGAUCCAUUUUCAAUGUCCAAUAUAUAGGAAGUUUGUUAAAUUUUUCUUGAACCCUUGUUAGCUUGUUGAUUGCCAUUGAUUUUAGAUUUCUUCACCAAAAUGAUGUAAGUAGAAAGCAAAACAUCAAGUUUUGGAAGUUUGACAGCUCUUUUGGUUGUUUCUAAAAUUGCCUAUAAUUUUCACAAACAACUUCUCGUAUUUUCACUUUGAUAAGUUCACACGUUUUGUUUACGAUGAUUUGUCAGUAUUUCGCCAUGACUGUCUUCUUCUACGUUAUUUUUCUCUUGGACAUGAGCUGAAAGUCUAUUGAAAAUAAUCUCUCUAUUUCUAUCUUUUUCAGAUUUUAUUUUGUGGGAUUAUAUUGGAUUCGUUGUCGUAGACAAGAUAGUAAUGCUUGGCUAUGCCAACUUCAGACACAUCGUAGAUCUGAAUUUGAUCCGAAAAUAUCUUUAAAAUUAAAUGCUUUGUAAUUUUAGGUCAUUCUUUAAAUAAAUCCAGCAAAUGUACCAUACUUUAUUUAAUACAUCAAUUAAGAGGUGCAAGGCCAUAAAAAGUUCAAUUAAAUGCAACAAUUUAACAUAUAGCCAACCACAUGGGGAAAUAAUAGGUCUGCUGGAUUAAUAUUACUGGCCAACUGCCACUCUGUUUGCCAUCUGCUAAUGCUAAAUAAAAGUUGUUAAUAAGAUGAACAAUUAAUAUGAGUUAUGAGACGAUUUUUUUCUAUUAGAUGAUUAAUUAAUAUAAGACGUAGGGAGGUAGUAAUUAUUAUGACGUGUAUUUUUACAAAUAAGGACGGGGAAUAAUAAUCAAUUUAUUUUUCCAAAUUUCUUUUAUGAAAUGGUAGUUAGAGGAUUCAAUCAUGUUUUUUUUUUCUUUUUUCCAAAGAAGUAUUUUAUUAAAAAUUAAAAGCUUAUCCUGAAAGUACAAAUGAGAAAAUAAAAUCUUUAAAAGUGUACCAACCAAUACUCUUUGACUGUAUCGAUUGUGAAGUUACUCAUCUUAUCUGGUUAUUUGUAUUGAAUGCUCAGUUAUAACUGCUCCCUCAUUCACUUUCAAUAUUUAUUUUAAAAAUAUUUAUUUUUUUCAUUUUAUAUUAGUUAAAUUUUUGAGAUAUUUUUUAUUUUUAAAAUUAAUUUAAUUGUUCAAUGUUCAAAAUUAUUUUUAAAAUAUUCUUCCAAUUUUAUUCUUUAUUGAAUUUUCAAUGUGAUGAAAUCAAUAAAUUUGACAAUAAUUAAUAAGGAUAAAAAUAAAAAACUAUGUUCAAUUUAUGUCUUAAUCUGCUUUUCUUAACGGGUGUGAAACACCUCAAAAAUUCAAUUAAUAUUGAUUUUACCCUUAUUAGUUUGAACUUUGAAGUAGAUUAAUUAAAAAUUAAGAUUUCUAGUCAAAAUUAAUUAAUUAAAGGUAUAAUAGACAAAAAAAAUUGUCAUUUUUUAAUUUGUCAAAAUGAACAAAUAAAAAUAAAAAAUUAGACCAGUAAUUAGAGGCAGGACGAGUAAUACUUGUUUUUUCUUCUUCAAAAGAUUAACUAUACAUAAAUAUUUAAUUAUGAAUGCAGUGACUAAAAUAAGCUCUGAGUUAGUGGCAAAUUCAUAAUCCAUUAACUUCAAAUUUCACUCUAUAUGUAAUAACUACAUAUUUUCACAAAAGUGGCUUCUUCUUGUUUUUUUUUUUCUAGUACCCAAUAAAAAAUAUUUUGGGCAUUAUUAUUUUAUUUUAUUUUUAAAAAAAGUAGAAAAUGUAUUCUCAAUUUAGCAAGUUUGAAUUAUGGGUCGAUCUCAUGAAUACUAAUUUUUCUUAUUUGUUUUACGAAAACUUAAUCUAAAGAACUUUAAUUUUUUUCUCAUUUAAGAAAGUGAAAGCAUGCUAGACACCAACUUACCUUGUACAUUAAUUAAGCAAUGAACAUAUAUAAAUAAUAAAUAAUAGAACAUUACAUAAUUAUAAAAAAUUAUUUAGGGGACUUAAGUGAUUCAAUUUGAUAUUUUCCAGUAAGACCUUUUGUUCUAAUGAAAGAUCUAUACUCAUUAAAGGUCAUUGGAGAAUAUAAAGCAGGACAAUCUUUUGUAACAAGUUGAUUUGCAGGCUUGAUGAGUUUGUCACCUCCAGGAUUAUAAAAGAAUGCCAAGGACAAUCUCUCUUUUUUCGAAUUCACGAUUACUCUGUGCUCUACACUCUUGUAUAUUGCAUUACUCAACACCUGAUGCAACGUGACACAGUUUAUAUGACAUAGUUUGAAUUAAUAAUAUGAAAUUUAAGAAGGAAAUAAUAGUUUUGUAGUAAUAUUUCUGUGAUGGUGAGACUUUUGAAAUUUGUGAUCUUAAAGACUUAAAUAUAUCAUAACAUUACUGCGAUUAUAAAAGCUUCUCGUCAAUUAAAAGUAAAACGGAAAAUGUAAAAUCAAAUUAUUUCCAAAUUUAAAAACAUUUCUUUUUUGACAUAAAAUUAAAAAAUGAAUAGUUGACGUGUAUUGUCAUUGGACUUUACACACUAUAAUAGAAAUUUUUUUUUGUCACAUUGAAGUAAAUUAAAUGUAUUUAUUUCUAUUAUAACAAAAAAAAAAAAAGAAUCACCUUGAUGAGUAGUCUUUUAAGUUAUAUUAACAUGGUGAAAAUAGUCUUGUUCAUUUUGUUAAUUACUUUACUAUUAAAGUGAGUAAAUUUUAAUAAUUUUACUAUGAUUGUCGAUAAAAGUCAAUUAUAUAUUCUAUUUUAGCUUUAAAAGGGCUAAUAAAAGUUAGAGAUGUAUAAGUUACCUGAACUUGAUCUCCGAUAUUGACAAUGAAGGCAUUGGGAAUCGGAUUAACAGUUAACCAGUUAUUGCCAUGACGGAUUUGGAGGCCGGGGAUAUCGGGGUCGGGGAGGAGAAGGGUGAUGCCACCAGGGUCGGAGUGGGGAGAGAGGCCGUGUGUAAGUUCCGGCUGAGGGCAUUUUGGGUAAAAAUUUACCCUUAAGCAUGCACUUGUUUCAUUAUUUCCUCCAAAACUUUGGUGUAUAUAAUCCUCAUUUAAUCCAAGGCCUAUCGAUAAAAUCGUAGUUAAUCUUUUGCUUAAUUUCACUAAUUCUUGACCAUAUUCGGAGAUCAAAUUCCUGAUAAAUCAUAAGAAAUGGUAGUUAAUUAUAGAUUAAAAAAAAGAAAAAAGAAAAAAGAAAAAAAAUUUGCAUACGCAAAAUGUAUAAUGCUAACGUUACUACAAACAAAGUUUUUUCUCAUCACGAAUUAAUGUGAAAUUUAUACUAUAAAAUCUGUUUUUUUCUAUUUAUUUUCUAUCAAAUCAACUCACUGAAAACAUGAGGAAAAUUAUAUUUCUACUGAAAUAGUGAAAAACUUUAGUAUGAAAAAACAUUACUAUGUUUACGUUUCUCAUUUGAACUAAUGAAAAUAUCCUUAUUAAAAUACUCACUAAACAUUUUUUAGUGGAAUAAUAAUAAUUUUUUUCAACUACUGUAAUGAUAUUAGAAACUUAAUUUAGUUGAUUGGCGAAAUAAAAAUAGAUGAGAGUGGAUAACAAUUAAACAUGAUCAAGUGACAAAAUUAAAUUUUACAUGCAAAAAUAUGUUACGCUUAUAAUGAUUAGUUUGAUGUAAUAUCAAAUCAUGAUUUCAUAUUUUAUAGUCGCUAAGAAAAAAAAAAUGUAUCGGUCUCUUUAUUUCAUUUUAUAUAAUAUUUUUUUAAUUUGACAUAAAAUAAUAUAUACCUGCAUGAAAUCGGAAUACGAGGCCAUUUAUUCUCAUCCCUUAACUCUUCGGGAAGAUAAUGAAGAAAGAAAUAAUCACACCAAUCCAAUUUAGCACCAAUCUCCGUACCAAUACGACUCCCAUAUCCUUCAUAAGUCGCUGGCGAAUUCGCAAACUUUUGCUUUUCCUCAAGUGAAAGUUGAAAAAACUCGUACCAAUUAGUACGAGUUUUCUCCAUCAGCUCGUGGCUAACCCCGUGGUUAGCCACUUGAAAGAAACCCCACUCCCUACACGCAUUGAAAAUCACGUCAAUUGUUUCCUUGCGAACAAACUCAUUUGAGGAAUUAAGAUUUUCGAGAUCAAUUAAUGGUAAGUUAACUGAUGUUGUUAUUUUCGUAUCCAUGAUAUUAAAUGGUAUGUUCGAAGGCGGUUUUACGAAACAAUUAGGGAUUUUUUGAAUAUCGCUUUUGGACAAAGAUUGAACACGAACUAUUGGCUCAGACCAACUUUGUAAAAAACUCAUAAUUAUUUUUUUUUAGUAUCGAAGGAACAAAUAUAAAGGAAGUUUUUUUUUUUGUGUCUGUGUUUUUUUUUUAUAUGGAUGGAUGAGGAUAAUGUUAGUGAUAAUUUUGAGACAUAUUUAUAUACAAAAAUUUAAGACUAUAGUUCAAUUCCGGCGCCGUGAUGAACUUGCUAACUUUUAUUACUAGGUCCCUCGCUAGCUGGAUUUUUGAUACGAUUAUGUUGUUGGAGUAAAUUUUUAUUUAUUUAAAUUAAUUUUACAUAAUAAUACGAUGAUAGUAAAAUUAAAAUUUUCAUUAAGAAUGUCAUUUAAAUAUAUAUAAUUUCUAUAAUUUUUUAUUUAUAUAGUAAAAAUUUUCAACGAAGUCAAAUAUACUGACCAUCUUAAUCUAUAAUUUAUUUUUAAUUUAUUUAUCUUAUUUUUAUUUAGUAUAAAAUUUAAUUUUUCUAAUGGAUAUAAUAAUGUUAAUUUUAUAAUUUUAAAUAUUCUAUUUCAAAGUUAAAAUUAGAUUUUAAAAAUAGGUAAAAAGAAUUAAAAUAAUAAAUUAAAACAGAUAAAAGUAAUUUUUUUCGAUAUAGUAGUAGGUGUAAAAAAAACAAAUUGUACGUCAAAUCGUGGUAUAGCUAAAAACACGUGAAAUAGUAACACCCAUACACGAGUUUUGGUCAAAUGGGGUCACAUUAACAUACUUGUCAUGUCAUUUCAUAACAAGAUAUUCGAACAGAUACAAAAUUCAUAUAAUUUCUAAAAAAAAAAAAGUAUUAGUCUUCAUUACUUGUACGUUUCUUUAUUUAUGGAACUUAGGUCUUAUUUGUUUGUAUUUAGUGAGUGAGUGGAUUUUUUUUUACGAUUAAAUCUUUAUUAUUUAGAUUCAGUUCAUUAAGUUUGUAUGCUUUAGUUUUUCUUACAAGUCUUUUAAUAGAUCUGAAUGCAUAUGAAUGAAUAAGAUUUUAACACACUUUUAACAUCAUUCAGACUAAAAAAAAUAAGACUCCUAUCUUAAUUCAACUACAUCACAAUAACUCAUAAUUUUUUUUCUUAUUUAAUUAAUCUACAUGCUUUACCUUUAUAAUUUCGUUUCUUCUUACUAACUUGAUAUACGCCUUUUGCUUGUAUAAAUUAAUCAAUAUAUUUGAAUUGAUAAAUGAUUCGUGAAUAUAAUAUUUAGCAUAGUUUCAGAAAAUAAGAAAGUAUUAAUUAUAUGAUCGAUAACAAUAACAAAUGUUCAUUAUAAAAUAAAAUGUUUUCAUAAACAUUAUAUUACUACUCUAUAUAUUAAAUAUUUUACAUUGCAUUAUAUUAGAUUCUCAAAGUAUUUGAGUGUAAAGAAUUAUUAGGGAUGUAAUUUAAUGUUAAAUUCUUAAUAGAUAAAUCAUAUUACCUUAUUAUGAUAAAAAUAUUCAAAAUAUUAUAUUCUAUGGAAAAAAAUUAUUUUACUAAAAUGAGGUUUUUAUAAUAUUUUAUUGAUAUAGCGUUUAAUUUCAUAUGUACAUUCAUAUAUUAAAAACAAACGAUCCUAAUAAUCGAGUAUUCAUUUCAGAGACAACAUUUUAAUAUUCAGAUGUGUAUUCAGAUUUAGAUUAAAUUAAAUUAUUUUCGUGUGACAAAAGAAAUAAAAUUGGUUAAGUCAAGUGCACAAUAACGUUUUACAUAUAGUAAAUGUUUUCUAUUAGUAUUUAUUUUAAAUCUAUACUAUUUGGUUCUCCUAAUUAGUAAGAUAUCAAAUGUGCUAUUUAACUAUAAAAGUUCAAACAAAAAAUUCUACAUCGCUUUAUAUAGAUAGAUAAAAUACUCAUAGACGAACUAAAAAGAGUUAAAAUGUAAAUUAGUAAAAAACUUUUUUAUUUAUAUUUUUCUAGAUAACGUAAUACGAGAUGGAAAGAGAUGCUAAUACUAAUACUUUUCUAAAUUUAUAAAAAACAAUGAACUAAAAUAUGUUCCUCCCAAAAAGAGUUUAGCCAUAAAUAAAUAUAUUAUUUUAAAAAAAAUUAUGUAAUAUAUAUUUCUUUCUAAUAUAACAAUUCAGAUACUCAAUAAACUCAUCUGUUAUAAAUUUUUCAUAAUCAAUUUUUGUGUUAGCAUAUGCAUAAUAAUUUUCAACCACACUAUAUUUUUCUUUAUUCUUUCGUAAUAAUUUUUUUUUUAAAAAAAAACUACACAUAAAAUGGUUGCAUGUGCCGACAACCAAGUCCGCAUUGUAGUGAUUGCGGCUGAUUAGCAGAUGGAAGCAUAAACGACCUUUAACAAAAAUCAAUUUUAGUCGAAAUCGAUAAUUCGAAUUGAAUUUUUUUUAUUAGUUUAUUCAUAAUAAGUUAUUAAUUUAGUAGUUUUGAUCACAAUUUAAUUUUAAUUUUGUUAUUGAAUUAUCGAUUCUUAACCGUUUUUCUUAAUAGGUUAAUCAACAACUGAAAGUAAGUUAAAAAAUUAUAUUUAUAUCAUUGUGUAUAUAAAAAUCCUUGAUUUAGAGAUUAGCUUUUUACUUCCGUUGCUAGUAGUCCCAAACUCUUGGUUGUUCUACAACGUGAGAGUGUUGAUUUUGAGAAAGACAUAAUUUGUAAAAACUCAUUUGCAUGAUUCAUUUAAUUUGUCAUCUUAUUUUUAAAUGUUAAUCACUAUAUUUUUUUUAUCAAAUCUUUAAAUCAAUUAUGAUAAAAAGUCAACAAAAAAAUAACUAAUAAGUCAAUAGCUUAAUGAUUCUAUAAGAUUUAACAUGUUUAAAAAUUCAUAAUCAAUAAAUUAAAUCGAAUCGACCAAUACGCAACCCUAAAAUAGUAUGACAAAAUGUUCAUGUCAAUCAUUGUUUCAUAUAUAUAUAUAUACAUGUAUAUAAUUUACUACGGUCUUAUUUUAUAAAUAUAAAAGUAAUUUGUAAAAGCUAAUGUGUGUUUAUACCUUAGCUCGUGCAUAUUUGAAUUGUAUAUGUUCAUUAAAUUCUCUGAAAAAAUCAUAUCUAUUCCUGUCACAUAAGUCUUUUUAAACAUAUAUAAGGAGGAUAAAGGUGUCGAAGACACACUAAACAACGACAGACGAAUGUCAUAAGUAUUCUGCUAGCUUGAUAAGUGUGCUACGUGAUAAGUGUGCUACGUGGGUGCUUGAUGAUGCAUGACUAAUAUACUUAACAAUUGUCUAGAACGAUAAAGUAUAUGAUAUAAUUAAAGAAAAAACAUACUAUAAUUUUUAUUUUAAAUACUUUAACAUUAUUAUUUUACAAUAAAAUCUUUUUUUUUAAGAUGAUAUUUAUUUUAAGAUAAAAGAUGUUCAGUCGGCAGAAUUCCCUAAUUUCAUCACGUGUACAUGCGCUCUAUUUUUCCUUUUUGCAUUUUGUAUUUUCUUUUUAUUUAUAUUGUUCUAUUUGUCCUUAUCAAAAUAUUUAUUUGAGAUUUCAAGUGAUUGAACUUGUUGUUCACUAUCUUUUUGUUCAAAAUGGAGUCAAUAAAAAAAUAAUUUAAUAGUCAAUAAAAAUAAUAAUAAUAAUACUUCAAUAGUGUUCUCGUAAGAAAAAUUACUGCGUUUCCAAUAUUUUAAUAAAAAAUUAGUUUUUAUAAUCGUUAUUGCUCGAUGAAAAAAAAUCAUUUUAAUUAAUGUUUUAUAAUAUAUUUUUUUAAUCAUAUUGAUAUACAAAAUAUUACAUUGUAUAGUACUUUUCAUAUAAUUUUUAAAAAUUUAAAUUUUAUGUUUAAAAUAUCAAACCAAUGUAAUCUAAUUUAACUUUAAAAAUAAAUAAAUUAACUUUUAAAAAAUGCGAUACGACAAAUAAAAAUGAAUAAAGAAAAUACUAUUUAAUAGCAAAGGUUAGAUAAAUGUAAUAUGUUAAAUUAUUUAUAUAAUUCUAUAAACAAAAUAGAUAUUAAACAUUUCAAAAAGUAAUAUAAUAAACAAAUAAAAAUAUAUAUAUAUAUGAAAAAAAAACAUAUUUUUAAAAUAAGCUUCAAAUUUAGAGGUGGUUGUCAUUUCAAGGCAAUUUUGGUCAUUCAUGGUCCCUACGAGGUCUCUUGACUUUUGUGAGUUUGUGGCUGCAAGUGUUACCAACAUUUACAAGUGGAAAAUAUUAAUAUAAAGCUACUUUAUUCAUGACCAAUAUAUAUACAAUUUUUAUAGUACAUGGUGAUGAUGAAGAAGUGGAAUUGUUUCAUAAGCACAUUCAUAUAAAAUAUAAAACCUAGGAUGUUCUUGGCUAAAUAAUAUUAUAUAUACCUCUUCGUUGUCUUCAAAAAGUAUAGGAAUUAAUGACAUGAGCAUUACGUAUGUAAUUAUUUAAUAACUAAAUAUUAUUUUUUUAUUUUAUAAUUAAAAGAUAUUAAAAUUAAUAAAAAAUUUAUAAAUAUUCGAAAGAUAAAAUAACAUGUUUUGUACUAUGUUAUUUUAAUAUUUUAAUUAAAUUCUGAUCAAAUUUUAUGAUUAAAAGAAUUUUUCUAAUUUCUUUUAUAUCAAUUCAAAAUUUCGAUAAAAAACACGUGUAAUAAUAAAUUUCGAUAAAAAAACAUGUGUAAUUCUAAUUAAAAUUUUAUGCAUGUUUCAUAUGCUUGAUUAUAAUACUAACAAGUAUAUACUAGUAUUUGUUACAAAAUCAAAAUGUUUUAGCGUAAAGUAUGUAUUGACUUUUACUAAAAAGCUAUUUAAAGUAAUCAACGUAUGUUCCUCGAUAUUUAUAUUCAUUAUUAAUCCACACUAAGAACUUGGCACUUUCAACGUUACAUUAUGCUUAUAGUCAACUUAUGAUUAAUAGCUUCAUAUAUUAUAUAUAUAGUCAACUUAUAAUUAAUAACUUCAUAUAUUAUAUAUGCAUUCCAAAAUAAGAUCUUAUUAAUUUUAAUACAAAUACUUAAAAGCAGUCAUUAGUUCUAUCUGAAUAUUAUAAAAAUAUUUAAAAAUUAUAUUAAUUAAAAGUAUCUAAAAUAAAUCAAUUUAUACAGAUUUCUUUUAAUUUAUAUUAAUUCUCAAUUUUACUAUAUGAGAAAUAAUUACUGAAUUUAUUCUGAAGCAGCAACAAAUAAGGGAGUUUUUAAAAAAGAAAACGACAGAUUUAUUUCUGAUAAAUAUAUGAGCAAUGUGCUUCCACUAAAUAAAAGGUAGUCGGCCACUUUGGAUAUGAGGAAUGUCAUUUUUUCUUUUAUAUAUAAUCAUAGGGUUUGAAUUGAUUUGAUCGUAUCUUGCUUUAUGAGAUAUUUUCUUAAAGUUCAAAUCGAAAAUAAUUUUUUUUAAGAUAUAUAUUAUAUAUUAUAUUAAAUGUUAUGUAUAAGAUAUCACAAACACACAAUUUUUGAAUGUGUACAGAUAAAUUGAUCUCUAAUAAAAUUGUUCUAAAUAUAUAUUUUGCUAUUAUAUAUCAUUGAAUAUGUAUAGAUAAAUUGAACCUCUAAUAAAAUUAUUUUGUUACUAUAUACUGUCCUGCGAGAAAGUCAAGUCACUAAAGCAAGUGCCUUAGGUCCUAAAAAAUUAGCGGGGCCAUUUUUAAAAAGAAAUUCUAACUGAUGAUCAAUCUCUAUAUUGAAGUUUUCGAAUGAUUUGAUUUUGAGAUACAUGAGGUUGGGUAAAGAGGAAACCACACUCUACCAAUAUAUAUCAUUUAGUUCAAAGUGAAAUUAUAAAUAGAAUAGAAUCAAACUCAAAUCUAAAUGUGAUUUAUGGGGCAUAGGAAAUAUGGUGGGAACAUAGAGGGUAAUGGAGUUUAAGUUUUCAUUAGGUUUAUUUAUACUAAAAAUAAUCAUUCAAUAAUAUGUGUCUCGUAUGAAAAAAUUUACGCUUCUAUAUCGAUUUAAUUUGUUAUUCAAUAAAUAUUAGUAUUCAACAAUUAAUAACUUUUUUAAAACAUAUAAAGAGAGAGUAGGGGUGUUCACAGGUUAAUUUGGAUCAAUUAUUGGUCAAAACCAAAUCAACUUAGCAGGUUUUAAGAUUAUCAAAAUCAAAUUAAACCAAAUCAAAUAUAGUAUAUAUUUAUUGAUUUGGUUGUUGUCGGUUUUGUUUUGUUUAUUCGAUUAUUAACGAUAGACAAAAUUGAAAUAAACAAUUUAUUCAAAACAUGAAAAAAGUGAUUUAAAACGAAAAUAGUUAGAAUAACUGAUAUUAUAGAAUUUUCAAUCAUUGAAUUUACUCUUACUAAAGCUUCAAAAUUCAUUAUUUUUGCGUAGAAGAAAGAGAAAGUGAUAUUUUAAAUCUCAUAAAGAUUUGUCAUAGACACACUCAUGUACAAUAAGAUAAAUAUUCUCACAUUGGACAUUUUUUCUUUCAUAAACUAAAAAUAAAUUUUGAUGAAAACACACGUAAGAUCUUUAAAAUUGUUUAUAAAAACAAUAUAUUAUGUAUGUAUAUUGAUAAAUAUACGUAUAUAAUUUGUCGGUUUGAUUUGAUUAUUUAUUCAUUUUUUUUCGAACAAAACCAUAAUCAACCCAUAUACUAUGGAUUUUUAAAAAUCUAAAACCAAACAACACUUAAUCCAAAUAAAAAUCUGUUUAGUUAAUCGAUUUGAUUCAAUUUUUCAAUUUGAAUCAAUUUUUAUUCAAACCGUAAAGACCCUAGAGAGUAUAUAUAUAUAUAUAUAAAUAAUUAUUUUUUUCCUUCUUCUUGUUAUUAAAUAUUUUAUUGAUACACAUAUUUUCUAUAUUUUUCGUUCAUCUAGUAAGUUGUUGAUAAUGUGUGUUGUUUUCCAUUUUUGGAUUUUUGUUGCUACACUUUCCAAUUGAAAUUAUUUUGCUUCUUGGCCUUUCAAGUUAAAUACAAUCAUAAAUAAAUAGUUUUAUCUAUAUCGUUUAUCUGUUUCAUUAGUCGAUGGCUUAAUUAGUAUAGCCUUAUCAAUAAUCAUCCAUGGUUAUAUAUAAAAUAUAAAAAGUCAUUUCAUAACUUUAUAGAUGAUCUCGUUCUUCUUAGAUAUUUUUAUAAAGAAAAAUUUUGAUAGCGAAAACCUUUUUUUUUCUUUAACUAUCUUAUUUUAAAUAAUUUAAAGUUAAAAUUAUAUUAUUAUUAUUUUUUGAAUAAUUAUAUGUAAGAACGAUAAUUUUGAACUUUUAUAGUAAUUAGAAAAUAUAUUUGAAUUAAAAACAUAAUGAAAGAGACAUUUUAGAGAUAAAUUGUAACGAGAGAAAUAUUGAAAACAGUCAAGCACUCUAAAAUUUGGUGUGAUUUAUCAAUUUUAUCAUUAAAUUAUUGAUAACCUUAAAAACACCAUUUAAAUUUAUUAACCAACUUAAAUACUCAACUCAAUAUAGUAUGAGUCAAAUACAUCCCUGAAUUUUCGUUGACUUUAGAAAUGUUUUCAACACUUGUCUUAAUUUUUUUUACUAUAAGAGUUUUAUGUUCUUAUAGUAGUUUGAAAUCACUUGUUAUGUCAUAUAGUAAAUUGGAUGUAUAUUUAAAUUUAGUUAAUCAAAUAAAAAAAUUCUUUUUAAAUAAUCAAUAAUUUGGUAAAAAAAACUAUAAUUUUUGCCAUUCAAAGUUAUUUUCAAUACACCUUGGAAUUGUAAAAGAACAAAAUACAAUAUUAAGAACUUUGACUAACAUUUUAAGAUGCAACUUUUCAUCAUAUUGAUAUUUUAAAAAUUAUAAUUAAUGUAUAAUCUGUGAUUGUAUAAAGCGAGAAAAAGAGAAAGACAAAAGAAAUUGCACAGAAGAAUAUCGUAUUUGUAUAAUUAUAAGUGUAUGGAUAAAAAAUAUAUGCAUUUAUAUUUAUAUAUACAAUUUUCUCUCGCUUUAUACAAACAUAAACAUAAUAUAUAUUUGUGUUUGUAUAAAGUGAGAGAGAUCUAGGAGAAGAGAACGAAUAUAUAUAUAUGCAUACAAUUUUCACUCAUUUCAUACGAACACAAACACAUUUUAUACAUUUAUAUUUGUAUAAAAACAUAAAAGGCAAUCAAAACUGUUCAGAGAGAAUGAGAAUGCCGAGCCAAAUUCGUCAGUAAAGAGACAACAUAGCAACAAUUUACUAUGAAAUAUAAUUAAAUCAAAUUGUAUUUAUAACAUUUAAUUUGAAUUAUUUAUUUAUACAAUUUUUUCUUAUAAAAAUGACAUGAAAAUAAUUUUGAAGAUAUACAUAAUAGCCCUAACAACUAUAGUAUAUCAGGAUAGAACUUAAAGAAUAUUUCAAAGCACAUUUGACAACCAAAUUGUAUAUAACACGCAAUCCUCCAAAUUAUUAUCCAAAAGUUGAAUAAAAUAACACGUCGUUGUCAUUGAAGUCCACAAAAACAAGUAUUUAAAUUAUUUAAAUAUGUCACCAAAUUUUAAAAAUAAUUUAUCUAUAUAAUUCAUUUAAAAUUGACAUAUAACGACAUUAAAAUAAUUUUUGUUAGGUUUGUGUUUUGAUAGAGAAUAUAUACAUAUUGAAUGAAAUAAUUUCGAAGACACUUUUAUACACACAGUUAAAGCUAUACAUCUUUUUUUGUGAGUUAUAAUAUUGUCAAACAAAAACCUUUUAAAAAUAUAAUUGAUGAGCUAUUAUUGUAUUUGUUUUAAUUAGGUACCUCAGCAAUGCUAUUUUACUAUUAUAUCAUUGAACCGUCCAUAAUUUGUUUAUUUUAAACACUGUUGAUCGUUAUGAAAUCAAAUUUUGUGAGGGGUAUUGAUAGAAAAUACAUUUGUUGUUCCAACACUAAUUAGUUCAAUUGAUCGUAAAAUUAUUCGAGAAUAAUUGUGUUUUACUUCACGUCAUUUGAAUACAUUAGAAAACAAAUGAGACUAAGAGUGUGUUUGGUAUGAAGGAAAAUGUUUUUCAAUUUUCUCAUGUUUGGUUGGGGCAAAAGUUUUGGAAAAUGUUUUCCAAAUCAACUCAUUUUCCUCAAAAUUAAGGAAAAUGACUUCCCUUAAAAAAUUAAGGAAAACAUUUUCCAAAACUCUCCUCUAAUUUCAAAAUAAAUUUUUUUUUGGAAAAAAUAUCAAUUUUAAAAUUUUAUUUUUUUACUCGAUCCCUAACCACUUCCCCUCCCCCCAACCACCCUCUCCAAAAAAUUAAUUUUGCUUUUUAAAAAUAGGUUUCAACUUUAAAUUUUUAUUUUUAAACUCCUACCUCCCCCUACUCCCCCCCCACCAGCCCCCUCAACCCCCAACCCCAACUCCCAAAAAAUUAUUUUUGCUUUUUAAAAAUACUAUCAAUUUCAAAUUUUUAUUUUUUCACUUCUACCCCCUCCCCUGUCCCCUGUCCCCACCUCCACUAUCCCCCCACACCCCCACCACCACUACCCAAAAAAAAAAUAUUUUUAAAAAAUAUUUUCAAUUUCAUAAAUUAUUUUCUACUGUAGUAAAAAUAAAAGAUGUUCCUCAAAAAACAUUUUUCAUUCAUAAAUUAAACACUAAAAAUCAUUUUCAGAAAAUAUUUUCUGUGCACCAAUCAAACAUGAGAAAAUAAAUUCAAAAUCUACUUGUUUUCCUAGAAAACAUUUUCCAUGGAAAACAUUUUCCUUCAUACCAAACACACCCUAAGUCAUAAUUUGUAUUCGUUCCUUCAAUCAAAAUCAUUACAAUACGAACAUUAUUAAAAACAUUUAUAAUAGAAAAAUUGAUCAAAAUCGCAAACAAUACAAAAAUGACAUAAUUAAAAGAUAUAAAAAAGGAAAAACUCAAUAAAUUUAGAAAUUUGCGAGUUUGGCCAAAAUUAUUUGAUCACAGAUAGUAACCCUUAAGAAAAAUACUAAUAAUAUUGCUGACCUGUUUAAACUCACCUAGAAGUAAGUGCCAUAUAAUCCACUUCUUUUUUCCUCUUUGUUCGUUUAUACUUCUUCGAUACACAAACACAGAGAUUUAUUUUUCUUCGUGAAAUUCUUAAUCAUUCGAAACCCAGGUGCGUAAUUUUUUCUUUUAGUUUGUUUGCUUCAGAGGUGUAUUUAGAAUGGAUCAGAUAAACAGAAAAUUAAUAAAAAAAAGUUUAAUUUCAUUUAUGAUUUGUGUCGGAAAUAGAAUAUAUUAUUAGGAAAAAGGGUAAAGAAUUAUACUUUUGAUAUCACUACUGAAAUAUCAUUAUUUUUCUGUGGCUAUUCUCAUGGAUAAUUUGAUGGAAUCAUCGAGAAAAGAAGAAAUAAAACUCCUUCGGUUUAAUUUUUAAUUGUUUUUCGAAAGUCGAUUUAACGAAUUUUAAUAAUUAGGUUAGAUUACAUUAAUUUGAUAUUUUAAACUCGGUUAUUAAAUAACUAUAUGAAAAUUAUAAAUUGGAAUUAUCUUUUUUUUUUUCUUCUUCUUUUGCAUAAAGGGCUGUCAAUUGACAACGACUGCAGUGUGUUUUGAUGAAAAGAAAAGGUUUAUACUAUUAUUUUUCUUGAAUAAGUUCAUUACACGUUGAAUCUUUGAUUGGUUAAAAAUUAAGAUAUUUGUUGAAUUUUGAAAUUUGGAUAAACAUGUUUGAUCUUACUUCAUUUGUUUUAAGCUUUUGCAUUGAGGCUGAUUUAAUUAGACUGUUAGUGUAAUUCUGCUCAAUUAUAUGUAAACUAUAAUCUCACAGAUCAAUUUAGUAGUCUAUAUAGUUGUUAAAUUUAAUCGUCAUUCUAAACUCUAUCCGAGCUGAGAGUCUAUCAGAAAUCAUAUCUCUGUCUAUCUCACGAAGUUAGGGGUAAGGUCUCUCGGACCUCAUUUGUGGGAUUAUAUAGGGUAUGUUGUAGUUGUUGAAUUCUCAACUCUAUCCCAUAGUAACCUUGAUUAGUCUUAUUGUGACUUCAUUACAAAGGACGAAGAGUACAACGAGGCAAAGUGCUCUGUUUCUUCGUAUGAGUUUUGAUUUUGCAAGUAGUUUUCUUAUUUGACUCAUUUGAAUGAGGACUAACAUUGAUCAUGCUGCAGCGAAAAUGCAUAAAGAGGCGAAAAGCUCUUAUUUUGAUAUGCCAGCAUUGGAUGUUUCUGUUGCAUUUCCUCAAGCAACUCCAGCCUCCAACUUUCCUCCAUGCAGUAAGAUUGAUACCUGAUUCCAUUUUUAUGUUUUACUUACUCUAUUAUUAACUCGAAUAUACAGAGUGUCCACUCUUUUUCAAGAACUCGAUAAAUCGUUUGAUGUGCUUAUUUUCAUGCAUUUGAUUUUGAUUGACGCCAUUCAACAUUUUCCCAGAUUGCACUUUUACUAAUACUUUAUGGGCGUGCUAUUUCUACAGUUAACUUGCACAUUAGAGGAAAAAUCGAAAUACAUCCUUGGUAUCCUUUGCUACAAUCUGCUACCAUUGUAAUUCUGCUGACUGUAAUUUAAAUUUUACAGCUUCAGACUACUAUCAGCUUGCCGAUCUGUUGACUCCUGAGGAGCAAGCCAUCAGAAUGAAAGUGAGGGAAUGCAUGGAGAAAGAGAUUGCUCCUAUAAUGACGAAGGUAUUUCUCCUGAUCUCUGUAAUUGUUAAACAUGUUGAUAUUAUUUUGGAUUUCAUUAUUACAGUAGUAGCUAAUGUUCUGAGUAGAAAACAAAGAUUAAUCAUUAAUGCUAAGUCUCUAAUCUUCUGAGGAAAUGUUUACUGUUGUAGACGCGCUUAAAAGUGAACUUGUUAAUGUUUUUGAACAGUAUUGGGAGAAGGCAGAAUUUCCAUUUGAAAUCAUUCCAAAAUUUGGUGCUUUGCACAUAGCUGGCGGCACUAUCAAGGUGUUUUUAGAACUUGACAAAUUUCUAUAUAAAGUCAUCUAUCGUGUCCAUGAGGAAUCUACUGACUUUCUUUGGCUUCAGGGAUAUGGUUGCCCAGGUCACUCAAUAACUGGAAGUGCUGUUGCUGCAGCCGAAGUUGCCAGAGUUGAUGCAAGCUGCUCUACAUUCCUUUUGGUGCAUUCAUCUUUAGCAAUGCUCACUAUUGGUAAGUCUCGUCAUUGUCUGAAAUUGCUUCUGGUAUCCUUUUUGCUUCUUUUGAAAUUCCGGCAUGGUUGAAACAUUGUUUUUGGUAGAAGUAAUGUGAUAUUUACCAGUGGUAUUCGUUGACUGAUCUUUUGAUGGGAGAUGUUCUUUGUUUUCGAUGAUGAAAGCAUAUCAUUACUACUAACUCAAUGAGGGCUUCUCUGAGAUAUACAAUUUCUGUCGAUAUGAAGUGAACUAAUUACACCAUGUUGGUCUGUCAAGAAUAGGGCUAUGUGGGUCUGAAAUGCAAAAGGAAAAAUACUUGCCAUCAUUGGCGGAAUUUGACACUGUAGCUUGUUGGGUGAGAACUUUUUUUUCUUGGUUCAUUUCUUUAUUUGUGUCUGUGUUACCAAAUAUUAGUUUGUAAUCGCUGCCACUUUGGAGUUAGGGUCUAACUGAGCCUGACUAUGGAAGUGAUGCAAGUGGAUUGGGGACUACUGCCAGAAAGGUCUAGAUUCUGCAUUUUAACUUUAGUUUUAAACUUAUUCCAUUUUAAUUUGGGAAAGAUUGCUAAAUGUUCUUCUGUAAAAUCUGUUAUCUUCCUGAUAGGUUGAAGGAGGUUGGAUCCUUGAAGGGCAAAAGCGUUGGAUAGGAAACAGCACUUUUGCCGACAUAUUGGUUAUUUUUGCUAGAAAUACAUCCACAAACCAGAUAAACGGGUGAGUUACAACAUUCUGCUUCUAUAUAAUCCUAUUCAGCGCCAUCUUUCACCAGUUGCAUUGUUAACUUAUGAUUAUGCAAAAUAUCUAUAGGCUUGGUUAAUCUUCUAAGUCGGCUAAUUUCUUGAGCUUUCACUACCUUGAUAUUUUCACUAUCAGUUUUGGACAAAUGACGUGUUGAAAUCCAUUGUUUGGUUAAAACUUGCUCGAUACCAUUAUCGAUAUAGAAAAAUGACUCUUAUGUCAUAGUUUUAUAUAAAUAAUGUGUACCUUCACUUUCAUCCGCCCUCUUGACCAUCUUAGUUUGUUUCUUACAAUUGAUGUUUGCCUUUAUCUCAGUUUCAUAGUAAAGAAGGAUGCUCCAGGAUUGCAAUGUACUAAAAUAGAAAACAAAAUUGGACUACGGAUUGUUCAAAAUGGAGACAUUCUCUUAAAGAAUGUUUUUGUCCCUGACGAGGAUAGACUACCUGGGGUCAAUUCAUUCCAGGAUACAAACAAGGUACGGCAAUAUGGAUGGACUGUUCUAUUUGCUAUCAAUGUUUAAUCAUUAUCUGUUUGGUUGUUUGUUCAUUCAUCAACCUUCAGCUAAACAAUUUUCGUUCUGUGAGGAAAGAAAGUGACUAACAGACUGAAAUUCACCACCUAUUAUUGUUUCUUUUGAAGUCGUCGGUUUGCUGUUGCUGAUUGUUUUUUGAAGUAGCUGAAUUAUUGUUUUGUUAUCUUAUUCUUCCCUCGAACAGGUGCUUGCUGUAUCGCGUGUUAUGGUUGCAUGGCAGCCUAUUGGCAUUACAAUGGGUGUUUAUGAUAUGUGUCACAGGUAACAAUAGAUAAGCUCAUCAGUCUUUGUUUAUCAUAAGAUAGUUACUGUGUUAUUGCCCACUGUAAGAACUUGUACGCGCAUUUUACAAUCUCGUCUUUUUAAGUUCCCUUUUCCAUCGCUAAAUUCUGUCUGAAACUCUAAGGUACUUGAAGGAGAGGAAGCAGUUUGGAGCACCAUUAGCCGCUUUCCAGAUCAACCAACAGAAAUUAGUCCAGAUGUUGAGCAACAUUCAAGCAAUGAUUCUUGUUGGUUGGCGGCUAUGCAAACUACACGAGAGUGAUAAACUGACUCAUGGUCACGCAAGUUUAGGGAAAGUAAGUCCCUUUCCCUUCAGAUUUUAAAAGUUGUAACAUGCCCUUUUUAGACUGAUCAGUAACAAACUAUUCGUGAUUCAGUCAUGGAUUACGUUGAGGGCAAGAGAGACCGUUGCUCUCGGACGAGAACUACUAGGUGGCAACGGAAUCUUGGCUGACUUUCACGUCGCAAAGGUUUGUUAACAAUAUCCAUUUCUUACUAAGUAGAUUUUCAUUUUUGUUACUUUAGUCUCAUGUUAUCACUGGGAAACAACCUCUCUACUUCCGCGAAGUAUUGUUAAAGGCCUACGUACAUACUACCCUCCCCAGACCCCACUUAGUGGAAUUUCACUGGAUAUGUUCUUGUUGUUGUAUGGUCUCAUGGUGCAUCCGUUUCUAUGUUGAUCGUAUAGGCAUUUUGCGAUUUGGAGCCGAUCUAUACAUUUGAAGGUACUUACGAUAUCAACACGUUGGUAACGGGUAGAGAAAUUACUGGUUUGGCUAGUUUCAAGCCUGCACCAGUAAGGCAAAAGAGUCGCCUGUGAAAAAUUUCAUCUUCUCCUCUGGGUAGUAAGUAUUCUGCUGAAUAAUGUUCUGUUUAAGCAAUUGUAACUCUAGAAUACUUCUUGUAGAUUAAUAAAUAUCAUACUUUAAUUUAUCGAUCAACAUUUAUAUUUUUCUUUUUAAUCUUCAUGUAUAUCACAUAUCUUUUAAUAAUAAUACUAGCAGCAUAUUUAAGAUAAUCCAAUAAAUAAUAUUUGGAGAGUAUAAAACAUACAGGUAGAUAGAGGAUUGUUUUCUAUAACCUUUCGGCUCAAAGGAAAAAUAUAUAAACAUAUUGAAAAAGAGAUAUUAGUUGAAAAAACUCUAUCUGGAAGCUUGAAAUUGCUUCAUUGAUGCUUCUAAGAACAAGUCGAAUUGAAAAAGAAGAAGAAUUGAAGAAGAAGGAAUGUUAUUCUUGUGAAAACUGUUCCCAUACAGAUGCUGCAAAUGGUGUAUAUAUACACAGAAAUGCAGUAACAACCUCUAUCUUCCACUCACACUUUCCACACACAUACACAUACACACACACUAACUAACAGAAUGCAAUCCUAACUAACCACGUGAACAUGCUAACAAACUAACUGAAUUAACUGAAAAUGGGAAAGUUAACACUCCCCCUCAAGCUGAGGGGUGCAGGAUGUUGAGCACACCUAGCUUGCCUAACAGAUGAACAUGUUGAGCUUGACUCAAUCCUUUGGUUAACAGAUCAGCAACUUGUUGGUGUGUGUGUACAUACUCAGUUUGGAUCAACCCAUUCUUAACUUUAUCUCUAAUAAAAUGACAAUCUAUCUCGAUGUGCUUGGUUCUUUCAUGAAACACAGGAUUCACAGCUAAUUGAAUAGCAGAUUUGCUAUCACUCCAUACUUUUAUUGGCCUUUGUAUUAACACAUUGAGCUCAUUGAAUAAGCCUAUCAACCAUGUUACUUCUGCCACUGCUGAAGCCAUGCUUCUGUAUUCAGCUUCAGCUGAACUUCUAGACACUGUCUGCUGUUUCUUGGACUUCCAGGAUACUAAAAAAUCUCCAAACUUUACUAUGUAGCCUGUUACUGACCUCCUAGUGUUAGGACAUGCAGCCCAAUCUGAAUCACACCAACAUGUUAAUGUUGUGGCUGAUUGAGCCUUUAGCCAUAUGCCCUGACCAACUGUUCCUUUCAGAUAUCUCACCACCCUAAUAGCUGCUUCCCAAUGAGAUCUUUUUGGAUGUUGCAUGAAUUGACUUAGUGUUUGCACUGCAUAACUAAUGUCAGGUCUUGUGAUAGUAGCAUACAUCAAUUUCCCCACUAAUCUUUGAUAAGCUGAAUUAUUUGUUAGCACCUCAUCUUCUUGUGAUCCAGCAGUUUGAUCAAACUCCACUGAUGUCAACCUCAAAUUAGAUUCUAAAGGUGUAUUUGCAGGCUUUGCACCACUCAAUCCUGUGUCAGAAAUCAGCUCCAAUAUGUAUUUCCUUUGAUUCAAAAUGACACCUGUUUUGGACCUCAGCACCUCAAUUCCUAAGAAAUAUUUGAGUUGUCCUAAAUCUUUGAGUUUAAACUUCUGAUGCAAUGCUUCUUUUGCUUCUCUAAUUAAUAGCUCAUUGUCACCAGUAAUGAGUAAGUCAUCUACAUAGAUUAGGACAAUAACCAUCCCCUCUGGCUUCUUCAAAGUGAACAAUGAGUAAUCAUAAGAGCUUUGGAUGAAGCCUGCAGAUAACAAUGUGUUUGUCAAUUUGAUGUUCCAUUGUCUAGAUGCUUGCUUGAGUCCAUACAAAGAUUUGAGCAAUUUACAGACUUUGGUCGAUCCUUGAGUUCUGAAACCAUCAGGCAUUUCCAUAUAUACCUCCUCAUCCAAAUCUCCUUGUAAGAAGGCAUUGUACACAUCCAUUUGAUAAAGAGACCACCCUUUUGAAACAGCCACUGCAAUGACACAUCUAACAAUCACCAUUUUUGCUACUGGUGAAAAUGUGUCAUGAUAAUCCAAUCCUUCUUGUUGACUAUAGCCCUUAGCUACAAGUCUAGCUUUAAAUCUUUCUAUGUUUCCAUCAGCCUUGUAUUUGAUCUUGUAAAUCCAUUUAGAACCAACAGCCACUAACCAAGUCUUGUUAUCUUCAAGGGCUUGAAUUUCCAACUUCAUGGCCUCAAUCCAUCUUGGAUCUUUACUAGUUUGACCAAAUGUAUGAGGCUCUACUGAAUCUGAGAAAUUGGCUAGAUAGCUAUGAUACUUUGAGGACAUAUGAUCAUAACUAAGAUGAUUUGCCAAAGAAUACUUAUUAUUCUGUCCAAUAGCAGUAGUCAUGUAAUCCUUUAUCCAAAUAGGAGGUUUAGUGUGUCUAGAUGACUUUCUAGCUGAAGUUGAAUCAAUAGUGGACUCUGAAACUACCAUCUCUUCAUUCUGAAUAUGCAACACUUCACUAGGAACAUCAUUCAAGUUAGUGGAAACCUGUGUGCCUGCUAAUACACAAUCAUCAGAAGUUGUCUCUUCAUAAUCAGUUUCUUCUUCAAAGCUAUCAUGUAACAAGUCCUUGACAGGUUUUUGUGAGAAUUUUGAAGUGGCAAAAGGAAAUAUGUGUUCUUGAAACACUACAUCUCUAUUGACUAGAAACCUUCUAGUCUGUAAAUCCAUUAACAAAUAACCUUUCUGAGUUUCUGGAUAUCCCAUCAUGAUCACAGGUUUUGCCCUCUCUGAAAACUUAUCAAUUCUAGGAAUAGCAGAAGCAUGACCAAGACAGCCCAUAACUCUUAAAUGACUGAUAUUAGGAGGCUUAGAGAACAUCAUUUCAUAAGGACUUUUGUUAUGGAGAUUGAAUGAUGGUAAUCUGUUAAUCAAAUAUACAGCUGCUUGAACACAAAUUCCCCAGAAUCUAAGUGGCAUACAAGACUGAAAUCUGAUGGCUCUUGCUACAUUCAAUAUGUGUCUAUGCUUCCUCUCCACUACACCAUUUUGUUGUGGUGUGUGAGGACAACUACUUUGAUGUAUAAUGCCCAGGCUUGUAAACAAUUCUUUGCAUUGAGAGUUGAAGAAUUCUGUUCCAUUGUCUGACCUUACUAUCUUGAUGAUACAUCCAAAUUGAUUCUUUAUCAAAGUAAAGAAAUUCCUUAUAGCUACUAUAGUUUCAGACUUGAGCUGUAACAAAUGUAUCCAAGUAUAUCUGCUGUAAUCAUCAACAACUGUAAGAAAGUAGUAUUUCUUAUCAAAUGUGGGAACCUUGUAUGGUCCCCAAAGAUCCAUGUGUACAAGUUCAAAGCACUUAAAGGUUUUUGAAACACUAAUAGGAAAUGAACUCCUAGUUUGCUUAGCUAAUGGACAGACUGAACAACUAGUAAGCAAAUCAGUGUUUUUAUCAUGUAACAGAUUUAAACCAUGUAGUACUUGGUUUGAUGGAUGUCCAAGCCUUCUAUGCCACAACUCACAGUCUUGUAAUGAUACUUCUGCAACCAUUCUUUGAGGAUUUUGAGCUUCACAUCUGUCCUUCAUGCUAGAAUCAUUUCUGAAUAUGUAUAAGCUCCCUUCUUCCUUACCAAUCCCCUUCACCCUGCCACUGUAAAGAUCCUGAAAUAUACAGAACUCAGGGUAAAAGGUGACAAAACAAGAUAGCUCCCUAGUUAACUGUGACACAGACAAUAGAUUGAACUUGAAUUCAGGUACACACAACACAUCUUUGAUUACUUCAUUGUUAAACAAAUGUGUGUCUCCUAUGUGUGUUAUAGAAGCCUUGUCACCUGUAGGUAAGUUCACCUUGUCUUGAUGAGAACCAGCCAUACACUUACUAUUUUUUAGUAAAUGCUCAUUUGCUGUGAUAUGAUGAGAAGCACCAGAGUCUAUUAUCCAACAAUGAGAGGCAAUAUUAGCUGAAAAACAAUUUGCCAUACCUGUCAUGUUGACCUGUUUCACUUCCUUUUUAUCCUUUCCCAACAUAUCCAUUAUUUGCUUGUAUUCUCCAUCAGUAAAUGCAUGUCCUCUAGCCACAAAAGCAUUGUUUACUUCAUGAUGACUAGUAGAAGCUUCUCCAGAGUUCUCUUUGCUUACAUUGUUGGCCUCUCCAACAUAGUUAUGACCAUUUCCUCCAUAUGAAGAAUUCAUUUGGCCUGACCUUGAGUUAAAUCCAGACCUUUUUCUGUGUUUCCAAUCUGCUGGAUAGCCAAUUAAUCUGUAACAAUUCUCUUUAGUGUGCCCUGUGUAUUGACAAUGUUCACAUCUCCUUCCCUUAUUGUUCUGAUUUCCUUGAUUAUAAUUGUUUCCUUUGUUAACACUCAUAGCAACUACAUCAGAAACUUUAUUAGAAAUGGACACACAAGCAGUUUGUUGUUGUAGUUCAUCUUCUAUAAUCAUAGCAUAAGCUUGAUUAAUUGUAGGAGUAACACCUUUAAGCAGAAUCUGUCUCUUAGCCUGUUCAUACGAUUCAUUCAAACCACUAAGAAACUGAAUCAAUCUGAGCUGGUACAGAUGAUCAGCAUACUCUUUGGACUUUGGGCAAGCACAACUAGGAGAUGGUACAAGUGCAUCAUAUUCCCCCCACAGGUUUUUUAGUUUAGUGUAAUAUGAUGAAACAGAUUCAGUACCUUGUGAGAGUGUGUUGAUUUCUCUGUGCAAUUGGUAGAUCCUCAUUCGAUUGCCUUUGUCAAACCUCUCCUUCAAGUCUUGCCAAACUGUAAAAGCACUAGUAGCAUACACUAUUCCAUUUAACAGAUCUUCAUUAACUGAAUUCAUCAACCAUGAUAAUACGAUUGCAUUACAUGUCUCCCAUUGCUCAUGUAACUCAUCUCUAUACAAAGCCCUGCUACAAGCUCCUGUAACAAAUCCAAUUUUCCUCUUUCCUGUCAAAGCAAUCUUCAUCGAUCUACUCCACACUCCAUAGUUUUCAGGCCCUGUGAGUUUGAUUGGAAUCAAAACUGCACUUGAAGCAUCUGAUGGUCCUAUGUAAAGAGGAUCAUUUGGAUCGAUUCUUCCUAUAGCCAUUGUUGUCUUCUUUGCAGCUUAUAUGAUCACUAUCUACUGCUGCUCUGAUACCAUGAAAAAACUCUAUCUGGAAGCUUGAAAUUGCUUCAUUGAUGCUUCUAAGAACAAGUCGAUUGAAAAAGAAGAAGAAUUGAAGAAGAAGGAAUGUUAUUCUAGUGAAAACUGUUCCCAUACAGAUGCUGCAAAUGGUGUAUAUAUACACAGAAAUGCAGUAACAACCUCUAUCUUCCACUCACACUUUCCACACACAUACACAUACACACACACUAACUAACAGAAUGCAAUCCUAACUAACCACGUGAACAUGCUAACAAACUAAUUGAAUUAACUGAAAAUGGGAAAGUUAACAUUAGUUGUGAAAAAAUCAUGACAAAAACGUAACAAAAAAAAGCAGUCAAUCGUAACAAAAUAGCUAGUGCGAUAAUUAAAAUUAAAGAUAUAAUUAAAUAGUAACAAAAAUCUAAGGACAAGAAUUAUAAAAAGAAAUACUAUAGCAUUAUGAUACUACUCAUGUCCUUUAUAACCUCAUAUUUAAGAAUUUAUCGUGUUAGUUAUAAAUGUGUAUCAUGUUUUAAUUAAUCGCUUCACUUUGUACUGCUUCGAUCUAUCUCUAUCUAUUUUAUUAUUCAUAUCUGAUCUUUCAUGCAUCUCCUCUUCAUAUAUUCAAAACCCCGCAUCUCAUUUUCCACCGAUGGAACGUAGGGAGUAAUUGAUAGUAUUUAUCUCCAACGUAAUGACGUGUAUCUUCUCGUAAUGACCAACACGAUAAGAAAAAAUCAAUAUUCCUAAGCAUUUUUUCCUCAACUUCACACUAAUUAUUUAUUACACGACCUCUAGUUUCCUAUAGAAUCUACUACAACAAAAUAUUCAAAAUUAACUCAUUCAUAUUCUUCAAAAAUAUUAUCAGACUCAACAACACAUAUUUUCGAAGAGGUUCAAAUAACCAAGUACCUAUAUAUUAUCAGACUCAAUAAUACAUAUUUUUAAAGAGUUCAAACAACCAAAUAUCUAUAUAUUGUAUAUCAGACUUAACGAUACAUAUUUUUGAAGAAUUCGAACAAGCAGACGGCAGGAAGUAUUUCACCAUCCAUUUGUAUCUUCAUUUCUUUGUUGUUGCCUCUCAACUUCUCUUUCCAUUCCCAUCAUCCUUGCCCUCAAUUGGAGCUGACCUACAGCACUCAAAAACUUCAAACUUUGCAAGGGACUAAGUAACCCUACAACUCUUUCAGCUGUUCUUGUCCUUAACCUAUCAGCAUCCGUCACCACAUUCUCCAAGGCCGUCUUCAAUUGGUCUAUGUCUCCAUCAACCUCCUCGAUAUCUGUGUUUAUAUUGUCAGUGUAUAAAAGUUGCGUUCCUAAUCGACGUGCUAGAUCCACCAACGGUGGUGAGGCCACACUCUCUUGGAUUUGUGCCAACUCCUUCGUUAAGGACCUUUCUUGAGCCUUUGUCUCUUGUUUCAACCUGUUGAGCCUUUCAACUUGAUGUUCACUCAAAUCGUUUAUGGAAUUAGUUACCUGUCGAAGAUAUAAUUAAAUAAAUAAAUGUUGUAAUCAAAGUAUCUCUCUUCAUAAAACUUUUAAGUCCCUUCUUUUUAUGAUAUAGUAUCACAAUUUAUUAGAGCUCGUAUGGAUUAGUUUGAUAUAUUUUAUGUGUUUUUUUUUUUUGUGAAAUAGAAUGACUAAAAUAUUAUUGACUUCUUUACCAAAAGAUUAUAAAUUUGAAAAUAAUUUUUUUAUGAAAAAGGAUGCAUGAUUAACGGAGAAGAAGUUAAAAUUUUGUUUUGGAAAAAUGUAUUUUACAAAUUAAAUAAGGAACAAAUUAUGGAUGGUUGAAUGAUUCAAUAGAAAAAUGACCUAGUUGAGAUAUCACGAGAAAAAAAAGUUAACAAAUUUAAAAAUCUAUUUAUGUAUUUGACCUUCUUUUAAAAAAAUCAUUUAUAAAUAACACAUAAGCAUACGUAAUGAAUCGAAUAUUUAGAUAAAAUAGUUAUAAAAGUCGACUUGAUUUAUAGUAGAUACUUCUUUACAUAAGCAUGUAUAAUGAGUCAAAUUUAGAUCACACAAUUAAAUCUCAUAUUUAAAAAGUUAAAAAGUGAUUAUUUUUGUUAAAAAAAGAAUAUUUCAAGCAUGUAGAAUGAGUCAAAUAUUAAUAUAAGAUAAAUCAAAAUCAAACAAUUCAAUCUGAUAUGUACAAUACAAAUAAGCAUGUGUAAUUCAUGAGUCAAAUAUUUAAAUAUGAUACUCACAUAAUUCUAUAAAAGUCAUUUAUAAAUGACACAUUCGAAUAUAAUAAUGAAUUAUAUGAUCAGAUGAAAUUGUCACACGAUUCGAUAAUUUACCAGGUUAAAAACUAAGCCGGGAUUGAACCCUGUGAUCCAUAAGAAGCUUCUUUCAAGUGGAGAGAACCAAGUAGGUGAAAAGACUCUAAAAACAUUCCUAUGAGUCAUUCUUGAUUUUUCUUCAUAAUAUUGUUGAUAAUGAGCUAAAACCCUAUGAAUAAGGCCUCUCAUAUCAUUUUCUUGAUCAUCAAAAGUAUCUUGUGCUACAACAAGUUCAUUUUGAAAUUGUUCUUGUCUAAUGAACCAACCUACUAGAAACACCUCAAAAAAAUUAUCAUCAUGACUACUACAUGAUCCUCCUGUCAUAAUUUUGUUUAUGAUCUUUUUUAAUAGAAAAAAAAUAUGAGUUUAAAAAGAUAGGGAGGGGUUGUGCUUCUAUUUAUAAGAAGAAAAAGUGGUGUUUGUGAACUUUCAACUAAUUUAUUUUCUUGUUUAGAGACAAUGGAAAAGGGAAUUACACCGACGCGGGAAAUAAAACUUCCCCAACCCGAACGUUCCGAAGUCAAUCAACUGAGUUAUUAGAAUUUUAAAAUGUAUUAUUAAAUUUAUAUUUUGUUUAAUUAAGUUUUAAAUAUUUAUUAUUUAAUCAAGACUUUUUAACAAGAAAAUAUAAGUAUUUUUGGGAGUAACAGAAGUUAUUUUCAUAAUUUAAAAACUAGUGUGCUUCUACUUUAGCAAAGAGCUAGCACUUGCGUUUAUUUUUGAAUUUAUUAUCCAAAUAUAAGUUGCUUCUUGCUAAAAGUAUAGUUUUUUAAUUUUUUUCAUAAUUUUAAAAGUUUGAUCAAGCAAUUUAUUAGUAGAAUCGAAAUGAUUUUUUUUAAAAAGAAAGUUAUGGGGGGUAUUUUUAAUUUUUUUUGGGUUGGUUUACUUAGUGGGGAAGGAUGUUACUCCAUUAAUUAAAAAAUAAAACUAAUUGUAGGUUAGAGAGGAUUAUGAUAAGCCAAUUGGCAAUCCUACUUGGCUUAAUAAAAUUAAAGAGCAUAAUUAGAAGGGUUAAGAAAGGAAUAGCCAAUGACAUGUUGACACGUCAUAGAUUAAUCAACAUGAGUGGGGUUGGGGUUAAAUCGGUGUAUUUUGUCAUAUAGUAAAGAGCUUGUCACGGCUACGUGGAUUAAUACUCGCCUCCUAUAUUCUCAUCUACACUUGUCUUUGAUAUUUUACUGCGAUGAUCCAGUCAGAAAUUUAACGAAAAAUACUACAAAGAAGAAUAUUAUAAAAUCAAAUUUAUAUUUAUAAUAUGAUUUUAUAACUUACGUGAUUUUUUAUAAAAAAUGUACACUGAAUCAUUCUUCGUUUAUGAUGACUCUGAUCUAGUAGAUGGUAAAUUAAAUAUAUUCAUAAAUCAUAAUAACUAAUAUUUGAUUUAUGUAAAUAAUAUAUAUAAUUAUUCUGUAAAAGAUAUGUAGUGUACCAUUUUUAUUUUAUGAAAACUUUCUAUUUUUUUUUCUUUUUAUAGAUUCAAGAAAAAGAGGGAGUGUACAAAUAAUUUUAUGUGUAUAUCGUCUCCACUUGUCCUUUAGAAUUACAAGGCCUCGUGUGAUGACUACGUUGAUCAAUUGUUCAGCCUCAUAAAAUAUCGUCUCCACUUGUCCUUAUCCCAACUUAGCUAUUCACAAUAAUAAAAACUCAUAAUCAUAUGAUACGUGGUUUAAUUAAUUUAGAUUUAUAUUGUUUAUGACAUAUUAUAAGAGCAUAUUUUAUAUAAAUAAUUUCUUUGAUUUAGUCAAAAUUUUUAGUUAAAAAUAAAAAAAAAUUAUAUUGAGGACUUGAUUUUAACAAAAAUAUGAUAAAAGGUACUAUUGUUAUUCUUUACCUUUGUUGUUUGACUUAUCAUCGUAAAUAACUUAUUUAGUUAGCUUGAGUUCGGAACCUAAAGCCACAAAAAAAUAAAAGUGAUUAAAUAAGUCACUAUUUUAGAAAGUAACUAAAAUAGGCUAAGUGAAAGAAAAAAUUUCAACUUUAUGCAAUAUUCCAAACGUUUUUCUUUAGUUUAUAAAGGAUAUAUUUUAAUAUAUAACGUAAUUAUUUCUUACACUUCACAAAAUGUAAGUUUUUCUUACACUAUAUAAAGUGUAAGAAAAAAUUUUACUUUGCAAAGUGUAAGAAAAACUUACAUUUUGUAAAGUGUAAGAAAUAAUUUCAUUAUAUAUUAAAAUAUAUCCGUUAUGAACUAAAGAAAAAUGUUUAGAAUAUUGAAUAAAAUGAAAUUUUUUCUUCUAUUAAAUCUAUUUUAAUUACUUCUUAAAAUAAUGACUUAUUUUGAUGACUUUUAUUUUUUUAUGACUUAUUUAGGUUCCAAACUCAAUUAGCUUUCGUAUAACAGUUUUAUUAUUUCAAUUUGAAUAUGUAGCAUGACCAAGUGUAUCAAGAGGAUGAAAGUUAAUGUUACUGUCCUUAACAUUACAAGAAUACAAAACUAACACACAUUCAUCAAUUUAUUCUUAAAAAAUUUAUAAAAUAUACUAAUUAUAUAGAGUGGGCAGAAUUUUUUCUGCUGUUGUGGAAGGACCCUAUUCUGGGCCGUGGUACAUUCCUUUAAGCCCAUCGUAAAUUGGGCCACAAAGCCCACUCAUCCAAUUACCUUAUAAAUACAAUUUCCCCUGCUGAAUUUUCCCUCGUUACUAUUCUUCCCCUUCUGAUUUGGCCAUAUCUCGUUUACCAGGUUAGGGUUUCUUCGAUCUUAGGGGAUUUUUCAAUUAUAGCGAAAAAUGUAUGAGUUUCAUAUUUCUGUAUAUGUAUAUUGAUUUGUUUUCUUAUUUGUGUAUAGUUGUCCAAUCUCAGCCAUGGCUGGUGGAGGAAAUUUCAUUCAUAGGGUCAUCUCUUAUGUCGCCAAUGAAUUGAUCGUUAAUGGGCUCUCCAACAGGUAGUUAAUUCUAUUUUGGUCAAUAUUUCUCUGAUAUUGAGGGGAAGGGAGGGGAGGGUUGAUGCUUUGGAGAGUUCAUAUGGCUUUGCGUAAUCAAUUUCGUGCUGUAUAUAUUCUCCUGUAAAAGAAUUGUCUAUACGGUUUUGUUGCACUGCAAUUUUUUCUUGAUUAAUGCUCGUAUCUUAUGAUGAUUGAUCAAGUCAAAUGUUCUGUUGUUUGAUGAUCCAAAUUUGAAUUUCUUUUAUAGUCAAUUAUGUUUUUAUAUGUGGUAAUAUGCAAGUAAUCCCCUCUGAUAGCGGCCCCGUUUGUAUGCGAAUAUACAAAAUAAAACAUGCUAUAACAACAAUAUACCCCGUAUAAUCCCACAAAACGGAGUCUGCAAAUUAAACAUGCAACUGAAAUUAGUAAAAGCACCUUAGGUGCCACUGGCAUAGGGCUAUACUUGAUCCCAACAAAGUUCUGAGUUCAAAUCCUGCUUGCCGCAAUUUUUUAAUCUUUUCCACCCUUUAGGACAUUUUCAAUCUCAAAAUGUAAAAUAUAAGCUCCCUCAUUGUAGGUGCAAGGAUUCAAACCCAGCUAAGAGAACACACGGGAACCCGCCUAGACCAAAUAUUCCCCCAAACAUAAUCGAUAUAUACUGUACAUAAGGUAUAUAAACUUAAGUACAUGAUUUUUUCCGUGGUUAAUGGGUGCACAUGACUCUCAAUGUAUGUCCGCCUCUGACAUGGGGAGAUGUGUGUCAAUAUGAGAAACCUUAAGAUGGGUUUAUCUUGCAUGGAAGGUUGUCAUUGAUUUGUUGGUGAUGCAUAGCCUACAGUGGCCCCCAUAAAACAUAUUUUAGCUGGAAAUAUACUAGGGACUAUCUGUUAUUGAUCAUACAUGUUCUAAUACUGCAUUCAUCUUUACAUGUUCUAAUAUAGCGUGCAUGCUGAUGAUGACUCCUUGCGCUUUUAAUGGUUGACGAGACGAUAGCAAUUUUUUUGCUAUAAACUUUUAACAGACUGAAGCUAGUCCUUUUUCAUCCUCACUAGCAAUUCGGUUAAUAUCAUUAGGGUUUACUAUUUUGAGGCUAUUUGUGUUUAUGGCCUUUGUUUGGGAUUAUUGUUAGACUUCUAUUUGCAACGUAAUUGUGAGCAUGUUGUUGGUGUUGAUGUAUGUUUCUAGUGAUUGUGAAGAUGAUGGUAAUUCGAUGUCUAAACAUAUGAUGAUCCAAGGCUGCCUGGUCAUCAUCUUAUCUUAAUUUUGUAUGUUUGUAAUGGUUGUGAUGAUAUCUGUUUGAUAGCUCAAAAAUCUGUGUUAUCUUCAUUAAUCUUGGUGCCUUGUUGAGAAAAUGAUUCUUCUUACAAGUAUAUUUGUUUGCAUAUGAUGCCUUUUGCUUUGACCGGAAGAAAUAGGAUCUUCCGUCAAUUCUGGUUUGUUUUGUUGUGUGUUGUCAUAUAUGUUUCAUUUUUGGGCAGUUCUAACUAAACAAAGAACAAGGAAUCUGAUAAGUUAUGGUUAGCUUAGCUUUAAAUAAGUGAUGGCCUAAUGGAUUAAAGUCUUCUUUUGCCACUAUUUCUUUUAGCCAUCUUAGUGGUUUCGGAAACUUUACAGUCAGUAAUAUAUUCUGAAGCCCAAACUCGUAGGAGACUUAAGGAAUUUCAUAUCCAUUCUACGGGUGGGUACUGGUCAAGAAGAGAACUAUAUGUGUGAAAUGUCUUUUUUUCAAAAUUUAUUUUGUACUGUGUUACAUCUAACAUCUUCAAUUUACUGUAUAUACUUUUUGAUUCUUAGAGCAAAAAAAAUAACAAAAUAAAGUGCCUUUAGCAAUUUGGGUGAUGCUUGUGACAUUAUUUUCUUAAUAUGUACCCACUAAAAGGCCUCCUCCUCUUCAUUUCAGCCCUAGUUUUCAAAGAUUUGCAGUGAGGACAUCAAAGAGAAUGGAGGAUCUAUCUAAAUUGGGUAACUAGUAUUUCCAUCUUUUCCCUUGUCCUCUUGAAUCUUUCAUGCCGUUAUAACCAUUUGUUUUUGGUACUUGCAGCUCAGCAAAAGAGGCAAGAAAUUGCCGAUCAGGUGAAGGAUGCGUCUAAAAAUUUUGAGGUAGUAAUGCUGAAUCUUUUUCAAUCAAAGUAUAAAUACCGUUGAACUUAGUGACUAACACUUAUUCCCAAUUUAUGCUUUGCAGUCUUUCAAGGACCGGUGAUUUGGAAAUUCGGUGUUCUCCACAAAUAAUGGAAUGAAUGUAGUAACCAUUUAGCUCAGUUUGUAAGUAGUUUGAUGACAAAUGCUUCAAGUUACACCCUAUCAUUUGAGGAUUUGGUUUACUUGUAUGACUCAAUUGUGUUGCAUUAUUGAUGAUUAUCAAUGCAUCCUUUUUCUUUUUCCCUGUGAUUUCUGUUCUGAAUCUCUUGCAAAGUUGCCCUAGUUGGCAUGACAAAUUUUGAAAAUUAGUUUGGUUAUAAGAAUUUCGAAAUAAUGUGAUUGUAGUAAGUAGCUAGCGAUAGCCUAAAUUGAAGUUAAAAGUAAUUUUCAUCAACUCAACAACAGUUGUAACAGUGAAAUAAAAAUGUAUUUGUUCAUUAUGAUCUAUGAUUAAUUAACAUAAGGUUGAAAUGGUAAAAGAGAGUUGAAUGAAAAAGAAGAAGAAGAUAUUCUAUAUCUCCAACCUAUAAGUUUAAGUCUCGGUGGAUCUUUGAACUUCCAAUUAAUUCGAAAUUUUUGGAGUCACAUAAUGGUGUGUCUAAAAAACAAAGUGCAUGAUAAAGUAUUAGUCAUUUGACUCAUGUUUUUUGAACGGAAUAAAAAAAAUGUACUGCUAGAUAGAUGAAAAUGAUAUAACAACGAACUUGAAUUUUCUUUCAAAAACUGCAACAUCCAAAUCAAAAUACUAAAAAUGUUUUUCUCUUCAUUUUUAUUACCAAAAAAAAAAAGUAAGUUCAAGAACCAAAAUUGACAAAUGACCUCAAUUUUUUCCUAGAACCGACCCAAAAUCAACGACCUCCACUAUGCCAAAAAAUAGUGAAUUGAUUUCUUAAAAAUAAUAACGAAGAACUCCGUCUUUCAAAAAUAAAAAAAUUAACACAUAUUAGAAAGAGUAAAAGGGAAUAAGUAAACGCAAUCCAGUUUAUUUUUUUUAUUCGUUAUUUCCAAAAUGAAUUUUUUAAUUUAUAUUUUGCUACUUCUAAGAAAUUCAAAAAGAUAAUCAUAAUUUAUUUUUUCAUAAUUCACCUCAUUAAUUACUUAUUAAUGAGUACCUUACUUCCAAUUAAUAUAUUUAUUACAUUCAUCUCAGUUACUCCAAACAUUAGCAUAAGGUCCACUUGUGUUUCCGAAUAAAUUAAUACAGUACCUAACCACCAUUGAAUAUAGAAAAAUAUCUAUAGCAAAGAAAGUUCGAUUCAAAUUUAAUUAGAUUUUAAUAUAAUUAAAAAAUUUAAAUAACACCUUCAUAAAAAAUUUUAAUAUCUCAUAAUUUGAAUAUUAGUGAGUUUCGAAUCUAAGAUCUAAAAGAAAAGUUAAAAGAGAAUAAAUUUAUGCCAUGUCGUCCGUCACGUUUCUCAUUUUUCUCCGCUGAAGCAGGGGAGAAGGUCGUUACCAAUAAACCUCAAUAACGGCGCCGUUUUUGACUUUCUCAUUCUGCUUCAUCAACUUCAAUGGCGGAAGAGAAUUCAAGGAGCAAAAAAACAAUUCCACCGUAUAUGAAGGCUAUUUCCGGUUCAUUAGGUGGAAUCGUUGAAGCUAGUUGUUUGCAACCUAUUGACGUUAUCAAAACCCGGCUUCAACUGGACCGGGCCGGUGCUUACAAGGGGAUUGCCCACUGUGGUUCUACCAUUGUUAAUAACGAAGGUGUAAGGGCUUUGUGGAAAGGAUUGACGCCAUUCGCUACUCAUUUGACUCUCAAGUAUGCGUUGCGUAUGGGUUCAAAUGCGGUUUUUCAGACAGCUUUUAAGGACUCGGAAACAGGUAAGCUUAGCCCGCAGGGUCGAUUGAUGGCUGGCUUUGGUGCUGGUGUGCUUGAAGCUCUUGUUAUUGUCACGCCCUUUGAGGUUUGUUGAUUUCUACAAUCUCUUUGUUGUGAUUGUGUGGAGACUAGUUGAAUCGGUUAUAUAUAUAUAUAUGCUCAUAUUAUGUUUGCUUUAAAUUCUGUUCUAGUGAAUUAGUGUAAUUGUGGAACCCAAACAAAUCCUUUUGAAACUGGUAGAUACUUUUUUUUUGAUAACCAUUGUGUCCAGCCAGCUUGCACAAUGUGCAAUAGGUACCAGAUAGCAAGAUGGAAAGAAAUCAACCUGGCGUUUUUAUCCGAUUAAUAGAUCAGUUAAGACUAUUCAAUCAUAUGAAUUGAUGAUUUUGCUUUUUUCGUGGGUGAGAUUGCUGCUUGAAGUGUACUGACAAUAAUAAGGAGAUGAUUUAGGACAAAGAGAUAAGUAAAACUAAAACUAACAGGUUGAAGUACGACUCGGCGAUAAGUUGACAACAAGGAGGUGAUUAAGGACAAAGAUAUAAGUAAAACUAAAACUGUAUAAACAACAUAGCCGAAAAAGGAAAUUAGUUGUUUUUAUCUAAUACUAAAAAAGAUAUGAAAUGAUUACUGUGUUUGCGGAGAGAAUGUGACUAUAAAGCAUUUACUCCUUGGAUUGUCGGGUCUAAUUAUCGUGUCAAUACUAGUAUACACGCUUUACAUGCAGAAAUGAUUGUUGUUGGAGUGAUAACGGGUGUAUGCAUUCUACCUGUCUGAAACAGAGUGAUUUGGCUAGAGCUAAGGGUGAAAAACUAACAAUCAUUUUGGACUAAAUGCUGCUCAUGUUUUCAUAAGUGCGAAUGGUAAUUAGAAGCUAAUCAACUUGGUAAACCAAAUGUUUAUAGGGUGUUUAUUUGUCAAUGUGGUUUUCAUUCAAUCACUUCGACGAUGGUGCUAAAUAGUGUGUCUAAGUCUUUGGAAAAAUUAGGUUCUCCUGCUUGCUAAGAUAAAUUCCUCUGAAAUAUGAACCAACGAUGCCGUUUUAAUAGGUUUAACAUGUGUCUUCAUAGUAUACUGUACAUUAUUAGGUUUUGUGAAUCCAUUUGUUCUCAAUUCAUAUUUUAAUUUUUGUUUCUCCAACAAGGAAAAAAUAAAUAUAGGGCCAAAAUAUCCCUUUAAAAAACCCAAAUGCAUUUUCUCCUUAAGAAUGGAUUAGGGGUCUUUGUCCUGCCUUCUCCAAGAGCUGAGGUUAUGUCUCUUUCUCAUGUACACUCAAUACUGACCGUGCCAAGGAUGACUUAAGUUCUCUUGAUUAUCAUUCAUUAUCAAACAAUUGACUUCAUCUCCAAUUUAGACCCAACUUUUGUUUACAUAAAACGUUUAACUCUGACCUCAAUACAGAAAUUAGGUCAAUUAAUUGAAUGAUAUACUUGAAGAGUUUAUCCACAGUGGAAGAGCAUUCCAAUUAUCCAUGAUUUCCGUUUCAAACAAAGCCAUGAAUAAUUUGACAUAGACUGAGUGGUAGAUCUGAUGUGGUUAAACAUUUACAGGUUCUGUGGACACUAAAAGUUGUGACCUUAGCUGACUUUGUCUGGUUUUACAGUUGAGAUUUCUCCAAGGCUUUGGUCUAGUGGUAAGACUGAGUGCAACAAGUGAUGUGUGAGUAAGGUGUACGUCAUGGUUUCAUACCUGACUGUAGACAAAAAAAUUUGGUAUUAGGAUAGAGGGGUGGACCUAUUAUCCAUCAAAUUUCUAACCAUGCGCCACUGGUCCAUUGGAGUUACCUCAGUUAUAUAAAAAGAAGAUGAUAGUAAGGUUCUGUUAAGCUUGAUCAUUCUUAUUUAAAAAACAGGGAUUUUGUAGUUCUACUGUGGACUUAGUAAUUAUAGUAUAAAAGGAUGGUGUGGAAAUGUUCUUUUAUGGAAUACUUAUCUCCUAUCUUAGCUGGGAUGCUUUAACCUUCCAGGGGCACUUACAAAAUGCUUGCAUUCUGCAAUGUCGUGUGUUUCACAUUUUUUUUAAUACAGAAGUCUUAAGAAGGUAAUGAAAACAUCUGUAAAAUAAUUACACUCUGCUCAUUUGUAUAUGGUCACUUGUUGAGAUGUUUUUACUUUCAUUUGCCUGUUGACGCUAGUCUUGAAUUGGAAUAUCUAUCGGCUGUUUCAAUUGAAUGUUGUCCUGUAUCACUUGUCAAGAAUUAUGUCUACAGGAUACUAAUUUCUGGUUAUUUGCAUGACUUUGAAUAAUAUUUGGCAUACUAGCAUCUCUAAGAUAGCACUAUAUCAGAAGAGACAUUUUUGAAAGGAUACUCAGCAUAAAUCACUGAAUGAUUGUCAAACUUUGAUCAAUGCAGGUGGUGAAGAUUAGACUACAGCAGCAGAGAGGAUUAAGUCCUGAGCUAUUACGAUACAAGGGACCUGUACACUGUGCUCGUAUGAUUGUUCGUGAAGAAGGCGUUCUUGGUCUCUGGGCAGGUGCGUCGCCAACCGUUAUGCGUAAUGGUACAAAUCAGGCCGCCAUGUUUACAGCCAAGAAUGCAUUUGACACAAUAUUGUGGAAGAAACAUGAAGGUGAUGGGAAAGUUCUUCAUCCAUGGCAGUCUAUGAUAUCAGGAUUCCUGGCAGGGACAGCUGGUCCUAUAUGCACCGGUCCAUUUGACGUUGUGAAAACAAGGCUCAUGGCUCAGAGUAAAUCUGUGGGCGAGUUGAAGUACAGAGGAAUGUUUCAUGCCAUUGCAACAAUACAUGCAGAAGAAGGAUUACGUGCCUUAUGGAAAGGACUAAUUCCCCGGCUCAUGAGGAUCCCACCUGGACAGGCGAUUAUGUGGGCUGUGGCUGACCAAAUAACUGGCUUUUACGAGAGGACAUAUUUGACAAAUGCACCUUUAUAGGUACUACUGCAGUUUUAUCAUUGCCUUUCUUAGUUCACUUUUCUGGCAGAAGCUCAGCAAGUUUUUCCCUUUAUAGUUUCUUUAGCUAUUGAUUGAUUGCGAAAAGAAGAUGGCGCUACGCCUUAUCCACAUUUUUACUGAGAUCCCUCAACCUUUCAAAUGUUUGUCUAGACUACCUCUAUCUUUACAGGCUGAGGAACUGAGUUUUGCAGUAAAAUUGAAAUCUUUGAAGUCUCAUUUUGAUAUGUACUGAGGAUGGAAAUCCUAACUGGUGUGAUUGAAGUGCUUGAGAACAUUGUUGAUUUUUUACCCUUGCCAAAAGGAAAUUUAAAAAAUAAACAUUUUCAAUUCUUGGCAAGUUUUUUAAGGGUACGUUCGGUUUGAAUUUUUCUAUUUUCUUGUGUUUGGUUAGUCAAAAAAUUGAAAAAUAUCUAGAAUGAACUUCUUGGAAAUUGAGGAGAACAAUUUAAGAAAUAAUGAUUUAUUUGAAUAUUUUGUCAUAAUUAAUCUAGAUACAUGAUUAAAUUUUAUUUUUAAAAUAUUAAAUAAAUGAAAGUGAACUAUAUAUCACGAAGUUUUUUUCCAGAAUUCCUACAUUAAUUGAUAUCUUAAUUAAUUCUUUCGUUUUCACAUCUCGAGAGUACAUUAAAUAUUUACGGAGAUCACAACUUUGCUAAUUUUAAAUUUGAUCCCACCGAUAUGCAAAGGUCAAACUCAUCAGAUCUACUUAUAGUAAUUUAGUCUUUGUCCAUUUUUUUCCUAUUAUUUUAAAGAUAAAAUUAUUUCUAUUUACAAUUUUGAACAUAUUAUAAAUAAAUUAUUUUUAAAAUAUUUUUUUUAGUAUUAAUUAUUUAUUUUCUAAAUCGUUAUUAAGAUUAAUACAUCAAUUAAUAAUAAUGUGAUAAAUAAUCAUAUCAAUCAUUAUAUUUUUAAUAAAUAUUUUAAAUUUAAAUAUAACAAUUAAAAAUAGAUGAAAAAAUAUUAAAUUUGUUACUCCCAACAUAUGAGAACAAAUGGUAUUUCACAUGAUAAAAAAGACAUUGAUAAUGUUCUUUCCAAUUUUCUUCUUAUUCAAAUAAAAAAAAAGUUCACAUGAUAAAGAAUUUUAUUAAAAUUAAGUUAGUAAAAGUACAUGUUAUUUUCUGGAAAAGACUAGUUUUCUUAAAAUAUGUGCUUAACUUACAAACACAAAUUAACUUUAAACAGUACAGUAUAUAUUUAAAUAAUGAUAUAGAAAAAUAACUAUUCUAUUUAUUAUUCCUUUAAAAGUAUGUCAAAUUAUUCUCUCUAUUUAUUUUUAUUUGUGUCCAUAAUUAAAAAUAAUAUUCAUUUUGUAUUUGACACUUAUAUAGCAUAUAUCACGAAAAAAUUAUUAUUAUUUUUCUAUAUGUUAUCCUUUUAACUUUAAUAUAGUUAUAUAUGUUCAUAACCUAAUACUAAAUAUCACUUAAUAAGAAUAAUGUAAUAAAAUAAUUAUAUUACGCAUUAUUUUUGACUUGAUAUAACCAUUAAAAAGUAAUUACUGAUUUUGUUACAUUAUUUCUAUUAAUUGGUAUUUUAGUAAACAUCUUGUAAAUAAUAUUUAAUAUUAAGAAUAAAAAAUGAAUAAAAGAAAAAAUAGAAAUAAGUGAUAGGUAAAAGUGAAAAAAAAGAGAGUAUAAUUUCUCAUAUGUAUAGGUAAAAGUGAACAAAUAAAAUAUUAUUUUCAAAUGUGUUAUAUUUAAAUAUAAUAAGUAAAAGUAAACGGAGUAAUGAUGGAGGGCGCACACGAUUCCCACAUGUAACUAUAAUUUAUGUUUUUUAUGCAUCUAAUCCGACAGGUAAUGCUAUUUUCAUUAUAAAAUUCCAAAAAAAGAGAAGAAAAUAUAAGAGAAGUUGAGACCAAAUUUCAGUAGAGUCUAAAAUUACUUUACUGGAACUAAUGCAAAUGGCUUCUUCCUUCAAAUGCUUGUUGGUGUUGUACUUUUUGUUAUUGUCCUUGUACUUCACCCAAAUUUCAAGAGCAGGAGAUAUUGUUGAAGAAGGGAUUCUUUACAUUGAUGGGGUUUCUUCAAUAGCAAAAAUUGAUAAAGAUUUUAUUUGUGCAACUUUAGAUUGGUGGCCUCCUACUAAAUGUGACUAUGGAACUUGUAGCUGGGGAAAUGCUUCUCUUCUUAAUCUUGUAAGUUUUCCUCUUCAUAAUUUCUCCGGUACUCAAAGGAAGAAUAGAAAACGAACCUUUCUAUGAUAAAAAUGAAGAUAUUAUUUAUUUUCUAAUGCUCGGUAAGUAACAAAAAAAUAAGUAUUUAUACGUUAUCUAGUAAAACAAUAUCGGAUGUGAUUUGGGUGUUGUGAAGGUCAAGAGGGGCGGUUAGGUGUGUUGAGCGGUGAUUCUCGAUCUACUUUAUUGACUACUAAGCUACGCACUUGAGCCUAUUAUGUUAGGUUCAACUUUACAUCUCAUUGAACUGAUGGGAAGUGUUUUUUAUUGCAGGAUCUAAGCAACAAGGUAUUAGUUAAUGCAAUUAGAGGUAUAAAUUUUUGGAGAACCACCUAUCUAUGAUACCUUCAAAAAUUUGUUCAGUAGUUUUCUGAUUAAUGAGUAACAAUUGAAACGUUUUCUCCUGCAUUUUGCAGCGUUUUCUCCAUUAACAAUUAGACUUGGAGGUACAUUGCAAGAUAAACUAAUAUACCAAACGAUGCAUGAUAAACAACCAUGUCUUCCAUUUUUCCAUGAUGAUACAGAGCUGUUUAAAUUCACCCAAGGUUGCUUGCCUUUGUCUCGUUGGGAUGAACUCAACGAAUUCUUCAAGAAAACGGGGUAACUUUACUUCAAGCAGUUUUCUGCAUUUUAAACUUGAGUGAGGAAAAUCGUAUAGGGGACGUGAUAGUUAUGGACUGAGUUCUUGUUAGUGAAGAGCUAUUAUGUAUAUCAUUGCAGGGCAAAAGUAACUUUUGGGUUGAAUACUUUAAAUGGAAAGAAAAUAGCUUCUGACGGCCGCACUGCUUUGGGAGAUUGGGAUUCUAGCAAUGCAGAGUCUUUAAUCAGAUAUACGGUUAGCAGAGGUUAUAAUAUCCACGGCUGGGAGCUUGGUAUGAAACUCUCUCCAUUCUUUAACUACAGUUAUAUUAAGGGUAUGCAGAUACGCAAAUGUAGCAUAAAUGUAAUAGAAUUAACAAUACUGUAAGGAGCAAGUAGUAUGAGAAUAUCCUUGUAUUGUGGUCUAGUAUUCUUUUUUGUUAUCGAUGAAAGAGCAUAUGCAUCAAUUUCCAGUAAGUAGCGAUAGGGAAUGUUUCCGUUGUAGUUGACAGGAUAUGCAUAAUCUUUCUCUCGAUCAAGAAAAUAAAUGUCAAAGGGCUUCCAUAAGACAGGUUCGCAUGGAUCACUUCCUUCCAUAGGAACACAAUAUUACAAGCCAACUCUAAGAUGACUGAUAUUUCAUCUUUUGGCCUACUCUCUGCUACAUUUGAUUUACAUUUUGUAGUUUCUUUCCAGGAAAUGAAUUGAAUGGAAACGGAAUAGGUCCAGCUAUUUCAGCCGAUCAGUACGCUUGUGAUAUUAUAGCUCUUCAAAAAUUAGUGCAAGAUAUAUAUAAAGGGAAGGAUGUUAUGCCAUUAAUCCUUGCACCAGGAGGAAUAUUUGAUGCUAUUUGGUUUCCGAAAUUUAUAAAUAAAGCAUCUAAUUCUCUUCAAGUAGUUACACAUCACAUUUACAGUGUUGGUGGAGGUACGUUAAGCUCUUUUUAUGUGAGAAUGUUGUUGUUGUUGUAAGCUUUAAUUUUCCCGUAAUCCUAGGCUCCUAGCUCAGCCAUUGUGAUUGUAAUAACGGAUCAUCUCAUAUUUAGGCGACGACACCAACCUAGUUCAGAAAAUACUUGAACCUUCUCAUCUGGAUGAAGAAUCCAAAUACUUGCAAAAUCUUCAAGGCGUUCUCCGAAACUCUGGAACUUCAGCUGUAGCAUGGGUUGGUGAAAGUGGAGGAGUUUAUAACAGUGGUCGCAAUCUUGUUUCGAAUAGCUUUGUGUCCGGCUUUUGGUAAUAAUUCAACCUAACUGGUCUACCUAUACCUCUGAUAACUUUCAUGUCAAUAUUUCAUAGAAGUGAUUUUGCUUCUUGCAAUAUGUAGGUACUUGGAUCAGAUGGGGAUGUCAGCCACGUUCGAUACUAAGACAUAUUGUCGACAAACAUUGGUUGGUGGCAACUACGGUCUCCUCAAUACCACAACCUUUCAUCCAAAUCCUGAUUAUUACGGGUAUGCCUUAGAAGCUAGCUUUUCAAUGUUGUUUUUCUCCAAAACAAGACUAACUGCAUCAUCUACUGAACUAAUGUAGAACAUGUUUAACUUCGUAAUGUAACAUACUCGUUUAGCAUUAUACUUAUCGUUACUUGCAUAUCUCUUUCAUGCAUACAGUGCUCUUUUAUGGCACCGUUUGAUGGGAAGGAAUGUUCUAUCGACACAGUUCCAAGGAAUGAAAAAACUACGCUCAUACGCUCACUGUUCAAAAUCUUCUGUAAGUAUAAAUAGGGUAAAUUUGUACAUGAGAGAUUGUGAUGUCUAAAUACAUAAAUCGAUAUGUUGCAGGAAGGAAUCGCACUGAUGUUGAUCAACAUGCAUAGUAGUAUAACAGUUAAUAUUAGUCUUUCAGUCACAGUUGCUAACACAAACGAGUCGCCAAUGCUGCUACAAGUCACGAAUGAUCAGAACGCGAGACACGAAAUUGAGAGGGAAGAAUAUCACCUCACAGCCAAAGAUGGUGAUUUACAUAGCCAAACAGUGCUUUUGAAUGGAAAUGAACUUAAUGUGGAUCAUUUUGGAAGAAUCCCUCUGUUAGAACCUGUAAGAGUAAACCCCUCUCAUCCAAUUUCUAUUGCUCCUCUUUCAAUUGUAUUUGUCCACAUUCCCUCUAUUCAAGUGCCUGCUUGUAGUAUGUAUACAAGAGAGUACAUGUAAGAGUUAUUUCAAUACUUUGAUCAUGAAUUUAUUUGAGUAAUAAAUAAGUUUUUUUCCCAACUUAAAGCAAGCUUAUUCUGUUUGACUUAUUUUAGAUGCACGUUUGCAGUAUUUGGGUAAAAUAAUAAAAUCUUUCGAAAAUAGCCUCUCUAUAUAUACUCUACCCUUUUCAACCUCACUACAGAGCCACAUGUAAUUGAGGGGUGUCGACUGUCGCCCCUUUGUUAGAGAAUUACGUGUAGCUAGGGUAUAAUAUAUAUAUAUAUAUAUAUAUAUAUAUAUACUGAUACUCCUUGACUUUUACACAAUUUUAUUUCUUUAUAUUUUGACACACCUUAGUCAAGUUUUUGGCUCCGCCGUUGUGUUAUUGUUGGGUAAAAUAAAAGAAUAUUUUCAUAAAAAUCGAAUACAAUACAUAUAGUGGUCAUAUAUAUGUUUAAAAAGUUGAAUUGAAUUAGAAGAUAAAGAAUCAAAUCCUAAUUAAUAAGAUAAUAUUUUCAACUAAUCGAGCUAUUCUAAAUUAAUAAGAUAAAUAUUUUCAACUAACCGAGCUAUUAAAAUUAUCGUGACUUCCCACCUCCCGGUCUGCUCAAACACAAAAAAACAAAUAGUAAAUGUUGAAAGGAAAGUAAGUGUGAAAAAUAUCUACAUAAAGAGACAACUUUCUUGAUAUUAUUUUACGAUACCAAAUUAUCAUGUUAACGUAUAUUAUUAUCAAUGGAAAGUUUCAAAGUGAAAAAUUAAAUUAUUAUUUUAUUUUACAUUGAAUAAAAUUAUUAUAAAAAUAUUACUAAUUAAAUAUUCUAUCAAUAAUAAAGAAAAUCAUCAUAUUUCAAUAUUACUCCAUAAUGUACACAUACAUUGCAUACUUAAACUUUAAUAACAAUCAAUUAAGUAUUUGAGUAUACAAAGAGGUGGAUUAAUUUACUUGUAAUUGUCAUUUAUUUCAGCAUUUUCAAUACUCUAGAAUAACUUUUCAUUUUACUAAACUAAUCCAAUGUUUGGAACGUCUUUUCAACUUCCAAUUAUAGUUAUAUAACUUUAUAAAUAGUCACUUCAGUAAAUCAUGAUAAAUUCAUUGAGGCUCUCUUCUUGAGUUUCAAUUACCACAUGUCCUUCUUCUUUUUCAUUAUUUAUCUUUAAUGUGUGGGUUCCACUGCUAUUGCUCAUAUAUCAUCUCUCCUAAUAAUUAUGUCACGAUACAAGGGCCGAUAGAUGUAGUUAAAAAUGUUAUUAGUUUGAAUAAAUAAAAAGAUAUUCAUAACAUCAUGAACGCCUUUAUCCAGGAUUUAAGCUGAUAGCUCUUUUUUUUUCCUAUUAUUUUUAUUUAGUUAGUUACGGUUAAGUAUUACUCUAUUAAGAUGUUUGAUGUUCUGAUUUGAAGAAGAAGUGAAAGUUGUGUUAAUUGCAACAAUGUUAUGACUUGCUAAUAUUUUUGAUUUUAUCUAAUAAUAAUACUUCAACACUCACGUGAAGUAGGAAUCAAAAUAUAUAUGUUGAUUUCAGUUCAUUUGUGAAAUUAUUUUUUAAAUAACCCUCAUGAGUUAUAUUUUUUAUAUCACACUCUCUAAUUAAUUCGAGAAUAAGAGUAUUAUAAAGGAUCUAAUUUCAUGUAGCAGUAUGUUGGAUCUUAAGAUUGUUGAGUCUAAGUCUUUAUCUUUAUUUUGUCUAUGCCAAAAAAGAUCAUUGUGAAACUUGAAUUUUAAUUACCAAAAAGUAAAUAAAUAAAGAGUUACAAAAUUUAGGAGUUGAAUAAAUUGCAAUCUUUUAGUCUUUCAACAAUUUUAAUAAUACCGAAUAAUAUCAAAUUCUUAUGAACCAUUCACAUACAAAAGAAAAAAGAAAGCAUAAUUAACAAUUAAUUAAGUAAACUAAGAUGAUAAUAUCAUAUCAUCGUGUGUAUAUAUAUGUUAGGAAAAAGUUAGAUUACAAUUCUAUUCCUACAUUAAAUAUUAAUGUUAUAAAUUAUUUAAUAAACUAAAUAUUGAAUAGUAAAUCAUCAUAUUAGUACAUGAAUCAACCAUUUAUACACUUUUAGUAAAUUUUAUAAUUAAGAAUUUGUGUUCUUUUUAUUAGGAAGAUACAUGAACUUUCAAUUGUAAAAACAAUAUAUUUUUAGUAAAUACCAAUAAAUUUGAAUUGAAGAAAAUAUAUCAUUUACUAUAUAAAAUUUAUAUAAAAUAUUUUAAAAUAAAUAUGCAAUAUAUGUUUCUAGAAUUAGUUAGACUAUAAGACAAUACACUAAAAAGACAAAUAAUACCAUUGUCAAGUUCGAGGCAUCUUCUACUUGUGGCUAAACCUCCAAAGAAAUCAUAGUUCUAGAAUUACACCCCUUUUUGUGAUUAACAAUGGUGAGUUGUGCCAAUUUCAUUACCACUCAUUUAAUAUCAAAGUAGCACCACAAUAUUCCAAACUCUUAGGCUAUUGUGAAAAUUAUGAAAUUCGAAAUUUUAAUAAAAAAUGAUUAUUUAAAAAUUAGAGUCAUUUUUAAUUUUUGUGAGAAAUUUAGAGUACAAGGAAUGAAACCAAUUUUUUGAUAUUAUUCAAAGUUGAAUUUUAAAUUUUUUUCAACUCCGAAAAAAAAAAGAAUAUAUUCAUGACCAUAACUUUAUAGAUUUUUAUAACGAUUUCAAGUUAAUACAUAAUAAUAAUAAAUUUCAUAUCGAUUUUUUUUAGUGAAUUUCUUAGGAUGUAUUUGAUACGAGGGAAAUAAAAUUUAUGAAAACUGUUUUCUAGUAAAUUAAGUGAAUUUCUUACUUUGGUACGUAAAUAAAAAAAAUAUUUGUAUAUAACUUAGACAAAUACUAUAAAAGGUGAGAAUGAGAGACUAUUGGCGUAGGAGUAAGAUGAGAUGUGUUGAAGGGUGCAUAAUAUGAAAACUUUCAUUUAUUUUUGAAGAGCUUAAGGAAAAUCGGAACUUCAUUCAAACACAAUAUUUGAUACAAAUACAUGAUUUCAACAAAAGUUAUUACGUUCACGUAAACUACCGCUACUUUGCUAGAUCCGCCCCUGCAGUCCUCAUACUAUAUAUAAACUUCCUUCAAGAAACAGAAAUUUAAGAAAUCAAAAGAUGAAAAUAGAAAGAAAACAGAGUGUAGUACUGGUGCCACACCCAUACCAGGGGCAUUUAACACCAAUGCUACAGCUUGGUAGUAUCCUUCAUUCACAAGGCUUUUCUGUUAUAGUUGCACAUACUCAAUACAAUACUCCUAAUUAUUCCAAUCAUCCACAAUUCGUCUUCCAUUCUAUGGAUGACGGAUUACAGGGAAUCGACAUGUCAUUCCCGAGUUUAGAAAACAUAUAUGAUAUGAACGAAAACUGCAAGGCGCCUCUCAGAAACUACCUUGUUAGUAUGAUGGAAGAGGAAGGUGAUCAGCUUGCUUGUAUCGUUUAUGACAACGUCAUGUUCUUUGUCGAUGAUGUAGCGACUCAGUUGAAGCUUCCCAGCAUUGUCCUGCGCACUUUCAGCGCUGCGUAUUUGCACUCUAUGAUCACCAUUUUACAGCAACCUGAAAUAUAUUUACCUUUUGAAGGUAUAUGAGAACAAGUACACAUCCUCUGCUUCAAUAUCUAAAUGAAAAAAAAUGAAAGUAGAAUAAGUUGUUAUUUUUACAGUUUCAGUAAAAUAUUUCGGUACAUUUUUUCCUUGCAUUGAUUACUCACUACAAUUUUCAGAUUCUCAGCUGCUGGAUCCGUUACCGGAGCUUCAUCCCUUGAGAUUUAAGGAUGUACCGUUUCCUAUCAUCAAUAAUACAGUUCCAGAACCGAUACUAGACUUCUGUAGAGCAAUGAGUGAUAUAGGAUCAUCUGUCGCGACUAUAUGGAACACGAUGCAAGACUUGGAGAGUUCAAUGUUGUUACGCCUUCAAGAACAUUACAAGGUGCCCUUUUUUCCAAUAGGCCCGGUACACAAAAUGGCAUCUUUGGUCUCAUCGACUAGCAUACUAGAAGAAGACAAUAGCUGCAUCGAGUGGCUCGAUAGACAAGCCCCUAACUCUGUUCUCUAUGUCAGCUUGGGUAGCCUAGUGAGGAUUGAUCACAAAGAGUUGAUUGAGACUGCUUGGGGAUUAGCUAAUAGCGAUCAACCGUUCUUGUGGGUUAUUCGACCUGGCUCUGUCUCUGGCUUUCAAUGUGCUGAGGCACUGCCUGAUGGUUUUGAGAAAAUGGUAGGAGAAAGAGGACGAAUAGUGAAAUGGGCACCACAAAAACAGGUGCUUGCACAUCCCGCGGUAGCAGGGUUUUUCACUCAUUGUGGUUGGAAUUCUACGCUUGAAAGUAUAUGUGAAGAAGUCCCUAUGGUGUGCAGGCCAUUUCUAGCAGACCAACUGGUGAACGCAAGGUAUCUGAGCCAAAUAUACAAGGUUGGGUUCGAAUUGGAGGUUAUCGAGAGAACGGUCAUAGAGAAAACAAUAAGAAAACUCAUGUUAAGUGAAGAAGGCAAAGAUGUGAAGAAAAGAGUAGCAGACAUGAAACAAAAGAUAGUUGCUGGAAUGCAGAUUGAUUGCACUUCACAUAAGAAUCUGAAUGAUUUGGUAGACUUCAUUUCUGCCUUGCCAUCACGACUCGCUCCGCCAACGCCUGUCUUUGGGGCAAUCAUGAGCUCAAACCACAUAGCAAGCAAGUGUAUCAUAGAGUCUUGAAGUUAUUUUUGAGCUCAAACCAUAUUUCUGUGGCCCCUUAGCUUGGCAAGACAAUAAGUCCUUAAUCACAAAAGGAAGAAUAAGAUAAGAAGUGAACUUUUCAUAAAUCCAUGGUGCAAAUGCUGAAGCAAUUUACUUUAGUUUGUUGAUUGGUUUAUAAGUUGGGAACCUUGACAUAUUGUUUUCUAGUUGGUAGGAAAAUAUUUUCGUGGAAAAUAAAUGAUUUUCAAACUUAUUUUUUAGUUUUUGAUUAGUAAAGAAUAUUAUUGUCCCAAGAGUAUCUAUGUACACCUAGAUCUGGAACCACCCUAUAACAUAAACACGGACUUGACUCGACCUGACCUUACCCCAACACUGACCUAAGACAAAACCCUGACCUCAACACCGACUCAAAACUUGAUCCUCGACCAGACUAUGACCUAACCUUAACCUAGGAUCUGACAACUGACCCCAUGUCACGAACUGCAAUCCGAAGUUAACUCUGGACCUAACCUCAACCUAGAUCCAUGACCCCGUCCAGAGACCUCAACCACAAACUCCUGACCCCAAUCCCGGGUCCCAACUUGACCCAAGAGUAUAGGAAAAAUGCACAAGUACCCCCUCAACCUAUGCCCGAAAUCACAAAGCCACACUUAUACUAUACUAAGGUCCUAUUACUCCCUGAACUUAUUAAGUAAUUUUUUACCCCUUUUUGGCCUACGUGGCACUAGUUUGAAAAAAAUGUCAACCAGCGUUGGGCCCACAAGAUAGUCUCAUGUAGGCCGAAAAGGAGUAGAAAAUUGUUAACAAAAUAAGUUCUGCGGGGUAAUAGGACCUUAGUUUAGUUUAAGUAUGUCUCUGAGAUUUCGGGCAUAGGUUGGGGGUACUUGUGCAUUAUCCCAAUAUUGAUUUUGUUUUCAACUCAUUUGAUACUAGAUAUUUAUAUGGACAUUCGAUUAUGAGUGACUUCAUAAGUGAGUAACUGUUAAAAUAAAAAUCAAAAUUGUGUGACAUUGUAAGUAAAAUACUCAUAGUUGAGUAACCUUUGGAAUGAAAUUCAAAGUUGAGUAGCUUUCUGAGAUAAAAUGAAGUUUUUACCUUAAUAAUACAAAGGUAAAACAAAUUAAAUUAAGUAGUACAAAAAUUGUAAAUAAAGUUUUUACCUUAAUAAUACAAAGGUAAACCAAGUCAAACUAACCAAUACAAAAUUUGUAAAUGAAGUUUUGACCUUAAUAAUACAAAGGUAAAGCAAGUCAAACUAACCAAUACAAAAUUUGUAAAUGAAGUUUUGACCUUAAUAAUACAAAGGUAAAGCAAGUCAAACUAACCAAUACAAAAUUUGUAAAUGACGUUUUGAUCUUUAAUAAUACAAAGGUAAACCAAGUCAAACUAACCAAUACAAAAUUUGUAAAUAAAGUUUUUACCUUAAUAAUACAAAGGUAAACCAAGUCAAACUAACCAAUACAAAAUUUGCAAAUGAAGCUUUGACCAUUAAUAAUACAAAGGUAAACCAAGUCAAACUAACCAAUACAAAAUUUGUAAAUGAAGUUUUGACCUUAAUAAUACAAAGGUAAAGCAAGUCAAACUAACCAAUACAAAAUUUGUAAAUGACGUUUUGAUCUUUAAUAAUACAAAGGUAAACCAAGUCAAACUAACCAAUACAAAAUUUGUAAAUAAAGUUUUUACCUUAAUAAUACAAAGGUAAACCAAGUCAAACUAACCAAUACAAAAUUUGCAAAUGAAGUUUUGACCAUUAAUAAUACAAAGGUAAACCAAGUCAAACUAACCAAUACAAAAUUUGUAAAUGAAGUUUUGACCUUAAUAAUACAAAGGUAAAGCAAGUCAAACUAACCAAUACAAAAUUUGUAAAUGACGUUUUGAUCUUUAAUAAUACAAAGGUAAACCAAGUCAAACUAACCAAUACAAAAUUUGUAAAUAAAGUUUUUACCUUAAUAAUACAAAGGUAAACCAAGUCAAACUAACCAAUACAAAAUUUGCAAAUGAAGUUUUGACCAUUAAUAAUACAAAGGUAAACCAAGUCAAACUAACCAAUACAAAAUUUGUAAAUGAAGUUUUUACCUUAAUAAUACAAAGGUAAACCAAGUCAAACUAACCAAUACAAAAUUUGUAAAUGAAGAUUUGAACUUAAUAAUACAAAGGUAAAACAAAUUAAAUUAACUAGUACAAAAUUAACAAUACUUAUAUAUAUAAACUUCCUUCAAAAACACAAUUACUGAACUCUUGAAUAGAAGAGAAACUCAAUAAAACAAAGAUGAAAACUCAAAGAAAACAGAGUGUAGUACUAGUACCACUUCCAUGCCAGGGGCAUUUAACACCAAUGCUGCAGCUUGGAAGUAUCCUUCAUUCUCAAGGCUUUUCUGUUAUAAUAGCUCAUCCUGAAUUCAAUACUCCUAAAUAUUCCAAUCAUCCUGAAUUCGUCUUCCAUUCUAUGGAUGACGUAUUAAAGGGAAUCAACAUAUCAUCACCGAGUCUAGAGAACAUAUAUCAUUUGAAUGAGAACUGCAAGGUGCCUCUCAGAAACUACCUUGUUAAGAAGAUGAAAGAGGAAGGUGAUCAGCUUGCUUGUAUCGUUUAUGAUAAUGUCAUGAUUUUCGUUGAUGAUGUAGCCACUCAGUUAAGGCUUCCCAGCAUUGUCCUGCACACUUCCAGUGCUGCAUAUCUGCACUCCAUGAUCACCAUUUUUCAGCAACCAGAAAAAUAUUUUCCUUUCGAAGGUAUGAGAACAAACACAUCCUCUGAUUCAAGAAUUUAAUGAAAAAUCAUUUCGAUAACAAUAACUAUGCUUCAGUCACAAAGUUCCCUCGUUACAUUCAUCACAAGCCAACAUUAUAGAAAAUAAAAAUAAAAAUAAAAAUGAAAGGCACCCUUUACUUGUCGUCCUUACAAAAAAUAGAUAGUCCAAGAUAAUUGUCACUUCAGAAAACCAAGAUAUAAUUAACUAAUAGUUUUCGCUUUUAUCUUUACUCAAUAAAUGUGGAAAGAAAUUAAUGUGGUGGAAAAGAUAGUAGUAUUAAAUUGAGAUCAAAUUACACUUUUAGUUAUUGUUUUCUUAUGGGACGUGCAAAAAAAAUGACAAGUAAAAUGGAACAAAGUGAGUGCAGCAAGUAUAAUUCAGCCUAUAAUAUUUUUCUUCCAUUAUGUUGUAUCAGUUCGCUUAAGUUUGUAUUAAUUACUCACUACGAUUCCAGAUUCUCAGUUGUUGGAUCCGUUACCAGAGCUUCAUCCCUUGAGGUUUAAGGAUGUACCAAUUCCUGCUGUUAAUAAUACAGUUGCAGAACCGGUACUAGACUUCUUUAAAGCAAUCAACAAUAUAGGGUCAUCUGUUGCGACUAUUUGGAAUACGAUGCAAGACAUGGAGUAUCCAAUAUUGUUACGCCUUCAAGAACAUAACAAGGUGCCCUUCUAUGCAAUAGGCCCUUUUCACAAAAUGGCGCCUAUGGCCUCAUCGACUAGCAUACUAGAAGAAGAUAAUAGCUGCAUCAUGUGGCUCGACAGACAAGUUCCUAACUCUGUUCUUUAUGUCAGCAUAGGUAGCCAAAUGAGGAUUAAUGACAAAGAGCUAACUGAGACUGCUUGGGGAUUAGCUAAUAGUGAUCAACCAUUCUUGUGGGUUAUUCGACCGGGCUCUGUCUCUGGCUUUCAAUGUGCUGAGGCACUGCCUGAUGGUUUUGAGAAAAUGGUAGGAGAAAGAGGACGAAUAGUGAAAUGGGUGCCACAAAAACAGGUGCUUGCACAUCCCGCGGUAGCAGGGUUUUUCACUCAUUGUGGUUGGAGUUCUACGCUUGAAAGUAUAUGUGAAGAAGUCCCUAUGAUAUGCAGGCCAUUUCUAGCAGACCAACUGGUGAACGCUAGGUAUCUGAGCCAAAUAUACAAGGUUGGAUUCGAAUUGGAGGCUAUCGAGAGAACGGUCAUAGAGAAAACAAUAAGAAAACUCAUGUUAAGUGAAGAAGGCAAAGAUGUGAAGAAAAGAGUAGUAGACAUGAAACAAAAGAUAGUUGCUGGAAUGCAGAUUGAUGGCACUUCACAAAAGAAUCUGAAUGAUUUGGUAGACUUCAUUUCUGCCUUGCCAUCACGGCUCCCUCCGCCAACACCUGUUGUUGGGGCAUUCGAUACAUCAAGCAAGUAUAUCAGAGAGUCCUGAAGUUAGAAGAAAUACAUAUUUUUGUUGCCUGCUAUCUUAGCAAGACAAUAAGUCCUUAAUCACAAAAGGAAGAAUAAGAUAAGAAGUGAACUUUUCAUAAAUCCAUGGUGCAAAUGCUGAAGCAAUUUACUUUAGUUUGUUGAUUGGUUUAUAAGUUGGGAACCUUGACAUAUUGUUUCAUAGUUGGUAGGAAAAUAUUUUCGUGGAAAAUAAAUGAUUUUUCAUACUUAUUUUCUAGUUUUUGAUUAGUAAAGAAUAUUAUUGUCCCAAGAGUAUCUCUGUACACCUAGAUCUGGAACCACCCUAUAACAUAGACACGGACUUGACUCGACCCGACCUCACCCCAACACUGAUGUAAGACAAAACCCUGACCUCAAUACCGACUCAAAACUUGAUCCUCGACCAGACUCUGACCUAACCUUAACCUAGGAUCUGACAACUGACCCAUGCCACGAACUGCAAUCCGAAGUUAACUCUGGACCUAACCUCAACCUAGAUCCAUGACCCCGUCCAGAGACCUCAACCCUAACUCCUGACCCCAAUCCUGGGUCCCAACUUGACCCAAGAGUAUUGAUUGAUUUUGUUUUCAACUCAUCUGAUAUUCGAUAUUUAUAUGGACAUUCGAUUAUGAGUGACUUCAUAAGUGAGUAACUGUUGGAAUAAAA
rnacentral:lncRNA from 1 species